rnacentral:lncRNA from 1 species
AUUUCUUCAGCAUUCCUUUCAGCAGCUUCGACUUCUUUUUGCAGACCAUCUAGUGCUAAAGCAAGGUUCUCCUUUUGUUCUUUGAAUUCUUCAACAAAAUUGUUGAAACAGAACAUGUAACGGAACUGCCUUCCUACUGGUUCCACCAUGAGUUCUGCUAUCUUAGAUAUAAUGGAUCCACCCACACUUUCGAGAGCCAUUUUCCACCAGUCUGAAAAUCAGAGAAAUGAGGAUACAGGACGUGAGAGUGAGUCACUACAAGUAAAACAGGCGCAGAGAGAAUGGGAAUAGGAAUUCCAUUACCGUAAUUUGGGAAAAUAUGCGCGGAAAGCACUGGUACUGAGAGCUCAAUGAAAUAGCGGGAGGAAGAAAAGGAGAAGGCCUUUAGCUCUGUAUGGAAUCCAGCUUCAAAAGCAACAAGGCAAGGUAUAAGGAUUCUAACUGACACUUGUGAGUUAAAGCAGUAAUUCCCAUUAAAAAUGCAUUUUGAUGACAUAAUUAAGAUCAUAUUGAGACAGUGGCAAACAAAAAAUAAAUGUAUAAAAGUACUCACCUAGCAAAGAAAGAAACGAAUGAAAGGUUCAGGAUAAUCACUUAGCUCGCUUCCAACAACAAAUAUAAUUAAUUAAUCUAAGCUAUGAUCGGUCAAAGUUUUUUUUAGUUUUAUUCUUUUUUUAAAAAAAAAAAAACAGGAAAAAACUUGCAAAGAAAUAGAAUUACUGGAAUGAACACAAUAAAAGAUGAAACUCAAGCAAUUAAAAAUAAAUUAUCUAUGAUGAUCAUGUCUGUGUCACACUCAAUGAGGUAAUCACUAUUACAAUAUUAAAUAAAUAAAUAAAAGCUAAAAGAACUAGGUUUUUGGUGGCAUCCAGAGUGCGGUUACUUUCUUCAUCCUUCUUUUGUGGUUUUAUUUUAUUUCAGUCCUUCAAAUCUUUUUCUUUUGCUAUUUCAUCGAGUUGCUUUGCUCUUGAGUUGAUGUGCUUGCCCUAGAAUAUGCAUUAUGCUAGGGAUUACAAUUACAUUACAUAAGAAAUUAUACUUACAGAUUAUAAUUAAAAUUUUCAGUUUUUUUUAAACAAAUUUAUGAGAAAGUACCAAUAUUACAACGUGAGUAAAUGAUAGGAGAAUUUUAAAUCUUUUUGUGACAUGGUGACCAGCUGAUCCAAGUAACCAAUAGAUUAUCGCCACUUGUUCAACCUGAUCUGCACUUUAAGAUAGGGGUAGUCAUAACUAUUCCUCGUUUUGUUUGAGGAAAAAUAAUUUUUUUAAAAAUAAAUUUUAAAUUUUUCUAUAUUUAUUUGCUAUUAAAAAAAUUAAUCAAUAAAAAAUAUUUUUUAGUAAAAAAAAUUAGUUUUAUUUUUUAAAAAGUAUUUUUCUUUUAUUUUAGGCGGAAAAUACUUUCCAGAAAUUGUGAAAAAUUUAGAAAUAUCAUAUUAUUUGUUGAUUAUAACAAAUUGGAUCCUCAAACUUUUAAUUGCUAUAUAUUUUGUUUUGAAUAUUUUUGUUUUCAAUUUCAUCUGUUAUAAUUUGAUUUUAUAUUAAAUUUGAUCCUUAUUUUUAUGAUUGUUAUUUGUUUUUCUCUUUUUAUUUUUUUAAUUGAAAUUUUUUAUUUAUCAAAUUUGAUCAUCAUUCUUUUGAUUGUUAUUUAUUCUAUUUGAAAUAAUUUAUGAAUAGAGGGAGAGGUUGUUGGAGGCAGAAAAGGAAAGACUACGAUACUAUUUUUCUCUAUAUUUUGAGUUUUAGUUGUUAACAGCCAUGCUCGUUUGAUUUUAUUUUAUUUUUAUUUAUUUUUUUCAUGCUCUUGCAGAUAAGGCAGGAAAGGAGGACCUGAAAUCACGACAGCGAAUAAGGAGAGAAAUAGCGUGUUUGUUUUUUAUUUUUGAAAUUAUUUUUUUAUAAAAUUAUUUUUUUAUUCUAAAUUAAUUUUUUGUAUUUUUAAAUUGAUAUUAAAAAUAAUUUAAAAAAUAAAAAAAUAUAUUAUUUUAAUAUAUUUUUAAAAUAAAAAAUAUUUUUAAAAACAACUACUUAUUCAAUCACUUAAAAUAAAAACCUUAAAAUCACGGCAUGAUAAAAGGAGGAAGAAAGGAAUGGGACAAAGGAGGAAGAAAAUAAGGUCACGUAUAAAAUAGAAGAUGAAAAUUAGUAUGAAAAAGAGGCUAUUUGUUUUUUUAAUGUGUCAGAGUGGUUUUUAUAAUUAUAUUUAAUUUAUAAAAAUAUUAAAUUAAUAUAUUUUUAAAUAUUUCUUGUUAUUAUUAUAUAUAUAUAUAUAAUAUUCUAAUAUUUUUUUAAAUAAAAAAUUAUUUUAAAAAAAUAUGUGUCACAAUACUAAAUUAUAGUACAAAUUAAAAUAUAAAAGAGUUUUCUAUUACUAUUUACCAAGACUUAUUUUGUUGUGGAUGUGGAUAUUAAUAGUGAAUUUUUUUAAAAUUUUCAAUUUGAUAUUUGAAUUUUUUUUUUUCAUAAUCGAAUCUCUUUAUGCCCAAAUUAAAACUCAAUUGCAUUUUGUUUUUUAAGUAUAAGAGUUGAAUUCAAAGAUAGAUGACUGAAAUGAAAAACUUGGUAAAAAUAUGCGGCGACAUUGUAAUUGUUUGCAAAGUUCAUUUUAGUCCCUUAUCUUUUUGAGCUACUAAGUAACAUGUCCCUAUAAUUUCUCAACAUUACAUUUUAUCCAGAAUCUCAGAUUAUGCUCUACGGACUAAACUAAAUUUUUCAUAAAUUGAGAGACCAAACUGAAAUUUAUCAUUUUCAAUCUUAAACCUAGAAUUUUCACAUAUCACCUACUGAUAUAACAAGAUUUCUAACUCAAAUUCACCAUUUAAACAAACCAUAACUCAAAAUCAUCAUUUUUACUUAAAGUCUUUCAAAAUCAACUAAAUAACUCAUUAUUCAUAACAAUCAACACAUAAUAUUCAAAUCAAUUCAUCAAUCAAACCCAAAACACAAUCUUCAAAACUCUAAUAUUCAACAAAACAGAAAAUUAAAGCUAAGAAAAACACAUUUAUACACAUCAAAGCGUAAAUAUUCUUACAUUUUAAUUUAUUUUCUCUAACUCUCUUAUCCUUUUGUUUAUCUUUUUCUCUUUUCUCUUUUUCUUCUUUCACUCUCACGGUUUUUUCUCUAAGAAUUCAAAUCUUUCUCUUUUUUAUUCUAUUUAUAUUUAUGAACUCUUUGUUCAAUUACUACAAUAUCGUUCAUUCAUUUAUACCUACUUUUAAGCCUCCAAGAGUUUUGUUGUUUUUUUCUAUUCUCUUUUAUUUCCAAAUCAUCACAAUAAAAUUGUUUUCUUUUUAUUAAGCUGCUAAUUUAUGCAGCUUUAGCUCUUGUUCUCUCUUCUUGUCUUGCUAUUCUGAUUUUAUCUUUUUCUUUACAUGAUAUAAGAGCAGGUUCUUACCUCUUGAAGUCUGCUGGAUAAACCUAUCAGCAGAAGAUCCUGAAGCGAUCCCAAAUCACAGCUUCAAUCCCCACCACAACCAAUCUCCUCUUUCCCGUAGUCUGUCGUCCUCAAUUGGGAAAUGAUCUCAAAAAAUCACUUGAUGCAACAAGUAGGGUAGAGAAAUAUAAGACUUCAACAAAGAAUCAAACUCAAAAAAAUAAAAGUAAUUGUCUAUGAGAAGCAUUUCUGUGUCACACACUCAAGUAAUAUGAUUGACCUAUUACAUUAUACAAAUUAACAAUAAUAAUAAUAAUAAUAAUAAUAAUAAUAAUAAAAGAACUAGGUUUUUGAUGGCAUCCAGAGUGCUGUUACUUUCAAACAAAGAGGCUUGUGCAUGCGGUGUUAUGCUGUUCGUGUAGGCUAAGAUCUCCUAUGAAUACAUUUGUAAAAUCAUACAAUUGUAUUCUUUUUAUUAAGCUGCUAAUUUAUGCAGCUUUAGCUCAUAUUCUCUCUUCUUGUUUAGCAAUUCUGAUCUGAUCCUUUUCUUUGCAUGAUAUAAGAGCAGGUUCUUACCUCAUGAAGUCUGCUGGAUGAACCUAUCAGCAGAAAAUCCUGAAUCAAUCCCAAAUCACAGCUUCAAUCCCCACCACAAUUACCAAUCUCCUCUUUCCUGUAGUCUUUCGUCCUCAAUUGGAAAAUGAUCCAAAAUCAACAACCAGUUCGGAGAUAGUCUGUGUGAAAAUAAACGGCUGAGAGAUGAAAUGUGAAGGUUAUGGUGAGAAAUUAGAUGACAAACUUACUUUGUCCUACUAAUGCUUUUGCUUUCAUUGUUUCAACAAGUAAAAGAGACAUAAGCAUAAUCAUAAGAAUCCUGUUUUUUCUAUUUUUUUCACCUAUUUAUACAUCAAAAAAUGGCAGUUUUUCUUGUCCUUUCUUUUUAAAAUCUUAUGCCUUGGGUGAGGAAAUUAGUGGAGCAUAAGACGUUUUAAAAGACAACAAAAAGAAGCAAUGUCUCAUCUUUUGAUAUGGUGGUCUUCCAUGAUCAGUUUGUUGAUGAAGAUAUCGAAAGAUUCGAGUCUCCGUUCUAGCUCAGGUUGGAAGCUAGGCCGAAGGCUAAGCUUCUUUUAAUUAUGAAUUGUUUAUGCAAAGGAAACCCAGAAGCUUGAACAAACAGAAAUGCCUUGUUGAUUUCUCUGCUACUACUCAUUAUUUCCAAUAUUAUUCCAUUAUCUUACCCGAAAGCAAUUAUACAAGAAAUUUCAUUAUCCUGCCCCAAAGGCAAUUUAUUACAAGGACUUCCUUUAACCUCCUUGAAGGCAAUUUAUUUGAUGAAAAUUCCUUUAAUCCACCUCAAAGACAAUUUAUCUUAGGGAAUUCCAACGACCCAGGCAAUUUAUUUGCUGAAAUUCCUUUAACCUCCUUGAAGGCAAUCAAGAUUUUAAAUUAAAAACCAUCUAGGUGGUGGCCCAGUGGUAAGAACCUGGGACCAAGAGGUUUGCUCAUCUGCAUAAUUAAAUAGUACUGUUACUGUAAACUACUAGGAAAUUCAUGCGUAGAGCCAAAAUGUUAACAAUAGCACAACGACCCAGGCAAUUUAUUUGCUGAAAUUCCUUUAACCUCCUUGAAGGCAAUCAAGAUUUUAAAUUAAAAAGCCAAAAAUGAACGCAUCUACUCUUGCAAGAAUGGACUCAAAAGGUCAGCUAAUCCGCAUAAUUAAAUAGUACUGUUACUGUAAACUACUAGGAAAUUCAUGCGUAGAGCCAAAAUGUUAACAAUAGCAUUGAUUCGGUCAGGGGCUCUGGUGUAUAGAGAGGACCUUGCCGUUAGAAACUAUGAACCCACUAUUUAUUAAUCCAUUUCUAUUUAGUACUAUUUACUAUUUAUUUAUUUUUAUUUACUAUAUUUCUGUAUGUGAUACCUAAGUACCAAUAAAAUUUGAGAUUCCUUCAAUUUUUUAGGUGCAUGUACAAAAUCAAUUCAAGAGUGUGUAUCCUUAACUAUAUAUCAGGCUAACCUUUACAGGCUGAGCUAGCAAUCGAUAAUUAAUUUUUAAUGAAUUCAUUUUUUAUUUAAAAUAAGGAAAAGGACAUUGUUACACCUUAACUAUUAUAAUUGUUACACCUUACCAAAGGGUUAAUUUAGAAAAAAAUUAUCAACUUACAGGUCACUGGCCGAGGUCAACUUAUGAUUAAGUAGAUCAAUUUAAAUUAAUUAUUUUUAUUAAAAUGAUAAUGUUUUGUUUUUUUUUUUCUUGAUAUUAAUUUGGCUAAUUUUUAUCAAAUCAAAUCACUAAAAACUUAAUCAAAUUAAAUUUCAUCAAAUCAAUAAUAUUUGAUGUAGUUGAAUUUUAUAUAUAUAUAUAAAUAUUUGAAAAUAAUUUAAAAAUGAUGUUUUCAUUAAUACCCAUUCUCAAUGUUUUUUUUGCCUUAUUUAGCUUUUUUUUCAAUUAGUUUUAAUUUUAUUAGCUUGGUUUAGUUUUUUAAGAGGUUAAUAUGAUUUAUUUGUAAUUUGUUUUAUAUAUUUCAGAUAUAUUAAGUAUUUUUUUUAUGUGUGUGUCAAUUUCUUUUAUAUAUUUAUUUUAGUAAAUAAAUUUAUUAAAUAUAACCAGAGAAAUGACUUUUUUAAUCUAUAUUUGUUUCUUAAUUUCUUAAUUUUUCCACCUGCUUUUUUAACUAUUGAUAAUGACUUUUUAUUAUUAUUAUUAUUCACACAAUAUAGUGCUGACACCCGCAGGUUGAGACUUGAGUAAACGAAAAUGAAAUAUUUUGGGUGUCUAUCUCCUAGUUAUGGUAUUAUUAAUAUUUGAGGGUUUUGAUUUGGAAUAAUUAGUGAAGAUUUAAUUAGAACUUAGCCAUGUACUUUAUUAAAAUUAAUUAUUUAGUCCUUAAAGUGUCAUGGAUAAUUAAAAAGUCUAUUAACUAGUGUUGACCACCCUCCAUUUACUAUGUUUUUCUCUAAAAAAUGCCUUCCUUCCUAAUGAAAUUUCCGCAACUGCAUCAGAUGUUUAUUCCCGUUCAAAUGCUCGCAACAGGGAAAGCAUAUGAUAAAGAGAAUGGAACAAGAUUCUUGUCUAUGGAGGGAAUCAAUGCUUCAACUUGCCUUGUGAUUUGCUUUAAUAAGAUUUUUUUUUAUAUAAAAAACAACUUUUAAAUUAUAAUUAAAAGUAAAAUAUCAUAAAUUUAUUUUAUAUUAAAAACCGAAUUCAUUAAACAUAACCAGGGUUGUUUAUUUUUUGUAAUGACUUUGUUUUUUAUUUAUUUAUAUAAUAAUUCAUGAUUUAUUUAAUUCGAUGCGUGCAUAAGUUUUUUAAUUUAUAUUUAGAAUUUUUCUUAAUGUAAAAAAAACAUGUUCAUAAAUUUUUAUUUUUAUGAUUUCAGUUUGAUUCUUAUUUUUAUGAUUUUUUAUGUUUUUUCCUUAUCCUUUUAUAAAAGUUUUUUUGUUUAUAAUUUCACCCUUCAAUUCAAUAUGAUGGAGUAAUUUUUUUUUUCAUUUUUUGCUUUAUAUUGUUGCCUCUCUCCUUUUGGGAAUAUUGUUGCCUCUCUCCUUUUUUUUUUUUUUUUUUCAUUUUAUCAGCUUUUGCAUGUGGAAUAUUGAGUCUUCUAUUUUUUAUCCACAGAAUUGAAUCCUUUAUAUAUUCUUAAAACUAGAUUUGAAUUCUAAUGAAGGAAUAAUAAAGAUUGUUGCAUGUACAAAUUCUCCUUCAAAAAAAUAUAAUAAAGUAUCAUGGAUUUAAGUAUAACUUAGCCCUGUAAUUUAUUAAAAUUAAUUAUUUAGUACGUCCUUAAAGUAUCAUGGAUAAUUAAAAAGUCUAUUAACUAGUGUUGACCACCCUCCAUUAAUUAUAUUUUUCUCUAAAAAAUGCCUUCCUUCCUAAUGAAAUUUCUCCAACUGCGUACUUUUCUUUUCCUUAUUCUAAUUUUUAAGAAAGAAGAAAAAACAUAUUAAUUGGAAAAGAACUAAACAAUAUGUAACUUUAAAAAUAUAAGAAUUAAACAUAUAGUUAUUGAAACUAUGGGAUUAAUUAAUUAUUGUUAUCAAAUUAUAGAGAAUAAAUUAUAAUUGAAUAAGUGUUUGUGUGGAGGAGUGUUUGCAAAUACCAUGGGAGAUGCGAUUUGUAUUAUUAAUUUAGUUGUUGGUAUAAUAGUCCAAAUAUUGUGACGACCAUUUUAUAGAAAUGAGCACAAUGUUUUUAGAAUAUUUAUAAAAAUUGACUUAAACCAAUCAAAAAAAUGAUUUUUGAGUUUGUUAAACAAUUUUAAUAAAAAUAAUAAAAAUAUAAAAUAGAAUUGAAUUGGUUGGAUAUGACCCAAACUAAAUUAAAUAAAAAAACUUAACCAAGCUAUAUUUCAAUGAUCUUGGUAUGGAUUUGUUUUUAUAAAAAAAACAUGUUCAUCCUUUUUUAAACUUCUUGUGGCCUGUUCAUUCAUACUUUAUUAAUAUUUAAAUUAUUUUUUUAUAUUUUUUAAAUUUGUUUUAAUGUUAUGAUAUUUUUUAAUUUUGUUUUGAUUGAUACAUAAAAAUAUUGUUUUUAUUGAUUAAAUUUUAUUUGGAAUUAUUGUUGAUAUUACAAAGACUUAUUUAUUCCUAUUCAGUUGAUAAUGACUACUUAGAUUUUGUAAAAAGAGUUACUUUCUUUAAUAGCCAAUUGAAUGAUUUUUUAUGAGAAAAAUAAAACAUCUUUUGAUGUGAAAAAAAGACACCAUGCACCGUCGUGUGAUACGAUGCUUUUUUUCUUGUGGCAUGUUUUUGAUGCUUUUGAUACGAUGUUCUUCCAGGAAUUUUUUAUCUUUUUAUUAGGCGGUCUAAGAUGCACAGUCGUGUGUGUGUCUAUAUAUAUAUAUAUAUAUAUAUAUAUAUAUGUAUGUAUAUAUAUAUAUAAGUCAUCGAUGCAUGUUUUUAUUUGGUAUUCAAUUCAAUUUCAUAAACAUUACUUUACUCUCUAAUUAAAUUGCUGCAACUAUAUAUAUUAUACCCUUAACCAGACUAUUAGUUUACCAUUCCUGACUAGCUAUCGUAUCCUUUUGGCAAGAAUCAUUGCCAAUUACUUUAUUCGUAGUAUGUAAGAGUCAUUAUCCAACCAUUUUCAAUUCCAUUUCAAAUCACUUUCUUUGAUAAAUUAGUUUAUAAAAUAUUUUUACAAAAACUCCAUACCAUACAUCUAAACAUCACAUAUGUUCAAAUUAAUUUGAACAUAGCAAGUGUUAUAUCUUCUUUUAAAGAUUGUAAAGGACAAAUAUACAAUUACAUUUUCCUUUUUGGGUCUCAAUUACAUUUGCAUUUACAUAUUGUUCACCUAGUAAUUUCUUUUAUAAAAUUUAUAAUAAACUCAAAAAAAUAAAUAGUACGAGAAACAAAGUUGAUAGACCCAACCGAGAACAUGCUCACGAGUUUAAAUAUCUUAAUUUUAGUUUGUAGAACAUAAAGAGAAAUAGAAUUGAUCCAUUAUUUUGUUUGCAGAACAUAAAUGAGAAAGCAACGUCAAUAUAUAAACUUAAUUAAUAAAUAUAUAGUUGGUUUUGUUUUACAAUAAAGAAUUAUUUUGUUCUAUAAAAGAGUAAUUGAAUUUUAUAAAUAAAAACACGAAAUUAUUUAUUUCCAUGCAAGAUGAAGUCAAGAUUCACCACUUAUUUGUGUGAGGCAAAAUAAUAAUAAUAAUAAUAUUAUUAUUAUUAUUAUUGUUAUUGUUAUUGAAUAAGAUGAAGUCAAGAUUCACCACUUAUUUCCAUGCAAGAUGAAGUCAAAUUUCAAAGUUCCCUUUACAAAUCGGUUGGAUAUGGCCCAAACUAUAUUAUACCCUUAACCAGACUAUUAGUUUACCAUUCCUGACUAGCUAUUGUAUCCUUUUGGCAAGAAUCAUUGCCAAUUACUUUAUUCGUAGUAUGUAAGAGUCAUUAUCCAACCAUUUGGUAUUCAAUUUCACGUUCUUUGAUAAAUUAGUUUAUAAAAUAUUUUUACAAAAACUCCAUACCAUACAUCUAAACAUCACAUAUGUUCAAAUUAAUUUGAACAUAGAUAGCAAGUGUUAUAUCUUCUUUUAAAGAUUGUAAAUGACAAAUAUACAAUUACAUUUUCCUUUUUGGGUCUCAAUUACAUUUGCAUUUUCAUAUUGUUCACCUAGUAAUUUAUUUUAUAAAAUUUAUAAUAAACUCAAAAAAAUAAAUAGUACGAGAAACAAAAACAAGAAACAAAAUUGAUAGACACAACCGAGAACAUGCUCACAAGUUUAAAUAUCUUAAUUUUAGUUUGCAGAACAUAAAGAGAAAUAGAAUUGAAUAUGAUGAUGAUGAUUUCUUUUUUCAUUUUCAGGAGACCUAUAAUAGCCGGUUGAGGGAGAGAUAUGGGGACGAUCCUUUGACCCUCCGGAUUUCGAUCCGGAUUUGUGGAUGGAGGUCGGAUCGUUCGGUGGACUCGAUAAAAAUCGGCUGUACGGGCUCUCCAACACUACGACCGAGAACUUGCGGUCGGCCCGUAGUGUCUCAACUGUUGGGAGCUCCAAAUCAGUAUCGAGCACCCAAUCUGAGGAUAUCAUGACCUUGAAACAACACACAGCUAAUCUCACCGAGAAAUACGAGCAACUCUUGGCAAAUUAUGAUCAACUCCGCCAAAUUGUCAUGAACAUGACUUCACAGAGUGGUGCUACAUGUCCGCCCCCUUUUUGGCCGUAUAACAACCAGCCUCCUCCUCCUCCUCCUCCAACUCCGCCAUUGUGCUAAUUUAAUAUUUUUUUGAAACACAUUCAAUUUGUAAUGAAUAUUAUUUAACACUAUUUUUUUGUUCUUAAUGUUUAAUAAAAUUUUAUUUGCAUAAUUGGUUUUUUUACUAUUAAUUUAUAUAAUUUUAUGUUAUUUAUUCUAAAUCAUUUUUAAUUUUUUUAAAAUACCCACCGAGGGAUUUACCGACGGAAUGUAUCACCGACGAAUUUACAGACGGAUAACGUUCGUCGGCCUUUCACCGAUAGCUAAAAAAUAUUUACUAUAUAUGCCACUAUCACCGACGGAAUAAAUUCGUUGGUAAGGUUCCAGCGGGAAGUUUUUUUUUUGGCGUGCAAUUUCCGUUUGUAAAACCAUCGAUAAUAUUUUUUUUACCGACAACCUUAGCGACGGAAUGCGGUAUUACCGACAAACAUUAUGCCGACGGACGUUUUUCGUUGGCGAUUUAGUCGGUAAAAAAAUUACUGACAAACUCUGAAUCUCAUACCGACGGAAUAUGUCCGUCGGUAAAACUGUGAAAUCUUGUAGUGAUUUAGAUUUGGGUUGGUUUUUUAUUUUUAAAUCAAUUAAAUGUUUAUUUAAGAUCAUGAAUGGACUUAUUGAGGUACCUUUUACCUAUAGCUCACUUUGAUACCCCCUCCGAUAUAUCUAACUCUUCAAUAAAGGAGCAAUUUUUCAUUACAUUCAGCACAAUAUUUAUUUCUCUAACAUGUAUGAAGAUGGCACGAGUUAAAAUGAUUGUGUAAAUUAAUUUACAAUAACGAGGCCUUCGUAUAUAGUAAUUUAUCCCAGACAAGAUGACUAAAGUACUCAAAAGAUUCAAGUAGACGUUGUUUUAACACCUUGAAGGAUUCUGAAAUUCUGCCUUGCUCGAACGCGCACAAAAUUUGCCUUUUCUUUUAUUCCUAAUCGGAUUCGUAUGCAUGCAAAAUUAAAUCACCUUGAAAACUCUUAAUCUCUAUCUCGGCUUUUAAAUAUAUAAUUUAUAGCCAUUGUAAAUUCACAAAAAAAUAUUGAUUUUUUUUUUAAUCUCUUGGGUUAUAAUAACCAUAUCUAUCCGGUGUUGUUUAUUGAAAUAUUUUUCAGUUAUUUUGGAUGAGUAUAAAAUGAAUUCAUAGUUUUUGAACUACAAAACCUAAGUUUUAUCUUGCAAACACCCCCAAAAACUUUUAGUAUUCUCAAAAACUCAAUUUUCAAUCAUAAAAUACCUUCUAAUUAGCCUAAAUGUGAAAAUCAAACCUAAUAAAAAAAAUUAUGGGUCUAAUAUACUUUUUCUAGCACGGUUAAAUGACAAGAUCAUUUUAAUCGAACUUCUUUUUUCAAGAUGAAUCUAUUAAUAUUAAAAUCGGAUUUUUUAGAUCAAAAUAUAAUCAGUCAAAUCCUUUUUUUUCUCCAUUUUCUGACCACAUUCUCUCCCUCCUCUCAAUAUUCAAUAACUUAAAAUAUAAUAAAAAUGAAUUUUUAAGAUUGAAUCAUAAAAAUUUAAAGCUAUAGAAUUAAAUAAAUCUGAAAAACAAAAACUUCAAGAACCAUAUUAAAUUUUUCUGCAACUUCUAAAAGGAUUGCAUUAUAGGAGAAUAGUUUAAUGCAUGAUAACUUGAGUCUUGCUACACAAUAAAAUUUGUUACAGUAAGAAUAACAAAUGUUUUAAUUUAGAAUAUAACUAGUUAGGUGCUCACACUACAUCGCGGGUUCACAUUUUAUUUUCAUAAAAAAUAUCAUAAAAAUUUAUAAUACAAAUAAUAAUAUUUUUUCAAUAUUAAUAAUCAUAUUUUUUCAAAUUUAUUAAUAAUAUUUAUAACACAAAUAAUAAUUUUUUUAUUAUAAUUGUAUUAAUUAUAAUAAAAAUAAAAUAUUUAUAACAUAAAUGAUAAUAUUUUUAAUAGUAAUACUAUUAAUUAUAAUAAAAAUAAUAAUAUUUAUAGCACAAAUGACACUAUUUUUAAUAUUAAUACUUUAAAUUAUAAAAAAUAUAUAUAUUUAAAAUACAAAUAAUUAUAUUUAGAAACCUAAAACCUAAGAACCUUGGGUUUUGAUAAAGGAUCCAAUAGAAUUAGGUUCUGACGCAAGACCCUUUAAGCUUGGGUCUUGAUACGGGACUCAAGACAAUCGGGUCCUGACACAGGACCCGAUUCGAAAGGUAAAAAUAUAAAUUAUUGUUCUUAUUAUCAUUAUUAUCAAUAAUAAAUUUGACAUAAAAUAUUAUUACCACCAAAGAAAAACUAUAUAGUUGAUUUGAAGGAUAAAAUUAAUAUUAAUAAUAAUAAUAAUAAUAAUAAUUAUUAUUAUUAUUAUUAUUAUUAUUAUUAUUAUUAUUAUAUGUGCUAUAGAUAUUAUUAUUUUUAUUAUAAUUGAAGGUAUUAAUAUUAAAAAUAAUAUUAUUUGUGUUAUAAGUAUUAAUAUUUCUAUUAUAGUUCAAAGUAUUAUUAUUUAUGGUAAAAAUAUUAUUAUUUUUAUUAUCAUUGAAGGUAUUAAUAUUAAAAACAGUAUUAUUUAUGGUAUAAAUAUUAUUAUUUAACUUGUCUGCCUAAAUGUUUAUAUUUUUGAGUCUUUAAAAAACAAUUGUGGUUUUUCUUCGAUAGUAAUAAUAGUUUUUUUUAAUUUAUUGAUGAUGAUGAUGAUGAUAAUUUUUAAUUUUACCUUUCAAAAUAAAAUUUAUGGUUGUUUUUCAAUAUUACUAAUAUUUGUUUUUCAAAUUUAUUUAUUAUUUUAUUAAUAAUAUUAAUUAUAAUUAAAAUAAUAAUAUUUAUAAGACAAAUAAUAAUAUUUUUAUUAUAAUAAAAAUAAUAAUAUUUAUAACACAAAUGAUAAUAUUUGUAAAUUCACAAAACAAUAUUGAUUUUUUUUUAAUCUCUAGGGUUAUAAUAACAAUAUCUAUCCGGUGUUGUUUAUUGAAAUAUUUUUCAGUUAUUUUGGAUGAGUAUAAAAUCAAGUCAUAGUUUUUGAACUACAAAACCUAAGUUUUAUCUUGCCCCAAAAACUUUUAGUAUUCUCAAAAACUCAAUUUUCAAUCAUAAAACACAUUCUAAUUAGUCUGAAAGGUGAAAAUCAAACUUAAUAAAAAAAAUUAUAAGUCUAAUAUACUUUUUUUAGCAUGGUUAAAUGACAAGAUUAUUUUCAUCGAACUUCUAUUUUCAAGACGAAUAUUAAUAUUAAAAUCAGUUUUUUUAGAAGGGAAUAUGAUUAGUCAAAUCCUUUUUUUUUCUUCAUUUUCUGACCACAUUCUCUCUCUCCUCUCAAUAUUCAAUAACUAAAAAUAUAAUAAAAAUAAAGUUUUAAGAUUGAAUCAUAAAAAUUUAUAGGAUUAAAUAAAUCUGAAAAACAAAAACUUCAAGGACCAUAUUAAAUUUUUCUGCAUCUUCUUAAAGGAUUGCAUUAUAGGAGAAAAGUUUAAUGCAUGAUAACUUGAGUCUUGCUACACAAUAAAAUUUGUUACAGUAAGAAUAACAAAUGUUUUAAUUUAGAAUAUAAAUAGUGGGUUCACUUUUUUAUAUAUAUAUAAAACAUAUCAUACAAAUAAUAAUAUUUUUUCAAUAUUAAUAAUAAUAUUUUUUCAAUAUUAAUAAUAAUAUUUUUUCAAAUUUAGUAAUUAUUUUAUUAAUAAUAUUUAUAACACAAUUGAUAAUAUUUUUAAUAUUACUACUAUUAAUUAUAAUAAAAAUAAUUAUAUUUAUAGCACAAAUGACACUAUUUUUAAUAUUAAUACUUUAAAUUAUAAUAAAAAUAAUUAUAUUUAAAAUACAAAUAAUUAUAUUUAGAAACCUAAAACCCAAGAACCUUGGGUCUUGAUGAAGGACCCAAUAGAAUUGGGUUCUGACGCAAGACCCUUUAAGCUUGGGUCCUGAUACUAGACUUAAGACAAUCGGGUCCUGACGCAGGAACCAAUUCAAAAACGGAUAAUUCCAACUCUGGCGUUGGUAACUAUUACGUAGCUAUAAAAUAAAUUUAGAUCAAUAUUUUUUUAUUCCUAACUUUAAAGCUAUUGAAUAAAAAAAUAAACUAAAUUCAUCUUAUUACGCAUUCACAUAUUUUUUAUUUCUUAUGUAGUUAAAUAAAAAAACAAAAAAAACAAUUAAAUCAGUGUUUUUAUUCAUGACUCUAGCGUCAGUGAAUAAACAAAAAAAAUAUUAUUUUUUCAUACAUGCACAUAUUUUUUUUUGCUAAAUAAAAUAAAAUAUAACGAAUAAAAAUAAUAUAAAUUUAAACCAGUAUUUUAUUCCCGACUCUGGCGUUGGUAAAUAAAUCAGUAAAUUUAUAUUAUUUUUAUUCAUGAAUACACAUAUUUUUUUAUUUUUUUAUUUUUUAUUUUUUUGGGGCUGGGCCCAGCUCAGCCCACAUGGGCUGGGCUAGCCCAGCCGGCCCAGCCCGGUCACUGGCCCAAGCCAGUGACCCGGCUGGGUCACAGCACGCAUGAACUAGUUUCAUGCGUGCAUGGCGCUGCGCGAAGGUAAUUAAUUACCUUCGCACACUGCUAAAUGCACUGAACUUUCGAAAGUUAAAAAACGAAGAAAACAGAGGAAGCUUACCUUGUUGCAGGUUGCUUCGCCGGAGUGUCAGCGUGUCGGGCGACGAUCAGUGGUGGCGUCCGUCAACAGUAAGCUAUAAUUCCUCCUUCGACCUCUGCCUUACUGCCCUCUGUUUCCUCUGCCCUCGUCUGAAAAAUUAUUCAUGUGCUCUGUUUUUCAAAUUCUCUCUACUCUCUCUCGGUUUGUUUCUGUUUUCGUUGUUUUAAGGCCGGUAUUGGUGAGGGAAAGGUUCACUUCUGGUAUGGGGUUCUAAAAAAAACUUAAAAAUUCGGCUGGUAUCUUUGUGUUUCUCUCUUGGGGUUUCGUUCGUCCCUCUCUCUCUCUAGCCAACCCCUGUUCUUCGGUGCUCCUCGGUUUAUAUAGAGCUCGGGCGGUAGGCUGAGGGUCGACCACCAUUAAGGCGCCCCUAACUGAAGCCAACGGACGACGAUUACUGCUGCAACGUUCUCCCUCCUUUACUGUAGAAAACGGUCACUGGCUUAAAGGAGAAGAAGAUGAACAGCGUCUUCAAAACGACGCCGUUUGGGAUAUGAGAUGGCCAUUUGCGUUUUGACCCGUGAAGUUUCGCAACUUUUAUAAUUAAGCCCCUGGUUUAAACUGUAAUUUCUCCUGCAUUUCGGCGCCUUUUACAAGUUAGUCCUUGGACUUUAAUCUGUUGCAAUCGUGCCCUAAUUAACCCCAAACUUUGCUAUUUCUUCAAUUAAGUCCCUAAGUUCAUUAAUUUAAUUCAAUCCAAGUCCAAUUAAGUCUCAAAACUUAUCAAUUAUCCAAUUAAGCCCCUGAUUGGAUUAAUUAAAUUAAUUCCAAGAUUAAAUAAGUCUCAAAACGUAUCAAUUUUCCAAUUAAACCCUUGAUUGGAUGAAUUAAAUUAAUUUCAAGCUUACUUAAGUCUCAAAACUUAUCAAUUCUUCAAUUAAAUCCUUGAUUGGAUUUAAUUAAAUUAAUUCCAAGUUUAAUUAAGUCUUAAAACUUAUCAAUUCUCUAAUUAAACCCUUGAUUUGAUUAAUUAAACAAGUAAAAAAUUUAAUUUAAAUCUUUAAACUUCCAAUCAUGUUACCCUUAACCCAAAUUUUAAUUCAUUCUUCAUUUAUUUCAUUUUUAUUAUUUAUUUUUCAUCAUCAUUAUUAUAUUUUUUUUCAUUAUUUUUCUUUUUAUCAUUUUCCAGUAAAUAAAAUAAUAAUAAUAAUUAAAAUAAAAUGGUCAAAAAUUGGGUUAUGACAACAUCUAUGGAAAUUCAAUCAUUUAAAAAAAUUCGGCAGCACCUCCCCUGUACUGAAGACUACCCACAAUUUAUAAACCUGCAAUCUUUACAAUAACCACAAUCCAAUUGACUCCAGCAACAUAAUAUAUACAACCUAACAUCUAUGAAAAUUCAAUCAUUUAAAAAAAUUCGACAGCACCUCCUAUAUAUUAGAGACUAUCUACAGUUUUCAUACCUACAAAUAUUAAUAAUUACACAAAUAUUGCAAAAUCAACUCUAUACAACCUAACAUAUAUAUACAACCUAACAUCUAUAGAAAUUCAACAUCUAUAUUUUUUCAACUAACAUCAAUAGAAAUUCAUAAAUAACAAUUAAAAUUAAUCAAAAUAAUAAACAACAUAACAAACAAUAAUAUCCUAAAAUUAAGAUAAACUAAUUAAACUUAAUUCUAUAUUUCAAUUAACAUUUUAAAUAUAAAUUCAACAACAAUAAUUAUUGCAAAACAAACAAUAAUAUCCUAAAAUUAAGAUAAACUAAUUAAAUUUAAUUCUAUAUUUCAAUUAAUAUUUUAAACAUAAAUUCAAUAACAACAAUUAUUGCAAAACAAACAAUAAUAUCCUAAAAUUAAGAUAAACUAAUUAAAUUUAAUUCUAUAUUUCAAUUAACAUUUUAAACAUAAAUUCUUAAAAUCUAUUGUUUUUUUUCAAUAUUAAUAAUAUUUUUUUUUCAAAUUUAUUUAUUAUUUUAUUAAUAAUAUUAAUUAUAAUUAAAAUAAUAAUAUUUAUAAGACAAAUAAUAAUAUUUUUAUUAUAAUAAAAAUAAUAAUAUUUAUAACACAAAUUAUAAUAUUUUUAAUAUUAAUACCUACAAUAAUAAUAAAAUAAUAAUAUUUAUAAGACAAAUUAUAUUAUUUUUCAUAUUAAUACUUUUAAUUAUAAUAAAAAUAAUAAUAUUUAAAAUACAAAUAAUUAUAUUUAGAAAGCUAAGACCCAAGAAGGAUCCAAUAGAAUUGGGUCCUGACGCAAGACCUAUUAAGUUUGGGUCCUGACGCCGGACCUAAGACAAUCGGGUUCUGAUGCUGGAUUCAAGAGAAUUUGGUCCUGACGCAUGACCCAUUACCCUUAGGUCCUAACACAGGACCCAAGCGAAUUGGGUCCUGACGCAGGACCCAUUAGAGUUGGGGUCCUAGGGCAGGAUUUAAGAGCAUUGAGUUCUAACGCAAACCAAUUACCAUUGGAUCCUAGUGCACGACCCAAGUGAAUUGUGUCCUGAGACAGGACCUAUUAGACUUGGACCCUUAGGCAGGAGCCAAGAGCAUUGGGUCCUGGCGCAUUUGAAAUAAAAUAUUAUUACCACCAAAGAAAAACCAUAUAGUUGAUUUGAAGGAUAAAAUUAAAAAUUAAAAUAGUAUUAUUUGUGUUAUAAAUAUUAAUAUUUUUAUUAUAGUUCAAAGUAUUAAUAUAAAAAAUAUUAUUAUUUGUGUUACGAAGAUUAUUAUUUUUAUUAUCAUUGAAAGUAUUAAUAUUAAAAAUAAUAUUAUUUGUGGUAUGAAUAUUAUUAUUUGCGGUACAAAUAUUUUUAUUUUUAUUAUAAUUGAAAGUAUUAAUAUUCAAAAUAGUAUUAUUUGUGUUCUAAAUAUUAUUAUUUUUAUUAUAAUUCAAAGUAUUAAUAUAAAAAAUGCUCUUAUUUGGGGUAUAAAUAUUAUUAUUUUUAUUAUAAUUGAACUAAUAAUAUUUAGAAUAUAAAUUAUAAUAUGUUUGAUAUUAAUACUUUCAACUAUAAUAAAAAUAAUAAUAUUUAUACCCCAAAUAAUUAUAUUUAGAAACUUAAGACCCAAUAACCUAGGGUCUUGAUGCAGAACCCAUCAGCCUUGGAUCCCGACGCCGGACCACAGAGCAUUGGUCCUGUUGCAGGAUCUAAGAGUACUGGGUCUGGACGCAGGACCCAAGAGAACUGGUCCUGAUGCAGGACCCAUGAGCCUUAGGUCCCGACGCCGGACCACAGAGCACUGGUCCUGUUGCAGGAUCCAAGAGUACUGGGUCCGGACGCAGGACCCAAGAGAACUGGUCCUGAUGCAGGACCCAUGAGCCUUGGGUCUUGACGGGGACCCAAGAGAAUUGGAUCCUGACGCUGGACCCAUGAGCUUUGGGUCUCACUAGGGUUCGCGCUGACCCAGCACACAAGCAGGGAAGCCCGAGCGUAAGGUGUCCCCAUGUGGCGCGCGGGUCUGGCUCAGCGCCUAGGGCUUGCCAGCCCUAGCGCCAGGUGUUCGCAUCCCAAGGCUUGUAGCCCCACCAAAACUGGAACUGACCAUUUUCUCCCCAACCAUCCCUUCAAUGCCAAAUAUAUCCCAGUGAGAAGACAACCCCACCCCUCCCCUGCUGUCCUUGCAAAUCUAUGUGGCAAGGGCAACUUUGUCAUUACACUACUUUAAUCCACAAUAUUUUGUAUCUAGAUAAAUAGUAACAAGGGCACUGAACCUUUUUAGUAUAACAAGGAGAUUUCAAGAAGUAGUUAAAUUUAGGUUAUAUUAGAUACGACUUUUGUAAAUUGAUUUAAUUUAUUUUUUACUUUUGAUUUUAAUUUAUUUUGAAGUAUGUUAGUUAGAAUAGCUACCAGAUUAGGCAUGUAACUUAUGAAAGGGUUUGCAAGCAGAAAACAAUUAGAAAUCAGAGGAAGAUUUAGAGGAUAUAAUAUUUAGGAUCUCUAGCAAAAGCCAGCAAGGUAUCUGCUCGAAAAAACCAUUCAACAUGAGAUUGCUCUGCUAGGAAAACAUGAUAUCAGUAUCAAACUUUUGAACAAUUAGUACAGCAUCAAGUCUCAGUCAUCUUGAAAUAUAUCGACAUCAGCAUACAAAAACAUUUAUUCUGCAUUGCCAGGCCCAUUUCCAAAACCACAUAAGCAUAUGCAAUAGAAACAGAGCAUCAAACUGACAGAGAAAACAUAGUGAUGCAGCAAAUACCCAAGUCGUAGAGCCAUUAAUUUGAGCAGAAAGGAGAAUGAAAGUCCACACAUUCUUCUUCUUUCCACCCAUUAUCUCGGGUCCACUCUCUAUUAGUGCUUGAAUCCUCAGCUACUUCAGAUACCUGUAAACCAAUUCAAGCAUGGCAUACAUAUUUUAACUUCUAAAUCUUAUUAUUGAGCGAAACAAGAAACAAACACACAAAAAGAGAAGCAACAAAUCAAGACAACUCAGCAGCACCUCUGAUUGAGCUCUUAUUGAACCAUUUGGUGUAGUAGCAAAUUUUGUGAUCAGCUUUGGGCAUUCAAACACCUUCAACUUCUCUAAAUGAGGGAAUAAGAAAUCAUAACAUCCGAGACUGAAGCAUACAAUACUUGAUAAUUGUUCUAGCAACAGCACCUGCAGAUUCGGGAGCUCCAUCACCUUCUCAACAUUGACAGGUAAAGCAUUCUCUUCCUGUCCAAAUACUCCCAAUAAUUGAGAAGCUUCUCUUACUUUCAGUAUUUGGAGAUUUGGGAGACCUGAAGCCAUGCCUACUGGGAAGAGACAUUUCAACUUGUUGCAUUUUCUGACAUCAAUUUCACAUAAAUUGGGGAAGCAUAAAGAUUGAAGAUGAUCUCCUGGCACUAUCUGAUCCUUUCCAUCAUCAUUAUCCCUAGCAAUGAUUUGCUCUAAUUCCUCACAACUUUCUAUGUUUAGAAAAUUCAGUUGAACUAGACUAGCAAUCAUGCUGUCUGAGAAUACAUGUGUUAGUCUCUUACACUCAUACACCACCAAAGUAGUCAAAUUGCUCAGCACGAGACCCUUCCACAAACACCUCAUGUCAGGCACAAGCAGGGAGCCCAAGCGCAAUGUUUUCAAACUUGUUAACUCCUACAUCAAAAGACAACAAUGGCACUAAUUUGUUAGAUAUAAUUCCUAGUAUGUUUUGGUAAAUAGAUGAAUCAGUUAUCAACAAAAGGAUACAAGUAGACAUGGCAAAAGGGCAUUGGAAUAUGAAAUCAUAAGUUGCAAGACUGAAAUAGACAACUCAAUAUUAGCAAAUGGAGGUUUAUCGUCCUAUCCAAAUACUUUCAUUAAUUGGGGGAAGAGCCUCAAUUUCACUCAAACUGGGAAAGCAUAAAUCAAGGUAGGAUUUCAUUACAAUAAUUAAUUUCUUACUUCUUAAGCCCUGCGUCAAGAGACAGGGAAUGAUACAGUUAGACAACUCCUUUUAAAUUUAGUGGAUGGCUAAAGGAUUUAUCUCCACUUAUAAAUUACUUCAGUUUUAGAAAUUUGGAGGAAGAAACACAGUGUAUUGAAGUUGACAAUUUAAAAUAAAAAGCAAAAAAAUUAUUGGAGAAAUAUAAAGGACGCACUUGAAGCUUUGCCAACAAAUUACCCAAUUCUUCAUGGCCAUCAAUGAUUAGACAUUGCAAAGAAGGCAAUUGGGCAGCAAAAUUCUUAGGGCCAAAAAAGCUGAAAUUUGAUCUGGAAGAAAGAGACAAUUUUCUUAGUCGAGGGAACUUGAUGAUGCCAUCUGUGGUGAGUGCAUCUCCUUCUCCACUGUAAAAUAUUUGCUUUAAAUUAUGAGCAUAAAAAAUCCCCAUCUCUUCCAGGUUCAGAAGACUCGGAGACACAGAGACAGGGAAGACAUAUUCCAGUUUACCACACUCUUCUAUGAAGAUAGUUUUUAAUCUUGGGAAGCGAAGAGACUCUGAAAUUAUUUCCCUUUCAUCAUCCUUUUCUCUGAUAAUAUGCUUCAAUUCACCGCAAUAUCAUAUGUCAAGGGUUGCUAGCUUUGGCAGACUUUGAGCCAGGGAUGGUGUGAAGAUAAAUGUCAGUUUGUCGAGAGAAUUCAAAUUCAGAUGAACAAGAUUUUGGAGGCUGACAUGCCUAGUAGCCCCUUCCAUAUACAUCUGAGCUCAGGUAAGUCGAUCAGCAGUAACGUUGUUAAAGAUGACAGUAGCGACAGCUCCUUCUCCUCAUUGCUUUCUUCAUCCACCUCACCCAAUUCAAAUACCUCUUCCAAUGAUUUACAGCUCUCAAUAUCCACACUACUUAGAUUUUUCAAAGCUUGCAGCAAUUUUGCUGGAAAAGGAGUGCGAACAUCCCCACAAUCGUUCACUUCUACAAAUCUUAAUCUUUGUAAGAAGCCCUUUUGCUGUAUAAAUAUUAUAUUUUUUAAACCCUUCACUCUCAUAAAAACAAUUUAUAUGAUGCAUAAAUAGGAAAAAAAUUUUAUAAAGUACGUACUUGUAGCUGUGCCAACCAAUUACCCAAUUCUUUGCGGCCAUGAAUGGUUAGUUUUUGCAAAGAAGGCAAUUGGACAGCAAAAUUCCGUGGACCUAAAAAGCUGUAAUUUGAUCCGAGCCGAAGAGACAAUUCUUUUAGUUGAGGGAACUUGAUGAUGUCAUCUCUGGUAAGUGCAUCUCCUUCUCCACCGUAAAAUAUUUGCUUUAAAUUGUCAGCAUAAUAAAUCGUCAUCUGUUCCAGGUUCGGAAGACUUGGAGACACAGAGACUGGGAAGACAUAUUCCAGUUUACCACAUCCUGAUACAAGGAGAGUUUUUAAUUUUGGGAAGCCUGGAGACUCUGGAAUUAUCUCCCUUUCACCAUCCUGUUCUCUGAUAAUAUGCUUCAAUUCACCGCAUUUUUCUAUCUCAAGUGUUUCUAGCUGUGGUAGACUUUGAGCGAGGGACGGUGUGAAGAUAAAUGUCAGUUUGUCGAGAGACCAAACCUUCAGAUGAGCAAGACUUUGGAGGCUGACAUGUCUGGUGGCCCCCUUCCAUAUGCAUUUGAGCUCAGGUAACCCUUGCAGCUCUAACAUUGUUAAAGAUGAUAGCAGCGGCAUCUCUUUCUCCUCAUUGCUUUCUUCAUCAACCUCACCCAAUUCAAAUACCUCUUCCAAUGAUUUGCAGCUGUCAAUAAUCACCUUCUUUAGAUGUUUCAAAGCUUGCCGCAAUUUUGCUGGAAACAGAGUGCAAAUAUCCCCACAACGCUGCACUUGUACGAAUUCUAAUCUCUGUAAGAAGCCCUUUUGGAGCUCAUGGCCAUGGUUGGUCAUGUGAUCAGAGUGCAAUUCUAUAUUUUUUAAACCCUCUAAACUCGUAAAAAUAAUUUGGGACACCGUAGGAAACAACAGCUCAAAUGUCAUCACAUUUAAGGAUGUGGCGCUUGUACCAGCCAAAUUUAAUCUUGUCGAGGUUGGGUAUCCUCCUGCAUCAAACCGAUUCCCUAAUACUAUAUCAUAUUUGUGCAAGCUAGGAAAAACAAAAUCUCUGGGAAUGCAUUCCACCUUCGGUAUCCUUAAUGAUAAUACAGCUAACUGAGACAACGAAUUUAGUUCUUUUAGGCUUGCAUUCAUUCCUCCUGUGCUGUCACAUCCAACAACAUCCCAUUCCUCAAAGCUGCCAUCCCCGAUCAACAAUUCUUCUAACUUCUUCAACCUUCCAAUCAAAUUCACAGGAAUCCUACUGAGCCUUUCACAACCUGUCACAUCCAACAACCUUAACUCCUUGAGCUCUCCUAUUUCAUCAGGUAAUUCUUCAAUGGAUAAGCACCACAUAAGACCAAGAAUCUUAAGUCUCUGCAGCUUUCUCAACCAAAUGAGGUCCUUGCAUCCACACAUGAUCAACACCAAAGAUUGAAGUUUCGUUGAUAGUUCAAGUGAUUGCAAUGACAAACGCCCUCCGUUCAGAGACAAAACUUCAAUUUCUCUUAUCCCUUCAAAAAACCUCUGAGGAACAUUCAAACCAUAAUCCACUUCUAAUAAUAGAACUUUGAGCUUUGGACAUACCAAUCCUUCAGGAAGUUCUGCUAGUUUAUUGCCCAUUAACGAAAUUGUUGUACAACCUUCAAAGCUUGUAUUGCUCAUUGGCCACUUCUGCAACCCAAUGCCAGCCUUUACCAUGAAUCCAUAUUCUUCUGAUGAUGCUAUCUGAAUAGCAAAGUCAUGCAUUUUCACAUGUUCUCCAGUUUCAGUGCCCAACAGCAUGCAACAAUCUUUGAGGUUUUCGAUUGCCACAAAAACUCGUUUCCUUGCAUCUUCGAUGGGCUCCGCAUCUUGAUGUAACCCAUAGCCAACUGCAUAUCUCAUCAAGUCCUCGAUUGGAAUAUCAUAGUCUUCUGGAAAUAAACAGCAUAGCACGAAACAUGACUUGGUUUCCUCGAACUUCAAAUAAUCAUAGCUCAACUUAAGACAUGUAUAAGCAUUUUUUUGUUUGUCAAUUUGUUCCAUGCGCGGAAAUUGAGAGUCUUUGAGCUGUUUAGACGCUACUUCCCACUGAACUAGAGAUUUAUCUCUUAGAGCCCUUCCCACUGUCACAAGUGCUAUAGGCAAGCCAUGGCAUUCUCUCGCAACCUCCCUUGCCACUGUGUUCAAGGUAGAGUCCCCAUCACGUAAACCUGCAUUGAUUCUGAAUAAAGCCAAUGCUUCAUCUUCAGAUAAGACUCUUAAAAACACUUUUUGCUGGCACUCCAUAGAAGAACAUAUGUGUUCAAAACGUGUUGUUAGAAGAAUUUUACAACCCCUGUGAUCAUCACCAAAUGGGAUCCCUAUCUCUUUCAAGUCAAUAUCUUCCCAAACAUCAUCUAGGAUUAUAAGCAUCUUCUCCACUUCCUUCAGUCUAUGCCUUAAUCGAUCUGCUCUCCCUUCUCUACUCUUUUCUUUAAUAUCCAGACGUAACUUAUCUGCCAUUCGAUCCUGGAUGUCUGUGACAUUUGGAUUCUGGGACACCGUAGCCAUCAAAACUUCAGGAAAAAGCUGCAACUCUUUGGCUCUCCUGCCUACUUCUUUCACCAGGGUGGUUUUACCCACUCCUCCCAUGCCGUACAGUCCGAUCAUAUUGACACUGUCAUCUUUGAGAGCUUUCAUAAUCUGUUCCAAAGCUUCUUUUGAUGAUUCUGAGGGCGUGAAUUCCUUUGAUGGAAGAAAUUCUAUGGGCUGAAGAUGAGCUUUGUGGGACACCGUUUUAAACUUUUCGCUAAUUUCUUCAAGUUUUCUGAGAGUCUCCGACUUAUUGGCCAGUGCCUUGCUUAACUUGAAUUGUCGCAUGCAGUUUGGACACCAAGUAAAGCAUUUGCCAUUUUUUCCUAUUUCAUUUUCCAAAGGCUUCACACCUUCAAUCUCGUUGUUUGCAUCUUCCAGCCACUUUUUGACAACUUUUUCAAUUUCUUCAGCAUUCGUUUUAGCAUCUUCGACAAUAUUUUGCAGACGUUCUUUUGCCGAAUACAGAUUCUCCUUUCGUUCUUUGAAUUCUUCAACAAAAUUGUUGAAACAGAACAUGUAACGGAACUGCCUUCCUACUGGUUCCACCAUGAGUUCUGCUAUCUUAGAUAUAAUGGAUCCACCCACACUUUCGAUAGCCAUUUUCCACCACUCUGAAAAUCAGAGAAAUAAGGAUACAGAACGCGAGAGUGAGUCACUACAAGUAAAAGAGGCACAGAGAAUGAGAAAAGGAAUUUUAUUACCUUAUUUUGGGAAAAUAUGUGCGAAAAGCACUGGUACUGAUUGCUCAAUGAAAUAGCGGGAGGAAGAAAAGGAGAAGGCCUUUAGCUCUGUAUGGAAUCCAGCUUCAAAAGCAACAAGGCAAGGUAUGAUCUAAGACGAAUGAAAGGUUCAGGAUAAUCACUUAGACGCCUCCAUGGGUGAUACCAGCUCGCUUCCAACAACAAAUGUAAUUAAUCUAAGCUAUGAGCGGUCAAUGUUUUUUUUAGUUUAGUUUUGUUUUUUUUCUUAAAAAACAGAUCAACAAGGGAAAAAACUUGCAAAGAAGUACAAUUACUGGAACGAACUCAACAAAGGAUCAAACUCAAGCAAUUAAAAGUAAUUGUCUCAUCUCUGUGUCACACACUCAAAGAAUUUCAUUACCUUAUUUUGGGAAAAUAUGUGCGAAAAGCACUGGUACUGAUUGCUCAAAGAAAUAGAGAAGGCCUUUAGCUCUGUAUGGAAUCCAGCUUCAAAAGCGACAAGGCAAGGUAUAAGCAUUUUGAUGACAUAAUUAAGAUAACAUGCGUAGUAAUAUAAAGAAAAUGACAAACAAAUAAAAAAAAAUAAUGUGUACAAGCAAGAAACGAAUGAAAGGUUCAGGAUAAUCACUUAGACGCCAUGGAUGAUACCAGCUCGCUUCCAGUAACACAUAUAUUUAACCUAAGCUAUGAUCGGUCAAAAAAAUAUUUAGGUUUCUUUUUUUUAUAUAUAAAAAAAUACAGAUCAACAAGGGGAAAAAAAAAAGAAAAGACUUGCAAAGAAGUAGAAUUACUGGAAUGAACUCAACGAAGGAUCAAACUCAAGCAAUUAAAAGUAAUUGUCUCAUCUCUGUGUCACACACUAAAGGAAGGAGAGAAAAGAAGGGGAUGGGAUCACGGCAAGAAAGAAGGAGAAAGAAAGGAAUGAGACAAAGAAGGAAGAAAGUAAGGUCACGUAGGGGCCAGUCUUGUAGAAAGUUUGAGAAUUAGAAUGAAAAAGAGGAUAAUAAAGUAGUUCACUUGUCAGAAUCAAAACACAUAAACAUAGGACAAAAACAGGGAGAGAGGCUAUUUGUGUUUUUUAACUGUGUUAGAGUGUAUUUUAUAAUUAUAUUUAAUUUAUAGAAAUAUUAAAUUAAAAGUUUUUAAUAUUUUUUGAUAUUUUUUAAAAAUAUAAAAUAUUAUUUUAAUAUAUUUUGAAAUAAAAAACAUUUCACAAUACCAAAUUAUAGUAUAAAUUUAAAGAGAAAUUGAUUUUCUUGUUCAUUAAUGUUUACUCAGACUCAUUUUACUAUGAAUAUUAAUUAUGGGUUUAUUGAAAAUUUUCAAUUUGAUACUUAAGUUUUUUUUCUAUAAUUGAGCCCUUUUGAGCUCAUUUGCAUAUUUUUUUAAGGAUAAGGGUUAAAAUGAAAGAUAGAGAACUAAAAUGAAAAACUAGGCUAAAAUAGGUGGCGGCUCUAUAAUUUGUUUGCAAAGUUCAUUUUAGUCCUCUAUCUUUUUAAACUAUUAAGUAACCAGUUCUUAUAAUUUUUAAACAUUGCAUUUUGGUAUAAAAUUUUAUUUUCCUCCUUUUUUUAGUUUUUUUUUUUUAGAGGAAAGAGAGAGGGUCGCCAGAUUUCAUCUUAGAGAGAAAACGUUGUAGUUGGGGAAGAUUUUGGCCCCUAAAACAUAUGUUGCUUGAUUUUUAAUUGAGUCUAAGUGGUUUUUAUAAUUAUAUUUAAUUUAUAAAAAUGUUAAAUUAAUAUAUUUUUAGUGUUUUUUUGUGAUUUAAAAAAAUAUAAAAUUAUUUUAUUAUGUUUUUAAUAAAAAAUAUUUUUAAAAAGCAUGUGUCCCAAUACCGAAUUAUUAUAAUUAUAAUAUAAACUAAAAGACACAGUCUUUUAGUUUGGCCUUUGACUUAUAGCACCGUGAAUUAGAACAACGUUAUCAUGUCCUAACCAUAGUUAUUAAACCCGAUCCAGAGGUUGACCUGGCCAAGGUGCCGGGUCCUGAGUUUCAUGGGUCAACCCGGAAAAAAAAAUAAAAAUUAAAGUUUUAAUAUUUUAUAUGAAAAAUUAAGAAAAAAUACAUGUAAAUAUAUGCUAUACAUAUUGUAAAUAAUGAAAUUUAAAAGAAUAUUUUAAAAAGUUUUUUUAUCUCACAUUAAAAAGAUAUUAUGUUAGGCUUUUAAGUUGAAAUAUUUAAACCAAAAAAGUUUUUUAUCUCACAUUGAAAAAAAUAUAACUUUUUUCUUGGAAACAUAGAGUAUAUAUAUUAUAAUACUAAUGGGUUUUAAAUCCCACAUUGAAAAAACAUAGUUUUUUUCUUGUGAACAUAACAUAGUUUUUUUCUUGUGAACAUAGAAUAUAUAUACUAAUGGGUUUCAAAUCCCACAUUGAAAAAAGAUAACUUUUUUCUUGGGAAUAUAGAGUAUAUUUACUAUAAUACUAAUGGGUUUUAAAUCCCACAUUAAAAAGAUACUAUGUUAUCCUUUUAAGUUGAAGUAUUUAAACUAAAAGGUUUUUUUAUCCCACAUUGAAAAAACAUAACUUUUUUUUUUGAAACAUAAUAUAUACUAAUGGGUUUAAAAUCUCACAUUUGAAAAAAAAACACCGGGUCUCGCCCCGGUUGACCCGCCAGGUCGAUCAAGUUUGGUCAGGUCAUUGCAUCGGCCGGUCUUUUGACAAACAUGGACCGGUUCAGCCCCCAGGUCAACCCGCCAGUCCGUUCAGGUUUAAUAACUAUAGUCCUAACUGACACGAUCAAAGAGUUGAUGUCUUAUCCCAAGUGCAAGAGUGUCAAAGUAAUAAAUAACCCGUCAAGACCGGGGUCGAACCACAAGGAGGUGAAUUAUAUAAAUUAUAAUAAUAAUAAUAAUAAUAAUAAUAAGAACAACAACAACAAUGAUGAUGAUGAUGAACAACAACAGGACUUUGAGAUGUAAGAUAAAUGUGAAGAUUAAAUAAUGAUAAAAACAAAUGUCAAGGUUAGAGGAUCCACUAAUAGUAUUAGAGAUAAGUAAAGUAUAAACUCUUUAUAAAUUAUCAACACGAUCAUAUCAAUCAUCUUAUUUACGUAACACCAUAUUUGUCGCACGUCAGAAAAUUCGUGCGGCAUCGGCUUGCAAUUUUAUCGUUGUUAUGCGUUGAUUUAGGGUCUUAGGAGUCGCCACCUAGUAAUUUAUAGAAGGCUACUAGGAAACCGGAUGAACUGGUCUUGUCAGAGAUUCACGAGUAAGAGACUGGUUGUGGUUAGAGAAGGUAUUAGCACCCCUAACACACCCUACCUGAGGUAAGCUGCUUCGUGGACUUGAUGUGUUAAAGAAGUUUUAAAAAUUCUGUUCUUUCAUUGAAUUUUAGAAAUACGACUUCCAUGUAAGUUCAUAAUUCUUUAUCCGUGAGCAAAUCAAAAUAUUAAAUUCUUCUUUAAUCUUUGCAAUUUUAUCAUAAAUAAAAAAAAAAACAUCCAUAACAAAAAAUAUAAACACACACAUACACCUUCACUGUAUUUUUUCUCUUUUCUUUUCUUUUCUUUUUGUUUUUACAUCCACAAUACAAAAUACAAUUUCAAAAGAACAAACUAAACCAAAAUUACAAUAAUAACCCCAAAACAAUCUGGAAUUUACAGGGAACACCUUCUGCAUCACCAGAACAGUGUCAGGCAGACUUCUGGAGCUGCAAGAACAGUGGUCGCACGUCUCCUCCACUCGCCACCGUGGCUGGUGGCGCGUGGGUUCACGCGCCGCCGCUGACAAUGCCCGAAAAUGGGCGGAUCUGCCCUGCUUUCUUCUUCCCUUCCCUUCUCUGCUGGCUGUGAGAACCACCGUUACCUGCAAAGGGGGAAAAAUAAACACAAUGCAAAGCUUCCGAUCCUCUCCUUUUUUAGAUCUACUAUCUUCUGUCUUCUCUUUCGGGUUUUCUGUUCUUCCCUUCUUCAGGUGGCAGGUCUGCCGGCUUCUUCUCCCCUUCCCCUCUGCAUCAGCGGUGGCUAGUGAGGAUGGAGACUGGCUGCUGUGGUCGGGUCUGUUCGUUGACCCGGAGAGGGAGGCCGAUGGGUCGGCUGAGAGAGGAGAGGAGGUGUUCCCGGGCGUGGAUGCUGCUGGAUGCUCUUCACUCCUGUUGGUGGCAGCAAUGGUUGGCCUUGCUGCUGUUGUCCGGCUGUCACUGGAGGCUGGUUGAUGGAGACCUGUGAGAUGGCCGGGGAGGGAGGCCGAUGGAAGGGAACAGUUGGGAUGGAGAGGGACGGCACUGCUGCUGUUCAGCCGCUGCUGGGGCCGAAUGGAGGAGAGACCUGGCGAUGGAAAUGAGAGAGUGAGGGGAUCCUGUUCUGUCAAAGAGAGGGGCGAGUGAAAGGGAGAUGAGGGAAAUGCAGAGGAGGCUGCUCUGGCUUGGGAAAAGAAGUUGGAAAUGAGGGCUAUCUGUUGAUGACCGGGCUGUGGGAGAAGGAAGAAAAAUGAGUGCUAGUCUUGGGAGAUGUGGAAACGGUGGGUGUUGUCUGUGAAGGGGAGGCUGGUCUGGGUGUGUGGGGGCUGUGGCUGAGGGGAAGGAACGGUGAUCAAGGGGGAGGGGGCUGGACUAUGGCCGGCUGUCACUGGUUGAAGGAAGGCCUGUGGGAAAGCUGGAGAGGCAGAGAGGGAAGAAGAAACCGAAGGGAAAACUUGGGGAAAGGGGAGCAGCGGCUUGUGUGAAGGAAAAUGGAGUGGGCAGCUGUUGUAAAAAUGAAUGGGGUUUUGUGUUGUUGGCUGGCCAAGGAGAAGAAAAUGGGAGGAACGGCGUGGAGAGGAAAACCAAAAACAUGGGGGGCCUGUGUUGUUGGCUAGAAAAUGGGGGAGGGCUGGCGGCUUGGAGAAGAUGAGAUAGGUUUAGGGUUUCUCUUCCCCUCUUCUGAUGUUGUCAAAAUUCUCCCCUGUUUGAGUUGUGGACCAGUAUUUAUAGAUAAAAUGUUGCAUGGAUCUAAAAAUUGAUCCCUCAACUUUUUUUAUUUUUUUUGUAAAUUUGAUUUUUCUUAAUUUUUUUGUAUUUUUUGAAAACGAGCAAUAUCAACGUCGACUCAAUGAAGAAAAUCAAUGAUUUUAAAAAUAACGCGUUGAAAGUUGAACGCGUUCCAAAUGUCUUUGAAAAUUUAAAUUCUUUUGAGACGAUGCUAAAAAAGAUGCAAAUGUAUUAAAAAUGUAUUUUUUGGAUUUUCAAUGUUUUUCGCUAUUUUUGGAUUUUUUCUGAAAAUUUAUCAAAACAUGGGUCAAAAAUUGGGUAGCAACAGAUGCCCCCUCUUUACAAUGCUUACGAAGCAAAACUCCUCAAUGUUUUGCAUAGUAAGCUUUGUAAAGAAAAACUUGUCUUUCUGUCACUCAAUAUCCACUCAUCUAAAGGCCUUGCUCUUUUUUUUUGUUCUCUCUUCCUUCUCUUUUCUUCCUCUUCUUUCUUCCUUUCUUUCUUUCUCUUUUUUUUUUUAUCUUGAGAUCCCAUCUGGCGAUCUCCUUUUCCAAAACCAAAGAAUAUGUGUAGCUCGGUCAACCUGAAAUCCCAUCUGGCGAUUUCCUUUAACCAAAGCUACAUGAGAUCCCAUCUGGCAACCUCAUUAAACCAAAACUAAAAAAAUGUGUGUGUAGUCUUAUUAUGACGGGUGACCUACCCAAAAUGAAAGAUGGUCUCAUUAUGACGGGUGACCUACCCAAAUACAAGAUGGUCUCAUUGUGAUGGGUGACCUACCCAAGUGGAAAAGGGAAAGAGUGGUCUCAUUUUUAUGGGUGACCUACCCAGGGGGAAGAAUGGCCUCAUUAUAAUGGGUGACCUACCCAAGUAAAAAAAUAAUGGAGAAUGAUCUCAUUCUAAUGGGUGACCUACCCAGAAAAAAUGGUAUCAUUGUGAUGGGUGACCUACCCAAGUGGAAAAGGGGAAGAGUGGUCUCAUUCUUAUGGGUGACCUACCCAGGGGGAAGAAUGACCUCAUUAUAAUGGGUGACCUACCUAAGUAAAAAAAUGGAGAAUGGUCUCAUUAUGACGGGUGACCUACCCAAAUACAAGAUGGUCUCAUUGUGAUGGGUGACCUACCCAAGUAGAAAAGGGGAAGAGUGGUCUCAUUCUUAUGGGUGACCUACCCAGGGGAAGAAUGGCCUCAUUAUAAUGGGUGACCUACCCAGAAAAAAAAAUGGAGAAUGGUCUCAUUCUAAUGGGUGACCUACCCAGAUGGAAGAUAGAAAAAAUAUGAAGUGGUCUCAUUGUAAUGGGUGACCUACCCAUAUGGAAGAUGAGAAAAAUGUGAAGUGGUCUCAUUAUUAUGGGUGACCUACCCAGGUGGAAGAUAGAAAAAAUGUGAAGUGGUCGCGUUAUAAUGGGUGACCUACCCAGGUGGAAGAUAGAAAAAAUGUGAAGUGGUCGCGUUAUAAUGGGUGACCUACCCAGGUGGAAGAUAGAAAAAAUGUGAAGUGGUCGCGUUAUAAUGGGUGACCUACCCAGGUGGAAUAUAGAAAAAAUGUGAAGUGGUCGCGUUAUAAUGGGUGACCUACCCAAGUGGAAAGAAUGUGAAGUGUGGUCUCAUUAUAAUGGAUGACCUACCCAGAUGGAAGAUAGAAAAAAUAUGAAGUGGUCGCGUUAUAAUGGGUGACCUACCCAAGUGGAAAGAAUGUGAAGUGUGGUCUCAUUAUAAUGGGUGACCUACCCAGAUGGAAGAUAGAAAAAAUAUGAAGUGGUCGCGUUAUAAUGGGUGACCUAUCCAAAGAAAAAGGAAAGAAUGUGAAAAACGGUCUCAUUAUGAUGGGUGACCUACCUAAAUGGAAAAAUGUGACUUACCUAGCAAAAAGACUUGGCAGGCGAAGUCCUGAUAGGAUAAGGCUGACAAACGGCGCUUCCUAAUUGCAAGGUUUACUUGAAGACUCCUCUUGAUGACGGGGUUAAUCUCCUCGUUUCUUUGAGAUUCUCCUACUGGCAGGGUUCAUCUCAUUCUCUUCUCGUUCCAGGAUCUAAACCGAUUCUUUGUCAUCAUCAACUCAAUGAUUCUUUCUUUGUCCACAACCUUGUUGAACUUCAUUGAGGAUCUUUCUGUAACAAAUCACAAGUAUGUGCAAUGCUUUGAGGUUAGAUGACAUGCAUGCAUCCUUACCUGAUGUGAAAUAUAGGUCCCCCCCUUUGAUGAUCCAUCGUCAUAGGGUGCCUUUGUUUGCUAACCAAAGCCUUCUUUGCUCUUCCCAUGUACUGACUCAUUCGUGUGCUAGCCAUCCACUCAAAUGUAAGUGCAGUGCCCAUCUCGGGCUGUCUACGACGAUUACUACUCUCAGUUGUUCUCAAUGUUGACCAUGCUUCCAAGCGUGGUGUUGCUCGAUUCAUCAUGAAGGAGUUGAACAAAUCAUCCAUCUCCUAGAUUCUCUCAAGAAUUGUCCUUUGAUUGGUUGUGCGUGUUUUGCCACUGCCGGUCAAGAGGUUUUCUAGUGUUUAACCUCAUUUUAGAUGGACUUGCCCCCAGUUGAAAUAACACUCUUCAAGUAUAUAUUAUCACCCGCCUUCUUGGAACUGCUAAGUCAUCCAGACAUGCCUCUCAUACUUUGCAGUAAAAGGCUAAUCAUUGUAAGCUCAAAGUUCUUCUCCAUAGAUUCCUCUCAGCUUGUCAAAUCAGAUCAGGAAAGGAAAUGCGUUGGCAUCAUCAAUGAUGUUCAUCACCCAUAUUCAUGCGGUGAAGUGUACAUUUGAGCUUCAAAGCAGAUGGUCCCACAGUCAGUCUUGGUGGGUGCAUCUUUCCAACAUUCAUUCAAAUGCAACUAUGCGAUAACAUCAUUCAAAAGUCAUAGCCAUGUUGGAGAUGAUAAACCAUGAUGAAGAUAUGAAAAUAUCCUUCAAAUGCAGCGUUGUUCAUCAAUUGCUGUUGAAGUUCACUAGAUCACAAACUGUCUUUGAACAAUAUUGCCCCCAGCAAUGAUUUGAAUGCUUGUUCAUCUGUCUAUAAUCAAGAAGUUUUUUUUUCUUUGUCAUUGCCAGAUGCUAAACAUAACUUCGAUGGACUUUGACGACUCAUCAUCUGAUUUUUUUUUUGCUUUGCCCUCAGCUGAUCUGAAUACUGCUUGUUUUCCUACCUAGGAUCCACUGUAUUGCCCCUAGGUGGUCAACUUUUCAAGGAGUGUCGAGAAAUGUUGAUGUCAUUCUUGUCAAGGAUUUUGCAAAUUCAAUCGAUGUUCUUCUUGUUUGACAAUCUUCCUUGUUCUGGAAUCAAAUCUCAUAUUUCAACGCUCAUGUCUAUUCAAAUCUAAUUGUUGAAAUGAAAUCAGAGAGAUGUCAAUUUUGAAAAGUAUUUUCUGGAAAUCAAGCUUGUUUGGUCAAAGAUCCAACACACGCUAUUCAAUGAAGUCCUUUAAUUGUCUUGUAUUUUGAAGACAGAAAUAACUCGUUGUAAGAUUAAAAUGACUUUUUUCGUGGUUCUUUGUGUCAAUUUUAAUCUUUGAUCUUAGGUAUAUCUUUUGAUGGCCUGCGAUGAGGUGACCUUCUGUGGAUUUCAAGAAACAAAAGGCUCAAGUCAAAACUUGAGGAUUCAUCAAGAAAGAUUGUUUUCUUUUUUAGCACCAAUUUUAUUAGCAUGCAUAAUAACAAGUAGCUUAAUCCAUGAAGUCACGACCCUUAUGGAAAAGCUCUUCAAGUUUUGAGAUCGUCAUUUAUCGGUUCAGAUUGCUUACUUGAUUAAAAAAAGGCUUUUUACAGCACGUAAUGCAUGCUAUGGUUCAUGGCUUAUGAAAGAAAGGAAAUUCACAGGCUCAAAAGGUGUUUGAGGGUUUUAAAGACCUAGGAUCAACAUCAAUUAUUCAUCAACUCCUUUUCUAUUGUUGUCUUUGUAGAGACGACAUAGAACCUUGUUAACCUCAAAGAUCAGACUUCUCUUAACAUAAGUCAUAAUGCAAAUCCACCUUUCCUUGAUGAAUAACCAACCUCAAUCAUCUGAUAACAUCAGAGGUUUUAUAAUGGAUAUCAAAAGUCACGUUUAUAGCUUAGUCUUUCUUCUGCUAUUGACUUUUGUUGUCUUUCCUUGAUGUCUUUCUUCUGCUAUUGACUUUUGUUGUCUUUCCUUGAUUGAAAUUUCUUUUGCCAAGACUUGAUAGACAUUCUCUUUCCUUUAUCUUUGACUUGCCUUUAAGUGAAGGCAAUUUCAACUUCUUUUUUUUUUUUUCAUAGCCUUCCUCAAAAUUUUCUUAUAUGCCCCCAGCCUAUGUGUUUUCUUUUAGCCCUCUCUCAAUCAUUGGACUUUUGUUCUAAGCCUUCCUUUUAUCCAUUAAUGUCUUCAAAAUAUCUCUCAUUGCCCCCAGUGUGGGGUGUGGUCCUAGUCAGGGUUUCUUUUUGAAAGAAAAUAUUUUACAAGGCUAAAAAAUGGGACUGCAAGGGAUAUAAUCUUUAGAAAGUGAAGGGAUAUCAAAGAUGACAUUUUCUCAUUUCAAGCAAGGUCGGUUAGAACCGAUAAAUUUUGACCUCAUCCAGUGUAAUGAUUGGGACUUGUAAGAAUAAUGAUUCACGAGUCCAUAACUAUCGAAUCCACUACAUGUCAUUAUGCAUACUGCUAAAACUUAGCUAUAUGAUGUUUUUUUCAGUUUCAGGAGGUAUGAGUUCAAAAUUGUUUGGUCACCUCAUGUCAUUUUCAAGAAUCAAGUCGUUUCUGCAAUCAAAAUAUUUUUAAUCUUCAGGAUUAAUUAAUCUUAAUCGUAUGUUCGAGCUUGAUCAAAAAUAUUUGUGUCAAAAUAGCCUUUGAAAGAAGCAUCGCUUGAUUUCAAAACAACAAGAAGACAAAGAGAAGACAUGUUUCGUUGAAGGGUGAGAUGUGAUCCCAAAACAAAAUGCAGAAUGCUAAAAUCCCAUAACAAAAAUGAUUGACAAUUUGACCCCUUCUUGGAUCACCUACUCUGGCGAUAUCUGUGUUUCACCGAGUCAAUUUCGAUCACUUGUCAUUCUGAGGAUGUUCUGGUGACAACAUGAUUGAUGACAUCAUCUUUCACAAACUCAGCUCGAUUCUUGAAACUCUUGUGUCUGUUCAACUGAAAUGGUUCACGAACCCUCCAUGAUAUUCACAUCUGGUUUGAAUUAUACCACGGUGGUUGCAUGCAAUUUGUCGAAGUCCGGGGCACUAAGUCUGGAAUCUGGCAGAUGCUAGUCGACAAACUUAAGUGGCAGAGGGAUGUCAAUCUUGGCAAAGACAUUUGAGCCAUUGAUGCUACAAUGAGACCUGGCUAAACCACAUAACUAUGGUUUUCCAUCUUCAGAGUCAUCUCCUUAUUCAACUCCCUUCACAGUUCUGAAAUCCACGGUAGAGCCUUCAAUCUUUCCCAUCUUGAUAGUUAGCUCUAUUCUUUUGGCAAUCCUCACAACAUCAUGUCAAUCUUCCAAUGUUGUUGCGGUUGUAUGAGAAUUGUUGGAACCCUCCACUAGCUAGGUAAUCUUGGCAGCAUACAGAAACAUGCAGUACCACCACUGCCGACGUGUGGAAUCACGCGUUGUCUCAACUGGAAGAGAACUUGAUGAAUCUAAAACUCCUUUGUCUCCUCUUUGAUUCCUCACUGACGGCGCAUCAAACAGACACCUGUAGAGGGAGUUCUGCUCCAUUGAAGUUUCAGUCUUAUUCCCGUUUUUCAGCCCACGUUUGUCUCUUCUCCCUACUUUUGUGUUUUAAUUCCAACACUGGUAGGAGAAAAUUGUAGACGAUCUGAAACUACUGCAUCCCUUCUUGGAUUCCUCACUUACAGAUCCACAAACAAAUCUCUAUAGAGAGAGCUCUGCCACAUAGAAGUUUGAUGUCUGCUUAUGUUUUUCAGACCAGGUAUGGCUUUUCAACCCACUACAGUGUCUUCGUACUGAAACUGGUGGCGUAAAUUUUCAUAUCUUCUGAAACUACUACAUCCCCUGUUCUGCUAGGAAAACAUGAUAUCAGUAUCUAACUUUUGAACAAAGAGUUCAGCAUCAAGUCUCAGUCAUCUUGAGAUUUGAAUGCCCAUAUAUAUUCACAUGCUCAUACAAUAACAUUUUUAAAAAUGCAUUAUGCAUUAGAAACAGAACAUCAAACAAAGAGUUCAGCAUCAAGUAGAACGCAUGAAAGUCCACACAUUAAACCAAAAGAAACACAAAUGGGCAAGCAAACAUACGCCCUUACUUCUGGAGGCUUGUACGAUAAUGACUACACACACAACAUUACAUUACUUCUAACUUCUUCAGCAAACACGUAGAUAGAUAAGUCGCAAUCUUCUAUGGUAAAUAAGACUGUUACAAUGUGAAGCCAAUUUGUAUCCCAUUGCCAAUGAAACAGUUGGAAUUAAUUACUUCCCACCCAUCUAAAACAUACUCGCAGCACCAUCCUUGAAAUCAUGUAACAGCUAACCAACCUUGCCUGAUGCAAACAUGAAGAACAAAGACAAUCCAUGAUUUAAUUCAACCAUUAAAAUUUGAAGGUAAAGGAGAGGAUAAAUAAUCUUCAGCUAUGUCACCUGGUUUGGGCAAGAAAGAAUUAUUAGACUAGCAAUCAUCAUCAUCAUCAUCUUCUUCUUCUUCUUCUUCUAUUUCUUUCCACCCAUUAUUUCUGGUCCACUGUCUAUUAAUGCUUGAAUAUUCAGCUACUUCAGAUACCUGUAAACCAAUUCAAGCAAGGCAUGCUCAUUUUAACUUGUAAAUCUUAUUAUUGAGCCAAACAAGAAACAAACACACUAAAAGAGAGGCAAGAAAUCGAGUCAAAUCAGCAGCACCUCUGAUUGAGCACUCAUUGAACCAUCUGGUGUACUAGCAAAUUUUGUGGUCAGCUUUGGACAUUGAUGGACCGUCAACUCCUCCAAACGAGGGAAUAAGAAAUAAUCACACCAUCCGAAACUAAAACGGACAAUACUUGAUAAUUGUUCUAGCGACAACUCCUUUAGAUUAGGAAGCACUAUCUCCUUCUCAACGUUGAUAGGUGAAGCUUGACCAUCCUGCCCAGGAGACUCUGGAAUUAUUUCCCUUUCACCAUCCUCUUCUCUGAUAAUAUGCUUCAAUUGACCGCAUUUACGUAUGUAAAGUAUUUCUAGCUGUGGUAGACUUCGAGCGAGGGACGGUGUGAAGAUAAAUGUCAGUUUGUCGAGAGAAUACAAAUCCAGAAUAUUUAGACUUUGGAGGCUGACAUGUCCGGUGGGCCAUAUGCAUUUGAGGUCAGGUAAAAUUUGCAGCUCUAACUCUGUUAAAGAUGACAGCAGCGGCAUCUCCUUCUCCUCAGUGCUUCCUUCAUCAGGCUCACCUAAUUCAAAUACCUCUUCCAGUGAUUUGCAGCACUCAAUUUUCACAGUGCUUAGAUUUUUCAGGGCUCGCAGCAAUUUUGCUGGAAACGGAGCACGAACAUCCCCACAAUCCCUCACUCGUACAAAUUCUAAUCUUUGUACGGAGCCGUUUUGCUGUUCAUGGGCGGCCAUCUGAUCAGAGAACAAUAUUAUAUUUUUUCACUCUCAUAAAAACAAUUUAUACGAUGUAUAAAUAGGAGAAAAAAAUAGAAAAAAGAGGAUUAAAUACUUUUUAGAGAUUACAUAUUAUUGUUUUAGUUUUGUUCUUAAUUAGAGAUAAGUUGAAUAAUAAUUAGAUGUUUGUGAAAAAAAGGUUAAUACAACUCCUAAUAAUUAGUUUCAUGUAAAAAAUAAAAAUAAAAAUAGUAACUAAGAUUUUUAUUUUAGUUAUAAAGUUAAUAAAUUUUUAAAGAUAUUUUAAUUGACUUCAAAAUUUUCAACACAAAAUUUAUGCUCUUAUAUAUUAAUGAUUUUUUUUGUGAAGUUAUUUGAUGUAAUUUGGUCUAAUUUUUAUCCAGAUAGAUUACCUCCAAAGUACCCUUCCAUAUACACCUCGUGUCAGGCACGGAGUCCAAGCUUAAUGUUUUCAAAUUUGUGAACCCCUGCAUCAAAAGAAAUUUUGUGCACUUUGGAAUUGUCCAUAUAAAACUUCAGCCAAAAACUUAUCAACAAAAGGAUAGAAGUAGACAUGGCAAUACGGCAUGGGAAUAUGAAAUCAUAAGUUUUUGAAGAUAUUUUAAUUGAAUUAAAUAUUUGAACACAAAAUAAGCUAAUAUGAUUUCUAUGAUUAAUUGUUGGCAUUAAGUUUCUUAUAUUUAUAUAUGCUUAGAUAAAACAAAAAAAUAAGCAGUGACGAAGAAAGAAUAAAUCUAACAGAUAAUAUAAAAGCUGCAGGACUGAAACGAACAACUCAAUAUUAGCAGAUGGAGGUUUAUCUUCCUCUUCAAAUACUUCCAUUAAUUGGGGGAAGAGCCUCAAUUUCACUCAAACUUGGAAAGCGUAAAGAUUGAAAAAUCUGGAUAUCAUUUCAUUACAAUAAUUAAUUUCUUACUUCUUAAGCCCUCCAUCAAGAGACAGGGAAUGAUACAGUUAGACAACUCCUUUUCAAUUUAAUGGAUGGCUAAAGGAUUCAUCUCCACUUAUCAAUUACUUCAGUUUCAGAAAUUUAAAGGAAGAAAUCAACAUGUAUUGAAGUUGACAAUUUAAAUUAAAAAGGAAAAAAAAAAAUUGGAGGAAUAUAAAGGACGUACCUGGAGCUGUGCAAAGAAAUUUUCCAAUUCUUUGUGGCCAUAGAUGGUUAGACUUUUCAAAGAAGGCAAUUGUGCAGCAAAAUUCUUUGGACCAAAAAAGCUGUAAUUUGAUCUGGAAGAAAGAUCCAAUUCACUUAGUUGAGGGAACUUGAUGAUGCCAUCUGUGGUGAGUGUAUCUCCUUCUCCACUAUAAAACAUUUGCUUUAAAUUGUCAGCAUCAGAAAUCGUCAUCUUUUCCAGGUUUAGAAGGCUUGGAUACACAGAGACAGGGAGGACAUAUUCCAGUUUACCACACUCUUUUAUGAUAAUUGUUUUUAAUAUUGGAAAGUAAGGAGACUCUUGAAUUAUCUCCCUUUCAUCAUCCUUUUCUCUGAUAAUAUGCUUCAAUUCACCGCAUUUACUUAUGCGAAGGCUUUCUAGCUUUGACAGACUGUAAGCAAGGGACGGUGUGAAGAUAAAUGUCAGUUUGUCGAGAUAAUUCAAAUCCAGAUGAGCAAGACUUUGGAAGCUGACAUUUCUGGUGGGCCCCUUCCAUAUGCAUUUGAGCUCAGGUAACCGGUACAGAUUUAACUCUGUUAAAGAUGGCAGAAGCGGCAGCUCCUUCUCCUCACUGCUUCCUUCAUCAGGCAGCUCACCUAAUUCAAAUACCUCUUCCAAUGAUUUGCAGUCCUUAAUUUCCACCUUCCUUAGAUUUUUCAGAUCUGGCAGCAAUUUUGCUGGAAACGGAGCCCCACAAUCGACCACGUGUACAGAUUCUAAUCUUUGUAAGAAGCCGUUUUGCUGUCCAUGGGCGGCCAUCUUAUCAGAGAACAAUAUUAUAUUUUUUCACUCUUGUAAAAACAAUUUAUAUGAUGUAUAAAUAGGAGAAAAACAUAGAAAAAACAGGAUUAAAUACUUCUUAGAGAUUACAUAUUAUUGUUUCAGUUUUUUUUUCUUAAUUAGAGAUAAGUUGAAUAAUAAUUAGAUUUUGGAGAAAAAAAGGUUAAUAACUCCUAAUAAUUAGUUUCAUGUAAAAAAUAAAAAUAAAAAUUGUAACCAAUAUUUUUAUUUUAGUUAUAAAGUUAAUAAAAUUUUAAAGAUAUUUUAAUUGAAUUAAAUAUUUGAACACAAAAUAAGCUAAUAUGAUUUCUAUGAUUAAUUGUUGGUAUUAAGUUUCUUAUAUUUAUAUAUGUUUAGAUAAAACAAAAAAAUAAGCAGUGACGAAGAAAGAAUAAAUCUAACAGAUAAUAUAAAUUACGUAAACCAUGAGGCAGUUAAAUCUAACAGAUAAUAUAUUUCAAAUGAGGCAGUUAAAUCUAACAGAUAAUAUGUUCUUCCAUAUGAUUAAUUUUUAAUAAGGCAGACAACAAUGAGGCAGUUAAGUUUCUUAUAUUUAUAUAUGUUUACAUAAAAAAAUAAAAAUAAGCAUUUAUCAAUUACUUUACUUUUAGAAAUUGGGAGGAAGAAAGAACAAAUUAUCGCAAUUGACAAUUUAAAUUAAGUGGAGAAAUAUAAAUUACGUACUUGUAGCUGUGCCAACCAAUUACCCACUUCUUCGUGGCCUUCAAUGGUUAAUUCUUGCAAAGGCAAUUGAGCAUCAAAAUUCCUUGGACCUAAAAAGCUGUAAUUUGAUCUGAGCACAAGAGACAAUUUUCUUAGUUGAGGGAACUUGAUGAUGCCAUCUCUGUUAUGAGACAAAGAGACUGGGAAGACAUAUUCCAGUUUACCACAGUAAGCUACAUGGAGAGUUUCUAAUUCUGGGAAGCAAGGAGACUGUGGAAUUAUUUCCCUUUCACCAUCCUCUUCUCUGAUAAUAUGCUUCAAUUCACGGCAAGCAAUUAUGGAAAGUCUAUCUAGCUUUGGCAGACUGUAAGCAAGGGACGGUGUGAAGAUAAAUGUCAGUUUGUCGAGAGCAUACAACUCCAGAUUAAUAAGACUUUGGAGGUUGACAUGUCUGGUGGGCCCCUUCCAUAUGCAUUUUAGCUCAGGUAAUAUUUUCAGCUUUAACUCUGUUAAAGAUGACAGCAGCGGCAUCUCCUUCUCCUCACUGCUUCCUUCAUCAGCCUCACCCAAUUCAAAUACCUCUUUCAAUGAUUUACAGCUGUCAACAAUCACCUCCUUUAGAUUUUUAAAACCUUGCCGCAAUCUUGCUGGAAACAGAGCGAAAACACCCCCACAAUCCCUCACUUUUACAGAUUCUAAUUUAUGUAAAAACAAUUGCUCAAAUGUCUUCGCAUUUAAGGAUGUACCAACCAAAACUAAGGAGGUUGGGUAUCGAUCCCAAAACCUUAUUUCAUAUUCAUUAGCAUACCCUAAUAUUAUAUGAUAUUUGCGCAAGCUGACUGGAAAAACAAAAUCUCUGGGAAUGCAUUCAACCUUCGGUAUCCUCAAUGAUAAUACGGCUAACUGAGACAACGAAUUUAGUUCUUUUAGGCUUGCAUUCAUUCCUCCUGUGCUGUCACAUCCAACAACAUCCCAUCCAUCAAAUCUGCAACCCCCGAUCAACAGCUCUUCUAACUUCUUCAACCUUCCAAUCAAAUUCACAGGGAUCCUUCUUAGCCUGUAACAACCUGUCACAUCCAACAACCUUAACUCCUUGAGCUCUCCUAUUUCAUCAGGUAAUUCUUCAAUGGAUGAGCACCACAUAAGACCAAGUAUCUUAAGUCUCUGCAGCUUUCUCAACCAAAUGAGGUCCUUGCAAUUACACGAGAUCAACACCAACGAUUGAAGUUUCGUUGAGAGUUCAAGUGAUUGCAAUGACAAACACCCUCCCUUCAGAGACAAAACUUUAAUUUCUUUCAUCCCUUCAAAGAACCUCUGAGGAACAUUCAAACGAUUAUCCAGUUCUAAUAAUAGAACUUUGAGCUGUGGACAUACCAAUCCUUCAGGAAGUUCUGCUAGUUGAUUGCCCAUUAACGAAAUUGUUGUACAACCUUCAAAGCUUGUAUCGCUCAUUGGCCACUUCUCUAACCGUAAGCCAGCCUUUACCAUGAAUCCAUAUUCUUCUGAUGCUAUGUGAAUAGCAACAUCACGAACAAGGUCAUGCAUUUUCACAUGUUCUUCAGUUUCAGAGCCCAACACCAUGCAACAAUCUUUGAGGUUUUCGAUUGCCACAGAAACACGUUUCCUUGCAUCUUCAAUGGGCUCCGUGUCGUGAUGUAACCCAUAGUCAACUGCAUAUCUCGUCAAGUCCUGGAUUGGAAUGUCAUAGUCUUCUGGAAAUAAACAGCAUAGCACGAAACAUGACUUGGUUUCCUUGAGCUGCAAAUAAUCAUAGCUCAACUUAAGACAUGUAUAAGCAUUAUUUUUUUCGUCAAUUUGUUCCAUGCAAGCAAAUUUAGAUUCUUUGAGCUGUCUACACGCGAAUUCCCACUGAAGUGCAGAUUGAUCUCUUAGAGCCCUUCCCACUGUCACAAGUGCUAUGGGCAAGCCUUGACAUUCUCUCGCAACCUCCCUUGCCACUGUGUUCAAGGUAGGGUGCCCAUCAAGUAAAUCUGCAUUGAUUCUGAAUAAAUCCCAUGCUUCUUUUUCAGGUAAUUCUCUUAAGAACACCUUUUGCUGGCAUUUCAUAGAAGAACAUACAUUUGUACGACGUGUUGUUAGAAGUAUUUUACAACCCCUGUGAUCAUCACCAAAUGGGAUCCCUAUCUCUUUCAAGUCAAUAUCUUUCCAAACAUCAUCUAGGAUAAUAAGCAUCUUCUCCACUUGCUUCAGUCUCUUCCGUAAUAGAUCUGCUCUCCCUGGAUUAGUAUUCUUUUCUUUAAUAUUCAUCAGUUCUAACUUAUCUGCCAUUAGGUGCUGAAUGUCUUUGACAAUUGGAUUCUGCGACACCGUAGCAAUCAAAACUUCAUCAAAAAGCUGCGACUCUCUGGCUAUCGUGCCUACUUCUUUCACCAGGGUGGUUUUGCCCACCCCUCCCAUGCCGUACAGUCCGAUCAUAUUGACAUUGUCAUCUUUGAGAGCUUCCAUAAUCUGUUUGAAAGCUUCUUCUGACGAUUUUGAGGGCGUGAAUUCCUUUGAUGGAAGAAAUUCUAUGGGCUCAGGAUGAGCUCUGUGGGACACUUUUGUAGACUUUUUUUCUAAAAGUUCUCUGAAAGUCUCCGACUUCUUGGCCAGUGCCUUGCUUAACUUGAAUUGUCGCAUGCAGUUUGGACACCAAGUGAAGCAUUUGCCAUUUUUUCCUAUUUCAUUUUCCAAGGGUUUCGCAUCUUCAAUUUCGUUGUUUGCAUCUCCCAGCCACUUUUUGACAUCUUCGUAAAUUUCUUCAGCAUUCCUGUCAGCAGCUUUGACAUCGUCUUGCAGACGUUCUUUUUCCGAAACCAGCUGCUCCUUCUUUUGUUUGAAUUCCUUAACAAAAUCGUUGAAACAGAACAUGUAACGCAACUGCCUUCCUACUGGUUCCACCAUGAGUUCUGCAAUCUUAGAUAUAAUGGAUCCACCCACACUUUCGAUAGCCAUUUUCCACCGACCUGAAAAUCAGAGAAAUAAGGAUACACAGAACGUGAGAGUGAGUCACUACAAGUAAAACAGGCGCAGAGAGAAUGGGAAUAGGAAUUUCAUUACCUUAACUUGAGAAAAUAUGUGCGAAAAGCACUGGUACUGAUUGCUCAAUGAAAUGGAGAAGGCCUUUAGCUCUGUAUGGAAUCCAGCUUCAAAAGCAACAAGGCAAGGUAUAAGGAUUCUACUGACACUUGUGAGUUAAAGCAGUAAUUCCCAUUAAAAAUGCAUUUUGAUGACAUAAUUAAGAUCAUAUAGAGACAGUGACAAACAAAAAAGAAAGAAACGAGUGAAAGGUCCAGGAUAAUCACUCAGCCCGCUUCCAACCACAAAUAUAAUUAACUAAUCUAAGCUAUGAUCGGUCAAAGUCAAAGUUUUUUUUAGUUUUAUUCUUUUUUUAAAUAAAAAAAACAGGAAAAGACUUGCAAAGAAAUAGAAUUACUGGAAUGAACACAAUAAAGGAUGAAGCUCAAGCAAUUAAAAAUAAAUUAUCUAUGAUGAUCAUCUGUUUGUCACACUCAAUGAAGUAACAUGAUUGACCUUUUACAAUAUUAAAUAAAUAAAUAAAUAAAAGCUAAAAGAACUAGGUUUUUGGUGGCAUCCAGAUUGCGGUUACUUUCUUCAUCCUUCUUUUGUGGUUUUAUUUUAUUUCAGUCCUUCAAAUCUUUUUCUUUUGCUAUUUCAUCGAGUUGCUUUGCUCGAGUUGAUGUGCUUGCCCUAGAAUAUGCAUCAUGCUAGGGAUUACAAUUACAUUACAUAAGAAAUUAUACUUACAGAUUAUAAUUAAAAAUUUCAGUUUUUUUUUAAAAACAAAUUUAUGAGAGAGUACCAAUUUACAACGUGAGUAAAUGAAAGGAGAAUUUUAAAUCUUUUUGUGACAUGGUGACCAGCUGAUCCAAGUAACCAAUAGAUUAUCACCACUUGUUCAACCUAUCUGCACAUUAAGAUAGGGGUAGUCAUAACUAUGACUAGGAGUGAGCAAAAAAACCGAAAAACCGAUUUAACCAAGAAAACCAGAAAAAAAUUAACCGAAAAAACCGAACCGGUAAAAAAAACCGAUUGAACUGGUUAAAAUAUUUAGGAAAAUGUCCGGUUCGGCUUCCGGUUUUGGUGUGCCUAAACCAGCCAACCCGAACCGAACCGAACCGGUUCGGUUUAGGAAUGAAAAAAAAAUAUAAACCAAGCGGGUCGCCUCCUCCCAUUACUUUCCCUUUCAACAACCCUAGCAGACCAUUUAUUUGUUUUCCCUUUCACACAGCCGCCCCCUCCCCUCCAACCCUUUCAAUCUUCAUUCACACUUCACAGACAUAGCCGCCCCCUUCAAUCACCCCUACUCCCAUUAACAGCCGCUCCCUCCCAUUAACAGCCGCCUCCUCUUCACCAGUCAACGAGCUUAGGCUAUUCUCGGACAACCAUUCUUCGAAUCUCGAAAGAAACCGCCGUGCGUGUGAGGUGGCGAAACUGUUACCGCUUCUAGAUCUUCUUCAAUCUAUUGCUUCUAUCAAAGCCGAUUACAUCGCUCAGGUAAUCUUGUCAUGUAAUUACAUAUUUAAUUAAUUAUUGCUUGUUGAUUUUAUAUUGUUUCUAUUUUUCAAUUUUGAUGUGUUAAUUAUUUUGAACAAUGUAAAAAUAAAGGUGGACGAAAGAACACAAUUUGGAAAGGAAAUUGGAAUCGUUGUCCCUGUCUCAGAUUCUCAAAAGACAAUCAAUCGCAAACAGUAUGUCCUCCAUUUUUUUUUCUUCUUUUCUUUCUCACUGGUAGAUUGGAAUUUGAAACUGCCAACAAAAGUUUGUAUUCGAAGUUAGCUUUUUGAAAAUUGACCCUAUUAUAUAUUUACUGUGGCUUAAGCUUUGAGAUAUUGCAUGAUUAUGAAUUAGUUUAUAUGAGUUGAAACUUGAAACAUAGUCUGACAAGGAUGGAUUAACCAAUUGCUGGGAAAAUAGUUUUCAAAUCUCUUUGAAAAAUGUCUGAUGCUGCGACAUAAGUCACAUAACAGACUCGAUUUGAAGGGAAUCUUUGAGAUAUUGCAUGAUUAUGAAUUGGUUUAUAGAAAUUUGCUGGAUUGAUUUUUUUUCUUUUUCUUUUUUAAAAGGGAAUUUAAUUAAAAUACAUUUUUUUCAUCUACUUUUUAAGUUUAAAUCUUAGAAUUAAUAUCCAAAAAAUUUCACCUUUGCUCGCUAAAAUAUAAUUUUAAUCUUAACAAAAAACUAUAUCUUAAAAUUGACUGUGUUGCUAUCCAACUAAGAAAUUGACUCAAGUGGCUUAGUGAUAUAUAGUGGGGACAUUCUAUUUUAGACAUGCAGCUUGUUGCCUUGUUCUACUUUAUUCUAUAAUCUAUUUGAGAAAAAUGUUGUUUAUUUCUUCUAGACACUUUAGUCUUCCAAAUUUCAGUUGUAACCAGCAAGCAUAGAGGUUAUGAUAGAGGUUAUGUAUUGGGAAGAUGAACUAUCUUUUUAUUUGCAGUGGCUGUGAAACUCUCUUUCUGUGUGUCUCUGUCUCGUGUGCGUGUGUAUAUAUGCACCUGUAAUUCUUGCUUCUCUCCAGUUCCUUUCGUUUGCAAGUUACUGUUGCUAGAGUAGGUGCAACUAGUUCUUUCCUCUACAAGUCGGGUUUGGUAAGAUUGAUUAUAAAGAAAAAGGUAUUGGUAAUGCACAAUUUGAUUUUAGUGUUGAUGUUAAGUGUGGCUUGUUUUAUGAUGGAUAAUUAUGUUGACAAUAUUGGGCUUCAUGAAUGAUGAUGCCAGUUUAUUUAUGGUCUUAAUAAGCUAUAUUACUGCUGGAUUUGUGCUCUUUAUUUAUAUGGCAAAUUCUUAUUCAAAUCUUUGAUAUUUAUCGCUAAUGAAACUUCAAUCUUGCCUCAAGUUGUCGACCAAGUCAAAAUUCCUCCUACAAGUAUACAAUAUUGUUUUAUUAUAAUGUUAUAAUGUUAUCGCUAAUGAAACUUCAAUCUUGCCUCAGGUGCUCUUUAUUAUUAUAUUGAUAUUAAAAAUAAUUUUAAAAAAUAAAAAAAAUAUUAUUUUAAAAUAUUUUUAAAAUAAAAAAUAUUUUAAAAAACAACUAUUUAUUCAAGGACUUAAAAUAAAAACCUUAAAAUCACGGCAUGAUAAAAGGAGGAAGAAAGGAAUGGGACAAAGAAGGAAGAAAAUAAGGUCAUGUAGGGGGCCAGUCUUGUAUAAAAUAGAAGAUGAAAAUUAGUAUGAAAAAGAGGCUAUUUGUUUUUUUACUGUGUCAGAGUGGUUUUUAUAAUUAUAUUCAAUUUAUUAAAAUAUUAAAUUAAUAUAUUUUUAAAUGUUUCUUGUUAUUAUAUAUAUAUAUAUAUAUAUAUAUAUAUAUAUAUAUAUAUAUAUAUAUUCUAAUAUGUUUUUAAAUAAAAAAUUAUUUUAAAAAAAUAUGUGUCACAAUACUAAAUUAUAGUAUAAAUUAAAAUAUAAAAGAGUUCUCUGUUUAUUACUAUUUACCGAGACUUAUUUUAUUGUAGAUAUUAAUAGUGAAUUUUUUUAAAAUUUUUAAUUUGGUAUUUGAAUUAUUUUUUUUUCAUAAUUAAAUAUCUUUAUACCCAAAUUAAAACUCAAUUGCAUUUUGUUUUUUAAGAAUAAGAGUUGAAUUCAAAGAUAAAUGCCUGUAAUGAAAAACUCUGUAAAAAUAUGCGGCAACAUUGUAAUUGUUUGCAAAGUUCAUUUUAGUCCCUUAUCUUUUUGAGCUACUAAGUAACAUGUCCCUAUAAUUUCUCAACAUUACAUUUUAUCCAGAAUCUCGGAUUAUGCUUUAGGGACUAAACUGAAUUUUUUAUAAAUUGAGAGACCAAACUGAAAUUUUAUCAUCUUCAAUCUCAAAUCUAAAAUUUUCACAUAUCACCUACUGAUAUAACAAGAUUUCUAACUCAAAUUCACCAUUUAAACAAACCAUAACUCAAAAUCAUCAUUUUUACUUAAAAUCUUUCAAAAUCAACUAAAUAACUCAUUAUUCAUAACAAUCAAUACAUAAUAUUCAAAUCAAUUCAUCAAUCAAACCCAAAACACAAUAUUCAAAACCCUCAUAUUCAACAAAACAAAAAAUUAAAGCUAAGAAAAACACAUUUAUACACAUCAAAGCGUAAAUAUUCUUAUCUUUUAAUUUAUUUUCUCUAACUAUCUUAUCCUUUCUUUAUCUUUUCCUCUUUUCUCUUUUUCUUCUUUCACUCUCACGGUUUUUUCUCUAAGAAUUCAAAUCUCUCUUUUUUUUUUCUAUUUAUAUUUAUGAACUAUUUGUUCAAUUACUACAAUACCGUUCAUUUAUUUAUACCUACUUCUAAGCCUCCAUGAGUUUUGUUGUCUUUUUCUAUUCUCUUUUAUUUCCAAAUCAUCACAAUAAAAUUGUUUUCUUUUUAUUUAGCUGCUAAUUUAUGCAGCUUUAGCUCUUGUUCUCUUUUCAUGUUUAGCAACUCUGAUCUGUUCCUUUCUUUACAUGAUAUAAGAGCAGGUUCUUACCUCUUGAAGUCUGCUGGAUAAACCUAUCAGCAGAAGAUCCUGAAGCGAUCCCAAAUCACAGCUUCAAUCCCCACCACAACCAAUCUCCUCUUUCCCGUAGUCUGUCGUCCUCAAUUGGGAAAUGAUCUCAAAAAAUCACUUGAUGCAACAAGUAGGGUAGAGAAAUAUAAGACUUCAACAAAGAAUCAAACUCAAAAAAAUAAAAGUAAUUGUCUAUGAGAAGCAUUUCUGUGUCACACACUCAAGUAAUAUGAUUGACCUAUUACAUUAUACAAAAUAAUAAUAAUAAUAAUAAUAAUAAUAAUAAUAAUAAUAAUAAUAAUAAUAAAAGAACUAGGUUUUUGAUGGCAUCCAGAGUGCUGUUACUUUCAAACAAAGAGGCUUGUGCAUGCGGUGUUACGCUGUUCAUGUAGGCUAAGAUAUCCUAUGAAUACAAUUGUAAAAUCAUACAAUUGUAUUCUUUUUAUUAAGCUGCUAAUUUAUGCAGCUUUAGCUCAUGUUCUCUCUUCUUGUCUUGCUAUUCUGAUUUUAUCUUUUUCUUUGCAUGAUAUAAGAGCAGGUUCUUACCUCUUGAAGUCUGCUUCAAUCCCCGUAGUCUUCCGUCCUCAAUUGGGAAAUGAUCCAAAAUCAACAACCGGUUCGGAGAUAGUUUGAGUGAAAAGAAACGGCUGAAAGAUGAAAUGUGAAGGUUAUGGUGAGAAAUUAGAUGACAAACUUACUUUGUCCUCCUAAUGCUUUUGCUUUCAUUGUUUCGAAAGUAAAAGAGACAUAAACAUAAUCAGUGUGUUUUCUGUUUAGCAAUAGCUAGAAAGGUAUCUGCUUAAAAAGACCAUUGAACAAGGGAUGACCCAUUCAGCAAGGGAUUCUGCUAGGAAAACAUGAAAUUGUUCUUCUAUUUGAUAUUUGUUUCAAUCUUCUAAACAAAUAGUACAGCAUCAAGUCUCAGUCACCUAUUCACGAAAUUGUUGUAUUUCUAAUGACUAUGCUAAUAAAAAAGUUGAGCCAGCAUGACACAUGAAAUUCAAAAAUAACAAAAUAACAUGAGAAAAUAAAUAUUUAUAUUAUAAUUAUGCAUCUUAAAAAAUCACUUGAUGCAACAAAUAGGAUAGACUUCUAGGAAAUUCUUUCACUGUAAAAUGGCUGAAGGUUCUUUUAUGAACAUUUAUAUUAAAAAAUUGGGUCAAUUGAUCUUUGUUAUUUAACAUGAAUAAAGUGUUGAUUUAGUCUUGUAGUUAUUAUAUCAAAGUUUUUAUUAGUUUAUGCACGAUCCCUUAUUUUACUUGCUUUAUUUUUUUUAAACCCAGCUUAGUUUCAAUCUCGAAUCUAUCGGGUCCCACUACCAGAUAUUCGCUAAAUACCAACGGAUUUACCGACGAAAUAUUUUCUGUCGGUAUUUUGAGGUCGAAAUUACCGACGGCCACUUUCCGUCCGUAAUUCAGUCGGUAAAAACCGACAAAAACUUUUCCGUCCGUAAUUCAGUCGGUAAAUACCGAUGGAAAUUUUCCGUCGGCAUUUACCGACUGAAUUACGGACGGAAAAGUUUCUGAAUUUUAAAAAAGGCGGGUCGCUGACGUGGAGGUUUUGGCGGGUUUUUUUUUUCCGACGGAAUCACCAACGGAUUCAAAAACGACUGCCCGUACAGUGCCCGUAAAGUGAUGUGACCGGUUCACCGUUUAAAUUUCCGACGGACUCACCGAGGGAUUUGAAAUGGCAGAUCCGUACGGUGACAUGUCUAUGUUUCCGUCAGAAUCACCGGCAUAAUAACCGACGGAGUGUCCGUCGGUAAAACCGUCGGAAAAAGUUAAUAUAUGACAGCUCUGCCGACCCUCUCAUCCCCUAUUUCUCCUUCUUCUUCCUCAUCCCAACUCUCCCCAUCUGCAAACAACCAGCCCCCCCUCCCCCCUAAAAAAAAAAAAUCUUCCUCAUAUCAGCACAAGAAGUUAUAUUUCUUGAAGUUUUGUGGUCACGGCAUCCGCGCGUGUUCUGAUUUAUCGACGGAUUUUAUCAAUUUUUGUAAGUAAUUAUAUCUUUUUAAAUUUUAACAUUUAAUUAAAUGUCAAUUUUAUUGUUUUUUUAGUAUAUGUAUUUUGUUAGUAGAUGUACAUGUUUUAUUGUUAUUUCUCAAACAAACUUGUAGUAUAUGAAUGUAUAAUUUUGUACCUGUUAUGGUUUGUUUUAGAUUUUGUAAGAUUGUAUUUGUUUGUAAAUUAUUAUUUCUUUAUGGAAUUACCGAAUUACAUGUGCUAUUUUGAAAUAAUUAAUAGCUUGGUUAAUGGGCCCGUUUAAAGUUUUAUCAAUGGUAUUGUGGAGUGGUAAUUUCUGUAAAUUUAUAUUUUUUAAUUCGUAUGGACGUUGAUAAAUGAUAAUGAAUAUUUAAUAUUUAUGAGAAGUUGUGAUUGGUUUGUUGGAUAAUCUCGAGUUAAAGUAAUAUUUGUACAAGUUUAUUUACCUAACUUAGUUAAUUAAUACAUGAUGUCAUCAUAAUUUUAUAGAGGUUCGAUAUAAGUCAUGGAUGAUCGUUCAUGGAUGUAUCGAGAUUCACCCCAAGGAUUGCGGAGGAUGGAUUAUUGUAAUGGGGUUCAGGGUUUUAUUAAUUUCGUAACAUUUAUUCCCAGAAAUUUUACUGGAGGCGGUAUUAGGUGUCCAUGCAGGAAGUGUGAAAAUAAAAAGUAUUUGCAUCCAGAUGUUGUAAUGAUACAUCUUCUACACAAAGGGUUUAUGGAGAAUUACCAGUGUUGGUAUGCACAUGGAGAAGUAUUUGUUAGCGAGAGUGAGAGGAGAAUGGAAGAAACGGUGGUUGGGUCUACUUCUAGUGCUAGUAACGUGCAUGAAACGGCAAAUGACAACACUAAUCCUUACAGAAAUAUGGUUAUGGAUGCAAUGAGAAUGAAUCAAGGUAAUGGCAGUCAAUGUCCAAUCGUAGAAGAAGAACCUAAUGUAGAUGCAGCUAGGUUUUUUGAUUUGUUGAAAGAUUCUGACGAACCAUUAUGGGAUGGCUGCACGAACCACAGUAAAUUAUCGGCUGUAGCACAGGUGUUCACCAUCAAGUCAGAUCACGGGUUGAGUGAGGCCGGGUAUGACAAGAUUAUUGAAUGGGCAAGAAGCAUUUUACCUGAAGGGAACAGGCUGAAAGAGAACUUAUAUGCUGCGAAGUUCAUGAUGAAACCCCUCGGUUUAGGAUACCAGAAAAUUGACAUGUGCCCUAACUUCUGCAUGUUAUACUACCUUGAAAAUGCUGAGAUGACUGAGUGCAUGACAUGCGGGCAUUCCCGUUACAAACCUAGAACUGGCAGGGGAAAGACUCUAGUGGCAUAUAAAAAACUUAGAUACUUCCCGAUCACACCUAGACUGCAGAGGUUAUUCAUGUCACCAAGGACUGCUGAGCACAUGACAUGGCACCAAGCACACCAUGCGGUUGAUGGAGUGAUGGUUCAUCCUUCUGACGGCGAAGCGUGGAAACGCUUUAACAGUGUUCAUCCUCACUUUUCAGCUGAAUCAAGGAAUGUGCGUCUUGGGUUGUGUACAGACGGAUUCAACCCAUUUGGGUCAUUUGCUGCUCCUUAUUCUUGUUGGCCGGUCAUACUCACAGUUUAUAACUUGCCACCGGGAAUGUGUAUGAGGCCGGAGUUCAUGUUUUUAUCUAUUGUCAUACCCGGUCCAAGAAGCCCGGGGCGGAAUAUAGAUGUUUGUCUUCGACCGUUGAUUGAUGAGUUGACGCAGUUGUGGUCCUCCGGAGCUCUGACUUAUGAUAUAUCGAGGAAACAAAAUUUCCUUAUGAGGGCGGCAUUGAUGUGGACUAUCAAUGAUUUUCCAGCUUAUGGAAUGCUUUCUGGUUGGAGCACGCAUGGGAAACUCGCAUGUCCAUAUUGCAUGGAAAACAACAAGGCAUUCACGCUAGCAAAUGGAGGUAAAGCUUCUUUUUUUGACUGUCACCGUCGCUUCUUGCCACUUCAUCACAGGUACAGAAAGAACAGAAAAGAUUUCUUUGCUGGCAGAGUUGAAAAAGAUGUUGCAUCCCCGCGUCUUUCUGGUGAAGAAUUGCAUGAUGUUGUCUUAGAGUACGGUGACAUUGUGUUUGGCCUUCAAUCAGGAAAGCAAAAGUUUCCUGGUUUUGGUUUGACCCAUAAUUGGGUAAAGCGAAGUAUCUUUUUUGAGCUUCCUUAUUGGAAGACCAAUCUGCUUCGCCAUAACCUUGACGUCAUGCACAUCGAAAAGAACAUGUUUGAGAAUAUUUUCAACACCGUCAUGGAUGUGAAGGGGAAGACAAAGGACAACAUCAAGGCUAGAUUGGAUAUAGCUUUAUACUGUAACCGAAAAAAUAUGGAGUUGGUUUAUGAUGAGUCACGGGUCGCAAAACCAAAAGCAAGCUUCGUGUUAGAGAAAAACGCACAACUGCUAGUCUACAAAUGGCUUAAGAGUCUGCGUUUUCCGGAUGGACAUGCAUCGAACAUAUCAAGGUUGGUUAAUAUAGAGGACUGCAGAUUGUAUGGAAUGAAGAGUCAUGACUGCCACGUGUUUAUGCAAACACUCAUCACAUUAGCUUUUCGUGAUUUGUUGCCAAAGGGAAUAUGGGAUGCACUCACGGAGAUCAGUCAUUUCUUCAGAGAUAUAUGCUCCAGCAAGUUGAAUGUUGAUCACAUUGAGAGGCUUCAAACGAAUAUCGUCGAGACACUGUGCAAACUUGAGAUGAUAUUCCCUCCAUCAUUUUUUGACUCAAUGGAGCAUCUCCAUAUACAUCUAUCGUUCGAGGCAAAAGCUGGAGGACCGGUCCAAUAUAGAUGGAUGUACCCAUUCGAACGGUUAGAUAUUACAGUUGCAAUGUAAUUCAUAUAUAAAAGUAUUUUAUAUGUUUUUCUUAAUUGAAAAUACUUGAUUAAUAUUUCAGGUGCGGUCGCAGCUAGUUCGUCUAGCAGCGAGGAUGAUAUUUCCUUAGGUGCCUCUCAAGAAGAGGCACCUACACCACCUGCGCCGUCAACCGAUGCUGCCUCUUCCAGCGGUACUUCACAGCGCAGAGGCGGCGUGCCUUCGCAGCGGAAUCAAUUUACCCGCAAGUACGAGGCACAGUGGAAGGACGACCUUUCAAUGUAAGUUUGUUAAGGUUUUAGUUUUUUUUAAAAAAAAUUACAACAUAAUUUAUCAAGUAAUCACUAUUGAAUUUAUUUCAUUUAUUUUCAGGUUCACAAACAUUGAAGUCGCCCGAGUAAUAUCAUCGGCGUUUAAAUCGUCGAUGGAGAUUCCAUUGUUUCAAUGGAGUCAGAUAUCCAAGCAUCCUGAAUGGAUGCCUCAAAUCAAUGCAUGGUUUAACAGGUUUGAGGUUGGUAUUAAUUUAUAAUUUUCAGCUUAUUAAUAUAAUUGUAUUAUUUUUAUUUAAACUUGUUUAUUUAUACAAAGCACAAAUUCUGCUAGGACAUUGAGCAUAACGCUGUUGUGAGGAGGGUGUGGGAAAAUCACGCGGCAACUAGGUAAGAUCGAAAACAAUACAUGAUUUUUUUUAGACAAAAAUUUAUGUUUCGAAAUGUAAUUUUUGGUUGCGUGAAGCAGGUUGCGUGAUUUUUGGUAUGAAGCACAGAAAAAGGCAAAAAAAACCGCGAGGGAUAGGGGUUUCCAAGGCUGGAACGAUGUUGCGGUUUGGAGGGAUUUCAAACUGAUAUACAUCCCGGAAGAUAUAUGGCCGCACUAUCUUGAGCACGUGACGUCUGAGCAGUUCACACGACGCUCACAGUCCGGUGCUGGCAACCGGAAUCGACCAAUUCAUGGCGGGGUGAGAACUCACACUGGCAGCUCCGUUCCGUUUGCUGCACAUGCGAAACGGAUGGUAAGAUUAAUUUAAAUGAAAUAUAUCGUUAAAUUCAGUUGUUGUUAAUAUAUCUUUUUUCAUUAUAGGCUGCGUCUCUUGGACGUGAGCCGAGCCCGAUGGAGCUGUUUGUGGAGACGCACGUGCGGAGUCAAGACCGCCAGAAGGGGGCGCAACAGUUCGUUGAUAACCGUGCUCAGCAUUUCGUGGUAUGUUUGUUCAACCAUUUUAUUUUCUAAGUUAUUAUGUUUAUUGUAUUGAAUAUGAUGAUUACUUUUUUUAUUUUAUUUUCAGGAGACCUAUAAUAAUCGGUUGAGGGAGAGAUACGGGGACGAUACUUUGACCCAUCCGGAAUUCGAUCCGGAUUUGUGGAUGGAGGUUGGCUCGUCAGGUGGACCAGAUAAAAAUCGGGUUUACAGCCUCUCCAACACUACGGCCGACAACUUGCGGUCGACCCAUAGUGUUUCAACCGUUGGGAACUCCCAAUCAAUAGCGAGCUCCCAAUCUAAGGAGUUUGUGGCUUUGCAGCAACUCAACGAGAAAUACGACAACCUACAAGCGGAGUACGCACAACUCAAAGCAUCUCAUGCACAACAAAGAGCGGAGUCUGAGCAAUUCAAAGCGUCUCAAGCACAACAAAAAGCGGAGUAUGAAGCGGCUCAUGAACAGCAAAAAGCGGCUUAUGACCAGCUUUACGAAAUGAUUAUGAAAUUGUCAAAUAGCGGAACAUGUGCGCCUAAUCCUUUUUGGCCGUAUAACCACCAGCCUCCGCCCGGAUCUCCUCCUCCUCCUCAAGCUCCAUCAUCUUUAUAUUAAUUUGUAAUCAACAUUAUUUACCUUUAAAACUUCAUUUAUUAUUUUUCUUGAAACAUAUUCAGUUUGUAAUGAAUAUUAUUUAACUUUUUUUUUUUAUGUUUAAUAAAAAUUUUAUUUGCAUAAUUGGUUUGUAUAACAAUUAAUUUAUAUAGUUUUAUAUUAUAUAUCCUAAAUAAUUUUUUAAAAACAAAUUAAGAAAAAAACUAUUACCAAGGAUUUUACCGACGGAUGAAUUCGGUCGGUAUUUUAAACUUUCACCGACAAACUUACCGACGGAAUUAAUCCGUCGCCAUUUAACAGUAGCUUCCACCAGUACCGACGAAUUUACAGACGAAAAUAUUCCGUCGGUAUUUCAUACAUUCACCGACCGAUAUCACGACGGAUAUUUUCCGUCGGUAAUUUCAAUUUCACCGACGGAAUGAAAAUCCGUCGGUAUAUUUCAAGCGGGAAUCUUUUUUUUUUGGCGCGCACGUUCCGUCUGUAAAACCGUCGGUAAAUGAUUUUUUUGUUUUUCCGACUGAUAUACCGACGGAAUGAGGAAUCACCGACGAAGGUAAAGCCGACAGACGUAUUCCGUCGGUAAAAAAAUCACCGACGAACUUCUAAUCACACACCGACGGAAUUUUGCCGCCGGUAAAACUGUGAAAUCUUGUAGUGUCCUGGAUCGACCCAUAAAGCCAAACCAAGUUUUAAAACUAUGUUAUCUUAGCAAAUUUAAUUAUCCCAAUUCUUAAUUUUCAAUUGAAAAUGCUAAAGAAUUCCCCACUGGGAGCAAAUAAUAAUAUGUUAAGCAUGACAAAUUUUAUUUAAAUUAAAAAGCCAAAAAUGAACGCAUCUACUCUUGCAAGAAUGGACUCAAAAGUUCAGCUAGUCCGCAUAAUUAAAUAGUACUGUUACUGUAAACUACUAGGAAAUUCAUGGGUAGAGCCAAAAUGUUAACAAUAGCAUUGAUUCGGUCAGGGGCUCUGGUGUAUAGAGAGGACCUUGCCGUUAGAAACUAUGGAGCCCACUAUUUAUUAAUCCAUUUUUAUUUACUACUUAUUACUAUUUAAUUAUUUUUAUUUACUAUAUUUUUGUUUGUGAUACCCAGUACCAAUAAAAUUUGAGAUUCCUUCAAUUUUUUAGGUGCAUGCAAGUCUAAUGGCUUCAUGUACAAAAGCAAUUCAAGGGUGUGUAUCCUUAACUAUCAGGCUAACCUUUACAGGCUUCGCUAGCAAUCAAUAAUUAUUUUUUAAUGAAUUCAUUUUUUAUUUAAAAUAAGGAAAAGGACAUUGGUGAAUAAAUUGUUUCCUUCCUAUUAUAAUUGUUAGACCUUACCAAAGGGCUAAUUUAGAAAAAGAUUAUAACUUAUAGGUCACCAGGGCCGAGGUCAACUUGUAAUUAAGUAGAUCAAUUUAAAUUAAUUGUUUUUAUUUAAAUGAUAAUGUUUUGUUUUUUUUUCUUGAUAUUAAUUUGGCUAAUUUUUAUCAAAUCAAAUCACUAAAAACUUAACCAAAACAAAUUUCAUCAAAUCAAUAAUAUUUUAUGUAGUUGAAUUAAAAAUUCAAUUCAAUUCUAGCUCUGAACCCUGAUUAAGCAUACAGGUUUAAAAAAUAUGCAUCUCACUUGCAGCUGUGGUUUGCUGCGGGCAUUUGGUAAUUGGGAGAGGCUUUAGUUUCGUACCUGUUGAUCUGCUUCAUAUACACUUGGACCUCUUAUUUUAUUUUAUAUUGGUUGGAUCCAAACUUAAUCCAAUACAAAAUUAACAUAUUUAUUAUUUAUUUAAGAUAAAUGAUAUGGCUUUAACAUAUUAGCGUACACUUAAUAUGAUUAAAUUUAAUUUAAUUAAUUAACAUCUCACCGCAAUAAAUUUUACCAUUUGCAACCAUAAACAGUUGACACCUUAUUAAUAUAAUCAAUAUAGUAGAAAAAUUAUAGUGAUUUAAAACAAUUCAUUAAAAUGUUCGUAAAUGUUUUUAUUUUGUGAUGAUGGUUUUCGUGUUAUCUUUUAUGUAUUGUCGCUACCGUACAUGAACGCCUGACAUGAGGGUUAUUUGAAAUCAUUAUCUAGUUAUUUAGUUUAAGGUCACUAAGAAACCUAUAAAUACUAGUCUUGUUAGAGAUUUGAGAGUAAAUGACUAGUUGUGGCUAAAGAAUGUAUUAACACUCUUAAUGCACCCUACCCAAGUAAAUUAUUUUGUGAUUAAACGUGGUUUAGAGAUUUUGAUGAUUUUCUGAUAUAUCUAUAGUUUAGGAUUGGGAUUUGCUUGUAUGAAUAAAUUUGGUGUUUAAUAAUUUAUCAUGGAUUCUUGUACCCAGAUAAAUUCUUAGAAAAAAAAGUUCUUCAUAAUUUGUGUACGUAUUACGGUAAAAAUUACUCUCAAUAAAAAUUCAUGAAUAUUUAGAAUAACUUUGAGGAUUUUCUAAUCAACUUCAAUAUUUCAAAUAUCAGCCUCACUUAUAGGUAUAGCGUUUUAUAUCAAUAUUUUUAACCAUUAAUUCUCAUUAAUUAAAAAAUAGUGGUUUAUUAAAAUAUUGACCAAAUUCACAUGAAUUUAAUAAACUAGUUAUUAAAUUUUAAAAUGCAUAUACAUAUAUAAUAUUUUAAUUUGUUUUUAAAUAAAGAAUAUUUUUAAAAAGCAUGUGCCAUAAUACCAAAUUAUAGAAUAAAUUAAAAGAGAAAGGAGUUUUCUCUUCAUCACUAUUCACUUAUAUUCAUUUUACUAUGGAUAUUAAUAGUGAAUUUUUUGAAAAUUUCCAAUUUGGUACUCAAUUAUUUUUUUUUCACAAUUGAGCUCUUUUAAAUCCAAAUUAAAGCUUAAUUGCAUAUUUUUUCAAGGAUGAGGGUUGAAUUGAAAAACAUAGGACUGAAGUGAAAAACUCGAAUAAAAUAAGUUGUGGUUUUGCAAUUUGUUUGCAAGUUCAUUUUAGUCCCUAUAAUUUUUUAUCAUUGUAUUUUGAUACCAAACUUUAUUUUCUUCUGUUUUUAGUUUUUUUGUGUAAGAGAGAGAGAGAGAGGAUCACCAUAUUUUGUUUUAGAGAGAAAAAGUUAUUUUUAAGGAUUGUGACCACCAAAACAAUUGAUUUUUGUGUUAAAUUGUUAUGUCUUAAUUCAACAAGGUUCCUUGAAUGUUUUCUAGGUGUUUUGGGUUAAAAUGGGUUGAAGACAGGUUUUAGGUUAUAAUUAGGUUUUUUACCAAAUUGAUCAAAUUUUUUUAAAAAAAAAAACAAAUCAAGAAGAGAAAAAGACUUGUAAAAAAGUAGAAUUACUGAAGGAAGCUCAACAAAGAAUCAAACUCAUGCAAUUAAAAAUAAUUGUCUAUGAUGACCAUCUCUGUAUCACACAUUCAGGAAAUAUGAUUGACCUAUAACAAUAUUAAAAAAAACAAAAAAAAAAUAAGCUAAUAGAUGGUCGCCACGUGUUCAACUUUAUCUAACCUUAGCAAAGGAUAGAAAGUGGGAGAGAGAGAGAGAGGUUAAAAGGAUUAAGAAAAAGAAAAAAGGAAAGGCAGAAACGGAAGAAGACAUUGAAAGAAAGAAAAAAACGAUAAGUUAUUUAACGUCUUUUUAGGGGGGGAAAAAAAAGCUUGUAACACCGUGCAGACCAAACAGAAGAGACAUCUGUUUAUUUAAAGAAAAAAAAAAUAUAUAUAUAUAUAUAUAAAUACUCUCUCUUCCAAUUUCCUCUCCCAGCUGAAUUUCGGCGACCGCCCACACAACGAUAGCCUACACAACCACCAGCCAUGCCACCUUUCAAGACCCCAUCUCUCAACCUCAAAACCAAAAACAACUCUUUCUCCAUUUAUCCGAACCUCAUAACUCCAGGAAGGUGAAGGACUAAACCAUAGUGGCAAAAAUCUUAAAGGGUUCUAAAUUGUCUGUUACUUUCCCUUAAUUUUCUAGACAAGCAAAAGGAGCUAAACUUAUUCCCGACCAAAACGUCAAGAAUUUCAGUAGAACAAAAGAAGAGAUCAUUACUUGACCAAAAACAACUAGUCAGCACCCAAAGAAACCGAGUGAAUGAGAGAAAAUUAAAGAUUAAUAGCUAGAAAACAAUAAACAGAUCCAAGAAUUUUCUGUAUGGUUUCCAAGAAAAUGAAACGAAAUGAGCAGCACAACCCUCUUUCUCCUCCAAGAAAAGAAAGAAAAAGAAAGGAAAGAAACAAAGAAAGUCAAACUUGGCUCCUCUUUUAGUGUUAAAAAAAAAAAGAAGUUAGAGGAAGUGGGCUGCCUUUUUUCUGCUGUUCAUGUGGUGUUCUGCUGUUCACGCAGACUAAGAACUCCUACCAUCGUAAAAUCAUACAAUUAAAACACAACAAUAAUAAAGUAAUAAGCAGCUAAUUAUGUGCGAAAACAAGAGAAAUAAGGAUACAGAACGUGAGAGUGAGUCACUACAAGUAAAAGAGGCGCUGAGAGAAUGGGAAUAGGAAUUUCAUUACCUAAACUUGAGAAAAUUGUGCGAAAAGCACUGGUACUGAUUGCUCAAUGAAAUGGAGAAGGCCUUUAGCUCUGUAUGGAAUCCAGCUUCAAAAGCAACGAGGCAAGGUAUAAGCAUUUUGAUGACAUAAUUAAGAUACUAUGCGUCGUAAUAUAGAGACGGUGACAAAGAAUUAAAGAAAAAUAACGUGUACAAGUACUCACCAAGCAAAGAAAGAAACGAAUGAAAGGUUCGGGAUAAUCACUUAGACGCCUCCAUGGAUGAUACCAGCUCGCUUCCAACAACAAAUAUAAUUAACCUAAGCUAUGAUCGGUCAAUGUUUUUUUUAGUUUUCUUCUUUUUUAUAUAUAAAAAAAACAGAUCAUCAAGGGAAAAGACUUGCAAAGAAGUAGAAUUAAUGGAACGAACACAACAAAGGAUCAAACUCAAGCAAUUAAAAGUAAUUGUCUAUGAGUACCAUCUGUGUCACGCACUCAAGUGAGGAGAGAAAAGAAGGAGAAAGAAAGGAAAGGGACAAGGAAGGAAGAAAGUAAGGUCACGUAGGGGCCAGUCUUGUAGAAAUUUUGAAAAGUAGCAUGAAAAAGAGGAUAAUAGAGUAGUUGUCAGAAUCAAAACACAUCUAAACAGAGGACAAAAACAGGGAGGGAGGCUGUUUGUUUUUUUAACUGUGCCUGAGUGAUUUUUAUAAUUACAUUUAAUUUAAAAAAUAUUAAAUUAAUAUAUAUUUUUAAUAUUUCUCGUUAUUACAUAUAUAUAUAUAUAAUAUUUAAUAUAUUUUUAAUUAAAUUUUUUUUAAAAAAAGUAUGUGUCACAAUACAAAAUUAUAGUAUAAAUUAAAAGAAAAAGGAGUUUUAUGCUCAUUACUAUCCACUAGACUUGUAGAUAUUAAUAAUAAAGUUUUUGAAAGUUUUCGAUCUAGUAUUUGAAAUUUUUUUUUUUUUGCAUAAUUGAAUUUAUUUAAGCUUAAUUGCAUAUUUUUUAAAAGGAAAUAGGUUGAAUUGAGAAACAGAGAAACUCGGCAAAAAUAUGUGGUUAAAAUCAAUCCUUUUUAAAAAAAAAAAAAAAAAACUCCUUAGUUGUUAAGGAAAGAUUGGUAGUGUGAACAAAUCACCAAAGUCAGCAGCAAGGAAGUUCCAGGAAGUGGGCAGCCUGUUUCAGGGCUACCUGUUUUUGAGAAUUAUGGAAAGUUAUCCCUAACUCAAAAACGGCACCAAUUAUAAGUUCAUUAAAAAAAAUCUGGAACACAACAGAUGGAAAAAACUCGAAACAACUUGUAUAGAAUUUAGGCAAGAAGAAUGAGCCAAGAUUUCAAGUGCAAUGAAAUUUGUCUCACUUUGUUUUUUUAUUUAAUGAUACAAGAUAUACCGUCCUAUUUCAAGGGUAAAAUAGAAUGGAAUAGACAACCUUUAAAGGGAGCAUAUACCACAUAUGUGUAGCUGGAAUUCGAUAGCCUUUCUCCAAUGCUGACAUGUGCUUUACAUGCAUGCACCAACAUUUCACAUCGGCAAGUGAGGAUUUGGUAGCUCAUCUUAUUAAUAGUGUUGGUUAAUGACUUGUCAGACGCGUUUUGAGGUCAUGCGUGGUCAUCAAAAACAAAUUUGUGAGGGCGAUAAGGUCCAAAAUGGACAAUAUUUGACAAGUUGGAUCGGACUAUGACAUUUGGUAUCAAAGCUGGCCUCACUAACUAUCCAGUUGUGCUGAUGGGGUCAUUGAGCUCCUUAAGGGGGUGAAUUGUAAUAUCUCACAUCGAUGAAUGAGGAUUUAGAAGCUGACCUUAUUAGUAGUGCUGGUUGCUAACUUGUCAGAUGCGUUUUGGGGUCAUGCGUGAUCACAAAAAACAAAUUCGUGAGGAUGAUAAGGCCCAAAACGGACAAUAUUUGGCAGGUUGGGUCAGGCUGUGACAUAUUCGAUAAUAACUCUUCAAUUAAGUCCUAAAUCUCAUUUCAUCUUUUCAAUUUAAUCCCUAAUUUGACACCAACUCUUCAAUUAGACCCCAAAGCUCAUACCACUUGAGGAAAGCCCUCUUCUUUCAAUUUAGCCCCUCAUUUAUCUUUAAUUUAAUAUCGAAUUUUAUUCGAUCCAAGCCCAAAAUAGGCUCAAGCGAAGACAAAAUAAAGGAAGGAAAGAAAAUGAAUAAUUGCCCAACCAAGUUAACGUAUUCUGGUCUUUUCUCCAUGAUUCGGGUUGAACAUUUGACAUUUAUCCUUUUUUUAGAGGCUUUUCUCUAUGUUCGUUAUGACGCUGUACACGUGCGACAACCAUUAAAUCUAUAGUUAAUUUCAUUUUUUGAUAAAAGAUAAUGCCAUCAGUAUAGAAUGGUUACCAACUGUUAGUUUAAUAAGCCUUGUAUCCAAUCGGUUAGUUACACGAUAUAUUAUUAUAUUCAUGUAAAUACAUAUUUAUUAUUAAUAAAGGCUUAAUUUAACUUUAAUAUUCAUAUAAUAUUAGAUUAAUGAAUCUAGAGUGUCAUAACCCUUUUUGGGUUUUUCCCCAAAUUCAUUUUUUCUCUUCUAAAAAUUAAAAAAAUAUAUAUAUUUAGACUAAAAAAAAUAAUAACAGUGAGAAGGGGAUGCCAAAACGCCUGGAAAAUAACUAAAAAUUGGUUGAGGAGGUUUAAAAAUACAAGGAUUGAAAUUUGGCAGUAUAUCAUUGACUGAUGAGAGCCCGAUUGACAAAGAAAAUUCAAUUUGAGGAAGAAAUGUCUAAAAUCAGAUGUUUAUUGGACUCAAUUAAAUUUAUUAAAGGUUAAAUUGAGUUUAUAGAGGGUUUGAUUGCAAGAACAAUUGAUUUUGGAGUCAAUUUGGGCUUUAUUUGGAAGAAAUUAAAGUUCUGAGGUCAAAAUAUAAUUUUAAGGAGUUAAUUUGGUCAAAUCAGGGGCUUAAUUGCAUAAAUAUUGAAGUUUGAUGGCCAAUUAGGGACUGAAUUGAAGAAAUCUCAAACCAAGAACCAAACUGGAAAAGACACGUAAAUAGAGAGGCUGUAAUUAACCGAAUAAGGGGCUAAAUUAAAGAAAUUGGAAGUUUAUUUAUUAAUUAAGGGUCAAAUUGCAUACAUCAGAGACCAAGGACUAAAGUGAAAAAGGCGGCCAACUUCAGGGCCGACGAUUGAAUUUGACAGGGAUGCAAUUGAAUUGAUUUUUAAAAUCAAAAUAGCAAUUUAGGACUUGAUUGAAUAAAUCACAAAUUGAAGACUGAUUUGGACUUUGACACGAUUUUGCCGCCAUUUUCAUUUUGCUUAAUAUUGGUUUGUAUUUUAAUACUGUAAAAAUACAAAUCCGAUAUUAAAAUACUUGGUUUUUGUCAAAACAUAAAAUAUAUAUAUAUAUAUAUAUAUAUAUAUAUAUAUAUAUAUAUAUAUAUAUAUAUAUAUUUGUUUCAUGCAUACGUCCAAGUCUCUCAAAGAUAAAAAAAAAAAAAAAACCAUAUUGUAUUUUCAUACUACAAAGAAAACUUCAAAAAAAAAUAUGUUUUAACAUGCAUUUUGGCUUUAAUAACCAGUUUAUUAAAGUCACGAGAAUUUGGCAAAUAUUUAAAAAAUUUCAAAAAAAAUAUUUGUUUUUUUUAGUAUUAGGGAUUAUGAAUUUAUAUGUAAAAUGUAUUUUCAAUAUUAAAAGUGUUUUUCUUUUGAUGACAUAAAACAUUUAGGUGUUUACCUGAUAAGAUAAGAAUCUCUUUAUAGAGGAGGAUUUUUCUUAAACCAUAGAUAGACUGACAAUUAAAAACCACAACAAGACCUUAAAUUUUAUCAAACAACAAAACAAUGCAGCUUACAUUAGGUAGGGUGUAGUUGGGGUGCUAAUACCUCCCCUUUAUGCAACCAGUCUUCGUACCCGAUCUCUAAGACCAAUUAGGGUUCCUAGUGACCAAAAUACUAGGUGGAAACUCCCAUUCUAUUUUCCACUGAUAAAAGACAAGAAUUCCUUGUCUCCCCACAUUUACCAGAUAGAUAUACAUUUACUUGAGAGGGUGGACGUUUAUCGUGACACCGCACACAUGCGACAGAAUGGCGACUCCACAAGGUACCUUGUGGAUUAAUCUUUGUUUUUGUCUGAUUAUCGUGUUUUAUUGUUUGGUUUGUGUGUUAUUGUUAAUAUGCAUUUUCUCAUUUGCUCAUACGCUUUAAUUUUGUACAUAUUUGUUCAUGGAUUGUAUAAAAUUGUUUCAUGCAUCAUUCACAUUUUAUGAGAGUUUAUACUGAGAAAAACUUUAGGUUAAGUGGGGGACUAGUAGCUUACCUUACAAUUUUUAGUCGAGGUUUAAGUUUGUGUAAACCUCAACUCUUUGCUGAGUACUUAGAUUGAUAAUGAUUGGUACACAUGUCAUCUCAUUACCUAUUAAGCCCUUAUAUUGCCUUUACGAGGGUGAUCACUGGGACAACAAGAGACCCUUUUAAGACUAGGUAGAAAUGCACCCAUCAUGUAAUGGCCCAAAACCUAUCCUUAGAGUAUAAGCUCCCUAAUAUACAUGUACAUAUAUUUGCAUCCAUACAUACAUCAAUUCAUUGUAAAUAACAUACGUGCAUCAGAUUGAAAUAUAGGUCCCUAAAAAGUGUACAACACCCGACUUUGAGCAAGAAACAUAGAAGAUGGAGAGCGUGCUCACCGUGAUGCCUAUUUUCAAGAAGAGUUGGAGUCUCUGAAGACAAGCAUGGCUCGCCUUACUAGCUUACUCGAGCAAACACUGAGAAAUACCUCUGGUGAAGGCCCUUCUAACCGGCUAGUCACCGUCAAUUAGGCUUCAACUACAGUUUAGCCUGAAGAAAGAAUGAGUGAACAUGGUCAAGAGCCUUAAUAAAAUCCAACAUUUGUACAGUCAGCGACACUUGCAUUAGCCCCGACAGUCAUGAAGGUAUUUGCUAAUGAGUCCCAUAUGGCCAAUUCAUCUGAUAGCAUUGAUCAAGAUAAAAUACAGGCAUUGGAAGCCAGAAUCAAAGUCAUUGAAGGGGUAGACUUAUAUGACCCAGUUCGGGCAGCAAAGAUGUGUCUGGUCCCAAAUAUGGUUGUCUCGAAAAAGUUUCAUGUUUCGGAGUUCAUCAAAUAUAGUGGAAUACAAUGCCCCAUGACUCACCUCAAGUCUUACUGCAAUAAAAUGGCAGAGAUAGUACAUGAUGAAAAACUACUGAUGCAUUUUUUUAGAGAUAGUUUAAGUGGGGCAAUAUUGAGCUGGUACAUGAGAUUGGACAACACAAAAAUCUAGAGAUGGAAGGAUAUGGUGGUUGCUUUUGUCAAGCAGUACAAGUACAACAUGGACAUCACUCCCGACAGAAUCAACUUGUCCAAUAUAGAGAAAAAGGAUAAAGAAAGCAUAAGGGAAUACGUUUAAAGAUGGUGGGAAUCAGCUGCUCAAGUACAUCCCCAACUUCUGGACAAAAAGAUUGGCACUUUAUUUGCCGACACACUCAAGGCACCAUAAUGGGUAGUUUGGCCCAGCAAUUCACUAAUGCUGUGGUAGUGUGUGAACACAUAGAGCAAGGCGUCAAGAGUGGUAGAAUUUCUGCACCCAUUGAGAAUAGAGGUUUCGAAUGAAAAGAGGUUAACCAUAUUGAAGAUGGCUACAAGGGUAGGAAAAACUUAUCCCAAAACUACCAUACUUCAUCCCAAAUUGCCGACAUAAAAAAACCUGAGCCCCAAAACUUUCAAGCCAAAAGCCAAAUUAGAAAUUACCAAAGGGUCCAAGAACAACUACCUCCAUUACCGCUACCAUUAAAUGAGAUGUACCAGAAGUUAUUAAGCAUCAGACAUAUAGCUCCCGAACCUCUAGCACCUUUGCAACCCCCUUACCCCGGCUGGUAUAAGCCAGAGCUCACUUGCGAAUACCAUGCUAGUGUUGCUGGACAUGACAUUUAUAUUUGCAACACCUUUAAGAGAAAGCUUCUGCAAUUAAUUAAGGCAGGGUGGAUAGCAUUUGAAGACACUCUGAAUGUGAACACAAACCCUCUACCUAAUCAUGCUUAAAGCAGUGGAUUAGAAAUGCACUAGCAAUCGAAUGUUCGGGGAAUUUGAAAUCAUCAAUGGGCCAGGUAGGGUGCGAAAGGGUAGCAUAAAUUUUAAAGGACUCAAAUUCCAACCACAGUUGUUAUCCCCAUCAUCCCAAGAAUUAUUACAGGGAGGCUAGCCUAAAAGGAGAUUUACCAAAAUGAAAGGAUGAGGCCUGCCAUAUUAUUGCCUUUUGUUUAAUCAUGUUGGUUUCAACUAUUUCAGUCUUGUCGGUAAUUUAGCUCAUAAUGCCACAAGACUUUCUUUGUCAAAUAAGCCUUCUUGUUAAUAAGAUCAUGUAUUUUCCUGUGCUUAUAACAUGUUUUCCUUUUUCCAAAAUAUGCAUGAUCUCACAUGUUCAUAAGAAUUUUAGGAAUUCAAAGUUUGGUAUAAAAAUAAAAAUCAUAUUGGUGUUUGUCCAAAACAAAUAAAUUCUGGAAAUUCAAGUGAUUCCUUAGAAAGAUAAGUAUACACGUAGAAAACUUGAAAAAACAAAUAAACAAAUAAACACAUAAAAAAAAUCAUAAGGUGACUCCAAAGUUAAGUUUUAUUUGAAUAAAUAAUGAGAAAUCACUUUGCAUACUCGCAUGAAAGCAAGACGUAUCGAUCUUAAGUGCAUGUGUUUGAGAUGAGGAAAUGCCUUCUUUGAUAAUCGCUUCACGAGGCUAAAAUAUAUCCUUUGCAAUCCCUUUUUGAGUCUAGUAACAUUUUUUGAAAAUAACCUUGGCUAGGAUCACACUCAAACUAGGGUUAAGUGCGAGAGACACAGAAAAGACCUUGAUGAUUGAAGUGCCCAAGCAACACUGGGGGCAUAAAAGAAAAUUCUCAAUCAUCAAAGGUGCCCAAACAAAGCUAGGGGUAUGAAGAAAAAUCCAAAGGAUCCAAAAAUUUUAAGCAUACAAAAAAAAAACAAUUAAAUAAUGCUCAAAACCAAAUGAAGAAAAAAAAAAUAAAGAGAAAGAGCCCAACAUUGGGGGGCACGAUAAACCAUUUUGAAAAGACAUUCCAAAGACAAAAGGUCAGGAAACAAGCACUAGUGAUCCUUAGUCUUGAAAUCCCGUGAAAUACCUUUUGAGCCUACAAAUAUCCUUUUCUUCAUAACCAAGAACCCAAGCCUAUAUUACAUGCCUAAUCAAGCCCUUUCUGAUCAAAGACAAGCAAUCUGGAUCGGCAGACAAUGCUUUCUCAUACAACCCAAAUUAUUAUUCAUGUAAAUAAAAUAAAUGCUUUGAAGACUGGUUCUUUGUAACCCUCAAAUUAAAUCUUAAACCAUUUUUUACCAAACCCAAUGUCACUUCAUGUUUUUCACCAAAAGCAAAACGAAAGGUUUUCAUCACUUCUGAAAACCUCUUCAUAGGAAUCACUUGAAUUUCUUCAGAACAAGUUUGCUUUGAAUCGAUGUCAAAAUGAUUUCUGUGUUUGGAAUAGCUUUUAAAUUCCAACAUUUUUGCAUCAGAACAACUCCUUGUCAAAACUUCCUUUACAUAGCCUCAUUCCCAAACCCGAAUUAAAUACUUGGGGGCAUGAUCAAGUUGGGAGGCAAUAAAAAAUACAUGGUAGGGCAGACUUUAUAAUUCUUUUUCUAAGAAAAAUGUUGGGUAGAAUUGGCAACCCUUGAGAUAUAGGUUAGAGGGCAAAGAAGUAGGAUGAUAUGAAGCCUUUCUUAGAGGUCAAGAUCACAAGAUAUGACUCAAGUAAGCAAGAGCGAAAAAGUCAUCGAAAUUUACUACUUACACUCCAACUUUUGAGAAAAGAAAGACAUCAUGAAGAAAUGAGGACCUAUAUUUCUCAGGUAAGUAUACAUGCAUAUCAAUCAUAGUGCAUUACUUUCAACAUUGUCAGAUCGGUGUUUCACCAUCACCUUUUGGGUAGGACAUUUUAUAACCCUACCUCAUUUUGAGUGUGCCUUUGAGCCCUUAUUUUCUUUUCGAGUAAGUCUUUGAGCCCUCAUCUCAUUUUAAGUGCGCCUUUGAGCCCUUACUUCGUUGUCAAGAUGCGACUUUGAGCCUUUGCUUCCUUUGGAGUGCGCCUUUGAGCCCUCAUUUCCUUUUGAGUACGUCUUUGAGUCCUCAUCUCUUAGGUAGUGCAUUUUAUAACCCUACCUCAUUUUGAGUGCAUCUUUGAGCCCUUACUUCCUUUUGAGUGCGCCUUUGAGCCCUCACUUCAUUUCGAGGGUGGUAGUGUAUUUUCUAACCCUACCUCCUUUUGAGUGCGCCUUUGAGCCCUCACCAUCUUCCUGGAUAGGUCAUCCAUUACAAUGAUGCUAUUUUUACACUUGGGUAGGUCACCUAUUAUAAUGAGACCAAUCUUUCCUUUCCCACUUGGGUAGCUCACUCAAUACAAUGAGACUAAUUCUUCGUAUUUUUUUGCCUAGGUAAGUCCCUCAUUAUAAUGAGACCAUUCUUCCACCUGGGUAGGUCACCUAUUAUAAUGAGACCACUAUUUCCUUUUUUUUUCCCUUUGGGUAGGUCACCCAUUGCAAUGAGACCAUCCUUUUUUCUAGGUAGGUCACCUAUUAUAAUGAGACAACUCUUUUAUUUUUUUUUUCCCUUUGGAUAAGUCACUCAUUACAAUGAGAUCAUUUUUUUUCUAGGUAGGUCACCCAUUACAAUGAGAUCAUUUUCCAUGUUUUUUUUACCUGAGUAGGUCAUCCAUUACAAUGAGACCAUUCUUUUUUUUUCCACUUGGGUAGGUCAACCAUUACAAUGAGACUAUCAUUUUUCUGGGUAGGUCACCCAUUAUAAUGAGGCCAUUCUUCCACCUGGGUAGGUCACCCAUUACAAUGAGACCACUCUUUCUUUUUCCCCUUUGGUGACCACUAUCAUUUUUUUGGGUAGGUCACUCAUUACAAUGAAAUCAUUCUCCAUGUUUUUCCACUUGGACAGGUCACCCAUUACAAUUCGACCAUUUCAAAAAUCUUUGAAUUUCACCAGGAAAAAAAACCUUUCGACCAUUUAAGUUUGCUUUCUAGCCCUCAAAUGCUUUCCAAACAAUUCAUCAUAUGGUGAGUCCGUUAUCUUUUUUUUUCUUCUUUACAAAGCUUAUUAUCUAAAAUCUCUUACGAGACUUUCUAUCGUAAGUAUUGUAAAUAGAGGACAACUGUCAUAACCUAUUUUUGGAUUAUUCCCCAAAUUUAGUUUUUCUCUUCCAAAAAUAAUAUAUAUAUAUAUAUAUAUAUAUAUUCGGACUAAAAAAUAAACAACAAAAAAAAUAAACAAAAUAAUAACAGUGAGAAGGGGAUGCUAAAGUGCUCGGAAAAUAACUAAAAAUUAGUUGAGGAGGUUUAAAAAUACAAGAAUUGAAAUUUAACAGUAUAUCAUUGACUGAUGAGAGCCCGACUGACAAAGAAAAUUCAAUUUGAGGAAGAAAUGUAUAAAAUCAGAUGUUUAUUGGACUCAAUUAAAUUUAUUAAAGGUUAAAUUGAGUUUAUGAAGGAUUGGAUUGGAAGAAAAAUUGAUUUUGGAGUCAAUUUGGGCUUUAAUUAGAAGAAAUUAAAGUUCUGGGGUCAAAAUAUAAUUUUUGAGAGUUAACUUGAUCAAAUCAGGGGCAAAAUUGCAUAAAUAUUGAAGUUUGAUGGCCAAUUAGGAACUUAAUUGAAGAAAUAUGAAACUAAGGACCAAACUGGAAAAGGCGCGUAAAUAGAGGGCUGUAAUUAACUGAAUGAAGGGCUAAAUUAAAAAAAUUAAAAGUUUAUUGAUCAAUUAAGAGUCAAAUUGCAUUCGACCAAGAACUAAAAUGAAAAAUCAGCUAACUUCAGAACUGAUGAUUGAAUUUGACAGGAAAGCAAUUAAAUUAAUUUUUAAAAUUAAAAUUAUAAUUUAGAACUUGAUUGAAACACUUAAAAUAAAAAACUUAAAAUCACAGCAUGAUAAAAGAAGAAAGAAAGGAAUGGGAAAAGGAAGAAAGAAUAAAAAAAUCCCCUAAAAUCACGGCAUGAUAAAAGGAGAAAGAAAAGGAUGGGACAAAGAAGGAAGAAAGUAAGGUCGCGUAGGGGCCAGUAUUGAAGAAAAGCUAAAAGAACCAGGUAAUCCAAGGAACCAAUAGAUUAUCGCCACAUGUUCAACCUUAUAUUUAUUGUGACAUGGAGAUAAAGAUAAUCUCAAAAGCUAAUAGAUGGUCGCCACGUGUUCGACUUUAUCUACCCACUAGGAAAGGAAUCAAAGGAUAGAAAAGUGGGGGAGAGAAAGGUUAAAAAGGCUUUAAAAAAAAAAGAAAAGGAAAGACCCGGUUGAGAUAAGAGGGGGGACGUGGAAAUAGAAGGAGAAACGGAAGGAGACAUAGAAAGAUCGGAGGAGAGUAAGAAAAAAAUAUAUGAAUAUGUGAUGUCCAAUUUCUCAUAAAAAUUCUCUGUUUUUUUCUCUCUUUUAUUUGGAAUUUCUUUGGACACUUUAAUAAAAUAAUAACAAAAAAAUUAAAAUAUUGAUGAAAUUAAUAUUCAUUCAAACACAGAUUUACUGUGUACUAUGAUAUUAUUAUUUUUUUAAUUUUAAAAAACACGGCUUGGAUAAUAUUUCAAGUAGUGUCGUAAAAAAUAGCGUGUUUGUUUUUUAUUUUUUAAAUAAUUUUAAAUAAUAUUUUUUUAAUUUUUAUAUUGAUAUUAAAAAUAAUUUUUAAAAAAUAAAAAAUAUUAUUUUAAUAUAUUUUUAAAUAAAAAAUAUUUUAAAAAAACUACUUUAAAAACCUUAAAACCACGGCAUGAUAAAAGGAGAAAGAAAGGAAUAGGACAAAGGAAGAAAGUGAAAGGGAGAAAGGAAGAAAGUAAGGUCACGUAGGGGGGCCAGUAUUGUAGAAAAUAGGAGAUGAAAAAUUGGUAUGAAAAAGAGGAUGAUGGAGUGGUUGUCCAAAUCAUAGUGGUUUUUAUAAUUAUAUUUAUUUAUAGAAAUAUUAAAUUAAUAUAUUCUUAGUAUUUUAUAUGAUUAAAUUUUUUUGUUGAUUUAAAAAAUAUAUGCGUAUAAAAAAUUAUUUUAAUAUAUUUUUAAAUAAAAAAUAUUUUUAAAAGUAUGUAUCACAGUACCAAAUUAUAGUAUCAAUUAAAAGAAAAUAGGGUUUUAUGUUCAUUACCACUCACUUAUACUCAUUUAAUUCUUAUACUCAUUUAAUUGUGGACAAUAACAGUAUCUCAUUUGAAAACUUUCAAUUUUAUACUUAAAUUUUUUUCAUAAUUAAUCAUUUUUAAUUAAAAUUAGAGUUCAAAUGUAUAUUUUUUUUUAAGGAGGAGAGUUGAAUUAAAAAACAGGGACUGAAGUAAAAAAUUCAGCUAAAAUAGGUAGCGACUCUAUAAUUUAUUUACAAAAUUUAUUUUAGUUUCUCAUCUUUUCAAGUUAUUAAAUAAUAAGUCCGCAUAAUUUUCCAACAUUGCAUUUCAAAUUUUUUUUAUUAUUAAUACUUUUAAUAUAUUUUUUUGAAAAUAAUUUUAAAAACGGUGUUUUCAUUAAUAUUCCUUUUCUAUGAUUUGUUUUUUUGGCAUUAUGUAGUCUUUCUUCAAUUAUUUUUAAUUUUGUUGCUUUGUUUAAUUUUUUAAGAGGUUAAUAAUAUUUAUCUGUAAAUAUUUGUUAUAUAUUUCAGAUAGAUUAAGUAUUUAAUUUUCAUAAUAAUUUGAAUAUGUGUAGCGUUGCAUAGUUUUUCUUCCUUUUAUGAUAUUAAAAAAAAUUAUGUGUGUGUUGAUUUCUAUUAUCGAUUGAUUUUAGUAAAUAAAUUCAUUAAAUAUAACCAAAUAAAUGAUCCAUAUUGCAAUAUUAAAUACUUUAUCUAUAUUUGUUUCUUAAUUUUUCCACUUGCACUUUUAAUUAUCGGUAAUGACUUCAUUUUUUCAUUUAUUUACACAAUUGUUUGUGAUUUAUUUAAUUUGAUGCGUGUAUAAGUUUUUCGAUUUACAUUUAGAAUUUUUUUAAUGUAAAAAAACACGUUGAGAAAUUCUUAUUUUUAUGAUUUUAGUUUGAUCCUUAUUCUUAUAAUUUCUUAUUUUCUUUCUAACCCUUUUAUAAAACAAAAAAUUGUUUAUAAUUUCAUCCUUCAAUUGAACAUAAUGAUGUAUUUUUUUUAUUAUUUAUAUUCUUGUUUGUUAUUAUUGCUUUUUUUCUUUAUAUAAUUCAUAUAAAACCAGCUUAUUUAAUCGGCCAAGACUAAAUAAAUAAAUAAAAAGAUAUACUGUGUCUUCCCAUUUCCUCUCCCUGGUGAAUUUUGGCGACCACCCACACAAUGAUAGCCUAAACAACCACCAGCCAUGCCACUUUUCAAGACCCCAUCUCUCAAUCUCAAAACCAGAAACAACCCUUUCUCAUAAUUCCGGGAAAGUGAAGAACUAAACCAUAGUGGCAAAAAUCUUAAAGGGUCUAAAUUAUCUCUGUUACUUUCCCUCAAUUUUCUAGACAAGCAAAAGGAGCUAAACUUAUUCCCGACCAAAACGCCAAGAAUUUCAGUAGAACAAAAGAAGAGAUUGUUACUUGACCAUAAACAAUUAGUCCGCACCCAAACAAACUGAGUGAAUGAGAGAAAAAGACUAAUGGCUAGAAAACAAUCAACAGAUCCAAGAAUUUUCUGUAUGGUUUCCAAGAAAAUGAAACGAAACGAGCAGCACAACCCUCUUUCCCCUCUAAGAAAAGAAAGAAGAAGAAAAAGAAAAAGAAAAAGAAAGGAAAGAAACAAAGAAGUUCGAGGAAAGAAAAAGUAAGGAAGAUGAAACCAUAAACCUGCAAGUCCUACAAAUCAUAAACAUUGACUUUGAUUUUUCCUUUAUAAAACCAUAAACCUGCAAGUCCUACAACAUGAAGACUUAUCAGAUCCUAAUGAAAAGCUGUCAAAAUCCUAUCAGAAAUUAAGGAAGAUGACGUUACGUUAACUUCAAAUCUGAGGAUUAAUUGUAGCAGAUCUUAUAGGGUUCAGCUGAUUGCUUUACUUGUUUAAAUAAUUCUCUUGUAAGCCUAAUGGUUCACGUCUUCCAUCAUUGCAACCUUUUUUUCUGUGAUUGAAAAAUCUAUAAUAGGAACCUGCACUGCAUCCCUUCUAUGCUGUUGUUCUUUCUUCUUGUUUUGCUAUUUUGAUUUUAUCAUAUUUUCUAUGAUGAAAGUUGAAGAAAUUCUACUUCGAAACUCAAGACAAAGUCUCUCGAUCGGACUGCAUAUUAGUGGGUUGCUCAUUGGGAUUUCUAUAAACAACUGAUUCUAAUAUUGCAAAGCAACAUUACGAAAAACUGAAUAUUUCACACAUAGUCUAAUAAAAGUAGAUUCCAUUGUCAAUUCCUUAACAUUUUCCAAACAAAUCCAUGCUCCUCAUUUUAUACUUUCUUGAGGGUUUCUAUUCUCUUAUUACCAAUUUCAGUGAGUUUCAUAAUAAGCUGCUUAGAAAGAAGCUAUCUAGCAGGAGGGUGGGGCUACUCUUAGCCAAUGAAAACAGCUUCACAUGCUAUACAGCAACGUGAAAAAAAGAUUCUCAGCCUGUUCUCUCUUUAAUGAACACCCUCUUGGAUUCUCUAGCAUUAGCCAACAAGGUAUUUGCUUGGAAUUACUUCCACCUGAAAACAACAGUUAACCUAUUUAAUAUACUUAACUAAGUAUCUAUUUCAUAACCUUAUAUAUUUUUUUAAUUAAAUUAGUUAUUUUUUUCAAAAAUAAAAAAAGUAAACGGUUUUCCAAAAAUCUAAUUCACAAUAAAACAAAUAAUGAAACUUGAUAAUAAUUCAUUAAAUAACCAUCAAUUAUUCAUCAAACCAAUCUGAAAAAGCUCAUAUUAAAGCUAGGGACCAAUCUGGAAUUUUAUCAUAUUUUUAGGGGUCAAAUUAUAAUUUUAUCAAAUUAGAAGACCAAACUAAAAAUAUCAUAAAUUCAUGACUAUACUAGAAUUCUGCCCAUAAUUCAUCAUAAAUUCUGCCCAGAAUUUCAAAUUAUGCUCCAAGGACCACUAUAGAAUUUUAUCAAAUAUCUAGGGUUAAGUUGUAAUUUCAUCAAAUUGGAGGACCAAAGUGAAAAUAUCAUAAAUUCAUAACUAUACUGGAAUUCUGCCCAUAAUUUAACUUUAAUUCUGUCCAGAAUCUCGGAUUAUGCUCCAGGGACCAAUCUCUAAUUUUUCUAAAGUUCAAGGACUAAACUGUAAUUUUCACAAAUUGAGGGACCAAACUGAAACUUCAACCUCAAACCCAGAAUUUACACAGAUAACCUACUGAUAUAUCAAGAUUUCUAACUCAAAUUCACCAUUUAAAUAAAAUCAUAACUCAAAAUCAUUAUUUUUACCUAAAAUCUUUCAAAAUCAACUAAAUAAUUCAUUAUCCAUAACAAUCAACCCAUAAUUUUUCUGUAAUGUAAUUGUAAUUCCUAGCAUAAUGCAUAUCCGAGGGCAAGCACAACAACUCAAGAACAAAGAAACUCGAUGAAAUAGCAAAAGAAAAGGACUUGAAGGACUGAAAUAAAAUAAAACCAAAAAAUAGGGAUUAAAAAAGUAACCGCACUCUGGUUGCCAUAAAAAACAUAGUUCUUUUAAUAUUUUUUUUUUAACUAUUGUAAUAGGUCAAUCAUAUUACCCGAGUGUGUGACUCAGAGAUGAUCAUCAUAGAAAAUUACUUUUAAUUGCUUGAGUUUUAUCCUUAGAUGAAAAACUUACCUCGUCCUCCUAAUGCUUUUGCUUUCAUUGUUUCGAAAGUAAAAGAGACAUAAACAUAAUCAUUUCCUUCCUUUUACUUUCCACUUCUUUGUAAUGGAUUGCAAACGGGAUGGUGCUUAGUGAGGCCAGUUUUUCUUUUCCUUUCUAUUUAAAAUCUUAUGCCUAAUUGGGUGAGGAAAUUAGUGGAGCAUUAGACUUUUUAAAAGACAACAAAAGGAAGCAAUGUCUCAUCUUUUGAUAUGGUGGUCUUCCAUGAUCAGUUUGUUGAUGAAGAUAUCGAAAGAUUCGAGUCUCCGUUCUAGUUCAGGUUGGAUGCAAGGCCGAAAGCUAAGCUUCUUUUAAUUAUGAAUUGUUUAUGCAAAGGAAACCCAGAAGCUUGAACAAACAGAAAUGCCUUGUUGAUUUCUCUGCUACUACUCAUUAUUUCCAAUAUUAUUCCAUUAUCUUACCCGAAAGCAAUUAUACAAGAAAUUUCAUUAUCCUGCCCCAAAGGCAGUUUAUUGCAUGGACUUCCUUUAACCUAGCUCCUUGAAGGCAAUUUAUUUGAUGAAAAUUCCUUUAAUCCACCUCAAAGACAAUUUAUCUUAGGGAAUUCCAACAACCCUUAAGGCAUUUUAUCAAAGGGAAUUCCAAAAACAAUUUAUUUCUUGGACUCAGUAUUCUUUGAUACUAGUUAUUUAUAUAUAAUUUAACAACACUUAACCAUCUUACAUUUAAGAAGAAAUUCAAAAGUAAGGAUAACCCUUAUCUAGAGCUCCUGUGGUUCUUGCUCCCGAGAGAAUUGGCUCCACUCCGGACAAAUCUACUAUCAGAAACCCAAGUUUCAACCAAUCAAUAACAUCAACACCCAUUUUAUAUUAAUGCAAUAAGUUUUUCUUAACCAAUUUACUUGAUGCAAGUUCUUAUAAUAAAAGUGACAGUAUUCAAGGUGAAGACAAGCAGAAGGGCGUGAUAGAGUUUGACAAAGAUGAAGCUAGUUCCAAUAAAGGGAAACACUCUAUGCAGGCCAAACAACAGUGGAAAUUCUUAUAAUCCCACCAAUCAAGGAUUACAGGACCCUAGUCCUUCCCAAACCAAUUUGAACUCCCCGUAGAGAAAACAUCUCCAAACCCAUUUUGAAUCACCCACAACAAGCAUCUCCACAACCUGUUCUGAACCCCCCCACAACAAGCAUCUCUGCAACAUGAUUUUAUUUCCUUGUGUGACAGGGAGGUCAAAAUUGAAAGAUAUUACUAUUUUCAUUAAUUUUAUUAAAGCUUAAUUAUUAUUUUUUUUCCCUUUUCUUUUAAAAAUGUUAUCUCCUUGGUAAGGAAUCCUUGGUUCCCAACAGCAACUGUAGCAUAGUUAAAAAAAUAUCUAAACUCCACCGAAAGUAGUGGAGCCUUAGAAUUUUUAAAAGACAAAACGGGGACAAGUGAGAGACGAAGAAAAAGACAAAAGUAAUCCCAUCUAUUGAUGUGGUGAUCCAAGAUACACCAUAACAUGGUGUUCUUCCAUGAAGUCUAAGAUACACCGUCGUGUUGUUUCAUAUAUAUUUUUAUAUAUGAAAAUAAUAAAGCUACCGUUUAAAACAACUCUGAAAACAAAAUUUUUAAUAAUCCAUAAUUUUUAAGCAAACAUCACUUAUAAGCAAAUAAUUAAUGAUGGUUAGUUAAACUAAUUCAUUGUUAGGCGGAUAUAUAUUAAGGUUAAGAACCCUCUAUCUAACACUAAUAACUAAUCACUGAUAAUAUUUAUGCAAAACUUGUAGCUUAGGAUGAACUCUCAGAGAUGUGGGCGAGGCAACUCAAAGUAGAAGGGAAGGGGUAACCUCUGAUAACAGAGAAAAUUGUAGAGUAAAGCAGGACCGAAUUUUCUUAAAUUAACAACAGAAAUCUACAAUGAACAGUUCUCGAGAAGAAACUCAAGAAACGUAUAUAAAGCUACAUGAUGACAUAAUAGGAACCUGCAUUGCCUCCAUUCUAUGAUGAAAGUUCAAGAAAUUUUACGUCGAAACUCAAGACAAACUCUCUCAGACUACAUAUUAGUGGGAUUUCCAUGAACAACUGAUUCUAUUGCAAAGCAACAUUAGGAAAAAUUGAAUAUUUCACACAUAGUCUAAUAAAAGUAGAUUCCAUUGUCAAUUCCUCAACAUUUUCCAAACAAAUCCAUGCUCCUCAUUUUAUACUCUCUCUCUUAUUACCAACUUCAUUGAGUUUCAUAUAAGCAUAGUCAAUCACACAACUAAUAUGUGAAUUCACAAUUUCUUACCGAAAACAUUUUAUCAGUGCAAGUUAAUACAUAAUUUUACCUCUCCUCUUGGUGAAAACAUAAAGACACAACCACCGAGCAGAUCUCUGGUAAUGGUCUCUACAAAUUCCCUACAGUUCCUAUUGCCAACAAACUCCUCUUGCCAUUCCCUAACUGCAUUGAGCCAGCUAAUCUGGAUGAAAGAAAAGACUUCAGCCAUUCCCUAACCUUAAAGCAGACCCAACUUUGUAGCUCAUUACCAGUUAAGUAAAAGUUAUCAAUAGCUGUGUAAAUCAUUGAAACUGCCACAAAAGCCCCAAAUUAGUUAUGAAUUGGAUUCGAUAAGGGAAAGAGGGGAAGAGGGGAAAUGGGUAACGGAAAAUUAAAGAGAGAUGAAGAUCUGCGCAGGGCUACCUGUUUUGAGAAUUAUGGAUUUUUAUCCCUAACUCCAAAUUGCACCAAUUAUAAGUUCAUUAAAACAAAUCUGGAACAGAACAGAUGGAAAAAACUCGAAACAACUUGGCUAGAAUUUGGGCAAGAAAUUCAGAACGGCCAAGAUUUUAAGUGAGAUAAAAGUUAUCCCAUUUUGUUCUGUUUUUUUUUAAAAAAUUAAUAUGAGAUGUACUAUCCAUUUCAAGCGGAACAUAAUGGAAUGAACAACCUUGCAUCGAAGACCUAAUUUUAGUGAAACUCAAGUUUCUUGUGUCAAAGAAAAUGUUCUAAAAAAAUGUUUUAAGCAUUAACAAAAUCUAGUUGGCCUAGGCAAUCCACUAUUGUUGCUGUUACCGUUGGUGCAUACUCCAUUACACCAUUGACAUAGUGCAACUGUUUUUCUUUCUUUCUUUCUUUCUUUCUUUUAAAAAAAUCCAUGUUAUGUUUUUUAUUUGAAGCUUUUUUGUUAAUAUCUUUCGCAAUUGGCCUUGGUAUUUUGUUUCCAUUUUCUCUGUUUCCUUCUUCUGUAGUUAGAAAACAUCAUGUCUUUGGGUUUGCGCUUGAUACAGCAAAAUUAAGGACACAAUAAUCAAAGAACACAAAAUUUUAUAAGGGAAAGGGGUUGCAGUUGUGAACCUAAAAUUUACAAAUUUAUUUUCUCAAUAAUAAUAAUAAUAAUAAAGAAGUUUGCCUUCUUAAAAGGUUUACAAAACCUUAAAUAGGUUAGGAACCUUACCUCAACAAGGGAACAGAAAAAAAAUCCAAAAUUAUAAAUGAAACAAGCAUAAAAUCUGAAAUAAGCAAGAAAUGAAAAUAACAAAAAACUACCAAAAUCAGGGGCAUCAUUGAGAUUUUUAAUAUCUAAAGAUCUAAUGAUUUGUAUAAAAAUUUGAGCACAUUAAUCCAAUAAUCGAAAAAACAAUUAUGGCUCUUUUGAGCUGUUAUUCUAGUCUAGCACGAUCAAACAUUCUCUUGGGUUUAGACUUGUUCUAUUGGUUCAUAAAUGCAUUUACUAGGCCAUCAACAUUAAUUGUCUAAGGCAAAUUCUCAUCUAGUUGUGGUAGACUCACACCUGACUGCUUAUAAAAUUGGUUGGUUUUUUGUUUUCGAAGAGAUUUAAAAUUUGAUGCAAAUGAAAGCUAAAAACACAAUAAUUAAAGGGCACAAAAAAAAUUAUAAGCGAAAAAGACUGCAGAUGUGAACCCUCAAAUUCACAAGUUUAUUUUCUCUAAAAUAAUAAUAAUGAAAUUUGUCUUCUUAGGAGGUUUCCAAAGCCAUAAAAAUAUCAAGAAUCCUACCUUAACUUGGAAACAAAAACACAAACUCAAAAUUACAAAGGAAAAAAGCAUAAAAUCCAAAAUAAGCAAGAAAUUAAAAAAUAACAAAGAAAAUCACAAAAAACUACCAAAACUAGAGGGCUCAACAAGAUUUUUGAUAUCUAAAGAUUCAGCAGUCCACGCAAAAAAAUUUGCAUGGUCCAACGGUCGGAUAAGAAAUUGUGAUCAUUUUGAGCUAUUAUACACGACCAAAUCUUCUUUUGAUCCUAUACUUGUCCUAUUAGUCCAUAAAUGCAUUUUCAUAACCUAUCUUUUUUUUUUUUCUACUAUAGAUGGUGUUUGACCAUCAUCGUCAUAUGGUUUGACUUAGUUGUACCGGUUUUUAAUAAGAUGAACUUUAUAUAUUAUGGGUUUACAUUUACUAUUUUUUAAAAAUGUUCAUUAUCGUUUCGAUCUCUAUAAGUCCAUUGUUCACAACUGAAGUCCGUACCUGCAGCGGAUCACAGGCAAUGAAACUAUACAAACACACUAGAGACUCAAGAGUAAACAUGCUACUAUAGUUAGCAGGUAAGGGUCAGGUCAUUUGUUGUCUGGUUUCAAAUAGAGUUUCAACUCAUUUAAUAAAUAUAUAUACAUGGCUCAUAGUUGGAUUAUUUGUGUUUUUGUUAUUUGUUCUUCCCAGUAAUUGUACCAGAAGCUGCUCUCAUAUUUGAAGGAAUGCAAACAAUAUAUUGUUAAUAUGAAACUUAUGAUGCCUAGGAAAUUGCCAUUUUUCUCAUUUUUAAUUGGAAGAAAAAUCACAAGUAUGUUUCUGUUAGAAAUAACUUCUUAUUUCAAUCAGAAGUGUGUCACUAAAUUGAUUUAUAAGUAAGUUUUUAAAUUGUGGAUUAUAUCUUAAUUACAUUAUAUUUUUUUAUUAACAAAAGUUUAUUUGAGUUAUUUUUAUUAAAAAUACUUAUAAUUUAAAAUUAUUUUAAUUCUUUUUUAUCAUAAAUUAUUUAUUAAAAACAACUUAGAUUAUCGCUUGAAAUAAAAAAUUCUUAAUUCAAAAGUCAUUAAAAAAUUCUUAAUUUAAAGAAGCUAAUAAUCUAAAAGGAGGGUGGGGCUGCUUAGCCAAUGAAAACAGCUUCACAUAUGAAAACAGCUUCACAUACAACGCAACAACGUGACACAAAGUAGAAAAAAAAAGAAAAAGAAAAAUUUCUCAGUCUGUUUUCUCUUUACUGAACAACCUCUUUGAUUCUCUAGCAUCUGCUUGGAAAAACCAUUCAACAAGGGAUUCUGCUAGGAAAACAUGCAAUUGUUCUUCUAUCUGAUAUCAGUUUCAAAAUUCUAAACAAAUAAUGCAACAAGUCACAUUUAUUCCAGACCUCAAGCUGCAUUGCCUAUUUCAAAACCACAAAGAGAACAUCAAACAGAACAACAAAUACCCAGUCGUAGAGCCAUUAAUUUGAGCAUAAAGGAGAAAGAAAGUCCACGCAUUAAACAGUAGGCACACACAUGAGUAUACAUUAUGCCCUUGUUUUUGAAGAUUCAGACACUUCAAAAGAAAACUCACGCUCUUAUUUUUGGGAAGUUCUUGUAUGGUAAAUAAGACUGUUACAAUGUGAAGCCAAUUUGUAUCCCAUUGCCAGUGAAACAAUAGGAAUUACUUCCACCAAUCUAAAACAUAUUCGCAGCACCACAGCUCAAAGACAUGAAUCUCUGUGAAAUCACCUAAGGUCGAGUUGCUCAUGUAAUAGGCAACCAACCUGCCUAAUGCUAACAGAAGAACAAAGACCAUUCAUGCAUAUCCAUUACCUGUUUAGCAUGUUUUUCAAAUUCCAAUGCCAAACUAAUCAUCCUACCCAUCAUCAUCAUCACCACCAUCUCCCUUCACCACCUUCCUUCAUCUCCUUCACCACAUACCCACCCAUUAUUUCGGGUCCACGUUUUACAAGUGCUGAUUGGCGCAGAGCAACCAGUGCUUGAAUCCUCAGCUACUUCAGAUACCUGUAAUCCAAUCCAAGCAUGGCAUACACAUUUUGGCUUCUAAAUCUUAUUAUUGAGUGAAACAAGAAACAAACACACAAAAAGAGAAGCAAGAAAUUAAGACAAUUCAGCAGCACCUCUGAUGGAGCUCUUAUUGAACCAUUUGGUGUAGUAGCAAAUUUUGUGAUCAGCUUUGGGCAUUCAAACACCUCCAACUGCUCUAAAUGAGGGAAUAAGAAAUCAUAACAUCCGAGACUGAAGCAUACAAUACUUGAUAAUUGUUCUAGCAACAGCACCUGCAGAUUCGGGAGCUCCAUCACCUUCUCAACAUUGACAGGUAAAGCAUUCUCAUCCUGAAGCCAUGGCUACUGGGAAGAGACUCUUCAACAUGUUGCAUUUUCUGACAUCAAUUUCACAUAAAUUAGGGAAACAUACAGAUUGAAGAUGAUCUCCUGGGAAUAUCUGAUCCUUUCCAUCAUCAUUAUCCCUAGCAAUGAUUUGCUAUAAUUCCUCACAACUUUCUAUGUUUAGAAAAUUCAGUUGAACUAGACUAGCAAUCAUGCUGUCUGAGAAUACAUGUGUUAGUCUUUUACACUUAUUCACCACCGAAGUAGUUAAAUUGCUCAGCACGAGAACCUUCCACAAACACCACAUGCUUGUGUCAGGCAGGGACUUCAAUUUUAAUGUUUUCAAACUUGUUAAACUCCUAUGCAUGCUCCACUUAUCAAUUUUAAUGUUUUAGCUCUUCAUUCGUCUCUCCAUUUAAAGCUAUAAAAUAAAAUAAAAUAAAAAUAGCUAACAAUAUUACCCUUUUUUUUAUUGACAAAUGCUACUGUUUUUUUCUUUUUUUUUUUCUUUUUGUCAUUCUAAAUAGAGCAUUUGCCAAUAAAAAAAAAUUAAGGCCUGGAAAUGAUGUUUUGUGAUUGGCCCAUCAUUAAUUUUGUUAUCCAUGCACAGUAUAGACCGGCCCGGGAAUGAUGUUUAAACUGGGAAUAAUGAGUUUUCUAUGGGCUUUGGAGCAUUGUGUGACACUUAACAGUGUGCACUUCAGGCCCAUUUAAGAAGAGAAAAAAGGGACAGGGAUAAAGUCUGAAGUAACGGUCAGAAAAGAAACCGAUAAAUUAAUUAAAUUGAAAAAAUUAAAUUAUAAAAAAAAUUAAUUAAAUAAAUUAGAAUAUUUUUAAAAAAUUAGUUGAGUUUGAUUUUGAUUUCAUAAAUUUAAAAUUAAAAAACCGAACCAAAUAAAAAAACCCAUUAAAAAAUCCCAAAAUUACCAAAAAAACAACAUAAUUUUUAAUUUUAAAUAUAAAAUAAUCAAACCAAAUCGAAAUCGGUCAAUUGAUUGAGUUUCAGUUUUUAAUAUAAAAUAAUUAAACCAAACCAAAACAGGUCAAUUGGGUUUUAUUUUCUAAUAUAAAAUAAUCAAAUAAAAUUAAAAUUGAUCGGUUGGAAUCGGUUUUAAUUUUUUUAUAUAUUUUAUAAAAUUUGAAUUUAUUAUUUUUAUAAAUAAAAAAAAUAAUCACUCUCGGUCUAAAGUCAAGACAUUGUGGUAUAUGACAUCAUUGGCAGGGUACUAUUCUACCACUAGAUCACUGGCACUUGUUGGUAUCAACGUGUGGAAUAGCUAAUUAAAUAUAUAUAGUCAAAUAGGUAAUUGAAUAUAUAUAAUGACACGUAUAUUUCCUAGUCAAACGCAGGAGCAAAAAUUUCAAAAUAGCAGACAACGUUUUUGACAGAAGUCUUGUACCAUUACUUCUAUCUCGCUUUAUUCUCUUCUAUAUAUAUAUAUAUAUAUAUAUAUGGUGAAUUGACUAGAGCAUGCAUAUAAGACUUCUUCUAGUCAUGAUGGUCAGUGAGGUUUUUGGUUUUAAAAUCAACAACUCCACUUAAAUUUCUUAAACUUGAAGAAUAUGCGAAGACAAUGCAUUUUUAAUAUGCUAAUUAUUCCUUGUACAGAAACAAGAAGGGAUUCUCCUCUACAUUAUUGUCCCAAUAUAUCAAACAUUGAUAAAGAAAAAAUGCAAAUCAAAACCAAGGCUCCCUCCCCACUGUUUCGUUUUAUAUGCUCUUGGAUCUUGAUUAACUAAUGAAGGAAACAAUUUGAAAACAUUAAAAUUGUAUCAAGAGACAGGGAAUGACACAGUUAGACAACUCCUUUUCAAUUUAGUGGAUGGCUAAAGGAUUUAUCUCCACUUAUCAAUUACUUCAGUUUCAGAAAUUUGGAGGAAGAAAUCACAAUGUAUUGAAGUUGACAACCAGAAGCCCAAAAGAAAACAAUUUUGACGAAUACCCACCAAACAGUUGAAGUGCUGCUGUAACUGAGAUUUUUUAUUAUAUGUAUUUUUUGUGGUCCAAUGGAUAAAUAAUUUUUUUUUCUUUUAUUUUAUCAGCUUAAUUUUGCAUGUGGAAUAUUGAGUUUUCUGUUAUUUUUUCAGACACAGAAUUGAAUCCUUUAUAUAUUCUUAAAACCAAAUUUGAAUUCUAAGUUCCUAAAUGAAGGAAUAAUAAAGAUUGUUGCAACUUGCAUGUACAAAUUCUCCUUCAAAAAAUUAACAAAUAAUAAAGUCUCCUAUGUUAAUGAAGAUUUAAUUAUAACUUAGCCCUGUAAUUUCUUAAAAUUAAUUAUUUAGUCUUUUAAGUAUAAUGGAUGUCGCACCCGACAUCGCGGCGGCCCUAAAAAUAAUCCUCGAAUAUGAAAAAAGAACAGAUUUCUGGCAUCUUGCUCUUUUAGAAGAAAAAAAAUGUCUUAUUUGAGGAGUCGCCACCUAUUAUUAUGGUCACUAGGAACCCUAACUAGUCAACAGAGAUUCUAUGGCUCGGGAUUGGUUAUGUAAAAGGGAAGAUAUUAUCACCCUUUAAACGUUCUGCCUAAUGCAGAUUGCAUUGCUGGUUUUGUCUUAAAUUGCUAAAUGUUUAUUAGUUUAUGCUAUGAUAAUUUGUUUAUAAUAUUCCUGACUCUGGCGCCAAUGAAUAUUCGAGCUCGAAUAAUUCCAACUCUGGCGUUGGUAAAAAUUCGUUGCUACGAAAAAAAAUUAGAUCAAUAUUUUUUAUUCUCUACUCUAGCGCCAAUGAAUAAAUAAAUAAAAAUAAAUUUAUUUUUACGCAUGCACAUAUUUUUUUAUUUCUUAUGUAGUUAAAUAAAAAUUAAAUCAGUAUUUUUUAUUUCUGACUCUGGCGUAAGUGAAUAAAUCAAUAAAUUUUUCUAUUUUUUCUAUUUUUAUUUUUUUUUGUUUUGGGGGUUGGGCCCAGCUCAGCCCACAAGGGCUGGGCUGGACCCAGCUGACUCGAUUGGGUCACUGGUCUAGACCAGUGACCCGGCCGGGUGGCAAACGCACGCCUGCCCAAUGAAUUAUAAUUCACUUGCUACAGUAGCAAGUGAAUUAUAAUUCACUGCUACUGUAGCAGUGAAUUAAAAUGCAAAAGGGUAGAGAUGAGGGACGACUGACCUGGUGCAGCAAGGCGUAGCCGGAGACGAUGGCGCACUGUGCUGGACAAACGACGCUGCCUCCUCUUGUUCUUCCUCUCUUCUUCCUUCUCUUCCUCCUUUUCUUCCCUGGUUCGUCCCUGUAUUUCUUUCCUGGAGUGCCCUGUUUCUGGUGCAGUGGCUGCUGAAGAUGGAGCUCUGGAGUUGCUGCUUCUGGAGGCGACGAAAACGGUUGUGACGCUGGUGGUGACUCUUGUCUACUGCUUUCCUUGGUCUUCCUUAUGUGCUUCCUCUGCUCAGGACAUCAACGAUGGUGAUGAAGAUGUUAGGUGCUGCCGGUUGAAUGGAAGCUUGCUCCCCUGUUUCUGUUUUUCUGCAUUCGUCUUCCCUAGUUUUCCUUUCCUAAGCUGUGAUAAGAUAGGAUUUAGAGGAAGAAGAGAUAAUAAGAUAAAAGGUGAUUGUUUAUUGAUUGCAUGCCUUUCCUCUCGAAACAGUGAGCCUAAAUAGGCCAUUCAAUACAACUGUAAACUAAAUAAUAGGAACUCCAGUAGUGGAGAGCUGAAGACUAGGGAUUCUCUGACCCAUUCAAUUACUUAAUUAAACAAUGAAAUAAAUUAAACAAUGAAACAAACAAAACAUAAAGUAAUUCCACGUAGACUCUCUCCAUGCAGUAGUAGCAAGAGAUCCACGUGCCCAAUGCUCUUAUCAUUCCCUCUCCCUCCCUUGAAUUCUCCUUGUCCGCAAGGUUGAAUUGAGGAUAAGUUUUUGCAAAUCGCCACAAAUUUUCCCACGAAGAAUCUUCUGGCAAUGCCCCCUUCCAUUGCACCAAGAUUUCCGUUCGUGGCCUGUAUUUCCCCUUCUGGAUAACCCUUCUAUCAAGGAUUGCUUCUGGUUCUGGUAACACCACAACAUCUGACAUAAUUGGAGGAAGGGUGAUCACCGCGUCCUUGGCUAUAUCUCCCCACUGUUUCUUGAGUAAACUGACAUGGAAAACAUCAUGUAUGCGUGACCCUGUGGGAAGGUCUAAUUUGUAUGCCACUGGUCCAAUGCGAGCGAGAACCUUGAAGGGGCCAAAAAACCUGGGUGAUAACUUUAAGGAACUCCUGAAAGCUACCGUUUUUUGGCGGUAUGGUUGCAAUUUUAAGAACACAUAAUCUCCAACCUGAAAUGUGACUUCCCGACGAUGCAAAUCUGCCCGAGAUUUCAUGCGUCCCUGUGCAUCAAUUAAAUUCCGUCUGAGGUCCCGCAGGAUGACCUCUCUUGUGCGCAGCAUUUGAUCUACUGCUUGAAGCUUUGUAGUUCCUGGUAUAUAGGAGAUCAUAGAUGGAGGAGGGACCCCGUACACAGCUUCAAAUGGAGAAACCUUCGUUGUUGAUUGAAUGGCCGUGUUGUAACCAUAUUCAGCCCAAGCCAGCCAUUCCAUCCAUGCCUUUGGGUGGUCGCAAGUGAAACAGCGCAGGUACUGUUCCAAGGUCCGAUUAACCACUUCGGUUUGGCCGUCCGUUUGCGGAUGGUAACUGGAGCUGUAGUUAAGUGUCGUGCCAUGUAGCGUGAAUAAGGACUUCCAGAAGGAGCUGAUGAAGAUUUUAUCCCGAUCACUCACUAUAGAACGCGGCAUGCCAUGUAAUUUGACCACAAUAUUUAAGAAACACUUCGCAACCGUCACUGCAGUGUAGGGAUGUUUAAGUGGCAUAAAAUGGUUGUAUUUGGAGAGCCGAUCCACCACAACCAUGAUAACACUGUAACCUUGCGAAGAUGGUAAGCCCUCGAUAAAAUCCAUAGAUAUGUCCGUCCAAAUGAGCUGUGGGAUUGGGAGAGACUGAAGUAACCCCGCUGGCCUUAAAGUUUCAUGUUUACAACGCUGGCACACCUCACAUUCUCUAAUGAAGUUCUUGACAGAUGUUCGUAUGCCAGGCCAUAGAAAGCUGGAGGAGAUGCGGGUCAAGGUCUUUAAAUAGCCAAAAUGUCCACCUGCAGGGAAUGAAUGCCCAUCGGCCAAAACAGCAGGUAACAAAGAGGAUGUAGGACUCAAGUGUAUCCUCCCUUUCUGCAUCCAAACCCCAUCUCUUUGAACCAGUUUUAAAGUGGGAUUGGUGGCCACAGUGCUGUAAUAGGGCUGCUGCUGGACUUCUUGUUGUAGAGUUUCCCACCAGUCUGUAAUAGGAGCUGAUAUAGCGUGUAAUUGUGCUGCUGCCACGCGAGAGAGAGCAUCAGCUCCCUGAUUUUCCUUGCCCUUGCGAUACUGAAUGCUGUAAUCGAACCCCAUAAUCUUCGGCAGCCAACGGGCUUGAGAAGGGGUGGUAAGUCGUUGCUCGAGAAGGUACUUCAAGCUUUGAUGAUCGGUCUUGAUCACAAAGGUUCUGCCCAAUAAAUACGGCCGCCAUUUCCGCACUGCCUUCACUACUGCGAGCAUCUCCUUGUCAUACGUUGACAGUAAUCUAGACUUGCCCUUCAAGGCCUCACUGUAAUAAGCAAUUGGCUGAUUGUCUUGAGAUAAAAUUGCUCUCAACCAUCACCACACGCAUCACACUCCACUGCAAAUUGUUGUGCAAAGUUUGGAAGUCGCAGCACAGGUGGGGACGUGAGGGCUUGCUUCAGUUUAUUGAAAGCCAUGAGCGCCUCCUCAGACCAGCGAAACCCCUCCUUGGAUAGGAGCUGAUUUAAUGGUGCAGCUAUGACGCCAAAUCCUCUCACAAAUUUUCAGUAAUAUCCAGCCAAACCGAGAAACCCACGGACAUCCUUGGGAGUUGCUGGAAUUGGCCAAUUUUGGACGGCUUGGAUUUUGGCAGGGUCCACUGCUACUCCUUCGGCAGAAAUGAGGUGCCCCAAAUAACCCACGGUAAGCACUCCAAACUGGCAUUUUGAGAGCUUUACAUACAGCUGGUUGUCCGAGAGAAUACGCAGCACUUGACAGAGAUGUUGUAAGUGAUCCAUCCAAGACCUGCUAUACACCAAAAUAUCGUCAAAAAAUAACAAUAUAAAUCGCCGUAAAUGAGGGCGAAAGAGGUCAUUCAUGAGACUCUGAAAAGUUGCUGGGGCGUUUGUCAAUCCGAAUGGCAUGACCACAAACUCGUAGUGACCGUCAUGAGUGCGGAAUGCGGUUUUUGGAAUGUCUUCCGGCUGGACUCUAAUCUGGUGAUACCCGGAGCGCAAGUCCAGCUUUGAAAAGAACUUCGCGCCAUGUAAUUCAUCAAGCAACUCAUCAAUGACCGGAAUGGGAAACUUGUCUUUAAUUGUGAUUUCAUUGAGCGCCCGAUAAUCAACACAAAAUCGCCAAGACCUAUCAGCCUUUUUAAUCAACAAAACCAGAGAAGAAAAGGGGCUGCGACUGAGGCGAAUAACUCCAGAUUGUAGGAAUUCCUUGACCAGUUUUUCAAUCUUAUUUUUUUGAUAGUACGGGUACCUGUAAGGCCGGUUGUUGACUGGAGAUUUAUUGGACAUCAAGGGAAUUUGGUGGUCAUGGCUGCGCGUAGGUGGCAGCGUUGUAGGCUCCUGGAAAACAUGUGCAAAAUCUGAAAGGAUGAGAUUGAGGUCAGGUGACCACGCUGAGGCUGUCUUUGGCAUUGUCUCCGUUUCUAUAUGCACAAAAUACCCCACACCUGAUAAGUGGAUCAACUCCUUAUCACUUAGGGGAGCGAGUUCAGUGUUUGAUAGUCCUCUCAAUGUGUACGUCUGGCCUUCUUGUUUAAAUGACAUGAUGAGCUUUUUGUAAUCGGUCUUGAUGGGGCCUAAAGUCUCCAGCCAUUGCACUCCUAAUACGGCUUGGCAGGCUAUCACUGGAAGCACAAAGAAGUCUGCGCGAACAAUGAUUCCUUGAAUCGAUAAAGAAAGGCCUAAGCACCGCCCAGUACACUCAAUAAUCUCCUUGUUCCCAACUGUGACUUGGAUGGUUUUGCCGCGAAUAACAUGUAGUCCCAAUUUGGUUGCCGUGGACUGAUCAAUAAAAUUAUGGGUGCUUCCCCCAUCAAUGAGCACUGUCAUAGCCGUGUUUCCUGCUCUACCAAUGACACGGAAAGUCUGUGGGUGGUUUGUUCCCACCAGAGCAUGAAAUGAUAUCUCUGGAAUGUCUUCCUCAGGCGUCACAAUCUCCAUGUCCACAUCGUCUCCUUCCUCCUUCUGCUGCACAUCCACCAUCAUGAACAACUGAGGCCGUGAACAACGAUGCCCGGGAACAUAUCGCUCAUCACAAUAGAAACACAACCCUUUUUCACGUUUCUCCCUUGCCUCCUGACCUGUUAUCCGUCGAAUUGGUGCAGUUGGGUGAGUUGUUCAUUGAGCCGGGGCAGGACCCAAGAGUCCCAUGGUGUUUGUGUGUGGUUGUUUCGGCUGGAAUGAAGGUGUUGUCGAUGGUCUGACUGGAUUGUUGAAUUUCCUUUGGAAAUGAUUUCGUUCUUCAAUUAAAUGAGCCACACUAAUGGAUUCAGAGAGAGUUUUUGGUUGCUUAACUCGAACAUCCAAACGAAUUUCAUCUUUUAAUCCCGCAAUAAAACACCCUACCAGGAAAUUUUCUGGGAGGUCAUCAACCUUGUGAGACAGUUUCUCAAAGGCUUCUUGAUAUACAUUCACAGUCGUGGUUUGCUUAAGUCUGGACAAUGCUUCUGACGGAUCAUCAUACUCAGUUGGUCCAAAACGGUGGAGAAGGGCUGAGACAAACUCAUUCCAGAGUAAUUGUCCCUUGCUUUUCGUAUACCAACGAUACCACUGCAAGGCGACACUCGACAGAUGAAAUGACGCCAAUUGUACUUGUCGUGGAGCGUCAAUGUUCUGGAACUCAAAGUAUUGUUCUGCCUUAAAUAUCCAGCCAGUGGGAUCCUCCCCUUCUCCAGAAUAGGUUGGAAAAUUCAACUUGAGGGUAGUGUGGUUUCUGUCGGCAUUGAAGGUUGCAGACGACCUGUCGUGAGAAGUACUUCCCCCAGCAUAAGGAUUUACUUCCCUCUCACUGGAACGAUGGGAAUGGGCGAUCCUCAUCGCUUGUAGCUCUGUCAUGACUCCCUGAAGGGCGUCGUUGACUCGAUUGAAAUUGUGAUUCAAUUCGUCAAAAUUGGCGUCGUGUCAUCCGAGAGUUUCUGUGAUCUCAGCACGAAACUACGCAUUAGUUUUACCACGCGUGUCCAUGGAUUGAACAGCUCUAAUACCACUGAUAAGAUAGGAUUUAGAGGAAGAAGAGAUAAUAAGAUAAAAGGUGAUUGUUUAUUGAUUGCAUGCCUUUCCUCUCGAAACAGUGAGCCUAAAUAGGCCAUUCAAUACAACUGUAAACUAAAUAAUAGGAACUCCAGUAGUGGAGAGCUGAAGACUAGGGAUGCUCUUGCUAAUCCCGUUACUUAUUCUCUAACCCAUUCAAUUACUUAAUUAAACAAUGAAAUAAAUUAAACAAUGAAACAAACAAAACAUAAAGUAAUUCUACGUAGACUCUCUCCAUGCAGUAGUAGCAAGAGAUCCACGUGCCCAAUGCUCUUAUCAAGCUGUUGCUUGUGAUAUUAUUGGAAAACGAAGACGCAGACGAAGACGAUGGUCGAUGGUGAUGGAGGUCUGCACCCAGGAGAUGGGGGUUCUUCCCCUGCGUUUUUCUUGUUGUUGUUCGUCUCUGUGUUUUUUUUUCUGUUCUCUGUUCUGGGUCUCCAGUGGCUUUUCGGUUAUGCCCUCCCCUCUCUUCUGUCUUCUCUCCCCUUUUCCCCCGGUUUUGCUCUUUUUUCCUUUCAUCCUCUUCUGCUCAGUCGUUCUUUGGCUUUUAUAGCCAGAGAAAAUAAUGUCGUUUCUUCCAACCAUAAAGUGUGAUAAUUGCAGAAGUAAUGGCUGUGCGGCGGUGGGCGUCCGUUUCGGUCGGGUGAGGAAGAUGAACAGUAACGGGCAACGGUGCUGUUUUGGUAUUCACAGUUGUAUGCCUUUUGGCCCUUGAAGUUUUGAACGUUUUGUAAUUAAGCCCCUAGUUAAAUUGUAAAUGGACCCCUGAAUUUCGACGCCUUUUACAAGUUAGGCUUUGGACUUUAAUCUGUUGCCAUUGUGCCCCCAAUUAACCCCAAAAUUUGGUAUUUUUUCAAUUAAGUCCCUGAUUUCAUUAAUUAAAUUAAAUCUAAGUCCAAUUAAGUCCCAAACUUAUCAAUUCAUUAAAUAAGCUCUUGAUUUUGUCAAUAAAACUAAUCCAAAGUUUAAUUAAAUCUCAAAACUUCCAAUUUUGUUGCCAUUAACCCAAAAUUUUAAUUCAUUCUUUAUUUUUAUCAUUUCACUCAUUUCAUCAUCAAAUUUUUUAAAUAAAAUAGAGAAGUCAAAAAUUGGGUUAUGAUAAUGAAUAAUUAAAAAAUCUAUUAACUUGUGUUGACCACCCUCCAUUUACUAUAUUUUUCUCUAAAAAAUGCCUUCCUUCCUAAUGAAAUUUCCUCAAAUACAUACUUUUUUUUUUAGGAAAUGUUCCAUUUUCCUCACUUCUAGAAAAAAAAAAUUAAAUGCUUGUGCGCAUGGGCUUGACCUUGCAGAUCCGCACACAAGCCUUUGAUGGGUGGGCCAAGCACUAGGCCUGACUUUCUAGAUCUAACAACGUAUGACCUCAUUUAUUUUUUUUAAUUAUUAUUAAUACCUAUAUAUAUAUAUUUAUUUAUAUAUUUGAAAAUAUUUUUAAAAAUGAUGUUUUUAUUAAUACUCGUUUUCGUUGAUUUUUUUUUUUGCCUUAUUUAGCGUUCAAUUAUUUUUAAUUAUGUUGGGUAUGUUUAGUUUUUUAAGAAGUUACUAUUAUUUAUCUGUAAAAUUUUUUUAUAUAUUUCAGAUAGAUUAAGUAUUUAUUUUUUUAUAAUAUUUUGAAUAAUUAUAGCCUUGCAUGGUAUUUUUUUUCCUUUUAUGCUAUUCAAUAAAUUUUAUAUGUGUAUUGAUUUCUAUUAUAAAUUAAUUUUAGUAAAUAAAUUAAUUAAACAUAACCAGGGUUAUUUAUUUAUUGGUAAUGACUUUUUUUUUCAUUUAUUUAUAUAAUGAUUCAUGAUUUAUUUAAUUCGAUGCGUGCAUAAGUUUUUUAAUUUAUAUUUAUGAUUGUUUUUAAUGUAAGAAAACACGUUCAUAAAUUCUUAUUAUUAUGAUUUCAGUUUAAUCCUAAUUUUUAUGAUUUUUUAUUUUUUUUCCUUAGCCUUUUAUAAAAGUUUUUUUGUUUGUAAUUUCACCCUUUAAUUUAAUAUGAUGGUGUAUUUGUUUUUUUAUUUUUUGCUUCUAUAUAUAUAUAUAUAUAUAUAUAUAUAUAUAUAUAUAUAUUCCCGUCUUUUGUUUUUUCGUUUUAUCAGCUUUUGCAUGUGGAAUAUUGAGUCUUCUACUUUUUCAGCCACAGAAUUGAAUCCUUUAUAUAUUCUUAAAACUAGAUUUGAAUUCUAAUGAACGAAUAAUAAAGAUGGUUGCAUGUACAAAUUCACCUUCAGAAAACAUAUAAUAAAGUCCCAUAUGUUAAUGAAGAUUUAAUUAUUAAGAAUAUAAAUUAAAUUAAAUUAAAUAUUGAAAAAACUAAAUGAAUUCCUUAAUAAAUAAAUAAAUUCUUUCUUUAGAAAGCAUGGAAAUGCCAUGACACUGGCUUUUUAGAGAGAUGAAGAUCUGGAGCACAACAGCCAAGAAAGUUAUCGAUAAAAGGAAGAUGGGAAGAGGGGAAAUGGGUAACGGGAGAGAGAUGAAGAUCUGCGCAUGGCUACCUGUUUUUGAGAGAAUUAUGGAAAGUUAUCCCUCACUCAAAACGGCACCAAUUAUAAGUUCAUUAAAAAAAAUCUGGAGCACAAUAGAUGGAAAAAACUCGAAACAACUUGUCUAGAAUUUAGGCAAGAAGAAUGAGCCAAGAUUUUAAUUGCAAUGAAAUUUAUCUCACUUUGUUAAGUUUUUUAAAAUGAUACAAGAUAUACUACCUAAUGAAACAAAAUGGAAUCAACAACCUUUAAAAGGAGUAGAGAUCACUUAUGUGUCUCUCAUAUUCAAUAGCCUUUUUCCCAUACUGACAUGUGCUUUACACUCACCAACAUUUUUUUUCUUUUUAUUUUAUAAUAUUCAACAUCGGCGAGUGAGAAUUUGAUAGCUAACUUUAUUAGUAGUGUUGGUUGCUGACUUGUCAGACACGUUUUGAGGCCAUAUGUAGUCACCAAGAACAAAUCCAUGAGGGCGAUAAGGCCCCAUAAAGACAAUAUCUGGUAGAUUCAGUCAGGCUAUGACAUAUUCGAUAAUAACUCUUCAAUUAAGUUCUAAAUCUCAUUUCAUCUUUUCAAUUUAAUCCCUAAUUUGACAUCAACUCUUCAAUUAGACCCCAAAGCUUAUCUCACCUGAGGAAAGCCCUCUUCUCUCAAUUUAGCCCCUUAUUAUCUUCAAUUUAAUAUCAAAUUUUAUUUGAUCCAAGCCCAAAAAAGGCUAAGCGAAGAUAGAAUAAAGGAAGGGAAAGAAAAUGAAUAAUUGCCCAACGGAGUUAACGUGUUUUGGUCUUUUCUCCAUGAUUUGGGUUGAACAUUUGACAUAUAUCCUUUUUUCUAUAGUUUUUUAUCCAUGUUCGUUGUGACGCCAUUGGUAUAGAAUGGUUACCAACUGUUAGUUUAAUAUGCCUUGUAGCCAAUCGGUUAGUUACACGAGACAUUAUUAUAUUCAUGUAAAUACAUAUUUAUUAUUAAUAAAGGCUUAAUUUAACUUUAAUAUUCAUAUAAUAUUAGAGUAAUGAAUCUAAAGUAUAAAUAAAGUUUAUGAGACAAAAAUGUUUUGCAAAGGAAAUUAUAAAGUUGUUAUAAUUAUGAGAUUUUUAAUGCAUCAAAGUAUAAUUCAUAAAAUAUUCUUGGUCGAUGCUCUCUUAAAUACUGGAUAUUAAUUAGAGCUAUAAAGACUGAUACAUAUUAUGUUUUUUCCUUUAUGAAAUGAAGCAACUGUUCUCAUAAGUUGAGCUAUAAGGGAUACCUAAAACUAAUAUGUAUAUGCUUGUCAUUAGACAUGUACACUGAAUUGACCGGCAUGAGAAUUCCAUAUGAAGAGAUUAUUUAUGUCUAUGGAAAGACUCACAUGACGGUUGUAUAUGUAAUCCUUAGACUUGAGAUCACUAAGUUAUCUUAUAUAGAGAAUGUUAUGCUUUGAUCCUGUUACAUGUUAUCUUAAUUGAGGUAACAAAAUGAUAGACAUUGGGUAUAUCAUGAACUAUAUGAAGGUACUUGAGUAAUCAAGAGAGGAUUUCAUCACCCUAUGUGAAUUAGAAAAAAUGUUCAAUCUGUUCUCAAAUAAUAUUGACUGAGAAAUCCGUGGCCAAUGUGGAAUGAUAUUUAAAAAGGAUUUCAAAUCUUAUUCAAAUAAUCAAUUGCUAUCAUAUAGAGAAUGACAUGAUUUAACAUGGCAAACAUGCUUCAUGCUUUAAUGUUAAAUAAGAACAUUAGUGAUAAAAUGGUAUUAAUUACAAUGAGAAACUGGUAAUUGAAACCACUAAUAACUUUUCUAAUAUUUAUGGGAUCAUGACACGUUACUAGACAAUGCAUAUGAUCUUCAAAUCUUCAAUUGUAAUUUAUUUAAUUAUAAUUAUAAUUUAUAUUUGGGUUAAUAUAUUAGGAACCUAAUAUGUCAUACACAUUAAGAAUUAAAUUGUGAUGAUUUAAUUAAGUAUAACUUGAUUAAAAAAAAAUUUAGAAAUUAAGGACUACAAUAUAAUUAAUACAAGGAUUAUAUUUUUAGAUCUAGAAAAAUCAAGGACUUGAUUGAGUUAAUUUAUAAAAUUAUCUUAAAUUAAUAUAUGGAUAUUAUUCAAGGGGAAAAUUGAUAUUUUGUCAAUUUAUAGGGUUUUUCAUAUUUCCUUAUAAAUAGUAAGUGUCGCACGUGUGCGGCGUCGUGACAAAAACAUUCACCCUCAAAAUCUUAUCUUAUAAUGUGGCAAAUGUGGGGAGACAAGGAAUUCUUGUUUUUUAUUAGUGGUAAAUUGGAAUGGGAGUCGCCACCUAGUAUUUUGGUCACUAGGAACUCUAGCUGGUCUCAAAGAUCGGGUACGGGGACUGGUUGCGUAAAGGGAAGGUAUUAGCACCCCAAAUACGCCCUACCUAAGGUAAGCUGCAUUGUUUUAUUGUUUGAUAAAAUCUAAGAUCUUGUCGUGUUUUCUCGUUGUUGGUUCGUCUAUGGUUUAAGAAAAGUCCUUCUCGGUAAGGAGAUCCUUAUCUUAUCGGGUAAUUCUGACGUCAACCAAAGAAUUUAAUAUCCGAAAUACGUCUUACGUAUAAGGUCAUAACCCCAGAUAUUAAAAGAAAACAAAAUAAUUUUUUUGGAAUUUUUGAAAUAUUGGCCUAGUUCUCGUGACUUUAAUAAACUGGUUAUUAAAGCCAAAAUGCAUGUUAAUAUAUAUUUUUGAAAUUUUCUUUGUUAUAUGAAAAUACAAUAUGAUUUUUUUUUCUUUUAUUUUUGAGAGACUUGGUCGUAUGCAUGAAAACAAAAUAUUUUUUAUUUUUUAAAUUUUUUUAAUGUCUUGACGAAAACCGGGUAUUUUAAUACCAGAUUUAUAUCUUUACAGUAUAAAAAUACAAACCAAUAUUGAUCAAAAUGAAGUAAAAAAUUUGCAGAAAAUCACAUAUUUUUUUAAAAUUCUUUUUCCGGGCUGGGCCCAGCCCGGCCCAUGUGGCUGGGCUGGACCCAGCAGGUUUCUACCCGCAUGCGUGCGUGAACAAUUCACGCACGCCUGCUACAGUCGCGAUGUAAUUAAUUUUCAUGUGCACAGUGUUUGUGCAUUUUCUGCAAAGUUGGAGAAGUUUACCUGGAAGCAAGACGAAGGCAACAACAGCUUUGGACCUCUAUCUUCACCUUUUCGUUUGUUUUUCUUCUGGUUCCUCUGGUUCUUCCUGUUUUUUUCUGUUUCUGUUUUCCGUUCUUCUUGUGGUUCCUUUCCUUUCGUCUCUGUCUUCUCCUUCCUCCCGGUAUUCUUUGUUUUUUUUGGUUCCCCUCCCCUUUUCUGUUUCUCUCCUCCCUAUCCUCUGCUUCCUUACGCUCUCCCUCUGUCUAUCUCUCUUUUUGUUCUUUUCAAAAGAUUUCCCACCCUCUGUUUCUUUCUCCCUAUGCUGCCCAGUUCUCCUUCCUUCUCGUUCUUUUUCUAUGUUUUCUCCCUGCUCCCUUCUUCUCCCCCUCUUCGGCUCAGUCUUCUUCUGCUGCUUUUAUAGGUCAGAGAAGGCUUUGUGCUGGUAACGGCUGGCUUGGUAACGGUUUGAAGAGGGAUGACAGCCGUGACACAUGCCCUAUAAUUGAAGAGAAUUGGCACUGUUGCUGCAAGAAAACGUCUCUCGGCCUUUAGUGCUGAAACGGCUGGAAGAAGACACUGAAUAGUGUUUCAAGGCAACGGCCCCGUUUUUUGCAAUUUUAAAUGAUAUUUAUGAUUUGGUCCUUGGAUGUUUUUACAAUUUGUAAUCAAGCCCUCGGAUAAAUUAUAAUUGGAUCCCUUGAUUGUAGCACCUUUUCUGUUUUGGUCCUUGGUUUUGAAUUGUUUCAAUUAAGUCCCUAAUUGGCCAUCAAACUUUAAUAACUAUGCAAUUAAGCCCCUGAUUUGACCAAAUCAACUCUUUAAAAUUAUAAUUGGACCCCAGAACUUUAAUUUCUUCCAAUAAAGACCUAAAUUGACUUAAAAAACAAUUUUUCUUGCAAUCAAACCCUCCAUAAAUUCAAUUAAACCUUAGAUAAAAUUUAAUUGAGUCCAUAAACAUCUUAUUUUGAAUAUAUUUUUUCAAAAAUUGAAUUUUCUUUGUCAACAGAACUCUCAUCAGUUAACGAUAAACUGUCAAAUUUCAACCUUUUGCAUUUUUGAACCUCUUCAACCAAUUUUUGGCCAUUUUUCGGCAUUCUAGCAUCCUUUUCUUACUCCUAUUAUUUUUUGGAUUUCUUUCGAAUAUUUUUUGAUAUAUAUUUCUUUUUGUAUUUUCUCAUUUUUUUGUGGGAACCCAAAAAUGGGUAACAACAGUAAGCUAUGCCUUUUAUUUUUUAGGAGUUGUCUGUUAGACAAAAAGACUACGUAUGUCACAUAAUAAAGAGAUAACACUCUAGGCAUAACAAUCCCUCUCUCUUAAAUAGGGACUUGAGAGAUUUUUCACUAGUGGUUCAUGUGAAUUACUAUUGAAGGACAAACAAUUGGACGACUUCUAGUUUACAACAACCCAGUCUUUAAAAAAUUAUUCAAAACCGAAGAUGAUCAAAUCUUUAGGUAAUAAAUCCCUAAACAACUCUAGAUCUGUUUAACAAAAUUCCAGAAAUUCCCGAAUAAUUUUAGGCUGUGUUUGUUUUCCGGAAAGUGGUUUCCGGAAAACCACUUUCCAAACUUUCCUGUGUUUGUUUGUUAUUAGGAAAGUUGGUCAACGGAAAACACUUUUCAGUCAAAGGCAAAAUUUAGCUUGGUUUUUAGAAAAGUGUUUUCCUUUUAUUUUAGGCGGAAAACACUUUCCGGAAGUUGUGCAAAAUUUAGAAAUGUCAUAUUAUUUGCUGAUUAUAUCAAAAUUGGUCCUGAAACUUUUGAUUGCUAUAUAUAUAUAUAUAUAUAUUUUUUGUUUUGAAUAUUUGUUUUUCAAUUUCAUCCCUUGGAAUUUAAUUUUUAUAUUAACUUUACUCCUCAUUUUUAUAAUUGCUAUUUGAUUUUCCCUUAUCAUUUUUUAAUUAAAUUUUUUUAUCUAUCAAAUUUGGUCAUCAUUCUUUUGAUUGUUACUUAUUUUAUUUGAAAUAAUUUAUAAAAUGUUAAUUAUUAUUAUUUUAAUUUCUUCAUCUUUCAAUUUUUUUAUUUUUUAGAUUUGAUCUCUAUUAUUUUGAUUAUUAUUUAUUUUAUUUGAGAUAAUUUAUGAAAUUAUAUUUUUUUUCAAUUUUAUUCUCAUUCAACUUUUUAAUUUGUAAGAUUUAUUCCUCGUUAUUUUAAUAAAUUUGAGAAAAAUAAAAUAUUAAUACGUUAUUUUCCAGCUUAUUUUCCAUGACAUAACAAAACACAGGAAAAUGUUUUCCAACUUAUUUUCCAUGACACUGCAAUUGGAUGACUCAUAUUUGAUUUAUGGAGCUAGCUAUGCUAAGGGAAUCAUGCUUGUAUCACCUAUACUAAUAAUAAUAAUUACAUAUUAACAAGCAUCAUUUGAUUAGUAAGUUUCCAAAUUCUAUCCACAAAUAUUAUAACCUCUUAAUUUAUGCAAGAACUUAGCUACAUUUCAUGCAAGCAAUCCCUAACUCUAGUAUUUUGUCUGUGUUAAAAAUGGAGACUUCUUGGUGUUCGCCGGAGCUUGGGUAUAUACCAUAUUUGAACAAAUAACAAUGUAAAAACAUCUUUUAACGAUAUUAAAAUCAUUUAUUCAUUUAAAGUAUCAAUAUUGUCAUUUAUAGUGAAACAUUUAAUUUUACUACAUUGAAAAUACGUUGACCAAUAGAAUCCCCGCCUUCAGCUAACCCCCAAUAUGUCUUGAAUAGCAAUGGCCAUCCUUUGGCCAUCAUGCCAUAAAAGCCUCAUUUGGAGCCAAUUCCUCUCUUUCUUGCCACUAUUUAGCUUCCGACCAUUCUUCGCGUUUCACUUUUCUUCAAAUGUUUUCACCAAAACAAAGCUUCAACCUUUAAAUUGUUGCUUAUAAAGUCGAGAUCCAAGGGAUUAUUUAAGAUUUUAUGGAAAUUACGUAUUUCAAAUAUUUUAUGUUUAUUUUUCUGAAAUAUCGUUUGAAGCAAAAGGCAAAAAAGAAUUAAAAAUUUUUUUAAAGUGUUUUUAAAACACAAAAACAAACAGAGUUUGUUUUUUAUUUUUUAAAGAAUUGUUUUUAAAAAAUAAUUUUUUGUAUUCUAAAUUAAUUUUUUUAUUAUUUUAAUAUAUUUUAAAUAAAAAAUAUUUUAAAAAACAUCUACUUAAAAAAUAUUAUUUUUCUGAAAUAAUACUUUUCUCUAUAUUUGAGUUUAGUUUAAAAUANNNNNNNNNNNNNNNNNNNNNNNNNNNNNNNNNNNNNNNNNNNNNNNNNNNNNNNNNNNNNNNNNNNNNNNNNNNNNNNNNNNNNNNNNNNNNNNNNNNNAUUUUAAUGUUUUUUCAUGCUCUAGCAAAUGAGGCACGAAAAGAGAACCUGAAAUCACGGCAGCAAAUAAGGAGAGAAAUAGGUGUUUGUUUUUUAUUUUUUAAAGUAUUAUUUUUUAAAAUUAAUUUUUUGUAUUCUAAAUUAAUUUUUUUAUAUUUUUAUAUUAAUAUUAAAAAUAAUUUUUAAAAAAUAAAAAAUAUUAUUUUAAUAUAUUUUUAAAUAAAAAAAUAUUUUAAAAAAGAGCUGCUUAUUCAAACACUUAAAAUAAAAAUCUUAAAAUCACAGCAUGAUAAAAGAAGAAAGAAAGGAAUGGGAUAAAGAAGAAAGAAUAAAAAAAACUCCAAAAAUCACGGCAUGAUCAAAGGAGAAAGAAAAGGAUGGGACAAAGAAGGAAGAAAGUAAGGUCACGUAGGGGCUUGUCUUGUAGAAAAUGUGAGAAUUAGCAUGAAAAGAGGAUAAUAGAGUAGUUGUUAGAAUCAAAAGACAUAAACACGGGAGAGAGGCUGCCCCUUACCUCCUCCUGGGAAGGAAUAUAUGUCAGACUAUACAGCCUUUUUCAAUUCAUUAAUGUCGUUCUCUGUUUGUCUUCUAAAACCUACUCCCAUCAUGUACAUGUAUUAUUUUCUUAAAAUUGCUCUAUGGAAUUGCAGGCCAUGCUCGUUUGAUUUUUUUAAUAACAAAAUUCUUUUCAUGCUCUUGCAAAUAAGGCAGGGAUGGAGGCCUUGAAAUCACGGCAGCGAAUAAGAAGUGAAAAAGAGCCUUUGUUUUUGCUUUUUUAUUUUUUAGUAUUUUUGAAACAAAUUAGAUUUUUUUAUUUUUUUUAUUUUCUAUUAUUUUGAUAUAUUUCUAAACAAAAAAAUAUUUUAAAAAACAACCACUAACACAUUCUUUUUAAGCUAUUAAGUAACCAGUCCCUAUAAUUUUUCAACAUUGCACUUGGGUACCAAACUUCAUUUUUCUCUUUUUCAAGUUUUUUUUUUGGUGGAGAAGACAGAGAGGGUCGCUGAAUUUUAUUUUAGAGAGAGAAAGUUGUUGUUAAGAAAGAUUUUGGCUACCGAAAUCGUUGAUUUUUGUAUCAAAUGGUAACCGCCUAUUUUUUUCAUGUGUUCAUACUUAAAACCUUCUUAAAGAGUUCUUAUCAAUGGUUUUAAAACCUCUCUCUCAAGAUCGAAAGGUUAGAAAUAACUCUCUACCCUCUAAGUCUAAUAAAACCAUCAAGUACUCUUAAAACCAAAACCACAAUUGCAAAAACCAGUUUAGUACAAGAACUUCUAACUAUUAGCUUUUAUCCAUAACCCUCUCACUUUGAUCAAAUGGUUAAACUUUCAUCAAUCUUUGAGGGAAUCCACAAAAAAACCUAGAAAAACAUAUAAUUACUCUUGAAAAUUAGAGCCGGAGAGGAGGAGAAAAAAAGAGGAAAAACAUGGGGAAAUAAUUUGUUAAUAGACUCUAUUAUAAAGGUUCAAGAGCCUAGAAGGUUUAACCAGCUUUAGAAAGAAAAAAAGUGAAAGGAAAAGAAGGAAGGAAAUGAAAAUAAAAAAAUAACAACGUAAUUUUGAACUUAAAGGCCUAAUUUCAGUGAAAGUUAAGAGCAUUAGAGACUAGACCGUGCUUAUACCAAAGACUCUCAUCGUUGAAGGAAUGCAAACAGUUGUUAACGAGACACUUAUGCUGUUCCAACAUUCAAAGAUUGUUGAAUCUAGUACCGGUGCUCAUUCUGGAUCUAGUACCAAAAGGAGAAUAUAGAAAGAGAUAGUAGUGAAUUAAUUAUGUUUCAUUCAGUAGUAAGAAACAAACGGGGGCAAUGCAUUUAUAAUAGCCAGAGAGGGGUUUUUAUAUACAUUCNNNNNNNNNNNNNNNNNNNNNNNNNNNNNNNNNNNNNNNNNNNNNNNNNNNNNNNNNNNNNNNNNNNNNNNNNNNNNNNNNNNNNNNNNNNNNNNNNNNNACUAGAUAUAAAGAAAAAGUACAAAUUCCAACAAAAAAUACAUGUUUGAAGGUUCAACAAAAAUGAUUUGCUAAUUAGCUAUAAGCUUGAGAAAGAUAAAUAAUGAGAGUGUGAGUUCAAAAACUCAGUGAGUAGAUAACGUUCAAUAUACAUACACGAGGUAAUACAACAAUGAGGAAUAUAUAUACAAUUAUGGCUUUAGAUUCUUAUAGGAAGGUUUCUCAAAUAGGCCAUAACAAGGUUAUCAUAAGGUAAAAUUCGUUAGAAAAUCAAAAUGCAAUAACAUGAGGCUCUGUACUAUGGGAUGAUCAGUCCACACAGGUUGAUGACUCUCCCAACCAACUAGGGUUUCAAAUACAAUGUGCACUAAGACUAACACUACCCUGUUAGUAUGAGCAUUCUAACUGGCAUACCAUAAGUUCAUAUCAUAAUCAAACAAACAAAUUCAUAUCUCAAGGCCCAACUCAUGACAUUAAUAAAACAAGAAGCUAUCAAUUCAGAAGUCAAUUUAGAAGUAUAUAUUGGCUUAUAUCAAAAAUUCAAAUUCAACAAUUAAUCAUGUUUUAUCAUAACAAAGAUAAUAAUCAACAUAUAUAUUAUCAAGAAGCACGAUCCAAUUCAUAUUAACAGCUCAAAUAUUUAUACUAUUUCUCAUGCAUAUGGAAAAUUAUACACUCACUUGACUUAAAAGUGAACAGAACUCGAAAGCAAAUACCGAAGAAAAUCCUACUGAUAUUCCGCAUAUAGAAUAUCAAGAUUAUCUAAAUACAAAGAAGACAUAUUAUAAAAUGACUCGAAAAGAACAUACAACCUAUUUAAUACACUUAACUAAGGGUCUAUUUCAUAACCCUAUACAUUUUGUUAAUUCUAAACUAGUUAUUUUUCCCAAAAACCAAAAAAGUAAACGGUUUUUCAGAAAUCUAAUUCAUAAUAAAACAAAUAAUGAGACUUGAUAAUAAUUCACUAAAUAACCAUCAAUUAUUCAUCAAAACAAUCUGAAAAAGCUAAUAUUAAAGCUAGGGACCAAUCUGAAAUUUUAUCAUAUUUUUAGGGGUCAAAUUAUAAUUUUAUCAAAUUGGAAGACCAAACUAAAAAUGUCAUAAAUUCAUGACUAUACUGGAAUUCUGCCCAUAAUUCAUUUUCAAUUCUGCCCAGAAUCUCAAAUUAUGCUCCAGGGACCACUAUAGAAUUUUAUCAAAUUUCUAGGGUUAAAUUGUAAUUUCAUCAAAUUGGAGGACCAAAGUGAAAAUAUCAUAAAUUCAUAACUAUACUGGAAUUCUGCCCAUAGUUUAUCUUUAAUUCUGUCCAGAAUCUCGGAUUAUGCUCCAGGGACCAAUCUCUAAUUUUUCCAAAGUUCAGGGACUAAANNNNNNNNNNNNNNNNNNNNNNNNNNNNNNNNNNNNNNNNNNNNNNNNNNNNNNNNNNNNNNNNNNNNNNNNNNNNNNNNNNNNNNNNNNNNNNNNNNNNCAGACCCACAUGCCUAGGGUCUGCAGACCCGCUUGCGGUUUGCAGACCCUUAUCCCUGGAGUUGCAGAACCCCGCGCCUGGGGUGUGCAGAACCGGGAGCAGGGUCUAGACCCGCUCAUCUGGGUUUGAAGAACCCCACUUCUUCUAUCGUGCCUGGGGUCUGCAGCAUCCUCCCAGGGGUUGUAGACCCACACAACUAGAUCUGCAGACCCCGUAGAGAAAAAUAACAAACUUGAAAAAAAAAAUGAAAACAAAUAUAAUAACUAAUAACAAUUAUUUUUAUCAUUAUUAUUAUUAUCGCUAAUAAAUUUUAUAAAAACAUUAUUACUAUCAAAACUUGGACUAGACAAGUUUAAUAUUAUUAUUACUAUACUAAAUAUUAUUGUUUUCAUUAUAAUUAAAAGUAUUAAUAUUUGUGUUAUAAAUACUAUUAUUUUUAUUAUAAUUAAAAGUAUUAAUAUUAAAAUUAUUAUUAUUUUUCUUAUAAAUAAUAUUAUUUUUAUUAUAAUUAAUAUUGAAAAUACUAUUAUUUGUAUUAUCAAUAUUAUUAUUUUGAGUAUAAUUAAUACUACUAACAUAAUAAUUAAUAAAUUUGAAAAAAAUAUUAUUUAUAUUGAAAAGCAAUAAUAGAUUUAAUUUGAAGGGUAAAAUUAAGAAUUAUUAUUAUUAUUAUUAUUAUUAUUAUUAUUAUUGUUAUUAUUUAUUGUUAUCAUUAGUAAAUUGAAAGAAACAAAAUUAUUAGUUAUUUUUAUCAUUUCAGCUGGGGUUGAAUUUUCUUAUUAGAGCAUGUUUGGUUUUGGUUUUAAAAAUUGCUUUGAAAAGAAUUUUAUUUUUUUUAUUUUUUUCUUUACUUCAAAUUAAUGUUUUUUCCUUUAAUUCAUAUUAAAAUGUUUUUGUAAUAUUUUGACGUGAUUAUAUAUUAAAUAGAUUUAAAAAAAAUUAAACAUUGCAGGAUUCAAAAUAGUCUUGGGUCCAGGUUGGGGCAGGACCCUAGAUCUUACAGGUUGCAGGACCCAAAAUAGCCUUGGGUCCGGCCGUAUGCAUGACCCAAAAUAGCCUUGUACAGUUGAGAACAUCUCAUGCAUGCGACAUCCAAUGCAACAUAAUAUAUAAAUUGCAAUGCAUGUAAUUAAUGGGGGGGAAAUUCAUGAAUGAAUUGAAAGAUAUAUAUCUUAUGGGAUAGAUACAACACGAGAAGAAAAAACCAUUUAGAGAAACAGACAAUCUCGAUUGAUGAUCAUCCUAUUAUUAGCAUGAAAGGUUGAAAAAGAAAGAAUUCAUACAAGGAGGUUGGCCUUGAAUUGGCAUUGCCUUAUUCCAAGCGCUAGCUAGCUUAUAAUAUUAUUCACUAGCUAGCUAGCUCGCUAGCUCCUCUCCCUAGCCUUCCCUGCAUCGAUCUUCUGCUUUGCAACCUCUUCCUGGAGCGACUCGAUGGAGGCAUUGGGGAUUCUUUUCUGGGUCACAACGCGGAAGCCCUUCGUAACUUAAGUAUUUUGGUUUUCUUGUAAUGGUAUCUGCUACAUCUCCUGCAACAAACGUGGUCAUCAGGAGCAUUAAAACACCAAAAGCCAUCAAUCCUUUGGACAUUGACAUUGUUAAACUAUGAUGAGAGCAGACAAUACACAAAUGUUGUUCUUAAAAGAAUAUUGAUUCGGUGACAAUAAAAAGCAAGGUCUGGCAUAUAUAUAUAUAUAUAUAUAUAUAUAUAUAGCAUAUGCAUGGAGUGUUUGCCGUUUAUAGCACAAUUUCUUGUGGAUAUUAAAAUAGUUAAUUCUCUUUGCUUUUUCAGAUUAUAGCCGCACCACUUAUAGCACAAUUUCUUGAAGUUGAUACCCACAUAUAGCUGGGAGCUCAAAUGGCCACAUCUUGCAUUAGACAUUGAGAGCUUAAUUGGAGGUCUUGGUCAGCUAAAUUCUCAGCAUCCCUGAUGAGGAGCACACAUUGCGUGGUUGUGACUUCACUUGAGAAAAGUACAUCCAAGAAACAAGGAGAGAUAUGCUACCAAAGAAAAGAUGUCGUGAGUUCGAGCGUCCAGGUUUGGAUCAUGGGAACGCAUACACAACCACAUGCCCACCCAGCUGCAAGAGCUCCAAGUCUGCAAUAUUGAUCUUGUAUUGUAUGUAAACUUCCAACAAAAGUGAACUAUAUGUUAGAUCAUUAGAGAAGGUUUUCCAUGUAACAUGACAUAACAAUAUUAAACAGCAUCAGGACAAAUAUUGCGAACAUAAUAUGUUUGGUUUAGGUGCGCGCGCCGCCUCUUAAAAAGCAUGUCGAAAUCCAUGCUUUCUGCGAGGUGCACCGCCCGGCGCACCUUACAUACAAACACAUUGUAAUUAGUGUGACCAAAAAGAACUCUUGGUGCGAUUAUCCAAGACCACAAAUCACACUCUGCAACGAGAAGUGUCCCCCAAAGACUAAACAAAAAGAAAAAAUAAAAGCAGCUUCCAAUCGUUUCAUUACUUGACUCACCCAAUAACAAAAGCUCUUCGUCUUCUCAAUAAGGAAAUUAAUACAUGCAAGCUGCCACAAGAUUAAAGCACUUAAUGCAGAGAAAGGAGGAGUCACUGCAAUCUAUUCUACUUCCCAGAUGUUGCAGUCAAACUUAAAAUGUGAAAAUCAAAUAUGGUAAAGGCCACGGCUCUACAUAUAAAGAAAUAGACACCUGGGAUAUGAGAGUUCUUAUUGUUAAAUAAUAUUUAUGUAGUCUUAUUUAUUAAGGGUAGAAUAGUACUUUCAGUUUGACCUAUAUAUACUUUAUUUGUAUUGAGGUUAACACAAAGCAUUCAUAAUAAACAGUCUGAGGGAAGAGAUAUGAGCCUACGUUUAAGUAUUUGAUCUCGAUUACUUUAACAUGGUAUCAGAGCUGGUUUUAUGGCACGAGGUUAAUCCCGUACACAGCUUAUGUCAAGGUAACCGAGCUCGAUAUCUAUCCUCAAUUAUUUUGGUAUUUCGUCUUCCCUUCAGCUUUGCAAUUUUGGUAAUUCCGUUCAGUUUCUGCAAAUUGUUUUGUGUUUUGGAGUAAUCGUAUAGUUUGAGAAGAUAUUUGUUUAGUUUCUGCAAUCUCUGUUCAGUUUCUGCAAUUUGGUAUUUUGUUUUCCGCUGCUUUUGCAUUCUGGUUCUUUGUGAUUGUUGAUUAUGGCUACUGAAAGAGAUGAUUCGCUUCAGUCUGUGAGUGUGAGGUUGGAUGGGAAGAACUAUUCGUAUUGGAGCUAUGUAAUGAGAAAUUUUCUUAAGGGUAAGAAGAUGUGGGGAUAUGUUAGUGGAACUUAUGUGGUACCUAAGAAUACUGAAGAAGGAGAUACUGUCUCGAUAGAUACAUGGGAAGCAAACAAUGCAAAGAUCAUUACUUGGAUCAACAAUUCUGUUGAGCAUUCUAUAAGUACACAGUUGGCAAAGUAUGAGACAGCAAAGGAGGUUUGGGAUCAUCUGCAACGGUUAUUCACGCAAUCAAAUUUUGCAAAACAGUAUCAGUUAGAGAAUGACAUACGAGCUCUUCACCAGAAGAAUAUGAGUAUUCAGGAGUUCUAUUCUGCCAUGACAGAUCUUUGGGAUCAAUUGGCUCUUACAGAAUCGGCAGAAUUAAAAGCAUGUGGUGCUUAUAUUGAACGUAGAGAGCAGCAACGAUUGGUACAAUUUUUAACAGCACUUCGCAGUGAUUUCGAAGGACUUAGAGGUUCAAUUCUGCAUCGUUCUCCACUGCCCUCUGUUGACUCUGUUGUCAGUGAGUUAUUGGCUGAAGAAAUACGUCUUCAGUCUUAUUCUGAAAAGGGAAUUCUUUCUGCUUCGAAUCCUUCUGUACUAGCAGUACCUUCUAAGCCAUUCUCUAAUCAUCAGAACAAGCCUUACACAAGGGUUGGCUUCGAUGAGUGCAGUUUCUGUAAGCAGAAAGGUCAUUGGAAGGCUCAGUGUCCUAAGUUGAGACAGCAGAAUCAAGCUUGGAAGUCUGGCAGUCAGUCACAAUCUAAUGCUCAUCGAUCACCUCAGGGUUAUAAACCACCACACCACAAUACUGCAGCAGUAGCUUCCCCAGGCUCUAUUACCGAUCCUAAUACUUUAGCUGAGCAAUUUCAGAAGUUUCUCUCCUUGCAGCCACAAGCAAUGUCCGCUUCUUCCAUAGGUCAGUUGCCUCAUAGUUCCUCAGGUAUGUCACACUCUGAAUGGGUCUUGGAUUCUGGUGCUUCACAUCAUAUGUCUCCAGAUUCCUCAUCUUUUACCUCAGUGUCCCCUUUGUCCUCCAUUCCUGUUAUGACUGCUGAUGGCACUCCUAUGCCCUUAGCAGGUGUUGGUUCUGUUGUCACACCUCACUUGUCUCUCCCUAAUGUUUAUCUUAUUCCAAAACUCAAAUUGAAUCUUGCGUCUGUUGGUUAAAUAUGUGAUUCUGGUGAUUAUUUAGUCAUGUUUUCUGGUUCUUUUUGUUGUGUACAGGAUCUGCAGUCUCAGAAGCUGAUUGGGACAGGUCGUAGGGAGAAUGGGCUAUAUAUUUUGGAUGAGUUAAAAGUGCCAGUUGCUGCUGCUGCUGCUGCUGCUACUGCUGAUUUGUCUUCCUUUCGUUUGAGUCUUUCAUCUUCUAGUUUUUAUUUAUGGCAUUCCCGUCUAGGUCAUGUUUCGUCUUCUCGUUUGAGAUUUUUGGCAUCCACAGGAGAUUUAGGAAAUUUGAAAACUUGUGACAUUUCUGAUUGUAGUGGAUGUAAACUGGCAAAAUUUUCUGCUUUAUCUUUUAAUCGAAGUAUUUCUGUUUCAUCUUCACCAUUUGAUUUGAUUCAUUCUGAUGUAUGGGGACCUUCUCCUGUUUCCACAAAAGGAGGGUCUCGAUAUUAUGUCUCUUUUAUUGAUGAUCAUACUCGUUAUUGUUGGGUUUAUUUAAUGAAACAUCGUUCUGAAUUCUUUGAGAUAUAUGCAGCUUUUCGAGCUCUUAUCAAAACUCAACAUUCUGCUGUGAUCAAAUGCUUUAGGUGUGAUUUGGGUGGGGAAUACACCUCUAAUAAAUUUUGUCAAAUGCUUGCCUUAGAUGGAACCAUCCACCAAACUUCAUGUACAGAUACUCCUGAACAAAAUGGUGUAGCUGAAAGAAAACAUAGGCAUAUUGUCGAAACUGCUCGUUCUCUCUUGUUGUCUGCUUUUGUUCCUAGUGAAUUUUGGGGAGAAGCUGUUCUUACUGCUGUAAGUUUGAUUAAUACAAUUCCAUCUUCUCAUAGUUCGGGUCUAUCUCCUUUUGAAAAGCUAUAUGGGCAUGUCCCUUAUUAUUCCUCAUUUAGAGUCUUUGGUUGUACUUGUUUUGUUCUUCGUCCUCAUGUAGAACGCAAUAAGCUAUCCUCUCGAUCCGCUAUUUGUGUCUUUCUGGGUUAUGGUGAAGGUAAAAAGGGGUAUCGUUGUUUUGAUCCAAUAACUCAGAAACUUUAUGUGUCUCGUCAUGUUGUCUUCCUUGAGCAUAUACCUUUCUUUUCUAUUCCAUCCACUACUCAUAGCCUGACAAAAUCUGAUCUUAUUCAUAUAGAUCCUUUUUCUGAGGAUUCUGGUAAUGAUACCUCUCCCUAUGUUCGAUCAAUUUGUACUCAUAACUCUGCAGGUACUGGUACUUUACUCUCUGGCACAUCUGAAGCUUCAUUCUCAUCUACAGCCCCUCAAGCUUCAUCUGAGAUUGUGGAUCCACCUCCACGUCAGUCCAUCCGCAUUCGUAAGUCCACAAAACUACCAGAUUUUGCUUAUUCUUGUUAUUCUUCAUCAUUUACUUCCUUUUUAGCUUCUAUUCAUUGUCUCUUUGAGCCCUCUUCCUAUAAAGAGGCAAUUCUUGAUCCGCUUUGGCAGCAAGCUAUGGAUGAGGAACUUUCUGCUUUGCAUAAGACAGAUACUUGGGAUCUGGUUCCUCUACCUCCUGGUAAGAGUGUUGUUGGUUGUCGUUGGGUGUAUAAGAUCAAGACUAAUUCUGAUGGGUCUAUUGAGCGAUACAAAGCUAGGCUGGUUGCAAAAGGAUACUCUCAACAGUAUGGUAUGGACUAUGAGGAGACAUUUGCCCCGGUUGCCAAAAUGACUACUAUUCGUACUCUUAUUGCCGUAGCUUCGAUUCGUCAGUGGCAUAUUUCUCAGCUUGAUGUUAAAAAUGCAUUCUUGAAUGGAGAUCUUCAAGAAGAAGUUUAUAUGGCACCCCCUCCUGGUAUUUCACAUGACUCUGGAUAUGUUUGUAAGCUUAAGAAAGCACUAUAUGGUCUCAAACAAGCACCUCGUGCUUGGUUUGAGAAAUUCUCUAUUGUGAUCUCGUCUCUUGGCUUUGUUUCUAGCAGUCAUGAUUCUACUCUUUUUAUUAAGUGCACUGAUGCAGGUCGUAUCAUUCUGUCUUUAUAUGUUGAUGACAUGAUUAUUACUGGUGAUGAUAUUGAUGGUAUUUCAGUUUUGAAGACAGAGUUGGCUAGACGAUUUGAAAUGAAGGAUUUGGGUUAUCUUCGAUAUUUCCUAGGUAUUGAGGUAGCAUACUCGCCUAGAGGUUACCUUCUUUCUCAGUCAAAAUAUGUUACAGAUAUUCUUGAGCGAGCUAGACUUACUGAUAACAAGACUGUAGAUACUCCUAUUGAGGUCAACGCGAGGUACUCUUCUUCUGAUGGUUUACCUUUGAUAGAUCCUACUUUAUACCGUACUAUUGUUGAGAGUUUGGUAUAUCUCACAAUUACUCGUCCAGAUAUUGCAUAUGUUGUUCAUGUUGUUAGUCAGUUUGUUGCUUCUCCUACUACUGUUCACUGGGCAGCUGUUCUUCGUAUUUUGCGAUAUCUUCGGGGUACAGUUUUUCAAAGUCUGUUACUUUCAUCCACCUCUUCCUUGGAGUUGCGUGCAUACUCUGAUGCUGAUCAUGGUAGUGAUCCCACAGAUUGCAAGUCUGUUACCGGGUUCUGUAUCUUUUUAGGUGAUUCUCUUAUUUCUUGGAAGAGCAAGAAACAAUCUAUUGUUUCUCAAUCAUCCACCGAAGCAGAAUAUCGUGUCAUGGCAUCUACUACCAAAGAGAUUGUUUGGCUACGUUGGUUACUUGCUGAUAUGGGAAUUUCCUUUUCUCAUCCUACUCCUAUGUAUUGUGACAACCAGAGUUCUAUUCAGAUUGCUCAUAACUCGGUUUUUCAUGAGCGCACUAAGCACAUUGAGAUCGAUUGUCAUCUUACUCGUCAUCAUCUCAAACAUGGCACCAUUGCUUUGCCUUUUGUUCCUUCUUCCUUGCAAAUUGCAGAUUUCUUUACCAAGGCGCAUUCCAUCUCUCGUUUUCGUUUUCUGGUUGGCAAACUCUCGAUGCUUGUAGCUGCCGCAUCGUGAGUUUGAGGGGAGAUGUUAAAUAAUAUUUAUGUAGUCUUAUUUAUUAAGGGUAGAAUAGUACUUUCAGUUUGACCUAUAUAUACUUUAUUUGUAUUGAGGUUAACACAAAGCAUUCAUAAUAAACAGAUUAUUCAGAAUUGUAGCCUCCUUUUUGUAUUUGAUCUCAAUUACUUUAACACUUAUACCAUGCCUCAAGGACAAAUGAAGGAGAGCAAAGCAUCUCCCGGAAAAAAAACAUCAAAUCAAGAGUCUUGCAAUCCACAUGCAUUAAAGCUUCUUUCAUAAAGGACAGAAGCUUUGAUUUCCAAAUGAGACAGCAAAAAAGAUAUGUCACUGAUAUCCACUUGUAAUUAAUAACCACUUCAUUUAUUUAUUCUAGGACAAAAAACCAAAACAAUCUUGGAUCACAUAGGAACAGGAAAAGGCCUUAAACUCUGACGAACAAGGCGGAGCUAUUAUACAUAGGAUACUUCAGAUGAACUGUUGAUUUCCAUUAUGCUUCAUGCCAAACGUGAGAACCCAACCUCCUUUCCCACCCAUAUCCACAUCACACAACCCGAUCAUCGUCGCAUAUUAAUUUCAUUACAUAAUAUGACACUAGGAUGCAUGUCAUGAUGAAACAUGGAUGAGAUUAAAACUCAUUGACAUAAAUCUGGUCUUUUAAUACAUGUCUCAGAUAAUUAGACCUGAUGAUUAAGAUUAUAAGUUCAAAAACAUAAAUAUAUAGCCAUACGCAAGAGUCUUAGAUUCUGGAAGCCAACAUUUCCAGCAAUACAUGUCUAGGCAAGACAUUGCAUAUCUGAUUCUGAGAAUCACAGCAAAUAUGCCCACUCUAUCAAACAUACUUGAAUGCAGCCAGUCUUAUUUGACAGGCAACUAAAACUAAACAUGAAAAAAGUUUCAUAUUAAGAAGAAGCAGUGAUCAUCUAUGAUCUACCAUCCUCCUAAAUCCUAGAACCUUUUAAUUUUUAACACAAAAACUAGUGACAGCACCUCAACAUGAUAGAAUUGAGAAGGAGAAGCUUCAACGCAAUGCAUGCAACUCAAAGCCAAUAUAUAUUACCCUUUCACUUAGACUACCAUCACAUUUCUAAGCAUCGAGUUUCAAUCUACUAGUUCAUUCCAGAAACAUUCUUCAACUAAGACAAAAUGCCGAACCUACCUGGAAGGCAGGACCCCCUCAGCAGAAUUCAUGAUGCUCCAGCAACCCAUGAAUGCAAAGAGGAACAAUCUUCUAAAAAUGACUUCCAUUGGAGGAAGUUCGACAAAAUUGAGUAAAUUCUUGACCCAAGGAGGAGACUCCUCCACUUUCUUCUCUAUCCUGGUCUUGAAAUUAAUUUUUGUUUCUUUCCUCUGUCUAAAGCUAGUCAUCAACAAUUUCUCAAAGGCAGCUUCUAUUGAUUCUUCGCUUCUUUCAUGCCCAGCAUAUUGUUUCAGGAGAAAAUUGCGUGAACUCCAGACUUCCUCUUCAGAAGCGUAAGGACUGACACCAAGACGUUUAAAAGGGUCCCAAACAUUCAUGGAAGGGAAUUUCGGGAUGUUACCUGUUGAGUUUGAACACGAUUGUGAUAGGUCCCUGUCACAGCAAGUAAUUAAAGACAAGAAACAAACACAAAUGUAUUCUGCUUUGGGCGAGAAUAAGCCACAAUUGAUAUUAUUGAAUAUUGAAUGAAUGCGUUCUCUGUCUCAUAGCAGAGUUUAAAUACAGGAAUUGAAAUAACAACUUUCCUAAAAUACUGGCAUGACUACAUAAAAUCAGGAUGACUCCUGCUACAUAGCUGGCAUUUAUUUGCUGAAUAAAACUUGACUCCUUCCUCCCGUGCACUAAGGCACUGCAGUGAGAAGACCCCCUUGACUCGUUCCUCCCUUGACUAGCUCUUCACAGCUCAAUAAACCUGCGAUUCUUCUUACGAAUUCUGCAUGAUCUUCUCGGCUCCAGCUGUUGCUCAUCCCGUUGUUGUAGUUCAUCACUUGACUCCUUCAAUUGCUGCUGCUGCUUAUCAAUACCUCCCUCUUUUAAGGGAACCUUGUCCUCAAGGUUCAGAUUCUGAAAUCGCUCCCGUAACGCCACAGCAUCUUCCCACGUGGCAUCAUCAUUCUGCAGAUGUUUCCAUUUGACGAGAAUUGCUUCGACAAACCGAGACCCUUUCUUGAUCCAACGAGUGUCUAGGACAGCCUCAGGUUCAAUCAGCAUCUCUCCCGCAGCAGACAUAGGUGGCAAUUCGAUUGAUUCAACCACCUCAUCUCCAAUUUUCUUUUUGAGCAAGGACACAUGAAAGACUGGAUGAAUUCAAGCCUGUGUAGGCAAUUUUAGCUUAUACGCUACCGCGCCAAUUCUUUCUGCAAUCUGAUAAGGACCAUAAUAGCGGCUAGCCAACUUUUUGCAUACACUCCUGACCACGGAUUGUUGACGGUAAGGGUGAAGUUUAAGAAAAACCCAAUCUCCCACCUGAAAUUCAAUAUCACGUCGCUUAGAAUUAGCAAGUUGUUGCAUGCGAUUACUAGCCGCAUGCAGGUUUGCCUUGAGCAGACUCAACAAUUCGUCCCUAGAGGCGAGUUGCUGAUCCACUUCAUUCACCGGAGACAUGCCAAUGUGGUAAUGGGGAAUUGUAGGUGGUAAACGUCCAUAGAGGGCCUGAAAUGGUGUCAUUCCUGUAGAAGCAUGAUAAGUUGUAUUAUACCAGAAUUCGGCCCAAGGUAGGAGGGAAUUCCAUUUUGCUGGCUGGUGGUGAACAAAGCACCGAAGAUAUUGUUCGACGCAGCGAUUGACCACCUCUGAUUGCCCAUCCGUUUGUGGAUGAUAUGCGGAACUCAUCUUCAACUUGGUACCUGACAAUUUAAAGAACUCACGCCAAAAAUGACUGAUAAAGAUAGGAUCUCUAUCACUGAUAAUGGACCGCGGCAUACCAUGUAGCUUCACUACCCCGUCAACGAAUUUCUCGGCCACAAUUUUGGUCGUAUAAGGAUGAGCCAAUGCCAAGAAAUGUGCUGACUUACUUAGGUGAUUAACCACAACGAAAAUUGUGUUCUUGCCACCCGAUGUCGGGAGACCUUCAAUAAAAUCCAUCGUAAUAUCAUCCCAAACCUGACAGGGAACAGGUAAUGGUUGUAAUAAACCCGCCGGUGAUAGUGUGUCUGAUUUUACCCGUUGACAUACGUCACAGGAUGCGACAUAUUCCUUCACUAUGCGAGCCAUUGAUGGCCAAUAGAACUGGUGUGCCAACCGUUUGUAAGUGCGCAACACACCCGAAUGCCCUCCAAUAGGUGAAUCAUGGAAUUCACGUAAUAGUUGUUGAAUGAUGUCCGAGUUGGGGGCAACUACUACUCAAUUUUUAUAGUGGAGCAACCCAUUCCGCCGUGUAUAUGGGCUGCCCGAAUUUUCAGCAGCGAGCUUGCCAAUUUUCUUCAUGUAAGGAAGAGAAACAGCUUCGGCCUUAAGCUGAUCCCAUACGGUACUUUGUGGAACAGAUAAGUGCGAAAGGCAAGGGCUUCCCGUCAUUCGUGAUAAAGCAUCCGCAGCUGAAUUCUCCUUUCCUGGCUUAUACACAAUUUCAUAAUCAUAGCCGAGUAAUUUCGAUACCCAUUUCUGCUGUUCUGGGGUAGUAAUACGCUGCUCCAAGAGGUACUUCAAGCUGCGUUGAUCGGUUUGGAUCACAAACUUACGGCCUAACAAGUAUGGUCUCCACAGCUGGACAGCCACCACAAUAGCCAGCAUCUCCCUCGCAUAAGUUGACCAUGCACGCUUGGAUAGCCCCAAAACGCGACUCAUGAAAGCUAUUGGCCGCCUUGUUGGGUCAGAACAGCGCCGAUGCCAUCACCGGAAGCAUCAGACUCAAUCACGAAAACUUCAGCAAAAUUAGGCAUGGCAAGUGUUGGGGUGGACGUCAUUGCGGUCUUUAAUGCCUCAAAAGCUGCCUCGGCUUCAUCAUUCCAGCCAAAUUGACCUUUGGUAACAAGGAUGUCAACGGUCGAGCAAGAAUUCCAUAAUUGCGGACAAAUUUCUUGUAAUAACCUGUAAGACCUAAAAAUCCACGAAGCUCAGAUAUAUUAGUAGGUCUUGACCAGGAUAGCAUAGCCUGGAUUUUUGCUUGAUCAACCUUAACCCCCAUUGGAGUAAUAAUAUGCCCCAAGUACUCCAGUUCUUGUUGACCAAAAGCACAUUUCUUCAAUUUCGCAAAGAAUUGGUACUGCCUUAGAAUUUCGAAAGCCUUGCGAACAUGUUCAAGAUGCAUGGUCCAAUUGGGACUAUAGAUCAAUAUGUCAUCAAAAAAGACUAAUACAAAUUUGCGAAGGUAUGGUCGAAAUAUGGCAUUCAUAAGGGCUUGAAAAGUAGAGGGUGCGUUACACAAACCAAAUGGCAUGACUAAGUAUUCGUAAUGACCAUUAUGAGUGCGAAAAGCAGUUUUAUGAAUAUCAUUUGGUGCUACCCUAACCUGAUGGUAACCAGCUGUCAAAUCUAGUUUGGUAAAAUAAACAGCCCCAUGCAAUUCGUCUAACAUGUCAUCUACUGUAGGAAUAGGAAAUCGGUCUUUAAUAGUUACUGCGUUAAGUGCUCUAUAAUCGGUGCAAAAACGCCAUGUGCCAUCUUUCUUUUUGACUAACAAAACAGGUGAUGAAAAAGGGCUAGUGCUUGAUCUUAUAAAUCCCAAUUUUAACAUGUCUUGAACCUGUUUUUCAAUUUCAGCUUUUUGAAAAUAGGCAUACCUGUAGGGUCUGACAUUGACCGGUUCUGUCCCUUCUUUGACAGUGAUGGUGUGGUCGAUCUCCCGGACCGGUGGCAAUUGAGCUGGAGUUUGAAAAAUAUCUCCAAAUUCCUCCAACAUCUGCUGCAUUUCAGACUCAACUUUGCUAACAGGCAUCUCGACUUCGGUUUGUAGACAGAUAGCAAACAUCGUUUUGCUUUGGCGCAGCUCCUUCGAUAAAUCCUUGAGAGACGCGGGUUGAAUGUGUUGGCUGUCAAUUCCCUGUAAUUUUUGCAUCUGAUUCUUCCACAUAAAUUCCAUGGUCAUUUUCUUCCAAUCACAGGCUACUGUUCCCAAUUGUUCAAGCCACUGCACUCCCAAAACCAAAUCUAACCCACAUAAAGGUAUGGCAUAUAAAGUCAGCAUAAAUGGGAUACCUUGAAGUAGGACGUGUAUGUUUUCAAAUAUGCCUUGACACUUCAAUGGAUUCCCAUUUGCCACCUUUACGUUGAAGGGCUGUGUGGGUAUCACUGGUAGGUGUAGCCAAUUAGCAAUCCGCUCGCUAAUGAAAUUGUGGGUGGAGCCACUAUCAAUGAGGACAGUCAAUUCGUGAUUUCCAAUUCUUGCCAUGAUGCGCAUUGUUUUGGCAGUCGACCAGCCAGUAAGAGCAUGUAGUGAAAUUUGUGGUUCAUCAUCUUCGAAGUCUUCGUCAUCUUGCAGAUGUGUCUUUUCGUCUCCUUCCAGUAGCAACAAACGGGGUCUUUGACACUUAUGGCCAGGAGUGAAUUUUUCGUCACAAUUGAAGCAGAGACCUUGCGAUCGGCGCUUCUGCAUCUCGUCCCACGCCAGGCGUUUCAUGGGCAUAACUGCUGCUGGUGAUUUUGUGGGUGAAAAAGAAGCAAUUGGAUUCUGACUAAUGGAAAAUGGCUUACGUCGUUGGCGAAGUAAUUGCUCAUCUCUCAUUCUGGCAAGGCUAAUUGCCUCUUUCAAGGAUUUGGGUUUAAACAUCCUAAUCCCUUCUGCAAUGUCAGGUUUCAAGCCUCCCAUAAAAGUUCCCACCAAUGCCUUCUGCGUCCAGCCUUGCACACGGUUACCCAGCCUUUCGAAUUCUUUUUGGUACUCCCGUAGUGAGCCCCCUUGUCUCACCCUUGACAGUGCUUCAUCGAAAUCUUCACAUUCUGGUGGUCCAAACCUUGCCCAUAAUUCCUCCUCAAAAAUUGGCCAUGUCAUCUCCUUGUCUUCCUCUUUGUAAGCACGUCGCAGCCACUGCCACCACUGGUUCGCCUCCCCUUGAAGAUGAAAAGAUGCCAAUGACACCUUUUGUGUUUCCACAGUACCUUGGUAUUCGAAGAAUUGAUCAACUCUGUUGAACCAUUCAGUGGGGUCGUUGCCCGAGUAUAUGGGGAACUCAAGCUUCGCCAGUUUUGAAGAGAACAUCUGUCUGUUCCCCUCAGCUCGUUCUGCAAUGUCUUCACGUUGAUAGCGCGGGCGUCCAUUGCGCUCAAUGGAUUGGCUGCUGGAUCCUUCUUUGUUGGACAGUAACGCCUCUGUCAGCUUAUUGAUGUUGACUUCCAUCUGCUGCAUUCUGUCAACAAGAGUAAUUUCCAUUCGGCUCAUUCCAUCUUGCAGACCUCCCAAUCCGAUUUCCAAAUUUUCUAUCCGCUCCUUGUUUGUUGUCAUUGUUAACCUGGCUCUGAUACCAAUUGAUAGGUCCCUGUCACAGCAAGUAAUUAAAGACAAGAAACAAACACAAAUGUAUUCUGCUUUGGGCGAGAAUAAGCCACAAUUGAUAUUAUUGAAUAUUGAAUGAAUGCGUUCUCUGUCUCAUAGCAGAGUUUAAAUACAGGAAUUGAAUAACAACUUUUCUAAAAUACUGGCACGACUACAUAAAAUCAGGAUGACUCCUGCUACAUAGCUGGCAUUUAUUUGCUGAAUAAAACUUGACUCCUUCCUCCCGUGCACUAAGGCACUGCAGUGAGAAGACCCCCUUGACCCGUUCCUCCCUUGACUGGCUCUUCACAACUCAAUAAACCUGCGAUUCUUCUUAGGAAUUCUGCAUGAUCUUCUCGGCUCCAGCUGUUGCUCAUCCCGUUGUUGUAGUUCAUCACUUGACUCCUUCAAUUGCUGCUGCUGCUUAUCAACUGCAUUGGCAUCCAAUAAGUGAGGACAAUCUUGUAUCUUCCAAGUGGCAGUAGAAUUUAAUUAUAACUACCAUUAUUCUUAUCUUUAGUUAGUAAUAUAACUCUAUUUAUUGUUUCUAGUACGUAGGACAUGUUGUAAUGAAAACCUGUUAGUUAUUUGGUGUGAUUCCAAGGAGUGAUUCCUUUGAAUGAUAUCAGGCUCUACUUAUUUUCCUCUAUCAAUACUUUCUUGCUAUCUUUUAUACCAUGUUCAUUAGUUUACAUAAAUUGUUCCCUUAAUAUCCUUUGGUAUUAAUAUUAAUUGAUAUCAGAACAAGUUUUGAAUUUUUGAUCUGCUAUGCCUGGAACCGCAGUGGAAAUUCUUAUAAUCCCACCAAUCAAAGAUUACAAGACCCUAGUCCUUCCCUAACCAAUUUGAACUCCCCGUAGAAAACAUCUCCAAACCGAUUCUGAACCCCCCACAACAAGCAUCUCCACAACCUAUUCCGAACCCCCCACAACAAGCAUCUCUACAACAUGAUUUACUUCCUUGUUAAACCAGUUAGAAGAUGCUCUCAGAAUGGUAAGCUUCGAAGAGCUGCAGGAUGCAAGCGUGUGCUGAAGAAGCAAGAGGACAAUUGCCCACAUAAAUGGCAAAGGGGGUGAUUGUUGGAAUAUUGCCAAUUAUGUGGCUGCCAUUGUCAAAGAAGAUGGCUGCAAUGGUGGGUUGUUGGUGGCAGCCAACAACCAUUGUCUAAUGUCAAAGUUUGGUAAGUUUGGCAGCCACCAUUGUUGACAAAAGAGUUGGAGGAGCUGCCAUGAAUGCCUAUAAAUAGAGGCCUACAUUAGAGAAGCAAAGUGAGAGAAGAAAGGAGAGAAAACGUGAGUGUGAGUUGAGAGAAAGAGAGAGCUGCAAUGGCAGCAGCCUUGCUGCCAUUGCAGCAGCUGCAACAGCUGUGUGUGAGAGCUGGGAGUAGAGUAGAGUGAAUGUAAUCCUCCUCCUCCAUAUAUAUUGUAAUCCUUUCUCUAUAUAUCUCAAUAAUAUAGACUCUCCCGUGGAUGUAGGCGGUUUUGCCGAACCACGUAAAAUAUUGUGCCAGUGUGCUAUCCCUCCUUUGAGCAAUUAUCAGUACACCCCCGGUCGGAAAUCCCCAACACAGAGUUGAUCAAGGAGGAGAUGUGGCUAUAGAUGAAGAAGAAGUAGGAGAACAUUAGCUCAAUUCAGUCUACAGUGACAGGGAGGUCAAAAUUGAAAGAUAUCACUAUUUUCAUUAAUUUUAUUAAAGCUUAUAAUAAAAGGUUGUGUUUUUAAUUGGAUUUAUUUUUAUAUGGCGUGGCUUCUUUUUUUAAAAUGCAAUCUGCUUCCCUUUAUAAUACAGAAAUCCAGUUUUGAGUUUAUGUAACUAUAUUAACAAAACGAUUAAAUGCUUUCGUGUCCGUUUAAUUAUUUAUAUAAAUAAUAAACCCAGUUAAUAUAUUUUGCAAUCAGUUUAUGGUUUAUUUAUCUCAUAGUUGAGUUAGUUAAUGUAUGUUUUUUCAAAUUAGUAGCAAAGGCGUGUGGGCUUGUCUCAGGCUCACAUGCUAGUGCCUGAGUUGUACUGUAAUAGACCCUAUCAUAUUAGGCCACAUAAGCCCGAGUGGUUGGAAUUUUUUUUAUUGGUCAUUUUUUAUUUUUUUAAUAUAAUUUUUUAAUUUUAUAUUUUAUUGUUGAGUUUUUUUAUUAAGUUUUAUUUGUCAAUAUUGAAUUAAUUAUAAAUUAAUUUUUAUAUUUUUUAUUAUAUAUAAACCGAGUAAAGUAUUUGGUGGGUUAGCUAUAAACCUGAACUUUUUAUUUUUUUAUUUUUUGGACUAGUAAAAGACAAAUUAAAAAAACAAAGUAAUCUUAUUUGAUAUGUUGUAAAUUUUUUUUUUAUCUAAUAAUUUAAAUUGAAAUCUCAUUUAAUAAUUUAAAUUAUUAAAUUGAAAUAAAUUUUUAAUACAAUGAUUUAAGAUGUACCAAGAUAUGGUUGUAGUUUUUAUUUUUUUGCCUUUUUCUUUAAAAAUGUUAUCUCCUUGGUAAGGAAUCCUUGGUUCCCAACGGCAACUGUAGCAACGUAAAAACAAAUCUCUAAACUCCACCGAAAGUGGUAGAGCAUUAGAAUUUUUAAAAGACAAAACGGGGCGCGACAUUCAUAAUUUAUAAACAGAUGCGAUAAAAUAAGUCAUACUGCAUGUUUUCAUUUGGCAUUUAAUUCCAUGAACAUGGCUUUUUUAGAUUAAUAUAGUGUUUGGACUAGCUUGUAUAUCUCGAAUAAUCUCAAGAGAUCUUGAAGUUAACAACGUACCAUAUAAGGCUUUAAUAGCAAUGAGAUUUGUAGGAUUCGAACUAGUGAUAUUUAGAAAACAAACUUAGUGACUAACUAGUUGAGCUACACCCCUUAAAAUUCCAUGAACAUGAUCUUACUUUUCGAUCAAAUUAAUGUGACCAUAUUAUACUUGUAAUCAAACCAUUAAUUGACUGUUCUUGACUAGCUAUUGUUUCUCAUUGGCAAGAGUCAUUGCCAAUGAUCAUAACAUGUUAGUGAUCUAUUGCAACUAGUUCUAGUAUCGACAGAGUUGUUAUUUAACCAUUAAAUCAAUUUAUAAAACAUUAUUGACUAGCUAUCUAACACUAACAACUAAUCACAGAUAAUAUUUAUGCAAAACUUGUAGCUUAAUACGAACUCUCAGACAUGUGGGUGGGGCAACUCAAAGUAGGAGAGUGGUAACCUCUGAUACAUAACAGAGAAAAUUAUAGAGUAAAGCAGGACGGAAUUUUCUUAAAUUAACAACAGAAAUCUAGAUACUUCAAUAAAUUAACACACUGACUAAUAAAUCCCCCCCACCAUCAUCCAGUUAUCACAGGUGCAUCUACAAUGAACAGUUCUCGAGAAGAAACUCAAGAAACGCAUAUAAAGCUACAUGAUGACAUAAUAGGAACCUGCAUUGCCUCCAUUCCAUGAUGAAAGUUCAAGAAAUUCUACUUCGAAACUCAAGACAAAGUCUCUCAGACUACAUAUUAGUGGGAUUUCUAUAAACAACUGAUUGUAUUGCAAAGCAACAUUAUGAAAAACUGAAUAUUUCACACAUAGUCUAACAAAAGUAGGUUCCAUUGUCAAUUCCUUAACAUUUUCCGAACAAAUCACAGUUGCUCCUCGUUUGAUACUUUCUUGAAGGUUUCUUUUCUCUUAUUACCAAUUUCUGUGAGUUUGUGAUUUUUUAUCUGUACCGUAUCAUCCGAACAAUUACUAGAACCACACAACUAAUAUGUAAAUUCACAAAUUCCCUACAGUUCAUAUUGCCAACAAACUCCUCUUGCCAUUCCCUAAUUGCAUUGAGCCAGCUAAUCUGGAUGAAAGAAAGGACUUCGACCUUGAAAUUAGCAUCAUAGUCAUGGAACCUUAAAGCAGGCCCAACUUUGUAGCUCAUUACCAGCUACGUAAAAGUUAUCAAUAGCUGUGUGGAUCAUUGAAACUGCCACAAAAGCAACCCAAAUUAGUUAUGAAUUGGAUUCGAUAAAGGAAAGAGGGGAAGAGGGGAGAAGACAGAUGAAGAUCUGCGCAGGGCUACCUGUUUUGAGAAUUAUGGAUUUUUAUCCCUAACUCAAAACGGCACCAAUUAUAAGUUCAAUAAAAAAAAAUAUGUAACAGAACAGAUGGAAAAAACUCGAAACAACUCGGCUAGAAUUUAGGAAAGAAAUUCAGAAUGAGCCAAGAUUUUAAGUGAGAUGAAACUUUGUUCUUUGAAAAAAAUAAUUAAUAUGAGAUAUACUUUUCAUUUUAGUGAACCUUAAAGCAGACCCAACAGUUAAGUAAAAGUUAUCAAUAGCUGUGUAAACCAUUGAAACUGUUACUGUAGGUGCACACUCAAUUACACCAUGGAUUCACAUAGUGCAAUUGUUAAUUUUUUUUUUAAAUUCCAUGUUAUUUUUUUAUUUGAACCUUUUUUUGUCAACAUGUUUCGCAAUUGGCCUUGGUAUUUUGUUUUCAUUUUCUCUAUGUUUCCUUCUUCUGUAGAUAAAAAACAUCAGGUCUUUGGGCUCGUACUUGAUAGUGCAAAAUUAAUGACACAAUAAUCAAAUAACACAAAAAUUUUUAUAAGCGAAAGGAAUUGGAGAUGUAAACCUAAAAUUCGCAAGUUUAUUUUUUCUAAAAUAAUAAUAAUAAUAAUAAUAAUAAUAAAGUCUACAUUCUUAGAAGGUUUACAAACCUUUAAAUGGGUCAAGAACCCUACCCCCAACUAGGAAGCAAAAAUAAAAAUUCAAAAUUACAAAGAAAAGAAGCAUAAAAUCCAAAAUAAACAAGAAAUCUAAAAAUAAUAAGGAAAAUCACAAAAAUUACCAAAACUAGAGGCCUCAAUGAGAUUUUUGAUAUCUAAAGAUCCGACGGUCCGCAUUAAAAUUUGAGCACAAUCUAACAAUUGAAUAAAAAAUUAUGACUCUUUUGAGUUGUUAUUCUGGUUUAGCGUGACCAAACCUUCUCUUGGGCUUAGACCUGUUUCAUUGGUCCAUAAAUACAUUUGCUAAGCUAUCAACAUAAUUUAUCUAGGGAAAAUCUUCAUCUAGUUAUGGCAGAUUCACACCUGACUGCUUAGAAUCACUAAUUAUUAUAGGAUUGACUACAUCAAAAUUGGUCGGUUUUUUUUGUUUUCAAAGAGAUUUAAACUUGAUGCAGAUGAAAGCUAAAAACACAAUAAUCAAAGAACACCAAAAAAUAUAUGAGCGAAAGAGAAUAUAGAUGUGAACUCUCAAAUUCCCAAGUUUAUUUUCUCUAAAAUAAUAAUAAUAAAGUUUGUCUUCUUAAGACGUUUACAAAGCCUUAAAUAUGUUAGGAACCUUACCUUAACUAGGAAACAAAAACAUAAACCCAAAAUUACAAAGGAAAGAAACAUAAAAUCCAAAACAAGUAAGAAAUAAAAAAAUAACAAGGAAAAUCACAAAAACUACCAAAACUAGAGGCCUAAACAAGAUUUUUUAUAUAUAAAGAUUCGAUGGUUCACGUGAAAAUUUGAGCAUGAUCAAAUAAUCAGAUAAAAAAUUAUAACUUUUUGAGCUUUUAUUCUGGUCUGACACGACCAAACUUCUUCUUGCUAAACUUGUUUCAUUGGUCCCUAAAUACAUCUCCAUAACCUUUUUUUUUUGUUUCACUAUAGAUAGAGUUUGACCAUUAUUAUAUAUGGUUUGACUUAGCCGUAUCGGUUUUCAAUUAGAUCAACUUUAUAUAUUAUGGGUUUACAUUUACUAUUUUUUAAAAAGUGCUCACAAGUCCAUUUUUCACACCUCAAACUCGUAACUGCAACGAUUCGUAGGCAACGAAACUAGUUAAAGACUAGAGAGUAAACAUGCUACUAAAGUUUGCAGGUGAGGGUUUAGAUUAGAUUAUUUGUUGUCUUGUUUCAAAUAUUAGAUCAGUCUCAACUCAUUAAAUAAACAAGUGGUGCAUUGAUCCUUGGACUCAAAUCAUAUAUACACGGCGAGCUCAUUUGUGUUUUUAUUAUUUGUCCCUCCCUGUACUUGUAGCAGAAGAGAAGCUGCUCUCAUCUUUGAAGGAAUGCAAACAAUUGUUAAUAUGAAACAUAUUAUGUACAAAUUAUAAUAUUUGUAAGAAGCCGUUUUGCUGCCCACCGGCGGCCAUCUGAUCAGAGAACAGUAUUAUAUUUUUUAAACCCUUCACUCUCAUAAAAACAAUUUAUAUGAUUAUAAAUAGGAAAACAUAAAAAAAAAUAGGAUUACAUAUUUUUAGAGAUUACAUAUUAUUGUUUUAGUUCUUUUUCUUGAUUAGAGAUAAGUUGAAUAAAAGUAGUAAUAAUUUAUUUUUGUGAAAAAAGUUUACUACAACUCCUAAUAAUUAGUUUCAUGUAAAAAAUAAAAAUAAAAAUAGUAACUAAAAUUUAUUUUAGUUAUGUUAAUAAAAUUUUAAAGAUAUUUUAAUUGAAUUAAGUAAUUCAACACAAAAUUUAUGUUCGCAUACAGUUGUUGUAACCCAUUUUUGGGUCCCCACACAAAAUACAAAAAAAAUAUAUCAAAAUAAAAAAAAUAUUAUAGAAAAAUAAUAGCAGUGAAAAGAGGAUGUCGGAGCGCCCAGAAAAUGAUCAAAAAUUGGUUGAGGAGGUUUCAAAAUAUAAGGAUUGAAGUUUGACAGUAUAUCAUUGACUGGGGCUUAAUUGCAUACAUAUUGAAGUCUGGUGGCCAAUUAAGGACUUGAUUUAAGAAAUCCAAAACCAAGGACCAUAGUGAAAAAAGCGCGCAAAUUGAAGGGCUAAUCUGAAAUUGGACCCAUUUUGGCACCAGUUUUUGUUUAAAUGAAAUGGCACGUUUUGAUAAAAAACAACGCCGUUUCAUGCAUUGCACAAAAAAAAGAGAGCAAACGGUGCCGUUUUGAACGGCACCAUAAGCCUUCUUCUUCCCCUGUUGAGAACAGGGGAAGAAAAAGCAUUUUUGAUGUAACUAUAUUAUUUGAUAGUUUCACCCACAUUUAACUAGUGUUUAGCCUAUGUUAUAUAUAUAAAAUGCCUUGAUAUUCUUUGUUUUAUGUUUUGAAGGCACCUUUAGAUGAAAGAUGCAAAAAGGAGUAAAUUGAAGAUAAUUGGCAGAUUUGAUGUUCAGUCGAUGUUUUGUGCAGAGCAUGAGCUCUAAAAGUCAAAACGAAGUGAUUCUAGUGGCAUUAGAAAUCUAACAUCCAUACCUUUCUGUAAAUAUAAGUCAAGAAAAAUAAAAAUACAACGAGCAUGGAAAUCACAUCCUUCAAAGUCAAAACUCGCAUUCUGCCAGUGUUGACCUUUGUCCAUUCAAAAUUCAAUAUCUGGAGCUGUAGAUAUCCAAUUGAUGUAAACUCAAUUGUUUUGGAUUCCUGACUCAAAGGUGUCUAUAAACGCUCCAAAUUUCAGCCACAAAUGAUGUCAUAUGAGGGAGAUAUGAGUUUUCAAAGAUGACAACUGAAUUCUGCCAGCAAACAGGUUUCGUGAAGAAACGAAUCCAAAUUACAUCCCGAAGCAUCAAAACCGACAUCCAAGUUUUAAUUUCAUCAAUUUAGCUCCUCAAGUAAAUCAAUCCAGAAGGUCAAGGAAGGCAGCCACCAACCUCAAGCCACCAACCUCAAACCACCAACCACAAACCAGCUGCCAGCCACUAGCCGCCUUCACACUACCACCAUCUCUUGAUGUUCACACUUGAACUUUGAUUUUUCUUACUUACAAUUUAUGUAUAAAUAGGCAGCUAAGUUUAUGCUAUUGAGUGAGCCAAGAGGGAAGGAAAGAGAGCCAAGAGGGAAGGAAAGAGAGCCAAGAGAGAGGGAGAGGGAGUGCAGUAGAAUAAAGAAAGAGGGGUGGCAGCCAUAAGAGAAGAAACACAAACUCUCCCCUCAACAAAUCAGAAAUCAUGUAUUCUUUUAUCUUUAGGAGUAGUUUUUCAAUAGAUAUGCAAGGCUAAGCUCGUUUUCUUGGUUGCAAGGACGCAAAAACCUUCAGAUUUAAAGAACCGUGAGAUUUAUUCUUCCAUUUAUUUUCAGUUUGUAUUAUGAAUGAGUAUGUUUGUUUUCCUAUGCAUAUUUUCUAUGAUUGUUUAUCUUAAUUGCUAGAGCGGACUCUAAGUUAUUAUUGUGAAUAAUCUAUUGCUAAGUUUGAUAUCAAAACCGGAGUUGUGGUAUAUAAACGUGUGAAGCAAGUAAGCUUGAUAAUUGUAGCGGAACUACAUUAUUAAACUUAGGGAGAACAUUCGAUCAAAGCAACACAAGCUGACAACUUGGUUGUUAAGAUUAAUGAAUUUAUCUAGAUCUUAAGGCUGCCAUUGGAUUAAACCAUUAGUGCGGACACUGUGAUUGUUUGUUGGUUAGGGUUAGUUAUACGGCGGAUCCGUUAAUUAACCAACAUUAAGAAAAGAUAAAAAAUUCAGAAUAUAAACUGAAGUUUCGUUUCAAGGAUCGGUUCUGAUUUCUGUAGGUGGAUGUGUGCUUGCGACCAAGGUUUGUUUUCUUGAUAUAUUUCAGUUUCAAUUGAUUUUGUUUGUUAGUGUAAUUUCUACCAUAGUUUAGAUCAUUGCAAAUCAAACCCCCCCAAUUAUAUAAUGUAUAGCAUAAAAAUCUGAACUAAACCUUCCUCGUGGGAUCGACCCCUUGCUUGCUCUAUACUAUCUUGUGUGUUUUAAGCUAGGGUAAUUAAUUUAUGCGACCGCGACAUCGCAACAAUUUCCCCCCCAUUUUUUUCUCCUCUCUCUCCCAAAACCCAAAAAACCAACGACGACCCGACUUGUCCUUUCACUGACACCACCACGCCCUCAUGCCGAAAGACCCAUACCCUACAGAGGUAGGGGCGGCUGUGCAGUAGCUGCCCCCAUGCCACCAUGCCCUGCACCAUGGCACAGGACAGGGCAUGGUGGCCCUCUCUCCCUCUACCUAUAAAUAUAAAGGGAGUGCGGGAGAGAAGAGGGGGGAAAAAGAUUUUUUGAAAGAGAAAGGGAGGAGAAACCGAGAGAGAGACCGACUGUUUUUUAAGGAGGAAAAGAGAGACCGAAAGAGGGGAAACAACAGUUUUUUUAGAGAGAAAGGAGUGAAGAGAAGCAGACCGAAACACUAGAAAUUAAAGGGGAGAAAAGAAAAAGGAGGGAGACCGAGAGAGAAGACAGAGGAGAGAAAGGGAAGCCAUAAAAGAAGCGGGGAAGAACAGGAAGUGACAGGGGAAGAAAAAAAUACUGGAGAAGAAGAACAACCACAGCUGCCACCGUGCUUCCUCUCCACCGACAUAGCGCACCACCUGACCGUAGCUGACAGCCCCGAAGAGACAGAGGAGAAAAGGAGAAGAUAACGGGAAAAAAAACACAGAGAUGAGGGGGCUGAGAAGAGAAACAGAGGAGAGGAGAGAAGGAAGGAAAACGCCGCCGCUGUCACCGCCGCUUUCCACCACCGCUGACGACCACAACCGUUCUUUCCCGCUCCAGGUAACUUUCUCCCCUUCCCUUGUCGUUUUUAGUUGUUCAUCUUCAUUUUGCAUGCAGACGUGAGCAAUUCACGUUCUGCAGCAAAAUGUAGAUUAAUUAGCUAGUUACUAUGUUAGGCACAGUAACUAGCUAAUUAUAUUUUGCUGGUUACUGUGUGCAGCACAGUAACCAACCCUUUGAUUGCUUAUGGGCUAGAACAUCAGCCCAGCCCACGCGGCUGGGCUGAGUCCAGCCCACAGUAUAUGGGCCGGGUCAGGCCCAGCCCAGGAUGGUUGGGCCAGAUCCGGCCCAAGUUUUUUUUUGGUUAAAAGAAAAUUUCAAAAAUAUUUUUUCAGAAUUUUAUAAUUUCCCCGCAUAUUUUUAUGUCAUUUUGAUUAAAAGCAAUAUUUUUUAUGUUGCUAAAAAUACAAAAUCCGAUAUUAAAAUACCUGGUUUUCGUCAAAACUUUCAAAAUACAAAACAAAAACUUUGUUUUGAAAAAAAGGAAAAUGUUUUUGUGCAUACGGCCAAGUAUCUCAAGGCUAAAAAAUCAUAUGGUGUUUUUCAUACACAAAAAAAAAACAAUGUUUUUGCAUGCAUUUUGGCUUUGAUAACCAGUUUAUUAGAGUCAAGAGAACAUUGGCCAAAAUUUCAAAAACUACAAAUUUUUUUUUUUUUUUGUCUUUUAGUAUCCGGGGUACGAUAUUACAUGUAAUACAUAUUCCAUAUAUUAAAUGUUUUUCCAACGUUAGAACGGUUAGGUUCUACCCCAUUAAAGAUAAGAACCUCCUUAUUGAGUAGGGCUUUUCUUGAGUCUUAGAUAGACAGGACCAAUAAGUAGAAAACACGACCAAACCUUAGAUUUUGAUAAGACAAAUAAAACAAUGCAGCUUACCUUAGGUAUGGCGUAUUUGGGGUGCUAAUACCUUCCCUUUACGCAACCAGUCUCCGUACCUGAUCUCUGAGACCAGUUAGGGUUCCUAGUGAUCAUAAUACUAGGUGGCGACUCCCAUUCUAUUUUUUUCACCGCUAAGAGACAAAGAAUUCCUUGUCUCCCCACAUUUACCAGAUAUAUAUCCAUACAUUGAGGGUGGACGAUCGCCGCGACGCCGCACACGUGCGACAGAAUGGCGACUCCACUGGGGACCUUGUGGACUAAGCAUUGUUUUGUCUGAUUUUUUGUUGGUUUUGUCCCUGUUUUGUUAUUAAGAUGCUUAUUUUAUUUACACGCUUUAAUUUUUGUACAUAUUUGUUCAUACAUUGUAUAGAACUGUUUCACGCAUCAUUCUUUUUAUGUGAGAGUUUAUAUGAGAAAACUUUAAGUUAAGUAGGGGACUAGCAGCUUACCUUAUGACUUUUAGUCAAGGUUUAAGUUUGUGUAAACCCCAACUCUUCGCUGAGUGCUCAGACUGGUAAUGAUUGGUCCAUAUGCCAUCCCAUUACCUACUGAGCCCCCAUAUUGCCUUCACGAGGGCGAUCACUGGGACAACAAGAGACCCUUUUAGAGACAGAAUAGCCAACCUACCCUUGUCAAGCAUAAAAGAAUUAGAACCGGCCUUUAGGGUGUAUGCUCCACUGUACAUGUUUUGCAUAAUACAUUAAACCUAACCAUAAAGCAUAUUGGUUUUCAGGUCUUUUUAACGAUAAGAUGGCCAUCAUUACCAAAGUUACUACUGUGGAAUAUGGGCAAAAUUCUGAAUUGUCACAACUAUCAGAGGGAGACGGCUCUAGAUGUAAUGCAAGGAAGCUUCCAAUAGUCAAAGACCUGAAUUGUAUGGUAAAUGAGAUGAAGAGAAUAUUGGUUCAUAGUCAGAACAUUGAUGAGGCGGCAUUUUCCGUGAAGUAUGGGCGAUUGUUAGAAAUUACGAAGAUAGAAGUAUUGAACCCAGCAAUCAAAGCCUUGAUUAACUUUUGGGAUCCUGAUUAUAGAUGUUUUUCCUUUGGAAAUGUGGAUUUGUGUCCCACUGUAGAGGAGUAUGGAAUGUUGAUGGAGUUUCCCAAGCACCUGCACAAGGUUUAUUUCCCUUUGAGAAGUGACAAAGUAAUUCCCGAAUUGUCAAAAUUGCUGAAAAUUCCAUAUCUGAGCAGAUUUUUAGAGAAGAAUGCCAGCGGUUUAAAGUGGAAAUUCCUGGAGAUUGAACUAGAAAGGAAAAAAUCACAAUAUGGAUCGAUGCUAGAAAGAGACAGGUUAAUCGCUCUGGGGAUAUAUGGUCCUGUAUUAUUUCCAAGCUUAACAGGGGUUAUAAGCCUAGAAGCUGCUGCUGCAUUUGUGGAAUAUGAAAAUACUCAUGUCAACCCUAUAACUGCCAUAUUAGCUGAGACCUUCCUGACCCUCAACCAUUUCAGGAAGACUGGGAAAGGCGCAAUGAGAUGUUGUACUAAGUUAUUAUACAUCUGGAUGGUAAGCCAUAUUGAAACCAAAAAGCCGAUCUUUAAUAAUUUUUGGUGGUUUAACCAAAAACCUUUGAAGUUAGUAGAAGAAGAAGAAUGGGGAAGCUUGGGCGAUCAGGGUUGGAUGAAAAAACUGCAAGAGUUACCAAGUAGCAACUUUAGUUGGAAAGCCCCUUGGGUCAAAUCGGUUGAUAUCCUAGUAAGUUGCGGACAAAAAUGUUGGGUACCUUUAGUUGGGAUCAUAGGUUAUGUCAGCUAUGCUCCGGCCUUGGUGAUAAGACAAUUAGGCGGCAUACAACACAUCCCAAGAACUGUGGGACUCGCUGAAUUUUCCAGGUUUUUCAAGGAUCAAUCCGCGCUAGAAGAUUGGAGCCAUUUGACUUUAAUGUGAAAGGAAUCUGAAAGGUUAAGAGACCCCAGCUCAAGUGAAGGAUAUGAAAAGUGGAGGAAUUUGACCCCGACUGCCGCUCCUAGAAUGCCAUGUUCUGAAGACGGGCCUUCACGAAUUAUAGAAGGGUCAUUCAAAAGAAAAAAGGUCAGUAAUGAGGAGGACCUUAUGGGGCAAUUGGAAAGGCUCCAAAUAGAAUUGGGAAAGAGUAAGGUAGAUAAAACAGCAUUAGAAAUGAUGAUGAUAGAGGGAGACAAAAGCCGAGUAUUUCUAAACGUACAGCUCGAAUCUAGAGAUGUAAAAAUAAUGAUGUUGGAGCUGCAACUGAGCAAAGGAAAAGUUGUAAUGGAAGAGUCCGAGAAAGAGAGGGGAACGCUGAUUUUGGAUUGGAUGCAGAGCAGCUCUGAAUUGGAAGCAUUAAAAGCCAACUUCAAUGACUAUCAGAUGCUGAAUAAAAUCAGGAUAAAUUUUUGCACGUUCAAGCGGAGUUAAUGGACCGAAUCGAGAAGUAUGAUGAGUUAAACAAGAAAUGUGUGAUGGUAAAAAGUCGGCUAGCCGAAUUGCAAGAGUUCGAAAGAAAGGGGAAGGAAGAGGAGGUUGUUAAAGCAGAUUUGGCAACUAAGAAAAAUGAAAUUAGGAUGCUGAAAGCGAAACUUGAUAGAGAGCGGGAAAAGGUAAGACAGUUGACCGAAAAGUUGGAAGCUUCAAAAAAACAUAAAGAACAGAUCGACACCAACAACAAUACCUUGAAUCAGAACAACAUGUUGCUUAUGGAGAAGAUGGCCAAAGUAGAUGAGCAAAUGGAUGAAGCUGCCAUUCAUGCACGGAUUAUUAGAACCAAUGCCCGAAGGGUGGGGAGGGACAUCUUUUGUUAUCGACAAAGCUUGGCUGAGACUGAUGCCUUCUUAGAAAAGAUUGAGAAUUGAGGCCUUGCUUUCCUACCAGUGGCUAGAAAUAUGGAUGAAGAGGAAGAUUGAUGUAUUUUUUUUCUUUUUUUGUAUCCUCUUUUCUUUUUGUAUCCUCUUUUCAAGAGAUGUAUUAGCCAAUAUUAUUAAUGAAAAGGGGCCUUGACCCAUCUUUUGUGAAAUAUCUCUUAUAGAGUAAGGUUAAGUCUACCAAAGCAACAACUUGAGCAAAACUACCCCUGAUAAGGAACGUGACAAAGGAGUCCAUACCCAUUACGCAAGCGAAAUGUUGGCCAUCGAUCGUUUUUGAAAAACAAGCUCACAUUACAUAUGCAUCAUGCAUUGUUCAUUAUCAUACAUUCAUUUACAUUUUUCCAUCCGCUCCAGAUCGUGAAACAUAGGUCCCCCACCCAAGGUCCACCACACUAGGCUAAGAUCAAGAAUGGAGAACGAAGAGAGGGCCAUUCUAGAAUCCCGCUACCAAAGUGAAUUGGAAUCCGUGAGAAAUGAAGUUUCCCGGAUGACCAAUCUGCUUGAGCAACUUCUAAGAGCCAAGAAUGGGGAGGGAACGUCUACCCAACCACCCAUAGGAGCACCACCAACUCAUGUCCCUGGGGUAUCUCAGAACUUGAGGGCAGAUUCAGUAACGGAACAACACUUUACACUAGCCAUUCCCAUCCAGCCCACUCAAUCUCACAUCACUGUAGAUUUAACAGCGAAUGGGCCUUCCGAUAAUAGGUCCACUGGUUUUAUGAACGACGACAAGAUAUCCGCUUUGGAAGAAAGGUUAAGAGCAGUUGAGGGAAAUGAUUGGUUUGACCCCAUGCGAGCUUCUGAAGUAUGCUUGGUACCAAACAUCAUGGUACCAAAAGAUUUUAGGAUACCAGAGUUUAUAAAGUACACUGGGUUGGAAUGCCCACACACUCACCUUCAAGAGACUUGUCGACUUUGGUUUUUGUAUUUUUUUUACAACAUGCAAGAAAAUUUACAAGCAUUUAUAUAUAAAAAAAUAUCAAAAAUACCAGUUGAAACCCAAAAAAUUACCUGAGUGUCACUGUAUAGGUAAAAUACUGAAAUACCCUGGAAGUUCUCCAAAAAUUACGAAAAUGCCACUGGCGGCGCGUGUGGCACACGCGCGGCUACUGUUGGCUGCGGCGAAAUUUUCUGGCGAGAUUUCUGGCCAACAAAUGGUUGAUUCUGGCAGAUCUGAGGGCGAGGAUUCUGAUGGUGGUGGUUGUGAAGGUCUUUGAUGGCUGAUGAGUGAGAAUCGACGACUUGAAGCUUCUGUGGCAGCCGACGAUCGCGACCCUUUUCCGACCAAAUGGGGCGGAGACAACGCUGAAAUCGGCCAGGGUUUUGCUUUAUAUGAGGAUAGAGACCUUUCUGUGGUGGUUUGGAAGCUUGAUAUGGCCGGAGAUGGGAGAUCGGAAGAGAGAGAGGGAGUUGCCGGCGAGAGGAGAGAGAGAGUCCGAGAUUACGCUACGGUGUGAACGCGUGUAUGGUAAACAGGUACCUCUGAACACUGUGCGCCGUUGGAUCUCGGAUGAAACGAUCGGAUGGCUGUGAUUGGCCUGAUCUGCAGGUUGAUCGGACGGUCCGGAUGAACAGAGGUAGGAUCUGGUGUGGCGCGGUGUACCGAGAGAUUGGUACACCGGGUGACGUGGCGAAACUGGAUCUAAGCUUAGAUUAUUUCAAGGGCUGAGAUGUGUCUGGGUUUUAAUCUAGUGUGGUAAGCCCUAUUGUAUCCUAUUAAAUCAACGGUUCAGAUCUAAACACUAUUAGAUCUAACGGUUAGGAUAUAUUUGGUAUUUUUCAUAUUGUAUUUUUAAAAAAUCAAUAUCCACUCUCAUGAAGAAAUAGUGAAAAACUUAAAUAGUAACCUUGAUAUUCGUUUCUUUUCUUUCUUUUUCUUACCUCUCCCCCUUUGUUCGUUUUUCUCACCGGCUAUUUAUAGCCAAUCAACAGGGGACAUCAAAAUCUCAACAUUAUCUACUUGCAAGAAAAAAAUCGUCGAUACAACUGCCCCGCCUGCUGUGACAAAAAAAGUUUGCAUUAUUGAUUUUUUUAUUUUGUUUUAUUAUAUAUAAUAAUAAAUAUUUAUAUGGAUAAAACUAAAACUCAAAUUAGUAUUAGAAAAGCCCGUUUCAACCGCUAAAAAUCAAUUUUAAUGACCGAAAAUAAUAGUUUUGACCCAAAAUAACCUGAAACUCAUUUUUUACCCCGAUCGACAUGGUUGGACCCGUAUGGACUCGGUGGACUCGGUUUUGACCGAAUAUGACGGUUUUGACCCAAAACGGCCCGACACUUAUUUUUUACCCUGGUCGACAUGGUUUGACCCGUAUUGACUCGGUGGACUCGGUUUUGACCCGAAACGGCCUGAAACUCAUUUUUUACCCUGGUCGACAUGGUUUGACCCGUAUUGACUCGGUGGACUCGGUUUUGACCGAAAAUGACGAUUUUGACCCAAAACGGCCUGAAACUCAUUUUUUACCCUGGUCGACAUGGUUUGACCUAUAUUGACUCGAUGGACUCGGUUUUGAUCGAAAGAUGCGGUUGACUCGAGAAAAAUAUAUUUUUAAAUUUUCCUUUUUCUUAAUUGUUUUGGAUUUUUAUAAAUAAUAAUAGAAAUAAAAUAACAUUCAAGAAAAUCUUGGUGAAUCCAAAAUUGGGUUACAACAGUUGCACCCUCUUUACAAUGCUUACGGUGCAAAGGCAUUGGAAAAUUCAUUUUCUUUUGACUUUGCAUAGUAAGUUUUGUAAAGAAAAACGAUGGAAGUGUUGAAAAAUGCACAGAUUUUUCGGUUGGUCUAAUUGUUAUGGGCGACCUGCCCAAGUGAAAAACAUGAAAGUGUUUUCAAUAUUGGUUUUGUGAAAUACAUGAAAGUGAUUUCAGCAAUGGUUUUGUGAAAUACAUGAAAGUGAUUUCAACAAUGGUCCUAUUUUCCAGAUGACCACCCCGAUGAUAAAAUGCGAGGAAACUCGCAAGUGGUUUAAUUGUUCCAGGCGACCUGCCCGAUGAUAAAAUGCGAAGAAACUCGCAAGUGGUCUAAUUGUUCUAGGCGACCUGCCCAAUAGUGAAAUGCGAGGAAACUCGUAAGUGGUCUAAUUGUUCCAGGCGACCUGCCCGAUGAUAAAAUGCGAGGAAACUCGCAAGUGGUCUAAUUGUUCCAGGCGACCUGCCCGAUGAUAAAAAAUGCGAGGAAACUCGCAAGUGGUCUAAUUGUUCCAGGCGACCUACCCGACAAUGAAAAUGCGAGGAAACUCGUAAGUAGUCUAAUUGUUCCAGGCGACCUGCCCGAUGAUAAAAAAAUGCGAGGAAACUUGCAAGUGGUCUAAUUGUUCCAAUCUAAUUGUUCCAGGCGACCUGCCCGAUGAUAAAAAAUGCGAGGAAACUCGCAAGUGGUCUAAUUGUUCCAAGCGACCUGCCCGAUGAUAAAAUGCGAAGAAACUCGCAAGUGGUCUAAUUGUUCCAGGCGACCUGCCCGACAAUGAAAAUGCGAGGAAACUCGCAAGUGGUCUAAUUGUUCCAGGCGACCUGCCCGAUAGUGAAAUACUUGAAAGUGAUUUCAAUAUAUUUUUGUGAAAUACAUGAAUGUGAUUUCAGCAAUGGUUUUACGAACCGACCCUUCUGUGAAAUACAUGAAAGUGAUUUCAACAUUUUUGUUUUGUGUGAAAUUCAUGAAAGUAAUUUCAACAUUGGUCCUAUUUUCCACGUGACCACCCCGAUGAUAAAAUGCGAGGAAACUCGCAAGUGGUCUAAUUGUUCCAGGCGACCUGCCCGAUAAUGAAAAUACGAGGAAACUCGCAAGUGGUUAAUUGUUCCAGGCGACCUGCCCGAUGAUAAAAUGCGAGGAAACUUGUAAGUGGUCUAAUAGUUCCAGGCGACCUGCUCGAUGAUGAAAAUGUGACGAAACUCGCAAGUGGUCUAAUAGUUCCAGGCGACCUGCCCGAUGAUAAAAUGCGAGGAAACUCGCAAGUGGUCUAAUUGUUCAAGGUGACCUGCCCGAUAGUAAAAUGCGAGGAAACUCGCAAGUGGUCUAAUUGUUCUAGGCGACCUGCCCGAUGAUAAAAUGCGAGGAAACUCGCAAGUGGUCUAAUUGUUCCAGGCGACCUGCCCAAUAGUGAAAUACUUGAAAGUGAUUUCAAUAUAGUCUUGUGAAACACAUGAAUGUGAUUUCAGCAGUGAGCUUUAGGGUUGAUUGAAAACUUCUAAAGGAAGUCAUACCUGUAUGGUUGAGAUCUGAUUUGUAAAUCGAUCUCCGAGAUGAUGAAAUCUUCUCAAGAAAGUCUUAUGUCUACGGUCGAGAUCUGAUCUUCUGUACAUCGAUCCCAAAAGAUGAUGAAAGCUUCUCAAGGAAGUCCUGUAUGUACGGUUGGGAUUUGAUUUGUAAAUGGAUCCCAAAGAUGAGGAAGGCUUCUCAAGGAAGUCCUGUAUGUACGGUUGGGAUUUGAUUUGUGGAUCCUAAAAAUGAGGAAAGCUUCUCAAGGAAGUCAUGUAUGUAUGGUUGGGAUUCGAUUUGUGGAUCCCAAAAAUGAGGAAAACUUCUCAAGGAAGUCUCGAUUUCAAAGAUGAUGAAAGCUUCUUAAGAAAGUCUUAUAUGUACGGCUGAAAUCUGAUUUGUAAAUCGAUCUCAAAGAUGAUGAAAGCUUCUCAAGAAAGUCUUAUAUGUACGGCUGAGAUUUGAGCUGCCGUUCAAAACGAUGGUAGGAGUAAAUUCCUUAUAAAUCACACAGUAUUUGGCAAAAGACAUCAUCAACUUCUUGCAUUUUCAAUACUCUCAAAGUUCUUAACUUUUGAAGCUUUAACCAUGUCUUCUUCUUCUUCCAAUGCUAACCCAAACCCUGUUCCUGCAGUAGAGCCUGCAGUUUGGCGUACUACCUUUGAAGUGAAUGGUCGUCCAGUUACAAUAGAGGAUACUGUAAUGGACAAUGAAGAUAUUGCUGUAGCCGUGGCUAGAGAUAUGAUCCUUCCUCGUGAUGAAAUAAUGCUGGCAGCCAGGACCGAUAUUGAAGUAGUGAAUCAGUCACUUGCUCUCAGUAUCAGAGCUACUUCGUCUUUGGUGAACGUUGCAGAGCGUCUUCAUGCUAGAAGACUUGAGUUGAAUACUCAGGUUCUUGAUCUCCAUCAUCAGAUUGAGAAUUUAAGGAAUAGACUCCGUGAUGAGAGACGUCACAGAAACAACUUGGAGAGGAGAAACCAAGAGCUAAAUACACGUGUUGACUUUUGGAGGGAUUAUGUUAACACACGACACCUCGAGUUCGAGGAAGAGAUGGAGCGCAUGCAUAAGCAAUUUGAGGAAUUCCGAGGCAUGAUUAACCAUCAAGAUGAAAAUAUCCCUGAUCGUCCUCGCACUGUUUAACAUUUGUACUUGUAAACCCCUUUUUCCAUGAAUAAAAAUCCAUAUUUCUUGUCUUCAUUUAUGAAUUUUGCUUUUGUGGAAUUGCCAUCUUUGAUGUGAUUUAAAAGAACUUCAAUUCAUGUGAGUCUCGUUGGAUCCCAGUGGGGAUAUUGUUUCAUAAAAUAUCUGCAAAACAAUUAUGCAAUGCAUGUGAAGUUAGAUGAUAUGCAAUGCAUCUUACCUGUUUUUGAAACAUAGGUCCCCCCUUUUUGAUGCUUCAUCGUCAUAGGGUGGCUUUGUUUGCAUUCCAAAACCUUCUUUGUUUUUCGAUGCAUUGGCUCAUUCAUGUGCUAGCCAUCCGCUCAGUUGUAAAUGCAGUGCCCAUCUUGGGUUGUCCGUGAUGAUUACUGCUCUCGCUGUUUAUCAAGCUUGACAAUGCCCCCAAGUGUAGUGUUGCUUGAUUUAUCAUUAAGAAGCUUAACAAAUCGUUCAUCUCCUGGAUUCUUUCAAGAAUUGUUCUCUGAUUGAUUGUGUGCAUCGUGCCAACACCUAUCAAGAUUGUCAAUCAGUUAUGAACUCACCUCCAGUUGAAACAUACCCUUCAAGGAUAUGCGGUCAUCCACUUUCAUGGAACUGUCAUGUCAUUCAGACCUGCAUUUCAUACUUUGCAGUACAAAGCUCAUCGUUGUAUGCUCAGCUUCUUUCUCAAUAGGUUCUUCUCAACUCAUUUAACCAGAUUGUGAAAAGAAGUGUCUCAGCCUCUUCAAUGAUGUUGCUUUUAUCACCCAUACUCAUGUGGUGCAAUGCGCAUUUGAGCUUCCAAUCAGAUGGCCCCACGGUCAGUCUAGGUGGGUGCGGUGUAUCCUUCCAACAUUCAUUCAAAAGCAAUCAUGUGAUAACAUCUUUCGAUAGUCAUAGCCAUAUUGGAGACGAUAAACCAAGAUGAAGAUAUGAAGAUGUCCUUCAGGUACAUCUUUGCUCUCAAUUGUUGUCGAGGUUUACUGGAUCAUAAACUGUUCUUGAACAUCAUUGCCCUUAAUUGAUAUGAAUGUGCUCAUUCACUGAUUAUCUUUCUUUGAACCAUAUUAUCCUCAGUUCAUUGAUUCAUCAUUUGAUCAUCUCUACCCCCCAGCUGAUUUAAAAACUGUUUGUUUUCCUUCUCAGAGGUCCAUUGUAUUGCCCCCAGAAGUGUCGAGAAGAAUUGAUGUCAUUUCUGUCAGGAAUUUGCAAACUCCGUCGAUGUUCUUAUUUGAAAAUCUUUCUUAUUUUGGAAUCAAAUCUCACAUUUCAAAGAUCAUGUCAAGCAAAUCUGAUUGUUGAAAUGAAAUCAGAGAGAUGUCAAUUUUGAAAGUAUUUUUGGAAAUCAAGCUUUGUUGGUCAAAGAUCCAACACACGCUAUUCAAUAUAGUCCUUUGAUUGUCUUGUAUUUUGAGAGAAAAGAAAUUGACUCGUUGUAAGAUUAAAAUGGCUUUUUUCAUGGUUUUUUGUAUCGAUUUUAAACUCUAAUUUUGGGUAUAUCUUUUGAUUAUCUGUGAUGAGGUGACCUUUUAUGAAUUUCAAGAAAAAUAAGGUACCCGAGGCAAAACUUGAGGCUUAAUCAAGAAAGAUGGUUUCUUUUUCUUAGCACCAAUUUUAUCAGCAUGCAUAAUAAUCAGUAGCUUGAUUCAUGAAGUCACGACCUGUAUGAAACAACUCUUCAAGUUUUGAGAUCGCCAUUUAUCGGUUCAGAUUGCUUACUUGAUUAAAAAGGACUUUCUAAAGCAUGUAAUGUAGGCUAUGGUUCCUGGCUAUGAAAGAAAGGAAUUUCACAAGCUCAAAAGGUGUUUGAGGGUUUCAUGAACCUAGGAUCACCAUCAAUUACUCAUCAAUCUCUUUUCCUCACGUUGUCUUUGUAGAGACGGUGACAUAUAACCUUGUUAAUCUCUAAGAUUAAAAUUCGUUUAACAUAGGUCAUAACGCAAAUCCAACUUUUCUUUAAUGAAUAGCCAAUCUAAACUUUUGAAGAUCAUAGAGGCUUUACCAUAGACACACCAAAAGACAUAACACUUGAUUUUUCGUGUUAACUUUUGGUAUUUGUUGUGUCUUUAUCAAUCUUUGGCUUUCUUCUUUUAGCCCUUUCUCAAUCAUUGGACUUUUGUUCUAAGCCUUCCCUUUGUCCAUCGACUCUAACAUUGUCUUCGUCUUUUCUAGGAAAAGACUCUCAUUGCCCCUAGUGUGGGGUGUGAUCCUAGUCAAGGUUUUUUAUGAAAGAAAUAUUCUAUCAGCUCAAAAUGGGACUGCAAGGGAUAUAUAUUUCAAGAAUUGUGAAAGGAUGAAACAAAAAUGGCCUUUUCUCAUCUCAAGUAAGGUCGGUUAGAACCGAUAAAUUUUGACCUCAUCCAAUAUAAUGAUUUAGACUUGUAAGAAUCAUAAUUCACGAGUCCAUAACUACUGAAUCCACUACGUUUCAUUAUGCAUACUGCUAAAACUUAGCUAUAUAGUAUGUGGUUCAAUUUCAUGUGUGAGUUCAAAAGUUUCUUGGUCACCUCAUGUCAUUUCAACAAGCUUCGAGUCAUUCAAGCAAAAUAAUUUUAAUCUUCAAGAUUGACUAAUCUUAAACGCAUGUUGGAGCUUGAUCAAAAUAUUUUGUCAAAAUAACCUUUGAAAGAAACAUCUCAUGCUUUCAGAACAACAAAGGGACAAAGAAAAGACAUGUUUUGUUAAAAGAUGAGAUAUGAUCCCAAAAUAAAAUGCAGAAUGACAAAACUCAUAACAAAAAGGAUCGACAGUUUAACACUCUUCUUGGAUCAGCUUUUCUGGUGAUAUCUGUGUUUUGUCAAGCAUUUCAAUCACUUGUCAUUAUGGGGAUGUUGUAGUGACAAUAUGGCCGAUGAUGUCAUUUUCACAAACUCAACUCGAUUCUUGAAAUUCUUGCAACUUUCAAAUGAAUGGCACAAAAUCCCCCAAUGAUAUUCAAAUCUCUUUUCUGGAUUAUACCACCUAGAAAAUGAUGGUUGUAUGGGAUUUGGCGGAGUCAUGGCAAUAAAUCCGGAGUCUAAUAGAUGCUGGUAGACAAACUCGAGUGGUCGAGGUAUGUCAAUCUUGGCAAAAAUAUUUGAGCAGUUGAUACAUAAUUAAAGCUUCCCAUCGUUAGAGUCAUCCUUUGAUUCAUCUCUCAUUAUUGUUCUACAAUCCUUGGCAGAAACUUCAAUAUUUCCCCUCUUCGUAGCUUGUUCAAUUCUUUCGAAAAUCCUCACAACAUCAAUAUCAAUCUUUCCAAUGUUGUUAUGGUUAUUUGUGGAUUGGUAUAAACUUUCCAAUAGCCAGGUAAUCUUGGUAGCGCACAGAAACAUUCAGCACCACCAUUGCCAACGUGUGGAAUCAUGCGUUGUCUCAACUGGAAGAGAAAAUGAUGAAUCUGAAAAUGAUGAAUCUGAAACCCUUUUGUCUCCUCUUCAAUUCCUCACUGGCAGUGCAGCAAACAAACACCUAUAGUGGGAAUUCUGCUUUGUUAAAGUUGCAAUGUUUGCUCUUUUUUUUCUCAGAGCAGCAUCCGAUACUGCAAUGUCUGCUUUGUUAAAGUUGAGAACAAGGGUUGUCAUUAGUUGAUGACUGAAGGCAUUGUUGUCAUUGUUCAUGACUAAAAAGGAGAGGUACAACUUCAAUGGAACGUGGACAAGUAGUGUUCUCAGCAAGAGCCUGUACAGACGUUCCCUUUCCACUUUUGAAGCUCAACAUUUAUUCAAACAGAUUUAUGAGUCGAGCCACUUCACCUUUACUGCUCUCAACUUCCUUUUGAUAAUAAACCUAUGUCUAACCCCUGUCUUUAUUUUCCAUCUUCAUCAGUCCAGUAGACCUCAGGUGGGGGAACUUAUGUUUCAACCGUGUGCAAGCUUGAUAAAUGAAUGAAAUGCGCAAAUGGAUGCAAAAUGCCAUAUGGACUAUGCAUGCUUGUUAUUUGUUUCAAGUUUUCCUUUAGCUUAUGACGAGGAAUAGACCAGAUCAGAUUCUCUUAAGAAAGUUCUCAAUGAGGACUCCAAACCUACAGGAACUUGAACCGAUUUAGGGGAGAAAUUUGAUUUUUAUUGGAUAUUCUUCAGUUGUUUUUCCCUCUACUCUCUUAGCAGAAGUAACCCUACCGGGAUGUUUCCAUGCCUUUUUCACUAACUCUAAUAAUUUCUUCGAGGUCUUGAAAUCUUCAUAAAAUGUUGGCAGUUUGGUAGUCAUUGGAAUAAACUGCUCAUGUAAGAUCCCACAUCGAAAGCGAGCGUCCAACGCCAAGGCCUUAUAAAUGCAUGUUCAUCUUAACUAGUAAGACGCGUUUAAAACCCUGAGGGGGACCUGGGUGGAAGCCCUGGAAAUGGGUAGACCGGGGGGCCUAGAAGGGACAGUAUCUGACAGGGUGAGUGUGCUGCUCUACUCUGAAAGACGCGUUUUGAGGCCAUGCGUGGCUGCCAAGAACAAACCCGUCAGGAGACUUGGGUGGAAGCCCUGGACAUGGGUGAACUAGGAGGCCCAAAGCGGACAAUAUUUUGCUAGUGAGGUAGGAUGUUACAGCUCAAAUCCAAAUUGUUGUAAAAUCAUGUUAGGACAAUAACUAAUACAGCAGCAGGCUCCUAUCACAACGGGACCCAUGGAUACUCACCAUAAUAUGCCAGAUAAGAUUUGAAGUAAGAGUAUCGACUCCUCCAAUGAAAUUGAGAUUUACUUAGAUUUAGAAACAUUGAUUCCCAUGUGGUUCUUGCUACUUCAUGCAAGUGUUUUUCAGCAAAAUUCUCCAGCUUAGAAUAAAGAUGCCAUGGGGUACCAACCAAACCUGAAAUCUUCCCCUCGAUCAUAUGACUCACAGUCCAGACAAACAAUAACUGCAAGCAACAUCUUAAACGACCCCUUCCAGCUUUUCUACAAUAAUUCAAGGAUGAGAAAGUUUCUGCCAAUAUUGCUGUAGCCGGGUUAAUUUUAAGGGUCACCACAUUUUUAAAUACAUUGACAGCCUCAAAAUCGAUCAUUCCCUCUGUAGAUGGGAAAAGAACCAAACCAUAUAUGCCUAAGGCCAAAAUUCUCAAUCGAAUUUCAUUGCUUUUAUCGUGUAAUCUCCUCUUGAAUAUGGCUUCUAGUUCAUUCCAAAACCAACCUUGGCUAUUUCCUCGUUUAGUUGCAUGAGAUUUUGCUAGUUGACAUUCUAUCUGGGUAAUCCAAGCAAAGUUAGAAAGUGCAUGCUCUAUAGGUGUGUAAAAGUAUACCUUUUCUGACUUGGGACAAUUUAGCAGGGAUUCAUACUCCUCAAUAGUAGGAGUCAUAUCCACAGUAUCAAAAGUGAAGCACCGAUAUUCUGGAUCCCAAAACCCUAUCAUGGCCUUAAAACAAGCAUGUUGGACCCUAAUUUUCAGUAAAUGUGAUAGAUCCCCAUAUUGUUUCUGAAAAGUGAUUUGAUCAUGAGAGGAUAACCUUUCCCAACAGUCUAGCAGCUGUCUUGUACCAAGUGGUCUGUCAUCUAAUUUAACAUGCUCUGGCAACUGAGACUCAAAUUCUGAUGGCAAACAAUCCCCUUCAUCAUGUUGGCUCAAUUCUGAUCUGGUAAAAAAUUCCUCAAUAGUAAUGGGUUUUUCCAUCUCACACUUCUUGUAAGGAUCGGUGGAGAUUUAAUGAGCACAUGAAAUGUAUAUGAACAUGUAUGUUCAUGCAUUGACAUUUGUUCGUGUCCUAAUGGGUAUAUCUUACUUGAUAGGAUCUAGCUCAUAAGGUUUGGUUCAGUUUAAUCUAUCCUUAAAGAUAUUUUUUGGUUCUUAGAUUGCCCGAAUUACCCAUGGAGUAAUCGGCCUCUUAACCUUAUACAACAUGAGUAUGGGAAACAAUUUCCACAAUACCCGUUGCAUAGGGUGAGUUACAAUCCAAGCGAAAGUCCAAAUGAGCAUCAGUGGACAUAAGUCACACUUGCCACCUGAAUCUCUCUUUUCUAAUCUUAAACAGGACGAGCUCGGGUCCAGAGCUUUUAUGGGUUCACCGUGAAGUGUGUGAAUACACAAAUAAAUAACAUGCAUGUAUGUGGCAAUAUGGAAAAUUGAAAAGAAUCACAGUAGAUAUUGCAUAAAAUAAAUAAUGCAAAUAAGAUAAAUGCCUAAAAAUAAAUAGCGAUAAGAAAGAACAAAUGAAAAGCAAAUACAAGCAGUUGGCUCAACCCUAAGUCCCCAGUGGAGUCGCCAUUCUGUCGAUACACGACGUCGGGCGACUGCUUCCGCUUUUUUUGUUUAUUUAACAAAAAGGGUUUUUUUUUAAUUGGGGGAAACAAAGAUUUUAUUGGAGUCGCCAUCUAGUAAUUUGAGGGAACUAGAAAUCCCAAAUUAGACACUGGUCCCAGAGAUUCAGGUACGGGGUUAGUUAUGAUUAAGGGAAGGUAGACACCACCCUUAAAACAUCCUUUCAAAGAAAGGUUACCCUUACUUGUGUGUUUUUUGUUUGAUUCAAAUGCGAUUAUAUUUUGGGCUUAUUUGUAAUUAUUUUAAAUGAUUAAUGUCGGUCCCUAAAAAUAGGAGACACGUUAAAAAUGACAUCAGUCCCUAAAAUUUAGGAGACUCGUCUAGAAUAUUAACGUUUAUUCCUAAAAAGGAGAGUUACGUCUGGGUUACCAAAAGAAAUAAUGGAUAUAAUCCAUUAUAUUUUGGGUUUAUUGGUAACUUGUUUUUUUUUAAAAUGGUUAACGUCGGUCCCUAAAAAUAGGAGACGCGUUAAAAAUGACAUCAGUCCCUAAAAAUUAGGAGACUUGUCUAAAAUAUGACGUUUUAACCCUAAAAAGGUGAGAUACGUCUGGGUUACCAAAAAAAAAAUAAUGGACAUAAUCCAUAUUUGGUAUUUGCAUUUUUGACAUCGGUCCUUUUUUUUAAAAAAAAAAGAGAAGUGUUGACUUUGGUUUUUGUAUUUUUUUUACAACAUGCAAGAAAAUUUACAAGCAUUUAUAUAUAAAAAAAUAUCAAAAAUACUAGUUGAAACCCAAAAAAUUACCUGAGUGUCACUGUAUAGGUAAAAUACUGAAAUACCCUCGAAGUUCUCCGAAAAUUACGAAAAUGCCACUGGCUAGAUUUCUGGCCAACAAAUGGUUGAUUCUGGCAGAUCUGAGGGCGAGGAUUCUGACGGUGGUGGUUGUGACGGUCUUUGAUGGCUGAUGAGUGAGAAUCGACGACUUGAAGCUUCGGUGUGAACGCGUGUAUGGUAAACCGGUACCUCUGAACACUGUGCGCCGUUGGAUCUCGGAUGAAAUGAUUGGAUGGCUGUGAUUGGCCCGAUCUGCAGGUUGAUCGGACGGUCCGGAUGAACAGAGGUGGGAUCUGGUGUGGAGCGGUGUACCGUGAGAUUGGUACACCGGGUGACGUGGCGAAACUGGAUCUAAGCUUAGAUUAUUUCAAGGGCUGAGAUGCGUCUGGGUUUUAAUCUAGUGUGGUAAGCCCUAUUGUAUCCUAUUAAAUCAACGGUUCAGAUCUAAACACUAUUAGAUCUAACGGUUAUGAUAUAUUUGGUAUUUUUCAUAUUGUAUUUUUAAAAAAUCAAUAUCCACUCUCAUGAAGAAAUAGUGAAAAACUUAAAUAGUAACCUUGAUAUUCGUUUCUUUUCUUUCUUUUUCUUACCUCUCCCCCUUUGUUCGUUUUUCUCACCGGCUAUUUAUAGCCAAUCAACAGGGGACAUCAAAAUCUCAACAUUAUCUACUUGCAAGAAAAAAAUCGUCGAUACAACUGCCCCACCUGCUGUGACAAAAAAAGUUUGCAUUAUUGAUUUUUUUAUUUUGUUUUAUUAUAUAUAAUAAUAAAUAUUUAUAUGGAUAAAACUAAAACUCAAAUUAGUAUUAGAAAAGCCCGUUUCAACCGCUAAAAAUCAAUUUUAAUGACCGAAAAUAAUAGUUUUGAUCCAAAAUAACCUGAAACUCAUUUUUUACCUCGGUCGACAUGGUUGGACCCGUAUGGACUCGGUGGACUCGGUUUUGACUGAAUAUGACGGUUUUGACCCAAAACGGCCCGACACUUAUUUUUUACCCUGGUCGACAUGGUUUGACCCGUAUUGACUCGGUGGACUCGGUUUUGACCGAAAAUGACGGUUUUGACCCGAAACGGCCUGAAACUCAUUUUUUACCCUGGUCGACAUGGUUUGACCCGUAUUGACUCGGUGGACUCGGUUUUGACCGAAAAUGACGGUUUUGACCCGAAACGGCCUGAAACUCAUUUUUUACCCUGGUCGACAUGGUUUGACCCAUAUUGACUCGGUGGACUCGGUUUUGAUCGAAAGAUGCGGUUGACUCGAGAAAAAUAUAUUUUUGAAUUUUCCUUUUUCUUAAUUUUUUUGGAUUUUUAUAAAUAAUAAUAGAAAUAAAAUAACAUUCAAGAAAAUCUUGGUGAAUCCAAAAUUGGGUUACAACAAUGUCAAUGGAAAAGAGAAGCCAAGAGUUAGUAAGGGCUUAUGCGCAAAGAUGGAGGGAUGAGGCAACACAUGUGCAACCCCCUUUGAUAGAGACGGAGAUGGUGACUUUGUUCCAAACUGAGAUCAGUGGGUUAACUCGGAGUGGCCGGUGCUUCACGCCCGAGGAGUUGAAGAAAGCAAAAGGCAAAGAAGUGGUAGAUCUUGACAAAGCACUAGAAGUUAAUAAGCCAAUAACUGAAGAGGAGUCAAAUGAAUUUUUAAAGUUGAUAAAGCAUAGCGAAUAUUGCAUAGUAGAUCUACUAAAAAAGACUCCAGCAAGGAUUUCCCUUAUGUCCUUGAUACUAAGCUCUAAGCCGCAUCGAAAUGCUUUGCAAAAGGUAUUGAAUGAGGCGUAUGUGCCCCAAGACAUUGAACAGAAAACCAUGGAGCAUCUGGUGGGGAGAAUCCAUGCAACUAAUUACCUGUACUUCACAGCUGAUGAGCUUGAUGCUGAAGGUAUCGGACAUAACAAGCCCUUAUACAUUACUGUUAGGUGCAAGGAUUGCCUCAUAGGAAAGUGCUCGUCGAUAAUGGCUCAGCUCUUAACGUGUUGCCAAAGCACAUGCUGAAGAAAUGCCAAUUGAUGAUUCUCAUAUGAAGUCGAGUACUGUGAUGGCCAGAGCAUAUGAUGGCUCACUUGGGCCAAUAAUUGGGACUGUAGAAGUGGAGCUAUAUGUGGGGCCACAAAUGUUCUUGGUGACCUUUCAAAUUAUGGACAUCCACCCUUCCUAUAGUAUGUUGUUAGGAAGACCUUGGAUUCAUGUGGCUGGGGCGGUAACUUCAUCAUUACACCAAUGCUUGAAGUAUAUCAUGAAUGGGAUGUUGGUAACUGUCAAAGCUGAGGAGACAAUAUCCAUGAUGAAGAAUGUGGCCAUACCUUUCAUUGAGGCAGAGGAUCGCAAGGAUAACAAUAUCCACUCUUUUGAGAUUGUGAACACUGACUUGGUACCUAAGAACACAGUACUAAGAAGGCCAAGGAUCUCAGAAGCAGCAAGGAUGGCAGCUCAAUGCUUCUUGGAACGCGGGAUCCCAUUUCAAUAUAACCCUAUCACUAGGGUACCAGAAAGGGUUAAUCCGAUAAAGAUGAAAGGUGUUGAUCAAAGAUUUGGGCUGGGGUAUAAACCUAAAAAAGUGGAUCAUCGGUGGGCUGCUGGUCGAAGAAGGGAAAGAAGAAUGGCUAGGAUUGAAGGAAGAGAGCUUGAAGAAGAAAAGCUGGAAAUCCCUCCCCUUAGAGUGUCGUUCCCAAAAGCUGCAUAUGUAAUGCAACCCGAUGAAGGAGCAGAAAGCCUUGGUCAAGAACUGUCAAAUAUGAGCAUAAACACCUUGGAGGAGAAUAAGGUGGAAGGAGGUGGCAUGAAGACGGUAGCGGGAAAGAAAGAUGAAGCACUACCACAACUAACUAUCCACACUUUGGAAGAAGUCUCUGCUAAGACCUUUGUACGAAAGCUGGCUGAAGGUGAGAAGUUUCAAAACUAGGUGACUCAAUAAGCCCUAGUAGUAUUUAAAAUGUAAACCAACUUUGUUUGCCUUAACAUGCUUUUGUCAUUGCUUUUGUUUGCUUUAUUUUCCCUGGUUGACAAUCGAGGCUCAUGAUGUCAAUCAGAUUUUGUCGUUGUCAUUGAGCCCACCUUUGUUUUAAAUAAUGAGAUCAUGCGUUUUCCAAAUUUAUCUCUUUAUUCAUGCAUUUACACCAAACACUUUCCGCUUUCAGGAACUCUGAAAGUGGAUCUUCCACAACAUCAUAUACACUUAGCAUCAAGAAUGAAUGGCCAAACUUUAACGAACAUGUGAUCACUAUGGAAGAAGAAGAAUGGGAUGAAAGCAAUAUUAGGGAAUUUACAAAGUUAGUAGAGCAACAUGAACAAACCUGGGAACCAACUACAUAAGAACUAGAAACCGUAAACGUGGGUAGCGAUCAGAUUAAAAAAGAGUUAAAAAUAGGGACCUUAAUCACUCCUAAGGAAAGAGUAGAGGUAAUUGCCCUACUACGAGAAUACGCAGAUGUUUUUGCUUGGUCUUACGAGGAUAUGCCUGGUUUGGAUAGAAAUAUUGUCGUACAUAAGAUACUGCAGGAGGAAGGUUGUAAACUAGUCAAACAGAAGUUGAGGAGAGCCCACCCGGAUAUUUGGAUCAAAGUUAAGGCAGAACUCGAAAAAUAGUGGAAUGCAGGCUUUCUAGAAGUAGUUAAAUAUCCACAAUGGGUAUCCAACAUUGUUGUCGUACCAAAGAAAGAAGGAAAGAUUAGAGUUUGUGUGGACUUCCAAAAUUUGAACAAAGCUAGCCCCAAGGAUGAUUUUCCUCUGCCACAUAUAGAUGUUUUGGUCGACAAUGCUGCACGUAGUUCCACAUAUUCCUUUAUGGAUGGUUUCUCGGGAUACAACCAGAUAAAGAUGGCUUUAGAAGAUAAGGCGAAAAUAACUUUUGUUACACCAUGGGGAACCUAUUGUUACAAGGUUAUGCCAUUUGGUCUGAAGAAUGCAGGAGCCACCUAUCAGAGGGCCAUGGUGACUCUUUUCCAUGAUAUGAUGCACAAGGAAAUUGAGGUGUAUGUAGAUGAUAUGAUUGCCAAGUCCAAGAAGGGAGAAGAUUAUGUAAAGGUUCUGAGGAAGUUAUUUGAGCGUUUGAGGAAGUAUGAACUAAAGCUCAACCCGGCAAAAUGUUCGUUUGGAGUUAAGUCUGGAAAGUUGCUAGGAUUUGUGGUAAGUGACAAAGGUAUAGAGGUGGAUCCUGAUAAAGUGAAGGCCAUCCAAUCCAUGCCAUCCCCAAAGACAGAGAAGGAGGUGAGGGGAUUCUUGGGAAGAUUAAACUAUAUUGCCAGACUUAUAGCUCAACUAACCACAACAUGUGAACCUGUCUUCCGGCUACUGAGGAAAAAGAAUCCUGGGAUUUGGAAUGAGGAGUGUGAGGAAGCAUUCAAUAAAAUCAAGCAAUACUUACAAAGUCCGCCUUUGCUUGUUCCUCCUAUAUCAGGAAGGCCUUUAAUAUUGUAUUUGACAAUAACUGAAACAGCUAUGGGAUGUGUAUUGGGUCAGCAUGAUGAAACCGGAAGGAAAGAAAGGGCUAUUUAUUACCUGAGUAAGAAGUUCACCGAAUGUGAGUCUAGAUACACGGUGAUAUAAAAACUCUGUUGUGCAUUGGUAUGGGCGACAAAAAGAUUACGACAUUACAUGUUGUAUCACACCACUUUGUUGAUUUCAAAAGUGGAUCCACUAAGGUACAUCUGUGACAAGCCCUAUCUCUCAAGCCGAAUUGCAAGGUGGCAGGUUUUGUUGUCAGAAUAUAACAUAGUAUAUAUGACAAGGAAAGCCGUGAAGGGGAGCGCGAUUGUCGACCACCUGGCUGAUAAUGCUGUUGAAGAUUAUGAGCCAUUGGAUUUUGACUUCCCUGAUGAAAAUGUAUUAUCAAUAGUGGGAGAAGAAGAGAAGAAAGAUUGGUGGACCAUGUUUUUUGAUGGGGCAGUGAAUGUUUAUGGUAAUGGGGUCGGCGCGGUGAUAAUCUCUCCUGACCAGAAGCAGUAUCCGGUUUCAGUUAAAUUGUAUUUUGAAUGCACCAAUAAUACAGCUGAAUAUGAGGCUUAUAUCCUGGGUUUAGAAGUUGUGUUAGAGCUGAAGAUCAGAAAGAUAGAUGUAUAUGGUGACUCAAUGUUGAUUAUCUGUCAAGUGAAAGGAGAAUGGCAAACCAAGGAAGAAAAGUUGAGGCCAUACCAGGAAUAUUUAUCAGCACUGUCAGAAGAAUUCGAAGAGAUAAGAUUCACCCAUCUAGGAAGAGAAGGGAACCAUUUUGCGGAUGCUUUGGCCACGUUGGCUGCUAUGGCUACGAUUGAUCUCGGGCAUAAGGUACAUCCUGUACACAUAAACAUCAGAAAUAACCCAGCUUACUGUUGCUCGAUUGAAGGAGAGGUAGAUGGAAAGCCUUGGUAUACGAUAUCAAGAAUUUUGUGCAAAAUCAGGAAUAUCCAGUGGGAGCUUCGAAGAUGGAUAAGAAAACCCUAAGAAGGUUGGCCAUGGAUUUCUACCUCGACGGAGAGAUUCUGUACAAAAGAUCAUUUGACAGAACCUUGCUAAGGUGUUUGAAUGAGACAGAUGCUAAAAAUGCUUUACGGGAGGUACAUGAAGGGGUUUGCUCAACUCAUGCUAACGGGCAUAUGGUAGCAAGGAAAAUACAAAGGGCUGGUUAUUUCUGGAUGACACUAGAGAAAGACUACAUCGACUAUGUCAGGAAAUGUCACAAAUGUCAAGUGCAUAGUGAUAAGGUCAAUGCGCCUCCGACUCCUCUGAUUAAUCUAGCAUCUCCCUGGCCAUUUGCAAUGUGGGGGAUUGAUGUGAUUGGACCUGUUAACCCAAAAGCUAGCAAUGGGCAUAGAUUCAUACUCGUAGCUAUUGACUAAUUCAUGAAAUGGGUAGAAGUUAGUUCAUACGCCCAUGUAACACAGAAAGUGGUGAAAAGGUUUAUAGAAAAAGACUUGAUUUGUCGUUAUGGUCCACCAGAAAAGAUAGUGACCGAUAAUGCACAGAAUUUCAACGGCAAAAUGAUCAUGGAGCUCUGUACCAAAUGGAAAAUCAAGCAUUCAAAUUCCUCACCAUACAGGCCCAAGAUGAAUGGUGCCGUAGAAGCAGCCAACAAAAACAUCAAGAAAAUUAUCCAGAAAAUGGUAGUCACUUACAAGGAUUGGCAUGAGAUGUUGCUGUUCGCUCUCCACGUAUAUCGCACUGCAGUAAGGACCUCAACAGGAACUACUCCAUAUGCUCUGGUAUAUGGAAUGGAGGCGGUGAUGCCUUUGGUAGUAGAAAUCCCUUCGUUGAGGGUGUUGAUGGAUUUAGAAUUAGAAGAGACUGAAUGGGCCAAAGUAAGAUAUGAACAGUUAAACCUGAUCAGUGAAAAGAGGUUGGCUGCAAUCUGUCAUCAUCAACUCUACUAGAAAAGGAUGGCCAAGACAUAUGACAAGAAGGUUAGACCUCGCAUGUUCCAAGAAGGAGAUCUAGUGCUGAAGAAACUAUUGUCUUUACCAGGAGAAGAUCAAAGCAAAUGGGCCCCAAAUUAUGAAGGUCCUUAUGUAGUGAAGAAGGCUUUCUCAGGAGGAGCUCUGAAGUUGUCUAGAAUGGAUGGAGAAGAUCUAGCUAGACCUGUGAAUUCUGACUCUGUAAAGAGAUAUUACGUCUAAUGUGUUCAGUUUUCUCCCAAAAUGAAUAAAGUGAAGUUUGGCUAUGAUUUCUUUGUGUAAAGAACCCUUUUUUUUCAUUUGCAUUGAUCUCACAACACUUAAUUUGUUUAUUUUCAAAAAAAAUCUUGGAAAGAUUUGGCUUUGUGCAUGAUUAUAAGGAAUGUAUCAUAAAAUGCUCAAAGAUGAAGUUUAAGCAUUUCCCGUUAAGAGGUGACCAAACCAAACAAACCCAACGCUGAGAUAAAACCUUGCCCCUAAUAGCAUUUUGAAUUGUAUGGAUAAAUGGUUAGGUAAUCAUCAUUGUAAUCACUCGGAUGUUUUUCUUUCGAGAUAAGAACAAGGUUUAUCAAUCCUAACAAUGUGCGUCUUGAAAUGAGGAAAGGCCAUCUUUGUCAUCCCUUCACUUUCUAAAGAUUUCAUCCUUUGUAGUCCCCAUUUGAGCCGGAUUGAGUUUAUUCUUUAUGAAAACCUGACUAAGACCACACCCCGCACUGGGGGCAAUGAGAAAUCUUUUGUUAGGAAAGAUAAAGAUAAUUGUAGAAAAAAAGGGUAAAGAAUGGAAGCCUAACAUUUAAGAAGAGAAUAAGAAGAAAAGGGAGAAGGAAUUUGAGCAAAUUACAAAAAAAAAAAAAGAAGAAGAAGAAGAAGAAGAAGACUUGGAUCUUUGAAAGUCCGAACCCAAAACUUGGGGGCAUAAAAAAAAAAGAAGGGGGGAAAAGGAAUAAAGAAAGAAGAUGAUGGUUUGAUAAUGCUUUAAGACUGAGAUGAGGAUCCUUAAGCAAGCUUCUCCAAAUGCAACCUAUGAGACAAUUUCACAAAAAACAAAAGAUAGAAGAAGAGUGGUCUUAAGUCUUUAAACCCUCAAACACUAUUGAGCCUUAAAGCAUCCUUUUCUUUCAUAGCCCGUAGAUGUAACCUACAUUACAAGCCUUUAAAAGUCCUUUCUGAUCAAGCGCACAUAACUUGGGUUAAUAAACGAUGGUCUUAUAACUCAUAGGACUUAACAAAUGAGAGAUAAUCCGCUUUUGUCCAUGCAAGAAAAAGGCUAAUAUGAGACAUUUCCCUUUUUCUACACAGCCUUUUCAAAUAAUUACUUAAAACCUGUUGAAAAGAUUAAACAGAAGAGCCUUUGAAAAGAAAAAAAAAACCUAAAGACAAACCGCAAACCGAUAAAACCCUCAUUGGGAAUCGCUUAAAAGAGUUUUCAAUAUGUAUGUUGAAAGUUUCAGUUGUCAUGAACAAAUUCAAGUCUUUUAAAGAUUCUUUUUGAGGAAGGAAUUUUUUGUGCUGGAACGAAAACCAAAAAACCCUUAAUUUGAGAAAGACAAAUUAAAGCAUUGACAAGAGCAUGAUAAAAAGCAAUGGCAAAUCAUGCAUUUUUGGAAAAGGUUCACCUAACGGAAAAGGUCAGGGAUUUCUUCCCUAAAAAGUGAUGGGUAGAAGAAACAUCAUAGGAAAUGGAUCCAGCAUGCCAUUUCGAGCACGUGAACAAGAUCGUAUUAAGAGAGAGUUUCAGAAAAUUGAAGGAAGCGAUGGGACCUAUGUUUCCAAACCAGGUAAGGAUGCAUACAUAAGCAUUGCAUCAAACAUUUUUGUUGAUUUGUUACAGGAAAAAUCCUCAAUAUAGUCCGGCAAGAUUAGAGACAAAGAAAGAAUCUUUGAGUUGAUGAACAACGAAGAAUCAUGCUUUGGACCCUGGAACGGGAGAAAGAUGAGAUAAACCCUAACAUUAGGGAAAUCUCAAAGAAAUAAGAGUCUUCAAUUCAAACCCUAUCAUCUUGAAGAAGAAACAUUUUUUGGUUAAAGAGGAUUGCCAAAAGGGAUCUCAGUUUAACCACCACAUGAAGAUUUUAGCUUUGGUUGAAGGGAGUCGCCAGAUGGGAUUCCAGGUUGACCGAGCUACACACAGGCUUUGGUUCUGGUUAAAGGGGAUCGGCGAAAGGGAUCUUAGUUUACCCUAACCACACAGAGACUUUGGUUCUGGUUAAAGGGGAUCGACGAAAGGAUCUCAGUUUAGCCUAACUGCACAGGAGUUUUGGUUCUGGUUAGAGGGGAUUGGCGAAAGGAAUCUCAGUCUAUCCUAACCAUACAGGUUUUUUGGUUAUGGUUAAAGGGGAUCGGCGAAGGGAUCUCAGUUUAGCCUAACCACACAAAGACUUUGGUUCUGGUUAAAGGGGAUCGGCGAAGGGAUCUCAGUUUAGCCUAACUGCAAAGGAUUUUGGUUUUGGUUAGAGGGGAUUAGCGAAAGGAAUCUCAGUCUAUCCUAACCACAUAGGAGUUUUGGUUCUGGUUAGAGGGGAUUGGCGAAAGGAAUCUCAGUCUAUCCUAACCACACAUGUUUUUUGGUUCUGGUUAAAGGGGAUCAGCGAAGGAUCUCAGUUUAGCCUAACCACACACAGAUUUUGGUUCUGGUUAGAGGGAAUUGGCAAAAGGAAUCUCAGUCUAUCCUAACUACAUAGGAGUUUCGGUUCUGGUUAGAGGGGAUUGGCGAAAGGAAUCUCAGUCUAUCCUAACCGCACACAGGAGUUUUGGUUCUGGUUAGAGGGGAUUGGCGAAAGGAAUCUCAGUCUAUCCUAACCACACAAUUUUUUAGUUCUGGUUAAAGGGGAUCGGCGAAGGGAUCUCAGUUUACCCUAAAUACAAAGGAUUUUGGUUCUGGUUAAAGGGGAUCGACGAAGGGAUCUCAGUUUAUGUUAACCACACACAGAUUUUGGUUCUGGUUAGAGGGGAUUAGCGAAAGGAAUCUCAGUCUAUCCUAACCACACAUGAGUUUUGGUUCUGGUUAGAGGGGAUUGGCGAAAGGAAUCUCAGUCUAUCCUAACCACACAGGAGUUUCGGUUCUGGUUAGAGGGGAUUGGCAAAAGGAAUCUCAGUCUAUCCUAACUGCACACAAGAGUUUUGGUUCUGGUUAGAGGGGAUUGGCGAAAGGAAUCUCAGUCUAUCCUAACCACACACACGAGUUUUGGUUCUAGUUACAGGGUAUUGGCGAAAGGAAUCUCAGUUUAGCCCAACCACACAACAGGACUUGGGGUCCGGUUGAAGUUUUAGGUCAACCAAAUUUUGGGAAGACCAGUUUCGGAAGACCAAUUUUGUUUAUCUUUACAACACUUACUACGCAAAAUCUUUGCUCCGUAAGCAUUGUAAAGAGGGGGCAUCUGUUGUAACCCAUUUUUGGGUCCCCGCACAAAAUACAAAAAAAAUUAUAUCAAAAUAAACAAAAUAUUAUAGAAAAAUAAUAGUAGUGAAAAGAGGAUGUCGGAGCGCCCAGAAAAUGGUCAAAAAUUGGUUGAGGAGGUUUAAAAAUACAAGGAUUGAAGUUUGACAGUAUAUCAUUGACUGGGGCUUAAUUGCAUACAUAUUAAAGUCUGGUGGGCAAUUAGGGACUUGAUUGAAGAAAUCCAAAACCAAGGACCAUAGUGAAAAAAGCGCGCAAAUUGAAGGGCUAAUCUGAAAUUGGACCCAUUUUGGCGCCAAUUUUCGUUUAAAUGAAACGGCGCGUUUUGAUAAAAAACGAUGUUCGUUUCAUGUAUUUCACGAAGAAAAAGAGCAAACGGUGCCGUUUUGAACGGCACCAUAAGCCUUCUUCUUCCCUUAUUGAGAAUAGGGGAAGAAGAAGCAUUUUCCCCCCAUUUUUUUCUCCUCUCUCUCUCUCCCAAAACCCAAAUAACCAACGACGACCCAACUUGUCCCUUCACUGACACCACCACGCCCUCAUGCCGAAAGACCCAUACCCUAUAGAGGUAGGGGCGGCUGUGCAGUAGCCGCCCCCAUGCCACCAUGCCCUGCACCAUGGCACAGGACAGGGCAUGGUGGCCCUCUCUCCCUCUGCCUAUAAAUACAGAGGGAGUGCGGGAGAGAAGAGGGGGGAAAAAAGAUUUUUUGAAAGAGAAAGGGAGGAGAAACCGAGAGAGAGACCGACUGUUUUUUAAGGAGGAAAAGAGAGACGGAAAAAGGGGAAACAACAUUUUUUUUAUUGCUUAUGGGCUGGAACAUCAGCCCAGCCCACGCGGCUGAGCUGAGUCCAGCCCACAGUAUAUGGGCCAGGUCAGGCCCAACCUAGGAUGGGUGGGCCAGAUCCGGCCCAAGUUUUUUUUGGUUAAAAGAAAAUUUCAAAAAAUAUUUUUUAGGAAUUUUAUAAUUUCCCCGCAUAUUUUUCUGUCAUUUUGAUUAAAAGCAAUAUUUUUUAUGUUGCUAAAAAUACAAAAUCCGAUAUUAAAAUACCUGGUUUUCGUCAAAACUUCCAAAAUACAAAAAAAAAACUUGUUUGUUUUGAAAAAAAGAAAAAUGUUUUUGUGCAUACGGCCAAGUAUCUCAAAGCUAAAAAAUCAUAUGGUGUUUUUAUACAUAAAAAAAAAAAACAAUGUUUUUGCAUGCAUUUUGGCUUUAAUAACCAGUUUAUUAGAGUCAAGAGAACAUUGGCCAAAAUUUCAAAAACUACAAAAAUUUUAUUUUGUUUGUCUUUUAAUAUCCGUGGUACGAUAUUACAUGUAAUACAUAUUCCGGAUAUUAAAUGUUUUUCCAACGUUAGAACGGUUAGGUUCUACCCCAUUAAAGAUAAUAACCUCCUUAUUGAGGAGGACUUUUCUUGAGUCUUAGAUAGACAGGACCAACAAGUAGAAAACACAACCAAACCUUAGAUUUUGAUCAGACAAAUAAAACAAUGCAGCUUACCUUAGGUAGGGCGUAUUUGGGGUGCUAAUACCUUCCCUUUACGUAACCAGUCUCCGUACCUGAUCUCUGAGACCAGUUAGGGUUCCUAGUGAUCAUAAUACUAGGUGGCAACUCCCAUUCUAUAUUUUUCACCGCUAAGAGACAAAGAAUUCCUUGUCUCCCCACAUUUACCAGAUAUAUAUCCAUACAUUGAGGGUGGACGAUCGCCGCGACGCCGCACGUGCGACAACAGUUAUAUAUUAAUUCUAAUAAAAAAUAUAUAUGGUUUCUAUGUUUAAAUUUUGGUAUUAAUAACGCAUACAACAAUGAGGCAGUUAAGUUUCUUUGAUAAAAUAAAAUCAUUUAAAAAAUAAAAAUAAGCUAGUAUGUUUGUUACAUAACUAAAAAAAAAAUUGAUUUUUUUUAAAUUAAUUUUUAAAAUCAUUUUAAUAGACUGAUAUUAAAAAUAAAUUUUAAAAAAUAAAAAAUAUAUUAUUUUGAUAUAUUUUUAAGAAAAAAACAUUAUGAAAAGAAAUUGUUAAUAUUGUUAAAAAUAUAUUAAUAUUUUAAGGAAAAAAUAAAAGAAUUUUUUUUUUUCAAAUUAAUUUUUUUCUUUUUUGUAUAUUUUUGUGGUUACCAUAUCAGACAAAGUAGAGGUUGAUUUCAACAUGCUUCCUGCAAGCAUGAUAAACCAAAUUCAUUAUGAGAUAUAUAGCCUCAAGAUUAUCACAUCAUAAAGAAGAGUAGAGGUUCAAAUCCCUAAAUCUAUAAAUAAAUAAAAAAUGAACUAAGCAAUUUUAUCUCGAAACAACAAUGACACUAACUUAAUGCUCAGCCUUGGUACAAAUUAUGUCAGCACUUCCAUGCCUUGUGAUCUUGACAAAAAUAUUUUUGGUCCUUUUAGUUUAGAAAUGAAACUUUUCAGUACAAAACUUUAUUUUACCUAUAUAUAUAGUUCUUGAGUUUGAGAAAAAAAAGAAAGAUUUGUUGAAAAACUACAAAGGAGAGAUAAAAUUAGUCUAUUUAGAUUUGGAUUGAUUUUCUAAUUUUAAAUCAAUUAAAUGUUUAUUUAAAAUCAUGAAUGGAUUUAUUGAAGUCACUUCUUACAUAUAGCACAAUAUUUAUGAAGAUGACACGAGUUAAAAUAAUUGUUUAAACACACACUAUAUAUUGUAAUGUUGUCUGCAUAUAACUGUCAUGUAAGGGCUUCCAAUUCGCCUCUCCGUAUUACAGCACUUUACAAAUUAUUAGAUCAUUUGAUACUACACACAACAUUUGAUAUUUUUAACCAUUCACAUACAUGAAAUAAAACCCAUGGAAACAUGACACAAACGUCGACUGCAACUGCAACAUUAUACUAAUGAGUGUAUUUUCUAAAGUCGAAAGAGUGCUACCCAAUCUAGGUUCAAGUGGGAUGAUGAAUUGAAGAGCAGUUGUUAUUUGACACUGCAAUUAGAUGUCUCAUAUUUGAUUUAUGGAGCUAUGAUAAGGGAAUCGUGCUUGUAUAUUUACAUAGUAACAAGCAUUAUUAAAGAUGGUACACUAGUAAGUUUCCAAAUGCUAUCAGCAAAUAUUAUAACCUCUUAAUUUAUACAAGGAUUGAGCUAAAUUGCUUUAUCAAAUAUUUUAUGUUUUUUUUUUUUUGAAAUAUUGUUAUAGACAUAGAAUCAACAAGUUUAUGUGACAUUCUAUAUUGAUUUUGUUAUAUUUUAAUCACUAAAAGUAUGGGUUUCAGAAAAAUAAAAACCAAACAAAAAAAUUGAAAAAAUUAAAAAUUUUCAAACCAACCCAAUCCAACAAAUUUGAUCAUUUUUCGUCUGGUUUAGUUCGGAUAUUUUUUAGUUGAAACAAUUACUAACCAUUUUCAAAAGAUAAAUAUUGACAAGCCUUUCACCAAAACCAUGUUCAUUUAUGCUGAAUCAGGCCAAAUCAGGUUCAGGUUGCUAACUCAAACUAACGCAAUCCAAAAUUAAAUGCAUAUAGACUCUGGGUUGGUUUAGUUUAUUGAUUAUUAGAAAUGUCAAACUGAAACCGAACCGAAAUAAAUGAAUAUUUCUAACUGAGACGCCCUAAAAUACUGAAAAAAAUGGUUGGUUUUGUUUAGUUUGGUUUGGUUAUAGCAGAUACCCUGACAAUUUACUUUUUCACUCGACCUCAAACAAUAAGCACUAUUAUUAUGUCUUUAAUUGAAUUACUAUAAAGUAUAAAAAUAUAUGUGGAUAAUUGAAAAUUUGCUUAGAGUUGCUAAUAAUUCACAACUGCAACAACCAUCACGACCAGGUAAUGCUUGGGAAUGGGAUCAUGUAAUUGUGGAGAUUUGUCUAGAUUUUCUAGAUAAUAAUUUCAACCACCCUCUCCUUUCCUCAACCACUAUCACUCACCUUUCAACCACCAUCAACUACCCUCUCCUUUUGUCAACCAUCAACACUUCUCAACCAAGCUGCCAAGGCUCUCAUUCCUUCUAUAAAUGAAGACAAAGAGAGAGCAAGAUAAAGUGUAGUGCAGAGACAGUGCAAGUGAGUGCAGAGGAGAGGAAGUGUGGAGAGUGCAAGUGCAACUUUGAGAGUUGUGAGCAGAUUUGAGAGAAACACCAAGUGUAAGAGUGAAACACUGGGAUUUUGGGAUUGUACUAGGGUUGAGUUGAGUGUUUGUAUCAUUCCUCUAAUAAUAUAUGAUUGUGCAUCAAAAGUAUCAUUAAGUCUCCUAUUUUACAUAUAUAUUUAUUAUUUUUAUUUGGGUUUUUUAUAAUAAUUGAUGUGCUUUUUAGUAAUGAAGUUUUUUUUAAUGUUUCGAUAGGAUUUUGGAGCUUAAAUGAAUUAUUUCAGAAAAUUCAACGUCGGAAUUCGGAACAAAGAAUCGAAGAGAAAUUUAGUUGAAGAUUGAAGCAAGUCUUGGUUCAAAUAAGUGCUCCAAAUUUUCCCCAAAAAUCAAUUCUAUUCCAAUUCUAGAAAAGAAUAUCAUAUGAUCUAUUUCAAGCCCAAACAUGCCUUAUGUUGUGUGCAAACUUCAACCAUCAAACACUCAAGGUUUCAAUGUCAAUCUUAGCCCAAAUAAUAGGUACAUUUCUAUCCUUAUUUGAUGCUUAAAUCAGCCCCAAAUCAGCCUCCAAAUCAGCCGAAGCACAAUCCAUGAUCUUACAUGCCCACACAACAAAUAACAUUUGAUUUAUUUUGGGUAAUUCAUUGAUCCAAGAGGGAAAGAACAUGGAUGGAAAGCUGGAGGGGACAUUGUGACAUUAUUUUGGGUCAAAAGAAGAAAGAGACAGCUCAUAAAGGAGGAAGAAAAACGUGCACCAAAGUGUUCUCCAAGCUGGCCUGGUUUGAUUUUCCAGAACACCUUUCGGUGUUUCGCCCAUAACUUUUGACUCAGAUGUCCAAAUGAGCUGUUCUUUAAUGAUGUGAAAAUAUAACAGAAUGGCCUAUAAAUAUGUCUCCAAUAGCCAUUUCCAGGGGAGGCUUCAAAAAGGGUCUAAUUUCUGUCCAAAGUUAGAGUCAAAUUUGUGUCCGAAUUUUUACUGAAAUUGUGUUGUGUGCUUCUUUAUAGAUUUUGGUUCUUUAGCUUGUAAAAAUCAUUAUUUCAGUUUGAUUCAAGUUAUUUCAUGUUUAUUAAAGUGUUAUUAUAUAUAAUCAUGGUUCGCUAAUCUCUUUCUUGGAUCCAAAUCAAGGAUGAUGGUGGUUGAGGUGAGUUUUUUAAGAUAUGAAUGAAUCUUAAUGUCUAUCUUUUCAUUUUCUUUAUAAAUGUUUUAUUAUUGCAAAGAAAUUUUAGAAAUCAUUUAGGUAAUGUUAUAAUCUUGAAUUUUUAUGCACAAACCUUAGUUUUGGUAUAGAGAUUGCUUGAUUCAAUGUCUUACUUAAUAUGAAAAUACUUGUUCAUUCUUAAGCAAUAAUCAAUCUUCAUCUUUUUAAACUUCAUUGUAAUAUCUUCUGAUCUAAUAUCACCAUCGUUGAUAUUAGGUUGAGUUAUCUUAUAUAUGUUUGAAGGAAUCACCAAUACAUCACCAUUAAAAUUGAUUUGGACCAAGACUUACUUUUUCUUGUCAUUUAAAAUCUAUUUACACUUUUUCAUCUUUGAAAACAAAUUCAUCAAUCAUUUUCAACCAAGUUAUUGUUAAUUUAAUUUCUCUUGAGUUUUUUUGUUACCUAGCUUAAUUUCCAGAUCUAGCUCUCUGUGGAUAUGACCUCAAUCUUACUGAGUUAAUUGCUACAUCGCACACUCGUGCACUUGCGAGUUAAAACAAGCCGAACAUAAAAAGCGGUCAAGCAAUUUUUGGCGCCGUUGCCGGGGAGCUAGCAAGCAAAGGUAACAAAUUUAUAUUUGAUUAUUGAAAAAUAAAAAAAAAUACAUAUAAAUAAUAAAUCAAAUGGCUGGUUUUACCGCCUAAAAAAAAAUUGACCUCAACUUUUCGGAUAUUGGACUGUGGACUAAACUAUUAAUUAUUGGAUUUUGGUUGGUUCAACCAUUUUUCUUUUAUUUUCUAUUCUAAUUAGUUUCUAAUAUUUAUUGUUUAUAUUAUAAGGCUGGUUUUACCGCCUCUUGUUUAUUUUAUUUUAUUUUGUUGUUAUUAUUUUUCUUAUAUUUAUUGUCUGAAGUGCUUAGCCGGUAUUACCGCCUCUUGUUCAUUUUAUUUUAUUUUGUUGUUUUGUUGUGAUUAUUUUUCUUAUAUUUAUUGUUUGAAGUACUUGGCCGGUAUUACCGCCUUUUUAUUCAUGCUUGUUAUAAUUAUCUUUUAAUUUUUAUUGUUGUUAUUAUUGCUUAUUAGUUGGAGUGUGAAUUUCUUAAUUUGUUAAAUUUUUAUUUUUGUGCUAUUACUUUAUCUUUUACAUUUCAUUUACUUUUAUUUGCAAUCUUCUUUUUCUUUUUCUUUUUUUUUUCCUUUCCUUUUGUAUUCAUAUAAUUGUUAUAUUAUUAGCUUUUUUUAUCAUGGCUAAUGUUGAAGAUGUAGAGGGUGAAGGGAGUGUUCAAGGUAAUGGACCUCCACAAUUCAAUGAUCAACCUAAUUUUCGAGUACACCUUCGUGUAUUAUCUUUCCUCUUAACCAACAAGCUUUCAAUUUGAAACCGGGCAUGAUUCAACUUCUUCCCACAUUUCACGGUAUGGAUUCUGAAAAUCCAUACAUACAUAUUGUCAUAACCCAAUUUUUGACCAUUUUAUUUUAAUUAUUAUUAUUAUUUUAUUUACUGAAAAGGAUAAAAAAAUAUGAUGAUGAUGAUAAAAAAAAAAUAAUGAUAAAAAAACAAGUAAAAUGAGAUAAAUGAAGAAUGAAUUAAAAUUUGGGUUAAGGGCAACAUGAUUAGAAGUUUUAGGGUUUAAUUAAACUUUGAAAUUAAUCUAAUUAAGCUUGGAAUUAAUUUAAUUAAUCUGAUUAAGGGUUUAAUUGGAGAAUUGAUAAGUUUUGAGACUUAAUUGAGCUUGGAAUUAAUUUAAUUAAUCCAAUCAAGGGUUUAAUUGGAGAAUUGAUAAAUUUUUAGACUUAAUUAAGCUUGAAAUUAAUUUAAUUCAUCCAAUCAAGGGUUUAAUUGGAGAAUUGAUAAGUUUUGAGACUUAAUUAAGCUUGGAAUUAAUUUAAUUAAUCCAAUCAGGGGUUUAAUUGGAGAAUUGAUAAGUUUUAGACUUAAUUGGACUUUGGAUUUAAUUAAAUUAAUGAAAUCAGGGACUUAAUUGAAAAAAUAGCAAAGUUUGGGGUUAAUUAGGGAUACGAUUGCAGCAGAUUAAAGUCCAAGGACUAACUUGUAAAAGGCACCGAAAUGCAGGGGCAAUUACAGUUUAAACCAGGGGCUUAAUUAUAAAAUUCGGCGUCGUUUGAAAGAGCACUAUUCAUCUUCUUCACCCGAAAACAAGAAGAAAACGCAUGCCUUUAUUGCAUUAAAAUCCAUGCAAAACGCAUGCCUUUAUUGCAUUAAAAUCCAUGCAACCGCAUGGCAUUCUCUGGUUAUAAAAACCAGAGAAGGAGAACCGGCAAAGAAAAAAAGGAUGGCAUAACCGAAAAGCCACUAGAGAAACACAGAACCGGGGAAAGAAUAGAAAAAAAAACUUUCGUUCCUCUGUUUCUUCUCAAAGAAACAGAGGAGGCCACGAGCAGCGGAGGAAGAAAGCAACUAGCCCACCAGUCCUCCAUCACGUCUCCGUUUCCCUGCUUACACAGAGGAAGUAACACCGGGAACACAACAAGACGCAAGAACAGAAACUGUACAGAGGGGAGCAAGUUUUCUGCCCCUGUUUCUUCUCUAAGAAACAAAGGCGUUCGUGCCUCACGAUCGUGAGGCACGAACGCGUGAAGAAAGGCCAUUCUCUGGCUUUAUAAGCAAGAGAAGGCCGCAGAGAAGGAAGAAAAACUGAGGAGAAACAUGAAAAAGAGAGGACAGAACCGGUGGACGAGAAGAACAAACACAGACGGCCGCGGACGAGCGGGGAAGACGACUAGCAGGGGAACAAACCGAAACAAAAAAGAAGAAGACGACAGAACAAGGAAAGCUAAAACAGAGGAGUAGACAGAAAGCAGUAACAGAGAGGAGUAACGCUGGUCAGUUGUCAUCCCCGUCUUCCAGUGCAGCAACAGGUAAGUUGCGUUGCCCCUCCCUGCAUUUUAAUUGCAUGUUGCUGUAACAGGCGUGCGUGAGCGGUUCACGCACGCCUGCGGGUAAAAAAAUAGAAAAAUGGCCAGCCGGGUCAAGCCUUUGACCCGGCUAGGCCUGCUGAGUCCAGCCCAGCCCAUGUGGGCUGAGCUGGGCCCAGCCCAAAAAAAUAAAAAAAUAAAAAAAACAGAAAAGUAAAAAAGGGUAGAAAAAAUAAAAAAAAUGUGUAUGCAUGAAUAAAAAUAAUGUAAAUUUACUGGUUUAUUCACUGACGCCAGAGUCAGGAAUAAAAAUACUGGUUUAAAUUUAUAUUAUUUUUAUUCGGUGUAUUUUAUUUUAUUUAGCUAGAAAAAUAAAAAAUAUGUGCAUGCAUAAAAAAUCAAUUUUUUUUAAUUUAUUCACUGGCGCUAGAGUAGGGAAUAAAAAAUAUUGAUCUAAUUUUUCGUAGCUACGAAUUUUUACCAACGCCAGAGUUGGAAUUAUUCGAGCUCGAAUAUUCACUGGCGCCAGAGUCAGGAAUAUUAUAAACAAAUCAUUAUAGCAUAAGCGAAUAAAUGUUUAGCAAUUGAAGACAAAACCAACAAUGCAGUUUGCCUUAGGCAGAACGUUUAAGGGGUGAUAAUAUCUUCCCUUUUACGUAACCAAUCCCGAGCCAUAGAAUCUCUGUUGACCAGUUAGGGUUUCUAGUGACCAUAAUACUAGGUGGCGACUCCUUAAACAAGAUCUUUUCCCCUAAAAGAACAAGAUGCCAGAUAUCUGUUCUUUUUCCAUAAAUCUAGAAUUAUUUUGUGGGCCGCUGCGAUGUCGGGUGCGACACAUAUUAAGGACUUUGAAGAGGUAUGUAAUACUUUUAUUGAUAGAACAUGCACCGAGGAAACCAUUCGGCUUAAAUUGUUCCCAUUCUCUCUAAAGGAUAAAGCCAAGCUUUGGCUAAACUCCUUGCGUCCUAGGUCUAUAGGUACAUGGAGAGAAAUGCAAGCUGAAUUUUUGAAAAAAUACUUCCCCACUCAUAGGACGACAACCUUACAACAUCAAAUGAUGAAUUUUUCUUGUAGUCCAAAUGAGUCAUUUCACCAAGCUUGGGAAAGGUUCAAAGACUUGUUAAAUGCAUACCCCCACCAUGGUUUUGAGAUGUGGAGGUUAGUGAGUUUCUUCUACGACUCUCUUACCGCAGAUUUUAAAAAGCUAGUGUCAACCAUGUGUAAUGGUGAGUUUUAUGACAAAGAACCAAGUGAAGCCUUUAAUUUCUUUGAUCAAUUGGCUGAAAACACAAAGCAAUGGGAGACUUCUCUCCUACUUCAUGUUGAGUCUAGAAACACCAUUUCUCAUUCAAGUGGGAAGUUCCAAUUGAAAGAGAUUGAUGACCUCAAUGCUAGAUUAGCCUCAUUGGCUAGGAAAGUAGAGUCUCUUGAGAUUAAAAAAGUGCAUGUCAUGAGUGAACAACAAGAGGAAAGUUGUGUUGUUUGUGAGAGCAAAGGGCAUAGGACAACUGAGUGUCCUACCAUUCCAGCCUUCAAGGAAGUGCUAUAUAGCCAAACUUCUGAUUCAAGUAAUGUUAGAAAGCCAUUUUCAAACCAAGUAGGCAAUCCCUACUCUGAGACCUAUAAUCCUGGAUGGAGGAACCAUCCAAAUUUUGGAUGGAGAAAUGAGGGCCCUUCAGUACCUCAAACAUUUCAACCUCCACCCCAACCAUUUCAUGCUACCACACAUAACACGUACCAAUCACCUCAUAAGAGAUCCCUAGAGGAUACUCCAACAAUUCAUGCAAACGCAAGGAGGAAUCAAUAACCAAGCUUACAAAUUUCAAGACCAGACUAAUAGGACCUUAGAUGACAUUCAAAGUCAACUAACCAAGUUGACUCAAUCAUUAAGCAUUCAAGAGAAGGGAAAGAUCCCAGCUCAACCAAUGUCAAAUCCUAGAGGUUAGGUACACAUGAGUGAAUCCUCAUUUAGUGAACCUUCAAACCAUGAACAAGUCCAAGCCAUCACUACCCUUAGAAGUGGAAAGAUUAUUGACAAAGCUAUAGGUUUUGGGAUUCCUAGAGGUAUUGUGGAGGAGAAAUCUAGGGAAAGUGAAGAGGGAAUCAAAACACAAGUGACAAAUGAGAGCUUGAGUGACAAAGAAGGUGAGAUAAAUGAGAAAGAAAUGAGUGAGAAAGGAGAUGAUUCAAGAAAAAUUGGAGUCAAAGUGAGUGAUUUAGAAUUUGUUCCUAGAGCACCAUUUCCACAAAGGUUAGGGAAGCCUAAACAUGAUCUUAUGAACUCGGAAAUCUAUGAAUUGUUCAAACAAGUGAAAGUCAACAUUCCACUCAUUGAUGCAAUUAAACAAGUCCCCUCUUAUGCAAAGUUCUUCAAGGACUUAUGCACAGUCAAAAGGAGAUUGAAUGUGAAAGAAAGAGCCUUUCUAACUGAACAUGCUAGUGCCAUCAUCCAGUUUAAGACUCCUCCCAAAUACAAAGAUCCUGGUUGUCCUACUAUUUCAUGCAUUAUUGGAAGUCAUAAAAUAGACCAAGCUUUGUUGGAUUUAGGAGCAAGUGUGAAUUUGAUACCCUACACUGUUUACGAACAGUUAGGUUUAGGAGAAAUCAAGCCUACUCAAAUCACCCUUCAAUUAGUUGAUAGGUCAAUCAAGAUUCCCAGGGGUAUUGUUGAGGAUGUGUUGGUCCAAGUAGACAAAUUCUACUUUCCUGUUGAUUUUGUAGUGUUAGACACCGCACCUAUUCAAGGUUCUAAUGCUCCCAUCCCAGUCAUCUUAGGUAGACCUUUCCUAGCUACAUCCAAUGCUUUAAUUAACUGUAGGAAUGGGGUGAUGAAAUUGUCUUUUGGGAACAUGACUGUGGAGAUGAACAUAUUCAAUGUCUCGAAACAAAUUGGUGAACAUGAGGACAUUAGAGAGGUAGAUUUGAUCCAAACAGUUUGUCAAGAACACUUUGAGAGAGAGUGGUUCAAAGAUCCAUUGGAGAGAACUUUAAUUCAUGAUGAAAGAUUUUGUUCUUUGGAAUGUGUUGAUGAGGAAGUAAGAGAACUCAAGACUUAUCUAGAUCCAAUGCCUAUUAUGUCAAUAGGUCAAUGGACCCCAUCGUUUGAGCCUUCGAUUUCACCCCAAAUGAAAGUUGAGGCAUCUCUUGUCCAACCUUAUAAACUAGAAAGGAAGCCUUUACCGAGUGAUCUUAAGUAUGCAUUUCUAGGGGAAGAUGAAUCAUAUCCUAUUGUGAUUUCAUCAAAACUUAGCAUAGAGCAGGAACAAGAACUUUUGAGAGUGGUGAGAAAACACAAAAAAAGCAAUUGGGUGGACUAUUACUGACUUGAAAGGAAUUAGCCCUCUUUUAUGUACACAUAGAAUCUAUCUUGAAGAAGAGGCUAAAUCUGUGAGGCAAAUGCAAAGACGACUGAACCCAAACAUGAAGGAAGUAGUAAGAGGUGAAGUGCUUAAGCUACUUGAUGCAGGUAUCAUUUACCCCUUGCAAACUCAAAAUGGGUUAGUCCAACCCAAGUUGUCCCUAAAAAAUCUGGAGUCACGGUAGUGAAGAAUGAAAAUAAUGAGCUAGUACCAACUAGAAUCCAAACUGGAUGGCGUCUGUGCAUUGAUUAUCUUAAGUUGAACAUGGUGACCAGGAAGGACCAUUUUCCGCUUCCAUUUUUAGACCAAGUGCUUGAAAGAGUAGCCGGAAGAGCUUUCUAUUGUUUUCUUGAUGGAUACUCAGGUUACAACCAAAUUGAGAUUUCUUUAGAAGACCAAGAAAAAAUCACUUUCACUUGUCCUUUUGGUACCUAUGCUUAUAGAAGAAUGCCUUUUGGCUUGUGUAAUGCACCAACCACUUUUCAAAGGUGUAUGAUGAGUAUCUUUAGUGACAUGGUGGAAAUUUUUUUUGGAAGUUUUCAUGGAUGAUUUUUCAGUUUAUGGGGAUUCUUAUGAGUUGUGUCUAAUGCAUUUAGAAAAAGUUCUUGAAAGAUGUGAAGAGAGCAAUCUUGUACUUAAUUGGGAGAAGUGUCAUUUUAUGGUGACACAUGGCAUUGUCUUAGGUCACAUUGUCUCUUCAAAAGGGAUAGAGGUAGAUAAGUCAAAAGUUGAAGUCAUUCAAAAAUUACCUAGCCCUAGGACUGUGAAAGAUGUGAGAUCGUUUUUAGGACACGCUGGUUUUUACCGAAGAUUCAUUCAUUCUUUUAGUACCAUUCCCAAACCAUUGUGUAACUUGUUGUCACAAGAUGUUCAAUUUGAUUGGACAUCAAAAUGUCAAGAAGCUUUUGAAAAGCUUAAAGGGUUGUUGACCACUACACCAAUCAUGCAAGCUCCUGAUUGGUCUUUACCAUUUGAACUGAUGUGUGAUGCUAGUGAUUUUGCAGUAGGGGCUGUUUUAGGGCAAAGAAAAGAUAAGAAGCCUCAUGUCAUUUAUUAUGCUAGCAAGACUUUGAAUGAUGCUCAAUUGAAUUACACUACAACUGAAAAAGAACUCUUAGACAAGUUUAGGUCUUAUUUGGUUGGAUCUCUUGUUAUUGUUUUCACUGAUCAUGCAGCAUUGAAAUACUUGCUCACAAAACAAGAUGCCAAGCCAUGUUUGAUUCGAUGGAUCCUUAUAUUCCAAGAGUUUAACCUUGAAAUUCGAGAUAAAAAAGGAGUAGAGAAUGUAGUGGCUGAUCAUUUGUCCCGUCUUUCAAGCUAUGAGACCAUAAUUGAUGAAUCUCCAAUAAAUGAAUUCUUUGCUGAUGAAAAUUUAUUUUGUGCAGGUAUUGUUUCCUACAUUGGCUCUCCAUGGUAUGCUGACAUAGCAAAUUACCUAGCCACAAGUCAGAUUCCUUCUCAUUGGUUUAAACUUGACAAACAAAAAUUCUUGCGCAACGUGCGUACCUUUUUUUGGGAUGACCCCUACCUAUUUAAAUACUGCCCUGACCAAAUUGUUAGGCGGUGCAUCCCUGAUCAUGAAAUUCCAAGUGUCAUUAAUUUUUAUCAUGCAUUAGCCUGUGGUGGGCAUUUCUCUUCCAAGAAAACCACUGCCAAGAUCUUGCAGUGUGGUUUUUAUUGGCCCACCAUGUUCAAAGAUGUCCAUGCCUUCUGUGUUGCAUGUGACCGAUGCCAACGACUAGGUAACCUCACUAGGCGUAACAUGAUGCCCCUAAACCCCAUUCUUGUUUUGGAAAUAUUUGAUUGUUGGGGGAUUGAUUUCAUGGGACCUUUCCCAAGUUCAUUUGGUAACCAAUUCAUCCUUGUAGCUGUUGAUUAUGUGUCUAAAUGGGUGGAGGCCAUUGCAUCUCGAACCAAUGACCAUCGAGUUGUGGUCAAAUUCUUGGAAGAAAAUAUUUUCUCUCGUUUUGGCAUGCCCCGGGCUAUGAUUAAUGAUGGGGGAAAACAUUUUUGUAACAAGCCCAUUGGGAUUUUGAUGAGAAAAUAUGGUGUAAUUCACAAGGUCAAUACCCCCUAUCAUCCACAGACUAGUGGCCAAGCUGAGUUGACAAAUUGGGAGAUCAAGAACAUUUUAGAGAAAACAGUCAAUCCAAACCGUAAAGAUUGGUCCCUACGACUAGUUGAUGCUUUGUGGGCAUAUCGCACUGCUUACAAGACCUCUUUAGGAAUGUCUCCUUAUAGGCUAGUUUAUGGAAAGCCUUGUCAUCUCCCUGUUGAGAUUGAGCACCGUGCAUAUUGGGCCAUCCGGCAAUUCAAUGACAAUGAAAACGAGGUUGGAAAAAAUAGAAAGCUUCAAUUGGAUGAAUUAGAUGAGCUGAUAAAUGAUGCAUUUGAAAAUGCAAAAAUUUCAAAACAUAAGAUGAAAACCUUGCAUGAUAAACAUAUUCUUAGAAAAUCCUUUCAUCUUGGUCAAAAGGUUCUCUUGUAUAAUUCACGAUUACAUCUCUUUCCUGGGAAGUUGAGGACAAAAUGGAUUGGUCCAUUUGUGAUUAAAUCCAUCUCUGAGCAUGGUGCAUUUGAGGUAGAAAAUCCUAAGAAUGGAAAUGUUUUCAAAGUAAAUGGUCAUCGAUUGAAACCUUAUCUUGAAAAUUUUGUGGCUGAAGUUGAGACAUUGGAUCUUGAAGAUCCAAUACCAUUGUAGUAUCAGAAGUAAUGAGCUUUUUAUUUUUAUUUUUAUUUUUUUAUUCAUUUUUAUUUUUCUGUUUUUCAUUUUUUUUCUUUCUUCCAUCGCUUAUAUUUUCUUGUUCAUGCAUUAGGGACAAUGCAUUAUUUUAAGUUGGGGGGUGUGAGGUUCUUUAUUUUUCAAAAAAAAAAUCAAUGUUUUCUUUUAGUUGUGAUAUGCAGGUAAAAAAAAUCAAGCAAGAAGUCAGCUCAUGUCCAAUUCAAUCAGACAUUCAUCCUUGAAAACAAAAGGGGAGUAAUAGUUUUCUAAUCUUUAUACUUUUCUUCUCUUUUUUUUUUACAUUGAGGAUAAUGUAAAACUUAAUUUUAGAUAUUUGAUUAUGUUGAAUGCUUGAGAUGACCAUGCAUGUUAAAAAAAAAAACUUGCAUUCGUAUAUGAAUGAGACUUGUUUAGGAUCAACAUUACAUUUUUGGAUUCAUUAUUGUGUUGAACAUUGCAUGCUUUAAUUUGGGAUAGAUAAUAUCUUAUAAAGCAAGAUAUAGCAUACUUUUUUUUAAGAUUAUUGAAGUACAUCUUUCCUUGUAAAAGUUGUGUGAGUUGUGUGAUUAUGCAUGAAAGAUGAGUGUGAUGCUUUACUUGUGAUCAUCCCUUUUGAUCUAGUCCUAAACAAGGUUUAAGUAAAUAGAGUAAUCAUUAUUACACAAAUGUGUACAAAGUUCUAUCUACUCCAAUGUUUUGAGUUGCUCAGUAACUAGGGGUAUUCAUCAUAAAUGUUUAUCUUUACGUCAAACGGCAGCUUGAAAUAUGAGUAUGCAAAGCACUUUAAGUUUGUGACUUUGUGAGUAACCGGGUGCAUUCAUCACAAAUGUUUGUAUUCGCGUCAAAAGGGAAGUGACCACUUAAAGAAAAAAAAUAAAUAAUAUCUUCAAAAAAAAAGAGAAAAAAAAGAAAAGAAAAAAAAUAUAUAUAUAUAUAUAUAUAUAUAUAUAUAUAUAUAUAUAGAUAUUUCUCUAGUUUGCUACCUUGUUUGUAGUAGUGAGAAGGGAAGAUUACAAGUUGAGUUUUCGCGUGAAUCAAUUAUGUUGGUUGCAUGAUAAAUACAAUUCUAGAAAAGAAUAUCAUAUGAUCUAUUUCCAGCCCAAACAUGCCUUAUGUUGUGUGCAAACUUCAACCAUCAAACACUCAAGGUUUCAAUGUCAAUCUUAGCCCAAAUAAUAGGUACAUUUGUAUCCUUAUUUGAUGCUUAAAUUCAGCCCCAAAUCAGCCUCCAAAUCAGCCCAAGCACAAUCCAUGAUCUUACAUGCUCACACAACAAAUAACAUUUGAUUUAUUUUGGGUAAUUCAUUGAUCCAAGAGGGCAAGCACAUGGAUGGAAAGCUGGAGGGGACAUUGUGACAUUAUUUUGGGUCAAAAGAAGAAAGAGACAGCUCAUAAAAGAGGAAGAAAAACGUGCACCAAAGUGUUCUCCAAGCUGGCCUGGUUUGAUUUUCCAGAACACCUUUCGGUGUUUCGCCCAUAACUUUUGACUCAGAUGUCCAAAUGAGAUGUUCUUUAAUGAUGUGGAAAUCAAACAGAAUGGCCUAUAAAUAUGUCUCUAAUAGCUAUCUCCAGGGGAGGCUUCAAAAAAGGGUCGAAUUGCUGUCCAAAGUUAGAGUCAAAUUUGUGUCCGAUUUUUUACUGAAAUUGUGUUGUGUUCUUCUUUAUAGAUUUUGGUUCUUUAGCUUGUAAAAAUCAUUAUUUCAGUUUGAUUCAAGUUAUUUCAUGUUUAUUAAAGUGUUAUUAUAUAUAAUCAUGGUUCGCUAAUCUCCUUCUUGGAUCCAAAUCAAGGAUGAUGGUGGUUGAGGUGAGUUUUUUAAGAUAUGAAUGAAUCUUAAUGUCUAUCUUUUCAUUUUCUUUAUAAAUGUUUUAUUAUUGCAAAGAAAUUUUAGAAAUCAUUUAGGUAAUGUUAUAAUCUUGAAUUUUUAUGCACAAACCUUAGUUUUGGUAUAGAGAUUGCUUGAUUCAAUGUCUUACUUAAUAUGAAAAUACUUGUUCAUUCUUAAGCAAUAAUCAAUCUUCAUCUUUUUAAACUUCAUUGUAAUAUCUUCUGAUCUAAUAUCACUAUCGUUGAUAUUAGGUUGAGUUAUCUUAUAUAUGUUGAAGGAAUCACCAAUACAUCACCAUUAAAAUUAAUUUGGACCAAGACUUACUUUUUCUUGUCAUUUAAAAUCUAUUUACAGUUUUUCAUCUUUGAAAACAAAUCCAUCAAUCAUUUUCAACCAAGUUAUUGUUAAUUUAAUUUCUCUUGAGUUUUUUUGUUACCUAGCUUAAUUUUCAAAUCUAGCUCUCUGUGGAUAUUACCUCGAUCUUACUGAGUUAAUUGCUACAUCGCACACUCGUGCACUUGCGAGUUAAAACAAGUCGAACAUAAAAAGCGGUCAAGCAAUAUACAAUCUGCUGCCUCCGUGGACGUACCCGGUUUUGGGGAACCACGUAAAUCUGCUUGUGUUGUGUUUUAUUUGUGUUUGCUUUCGGUCCAGUAUGCACAACAAAUUGGUAUCAGAGCAUUAGGGAAGCUUAAACACAGAAAAACACAUUUUUCAGCUCUCUGUUCAAAGUUGCAGAAUUUUCAAAUUUCUCAGAUCUUGAUUUUGAUCAGCUGCGGAGAUUCCUCUCGUUGAUACAAGUCCGGAGAUAUAAAGAUCAUCGAAAUCGGAGUUGAAACGAGCCCUGUAGAGCUCGUCGAAGUUUCGCCUGAAAUCUGCUGGAAAAACCAAACAGUGCCGGAAUUCUCGCCUUAGAAGACAGCCACGUCAUCCGACACGUAAGCGAUGAGUCAUCAUCCACAUCAUCAACAGGGGUCCACAUCGCCCUGUCAUCAGCCACAUCAUCUAACAGUGACAGAAUAUUCUCUUGACAUAGUAAGAAUAUUCCGUUAACAGUAAGAGAAUAUUCCCGUGACAAAAUAUUCUUUAUCAGAGACAGAAUAUUCCUUUCCUAAGUCAACUCGGUCAGAUUGGUUUUUUGGCCAACUCAGUGAUUUUUUAGCCUGUUUUUGGCCGAGUCAAGCUGGUUCCUAGCAUUUUCAACCAUUCCGGACGCGACCGUGGUGUCCGUUUUGUGAAACAGUACACAUCGAAGUUACUAUUUUGGCUCUUUUGAGCAUAAAAGUGCAUGUUUUAACAAUUUCAGGAGUCCAUUUGUAAUCCAAAGACGUUCUAAUGGCUGAUAUUCCAGAAGAAAAAUCAGCGGGGAAUGCUAGUAUACCUCCAUAAUACAUCCCGGUAUCAAGUACCAAAUUUGAGGUGGAGAAGUUUGAUGGGAAAGGUAAUUUUGGCAUGUGGAAAUGUGAAGUCAUGGAUAUGCUUGUCCAAAUGAAUUUGGAUUUCACUCUAGAAGAUAAACCGGAGGAUUUGGAUGAUAAAAGCUGGGAAAGGAUAAAUCGGUUGGCUUGUAGUUCCAUCCGACUUUGUCUUGUAAAGGAUCAGAAGUAUGCCUUUCCAGAACAAAACUCUGCAAAGGAAUUAUGGCAAGCACUGGAGGACAAGUUUAUGAAUAAGAGUAUAGAGAAUCGUCUCUACAUGAAGAAAAGGAUCUUCCGUUUUCAGCACAAGAAAGGUACUUCCAUGAAUGAGCAUCUGAAUGAUUUCAAUAAAAUGAUAGCUGAUUUGAAGAAUUUAGAUGUGGAAAUUGAUGAUGAAGAUAAAGCUCUGUUGUUAUUGAAUUCACUGCCUGACACAUAUGAACAUCUCGUCACCACUUUACUGNNNNNNNNNNNNNNNNNNNNNNNNNNNNNNNNNNNNNNNNNNNNNNNNNNNNNNNNNNNNNNNNNNNNNNNNNNNNNNNNNNNNNNNNNNNNNNNNNNNNAGAUUGUUCACAAGGAGUCAACGUCAGAAGCAUUGACAGUUAGAGGCAGAACAAACCCCAGAAGAUUUCGAGGACGAGGGAGAUCUCGCUCAAAAUCCAGAGGAGAAUCAUCAAACAGACGAUAUCUUGCAAAAGAUUAGUGUGCCUUUUGUCACAAAAAGGGCACUGGAAGAAAGAUUGUCCAAUCAAGGGCAGUAAGGAAAAAGAUGAACCAACUGUGAACGUUGCACGAGAUGAGGAUGAACAAGACUCUGCAUUCAUGGUCUCAUCACCAGAAAACCAUUCUGGUGAAUGGAUUCUUGAUUCUGCAUGUUCCUAUCACAUAUGCCCUAACAAGCACUUAAACUUGUCCUCCUCGUGCAUACAUACUUGUGCCUAUUUUUAGAGAAUGGGGUGUGAUCAGUCACGGUUCCUGUUAUUACUUCAGUUUCAGAACUUUUUUUUUCCUUCUCGUGCAUACAUACUUGUGCCUAUUUUUAGAGAAUGAUGGGUCAAGCCUGUUCAGGCCUCAAGUUUAAAUUGGUGUGUCCAAUCUUGUUUAUUUGAGAUGAACUGUUUCAAGCUUCUUGUGAAUUCUGGAAUAGACGGUUAUGCUUUGGUUUUAUUAAUCGUGAUGUUUGUGUUUAAUCAUGUUGUUCGUGUUUUGACAAAAUAUAAAAAAUGUUUUCUUGUGUGUUGCAUAUGUUUAAUACCCUAAUAUGUUUUUAAUGUUUUAUUUAUAUAAAAAAACAAAUAUUUGAAGUUUCAAAAAUAUGUUUUCGCAUGGAUUUCUUAAACACAACACAAAAAUUAUUUUCUUGCAUCUUGGAUUUUACAACAUGUUUGUAAAUUCCAAAGGGUGUUGGCCAAUAUUCCAAAAAUAUAAAAAUCUUAUUUUUGGGAAUUCGUUUUUAUUCACUAUUAAUAUUUGGAUAAAGAAAUCCCAAAAAGGAUAAAUAUCCAAAAUAUUAUUAUGAAUAAUUUGUUAUUCAUUAGUAAUGUUUGGAUAAAGAAAUUCCAAAGGGGUUAAUAUCCAAAAUAUUAUUAUGAAUAAUUUAUUAUUAUUCACCAUAAAUGUUUGGAUAAAGAAACCCCAAAAAGGGGUUAAUAAUCAAAAUAUUAUUGGGAAUAAUUCAUCAUUGUUCACUGAAUAUUUAGAUAAAGAAACCCCAAGUAGUAAAUAUCAAAAAUAUUUUUUUCUAGGAAUAACAAGUCAUUAUCCCUCAAUAAUAUAAGGGCAAAUAAACCUAUAAAAGGUAAAUGUCCAAAAUAUUUUUAAUAGGAAUACAACUUGUUUAGUUUUAACAUAAGGGCAGAUUUAUGCCUGAAAUUUUAUUUAGAACCAUUUAAUCGCACCUCUGAUUAGUACUUAAAAGUGCAUUUUUAUCAAGGUUUUAUAUCAUCAUUUUGCACUUGAAGUAUCAAUAACUCCUUAACUAAAGCAUGUUUUAUAAUAACAUAUCUAAUUAUAUAAGACACCUUUAAUUUAUGGUAAAUGUUCAUCUUAAAUGCAGGCCUAUCACAUAAAUGAAAGAAUUGAUUGAUGAGUUGAAAUACUGAAAUUGAAAGGACAAAGAGAUGGCCAAACUUAGAAAAGAGAUGCUAGUGCAGUCCAAACUGGAACACUGUUCGAUAAUUGGGUCAUAUCUGGAGCUGUAGAUCUUGUAUUUAGGUCCAUUUUAUAUGGAUGGAAAGAUAAGACAUAGGCCUAUAACUUUCAUGUGGAGCCCAAGAUUUAACAAGGCCGUUUUCAAGUCCAAAUUGUAGCAACAAAAAAGAAGUCUGAAUCUGUUCUACAGCCCAGACACUGUUCAGUGUUCAGCCCAUAUCUCAAGUUCUAGAAGUCCAAAUGAUCUCAAAUGUUUACCCUGGAAAGAUGAGACAAUUUCCUAGAACUUUCAUGAUUUAAGUUUGUUCAAAUUAUGACGUCAUAAAUGACGUUUUUGGCAGACAAGAAGAUAAGAAUUGUCACCAAGUCAAGAUGUGGCCACCCACUCAUCAAUUAGUCAGCAAAUCAAUAGUUCUGAAUUUUGGCCUAUAAAAUGAGGCAUUUGCCAUGUAUUUAGGCAUCUUGGUUUUCAGAUCAAGAUCAUGCUCUUGCUCUCUCUUUAUAUUUUGUAAUGCUUAAGUUUUGCUUAUAUUAAUCUCUUGCUUAUGCUUUUCAUUUCCUUUCCUUGUUUAUUUAUGUUUCUCUCUUUCAUUAUGUUUAACUAAGUUAAUUAUGUCAAGGUGAAAAGGGUACACUAAUGGUGUAAGAAUAAGUAUAAUAUAAACUUAACAUGGACCUUAAUGUUGGAUACUAACAUGCUUUAUAUUUGUUAUCUUGUUCACUUUUAACACUUUGCUUGUUAAAUGGUUAAUCUAGAUUUAUGUUGUAUAACACUUGGUACAACAAAUACUUGGCACUUUCAUAGCCCAUACUGUAUGGUAUAACCGACACCUGAGCUAUGAAAGGAACUUGAUUUGUUGUUAACAUAAGUUAUAAUAAUGAAUGCCUGAAAACAUUUACAAGUAUUAGCAUUAUUCGAAUAAGAUAACUAAUGUAAUCAUUUUAACAAUUUAUAAUCCGAUUGGAACCUCCUUUGUGUGUGGUUUCCAGUUGAGUAGAGUUUAUACUAUACUUGUUUGAAAUACCAUUAGUGGAUCCUCUAACCUUGACAUUUGUUGUUAUCAUUGUUUAAUCCUUACGUUAAUCUUCCAUCUCAAAAGUUCUCAUCAAUUUCUUCCUCUUCUUCUUCACUAUUAUUAUUAUCACUGUUAUUAUUAUUGUUGUUGUUGUUGUUGUUGUUGUUGUUGUUGUUGUUACUUUUGUUUUAUUGUUAUCUAUAAUUUAUACAAUUAACCUCCUUGUGGUUCGACCCCGGUCUUGCCGGGUUAUUUAUUACUUCGACACUUCUGCACUUGGGAGAAGACAUCAAUCUUUUGGUCGUGUCAAGUUUUUGGCGCCGUUCCCGAGGAGGUAAAUUCUUGUACAAAUUAUAGUAUUUAUUUUAUUUUACUUUUUUACUUUUCUUGUAUUUAACUUUGUUUCUUUGGUGUUGUUUCUUUUUCUUUUGUUUUCUUCUUCCUUUUAUUCUCUUUUUACACGUGCAUGAGAGUGUGGUCACGUACAUUAAGUGGUAGACUUUGUAGGGUAUCCUCAUCAUUUUCAGAAAAUAUGGCUGAAGAAGAUAACCAAUCGCUUCAUAAUGAGAAUAAUGAGAAUAUUCGGGUUAGAACUCUUAGAGACCACAUGAAUCCCACAAGAACAAGUGCACCCUCAUGCAUAGUUUUUCCUCCUGAUGCAUCUCAUUUUAAUUUUAAGACAGACAUUAUUCAACUUUUACCAUCUUUUCAUGGCUUAGAUUUAGAAAAUCCAUACUUGCAUUUAAGGGAAUUUGAGGAGGUUUGCAACACGUAUAAUGACUCAAAUUGUAGCAUGAACACCAUUAGAUUGAAGCUUUUUCCUUUUUCAUUAAAAGAUAAAGCUAAAACAUGGCUACAAAAUUUGAGACCUGGAUCCAUUCGUGCUUGGGAUGAAAUGCAACAACAAUUUUUUAAGAAGUUUUUUCCAUCCCACAGAACAAACUCUUUCAAAAGACAAAUCAUUACUUUCUCUCAAAAACCAAGAGAAACAUUUUACCAAUGUUGGGAUAGGUAUCGAGAAUUGCUUAAUACUUGCCCCCAUCACGGUUUUGAAACAUGGAGAUUAGUUUCACAUUUUUAUGAAGGGUUAACUCCUAGAGAUAGGCAAAUGGUUGAAUUGAUGUGCAAUGGAACUUUUGAGGAUAAAGACCCUAAUGAAGCAAUGGAGUACUUAGAUUUGCUAGCUGAAAAUGCACAAAAUUGGGACACCACAGGUACUUAUGAGGCACCAAGUAAAACCCAACCUCAUACAUCUAGUGGGGGUAUGUACAACCUUAGGGAAGAUCAUGACCUCCAAGCCAAGUUUGCAUCUUUAGCUAAAAAAGUCGAAGCGCUAGAAUUGAAAAAGAGUGGUCAAUUAAAAUCUGUUCAAGACAUUGCAUGUCAAAUCUGUGAAACCAACGAACAUUCAACCAAUGACUGUCCAACCUUGCCUUCUUUUAAAGAAUGUCUCCAUGAACAAGCCCAUGCAUUAAACAGUUUUCAACGGCCCAACCAUAACCCAUAUUCGCAAACAUAUAACCCUGGUUGGAGAAAUCAUCCAAAUUUCAGUUGGAAGAGUGAGAACAAUAAUGCUCAAACUUCACAGCCACCGUUUCAAGCACAUCAUAAUUUCCAAAAUUCUCAUAGAUAUGCACCUCCUUAUGCUCCACCUCCUAGAAGAAAUCUUGAGGAAACAUUGCAUGCAUUUAUGGAAAAGCAAGAGGCAAUUAACACUCAACUUGCUCAAAGCAUGACAGAUUUUAAAGAUACUCUGGCAAAAUUGACAUCUGCUCUCAGUUUCCAAGAGAAAGGUAAGUUUCCAUCUCAACCACAACAAAAUCCAAAGGGGCAAUACAAUGUGAAUGCAAGUAGUUCGGGAAGCCAACACAUGGAUCACGUAAAAUCAGUCAUCACUCUUCGCAGUGGUAAGGUUAUUAAAAAACCCAUUCUUGAACCUUGUGAGAAUGAUGAUGAGUCAAUCUCUCUGAGGGUAAGGAAGGGGUUGAAUCUGAUCAUUGCAAAGAAAAGACUGAUUCUCCGCCAGCACUUCCAUUUCCUCAUGCCAUGACGAAACAAAGGAAAGUCAAUCACAACUCUGAAAUUUUUGAAACCUUCAAACAGGUAAGGAUCAAUAUACCUUUGCUGGAUGCUAUUAAACAGGUUCCUUCUUAUGCUAAAUUUUUGAAAGAUCUGUGCACUGUGAAGAGAAAACUGAAUGUGAAAAAGAAAGCCUUUUUAGCCGAACAAGUAAGUGCCAUUCUUCAGAACAAUAAUGCAUUGAAAUAUAAAGACCCUGGUUGUCCUACAAUUUCAUGCUUUAUUGGAGAACAUAAAAUUGAAAGAGCUUUACUUGAUCUUGGAGCUAGUGUGAAUUUACUUCCAUAUUCAGUUUUUCAAAGUCUCAAUCUAGGUGAGUUAAACCAACUUCUAUAACUCUUUUACUUGCCGAUAGAUCUGUAAAAGUGCCUAGAGGAAUAGUUGAAGAUGUGUUAGUACAAGUUGAUAAAUUCAUUUAUCCUGUGGAUUUUAUUGUCUUGGACACACAACCUAUUGAAGCAUGUAAUUCAUUUCCUGUUAUUUUAGGGCGUCCAUUUCUUGCAACUUCUAAUGCAUUGAUUAAUUGUAGGAAUGGACUGAUGAAGCUAUCAUUUGGGAACAUGACAUUAGAGAUGAAUAUUUUCAACAUUUGCAAGCAACCUCGAGAUGAUAAUGAUUUACAAGAAGUAGAUUUUAUUGAAGAAUUGGUUUAUGAUCAAUUUGAAUCUACUUUGAGUAAUACUGAGUUUGAUGAAUUUGAAGAUUUGCAAAUGACUUAUUCUCAGGAAGAAAUCACGGAUGAAAAAGGCAUUGAAAAUGUUGAUGCGAAUCUUUUGUCAAGAGUGACAACAGAUUCGAUAUCUGACAUCACACCAACCGAUGAUUACUUUCCUGACAAAUCCUUACUUUCUCUUAGUUCAAUGCCUUGGUUUCCUAAAAAUAUCAAUUUCCUUGCCUCAGGAGAUUUGCCAACUCAUUGGAGUACCGAAGACAAAGGUAAGUUUUUGAACGAAGUGAAGAAAUUUUAUUGGGAUGACCCUAACUUAUUCAAACAUUGUCCUGAUCAAAUAUUUCAAAUAUGCAUUGCGGACAAUGAGGUAAGUAGUGUCAUUAAAUUUUGUCAUUUUGAAGCAUGUGGGAGUCAUUUCUCGUCAAAAAAGGCCAUUGCAAAAAUCUUUCAAACUGGAUUUUAUUGGCCCACCAUGUUCAAGGACACACAUGCAUUCUGCAAAACUUGUGAAAAUUGUCAAAAAGUUGAUACUGGUCAAAAAGUUUUGCUUUAUAAUUCUCAACUCCAUUUAUUUCCUGGAAAGUUAAGAUCAAGAUGGAGCGGUCCAUUUAUUGAGAAACAUGUGUAUCCUUAUGGGGUCUGUGAUAUCGCGAAUCCAAAAAAUAGCAAUGUUUUCAAGGUAAAUGGACAUCGUUUGAAAGUCUACUUUGAUAAUUUUUCAGUUGAAAAUGACUCUAUUGAAUUGAGUGAUCCUGUAUAUAAAGAUUGAUUCGUUUUAUCACAUUGUUUUGUGUUUCAUUUUGCUAGUUUCUCUCACCCCGGUCAAAAGGCGGAUAACGGUACUCCGUGACUUAAGUCGGUUCUUUCAGUUUCUCAUAAUAACUGAUAUUUGUAUAUAUUUGUGCAAUUCUUUGCUCUUUCUCCAUUCUUUGACUCUGUUCUCCAAUUCUCAUUUGAAAAUGGACACCACUCUUGAAAAAUUGAAAAAGUAUUUUCCCGCUCUGCCUCAGAAUGCGAUUACAAAAAUUUACCGUGCUAGGUGUGCAAGAUUGAAGUUGUUGAUGAAUCAUGGAAUUCCUGAAGAUAUUCGCUGGCUGAUUGAAGCAAAGGUCCGAUUAUUAGGUGAGUCCUCCAAUUCUUUCAUUUCACACAUGCCUGGAACAGGUAAAAGCACUUUUGCAAAGAAACGUCGUGCAAAACGACUGAAAGUCUGUCACAAAUGUGCCAGAUGGACUUGCAAUGCAACAUGUCGUUCUUUAGGAAUGGUAUCUAUAAACCGUGAAGAUAAAAUACAAUUCAUUAAGGAUGGCCUGAGUAAGGGGUCUUUAGAUAAUCUUUUGUUGACCCUUGAGACGCAUCCUAGUGGAGAUGUGCAUCGUGCAAUUCAUGAUUUAUAGCCCCAUUUUCAUAAAGAACAUGAUAGACUCAGUCUUGGGAAUCUGACUAAAAAAGACCUUGUUUGCCACUUUUUAAGAAAACUGGAUGGGAAGCCUCUCCCCGACCCAUAGAGGGCGUUUAAGCCGUUCUUGGACAUAAAACCAAGGGAAGAUGUGAGCCACAAUCACAACUACCUGUACAUACACAUUCUUUUUCAAAAUAAAUAAAUAAAAUAUAAAGAGAGAGCAAGAGCAUGAUCUUGAUCUGAAAACCAAGAUGCCUAAAUACAUGGCAAAUGCCUCCUUUUAUAGGCCAAAAUUCGGAACUAUUGAUUUGCGGACUAAUUGAUGAGUGGGUGGCCACAUCUUGACUUGGUGACAAUUCUUAUCUUCUAGUCUGCCAAAAACGUCAUUGAUGACGUCAUAAUUUGAACAAACUUAAAUCAUGAAAGUUCUAGGAAAUUGUCUCAUCUUUCCAGGGUAAACAUUUGAGAUCAUUUGGACUUCUAGAACUUGAGAUAUGGGCUGAACACUGAACAGUGUCUGGGCUGCAGGACAGAUUCGGACUUCUUCUUUGUUGCUACAAUUUGGACUUGAAAACGGCCUUUUUAAAUCUUGGGCUCCACAUGAAAGUUGUAGACCUAUGUCUUAUCUUUCCAUCCAUAUAAAAUGGACCUAAAUACAAGAUCUACAGCUCCAGAUAUGACCCAAUUACCGAACAGUGUUCCAGUUUGGACUGCACCAGCAUCUCUUUUCUAAGUUUGGCCAUCUCUUUGUCCUUUCAAUUUCAGUAUUUCAACUCAUCAAUCAAUUCUUUCAUUUAUGUGAUAGGCCUGCAUUUAAGAUGAACAUUUACCAUAAAUUAAAGGUAUCUUAUAUAAUUAGAUAUGUUAUUAUAAAACAUGCUUUAGUUAAGGAGUUAUUGAUACUUCAAGUGCAAAAUGAUGAUAUAAAACCUUGAUAAAAAUGCACUUUUAAGUACUAAUCAACCUCCUUGGAAGAAGCCUCAAUUAUAAUUAGGGACAUUUCAAAUUUUGAUUCCACAAUUUAUGACCCAUGGAAAAUAUUAAUUGCUAAGGCAAAAAUGGGCUUUUAAAGUACCUUGAAUUUCCUUAGAUUUUGAACUUAGUUUUUUUUCUCUUCCUUGCGAUUUAUGAGUUGCGAACACUUGAAAUAUUAAGGGGAAAAUGAGCUCUUAAGCACAUCGAAUCUCCUUAGAUUUCUAUAUUAGCUGUCUCUAAAUUCAUAAAUUCUGAAUUUAUUUCAAAUCAAACAUAGACUUCGAGAGAUCUACCUCUUUGGCACUCUACAAACAUAUCUAAAGGUAUGAUCCGUAUUGGCCAAGGGUUCUUUCCCUUCGACUUUGAACCCAAGUUCGUCGUCAAAACAGACUUAUCCUAGGAAACUGAUGGGAUUAGAGAACAUCAACACCAUAGCAAUUAUAGGGCAAACCAAACACCAAGCAGCUUAUCUUAGGUAGGGCGUACUAGGGGUGCUAAAACUUUUCCUUUACGCAACCAGUCUCUUGCCUUAGAAUCUUUGAAAGACCAGUUAGGUUUCCUAGUGACCAUAAUACUAGGUGACGACUCCCUUUUUUUACAAAACAAAGACCCCAACAUUAAUCCCUGCUAUCAGGAAGGGUCGCCUCAACAUCGAGCUCUCUUGAGGGUACGACAAUAAUAAUCAUAAUGUUGAUUCUUUUAUCUCCUACUUAAUGCAAGUGUCCAUCGUGUGCUGAAAUUGAUUGUUUACCAUAACAUUUCUUUUAAAGGUAGAGAUUUCUUGGUUGACAAUGGAAAAAAGUAAUCGCAUGGUUAUUUUCCAUAACAUUCCUUUGAGUAAAUAUUCUCUAUUGGAGGUCAAUUUCAUCGAAGCAAUUACCUCAAUGAACACGUCCUAAUUACCAACCUCUAAGUAGUCAUCUCCCUUAUCCUAACUUUUUAUUUCCUUAUAAAAUCUCACGGUUUUUCAUCAUUUUCAGAGGAAAAGUUGACCUUGCAAAUGGUGCUCUAAGGAACCAAGUCAUCCUAGAACUAAUCAUCCACCUAAUCUCGUCAACUCCUUGUUGCACAAACAGCCUGUCUCACUUAAAGGGGAUUUUAAUGAUGAACAAACACAAAUUCCUUGUUGCUCAAAUACAUAUGCUCAUUUAAACACAGGAUGCUUGACCUCAUUAAAGACAAACUGACGACAUCCGUCCGUAACAUAAAUUAUCUUCCUUGCCCCAAAGUCAGCACAGAAAAACCUUGUUCACUAUAAAGGUUCUGAAUGUUUUUCCUAAAUUUCAUGAUAUGGCAUUCAGCAUUCUUAAGCAAACUACAACUGCAGAAGGCUUGUACAUGUAGGGGAGACGUAGGAAGAACUGCAAAAGUUGUCGCAUCUAUUGUUAUGCUGUUCAGAGUUUCUAUCUCAUCAUCCAAUCUGCCUAAAAUAUAAAAGAUCAUGUGCAUGAAUUUGAUCUCAAAGGGGUACCACCUCAUAUGCGUACAGGACAUACAUGACCAGUGAUGGUUGUUCUAUCCACAAAAUUAGCUAACAUACGACUAUUUUAUUCAACUACCAUUUCAGGAUAUGAGUUCUCCUAGCCACACUCAAAAGCCCUAGCCGCUAUAUGAACAAAGCACCUAAAAAAUUAAUCACCUGCCUAAUCUAAUUCACCCACACACACACACACACCCACCUGAUCAUAGACAGGAAACGAGUUAUUUGAAUGCAUAGACAGGAAAUUCAGGUAAACACGCGCGCGCGCACACACACACCUGAUCAUAAAUUUCCUAAAGAAAUUCUGAAUUGUAACAUUGGUAAACAAAGUGUGACAAUAUCAUCACAUUAAAAAUGCAUUUCACUCAAAACAAAUACUAGCUCAAGAAAAAAAAAUGCAAGAAGCCAAGAGAGAAUAAAUUAAGCAGUCCAUAAACAAGAGACAGAGAGGCAUUGUUCCAAUGAGAAAAGUAAUUAAAACCCAACAACUAAAGAAAGAAUCAAACCAGUGAGUAACUAAUCCUUUUAAAGCAUUCCAAGAAUGGCAACCAAAUGUAACAUAAUCAACCUGCAAAAACAAACACAAAAAGAAUUAGAAGAAGAAACCCCAGACCUCCACCACCAAAUCCACCUCCACCAAAUCCACCUCCACCACCAAGCCCGCCACCUCAUUCAUCCUCAAAAGAACCCUUUCUAGAACCGGAUUCUGUAACGCAUUGUCUUCAUUCUGACAGGAGGGGAUAUCAGUCACAAUUUGGAAAUCUAAUAGUUUGAAGGUUUCUGAAAACCGUCCUCAGACCUGUCAGCGUCGCUGGCCAAUUUCUCAUUCUUCCACCGUUGGAUUAACACGAAUUUUGGGUAAGUUGUGUGUCACUAUAGUUCCCACAUCCUGACCAGAGCGAUCGUUCAUAUUUGAAUCCACUAGAUAAAUCUUACCGUUUGAAGAUUUCUGGGCAAAUCACUCUCGGAACAGUCAGAAUCGCCGGCUUAUUUCUUCUUUUUCUACCGUUGGAUCCAUCUGAAUUUUGGAUAUGUGAUGCGUAUGGUCGUAUUACACAUUCGGAACGGUGGAGAUGACAUGAAUCGUUUCCAGAAAAGAGUUAUGCACGCUCAACAGUGGUCCAUCAAUCUCAGGUCAGUUUUGGUCUAACUCCGAUCUAGGGAGAUCCAACCGUUAACUGGAGCUGAUAUUUGGAUAUGUUCUGCAUAAGAUGUGUUUUUACCUUGUCACCGUUGCGAUUUGUUAUUUGUUGAAUUGUUGGUGAGUAAUUGUUGUUUGAAGCUCUGCACAGAAUCUAUCAUGGCUUCCAAUCCGAAACUUCAAACCCUCAAAGCUAACACCACCCACUCAAUCACUAAACAACCCACAAACCAUCACCAAAACAUCCAAAAUACAGCCUCCUCAACGUAGGUUAGGUUUCUAAAAUCCCACGAAUCAACAAACAAUCAAAAAUCCCUUUCCAAUAGUCACCUCCGCCUUGACUCAAGACAACAACCACCCCCUAAACACAUUCACAAUAUUCCUAGCCCAAAAACCCAGAAUAACCAUUCCUUUAACAUUUCAGUGCCACAAAUUUACUUUGAAGGUUUCCCAAUAUGGGCUGAUUACCAUCGCAUAAAGGCUUCUUUUAACAAGUUUGGCUAUGUACUCAAACUUUAUGUAUCCAGGCGUGUCAACAAAUCAGGGAGUCUUUUUGGUUUUGUAACAAUAGCAUCAAAAUUUUCUGAUAAAGUUUUGCUAGAGAGUGUGAAUGAUAUUUGGUUUGAAUAUCACAGACUAAAGGCCAAUUUCACUAGACACUAUAAAAAGAUUCCAAGAGAGAACAAAGCUCCUGACAGAUCAAAACCCAAAACAACUUUAAGAGUGCCUAUUAGUGAAAGAGAUGACAGAAGUUACAAAGAGGUACUCAGUGAAGGAAAAGUGGAACAAAUACUUCUGCCUGUGGCUUCUGGACCAAAGGAUUACUUUGAAAAACUCUUCAUUGAUAUUGAAGAAGAGGAUUAUGCUUGGCUAAAGAGAUGUCUUCUGGGAAAAAUAAAAAAAGGAUCCAAUUACUCUUCUAUACGUUUUGGACUGAUCCAACAUGAUAUAGAUUUUGUUGGACUGCGCUUUCUUGGGGCAUCUCAGGUCCUUGUGAUUUUUUAUAAUAGAGACAUAUUAAUGGAAUCAUGGAGGAAGAAUAAUAAAUGUUGGGAUGUAUUUUUUGAGGAAGUUCGCCCCUGGGUUGAGACUGACACAACUUUGAAUCGGAUGGCCUGGAUAACAAUAACAAAUCUACCCAUUAUAGGGUGGAAUUGCAGAUGCCUCACAAAGAUUUUAGAAAGAUCUGGUCAGAUGAUAGGUUAUGAUAAAACUACUCUCAAGCUUUUUGAACUAUCACAGUUACGGAUCCUCAUUGGUACACAACUGGAUAAGGUGAAUAAGGUGAUUGUUUUGCAACUCAAUAAUCAAACAUAUCAGGUUAAGAUAGAGGAGAUGGACCAGUUACAUUACCCAAUUGCUGGCUCUAUUUCAUACACCAUGGAUGACUUUCUGACAUCCCUAGAGCAAGGGGAUGAUGAUGAUGAGGAAGACUCGGUUGAUGUGGGUGAUGGCGUAGACACAGAUGAGGACAGAGCAGGUGUGGCUCCAUCAGUCACCAGGACUCUUGGGGGCGGCACCAACGGGUGGGAAAAUUCAGAUCUGGCACAGGAUGGAGACAUGCUAUCAACUUCUGACGAUAGCUCUCUUAUCAUAUUUAAUGCUCUUCAUCUGGAUGUGGUGCAAGAUCAACAUGCUGCCUCAUCUUUAGAGAGAUUUCCAGAAAUUAUGGCAUACAAUCUUUCUUUUUCUGACAGCAGCUAUAUAAAAGCAGCCCCAUUCCCAAUGCUCUUACCCUAUAUACGGGACAUGGCACUCCUAUUUUGAGAGAAGAUGCUAGAAACCCUGCAGCUGCCUUGGACCUUGACUCCCUUGUAUUGGCCCAGAUUGAAAGCCCAGUUUAUGGCAGUGGAUCUCAAAGCCCAUCUGACGUUCUCUCUAUUUCAUUUGGAUCAAACAAUGAUUUAGCCCUUCAAUCAACAUACAAUCAUCAAGCCAUAGUAAUUCUGGAACCGCAACACAUGAAUCACCCAGUUAUUUUACACUCUAAUGCAAACACAAAAGAGAGUGCAAUUGCCCUAUCUGCAAAAACAAGAAGGAAGUUGCGACGUACAAAGAUGAUUACAGCUGAUGGAAGUUUGAAUGAAACAGUUAAUAUGAGUGAGAUGGAUACUAAGGACUCAACAAUACAGAGGUGUAACAGGAGGAACUUGCUAGCUCAUGACGAAAACAAUAAGCCUUCUGAGGGUGAUGAGGUUUGUUUAAUGCUGGAAAUAGGAGAGGUUUUGCAGAUUGAAAAACCUCACAAUUUAGAUGACUUCACAUCCUAUAUAAAUCAGCAAAGGCGUAAAGAGAAGGCUGAUUGGGAAGCAUCCCAGUGAGUAGAUGUUCCUCUUUGUUCUGUAAGGAUUUUAAAUCUCUUUUCUUAUGCAGAUUCUUUCAUGGAAUUCUUGUGGUUUGGGGUUAGCUAGAAAGAAGAGGACAGUUUCAAAGUUAAUCAGGGAUUUUGAUAUAGAGGUUUGUUUUUUGUUUGAAACUAAGUUACAAAGUUACUCAGACAAAUUGGUUUUUCAAUUAUGGAGCGUCAGUAAUGUUUCUUGGUUUGGUAAUGAGGCUGAAGGUACUAAAGGGGGCAUUCUGGCUAUGUGGGAUAACUCUAAGUUUGCGGUAUCAUCAGUGGAGUAUGGUCAUGGUUGGAUCGGGUUAUUUGGGCAGAAUGUCUUGACAGGCUUCUCAAGGGCGGUGGUAGGUGUUUAUGCCCUUUGCAAUCAAGCUGACAGACUUCUUCUUUGGAAGGACCUUCGUAUUCUGAAGGCUGCUUUUGAGUGUCCUUGGUUUUUAGCAGGUGACUUCAAUGAAACUAUGUUGCGAAGUGACAGAAGCAGUGGCUUCAUUAACAAGGUGGGUUCAACGGCUUUUAGACUUUUUAUUGAUGAUUGCAACCUAAUCGAGUACAACAUGUCAGAGGGUCUGUACACCUGGUUUCGUGGGGGGUCCAUGAGUAAACUAGACCGUAUUUUUUCUAGUCCUUGUUGUCAUUUGCAAUUCCCCCUUUUGUCUCUUCGACGGCUUCCAAGAGGGUUCUCUGAUCAUUGCCCUUUAAUCCUAGGGGUUUCACCUGCAGAAAAAGGUUGGAUUCCUUUCAAAUUCAUGGAUUGUUGGCUCCAUCAUCCAAAUUUUAAAGAUAUCGUAAAGGGUAUAUGGGAUGAAGCUUGCAAUGAAUUUUCAGGUCAGUUCAAGCUCAUUAAGAAGCUCAGCUUUAUGGCAACUUGGCUCAGACAGUGGAAUAGGGUUGGUUUUGGGCAUCAGGAGACUGCUUUGUCAUUGAUCCAAAGCAAUAUUUCAGCUAUAGAAAAGAAAUCAGAGUAUGGGCAAUUAUCUACUGCAUAGCAGAACUCGCUUGAUUCAUUGAUUAAGAAGUAGUGGCAAUGUAACUUGCAUAUAGAAAGCAUGUGGCGUCAAAAGUCUCGCCAAAUUUGGUGUCGCCUGGGCGAUCGCAACACGCGUUUCUUCCAUCUAGUUGCUAACUUCAGGAGGGCUAAAAACCAUCUCCUGAAAGUGGUUCAUAAUGGUUCUGUUGUUGAAGGUUUACCGGUCAUAAAAGAUGCGGCAGUUAACUUCUUCUCCAACUUAUUCAGAAGUUUUGAUAGAUUCCGAAUUGGUUUAGGGCCUGUUGGUUUUAAAACACUAUCGGCUUCUUCUUCAGCUAGCUUGGAGCGAGAUAUCACUUUGGAAGAAUUAAAGCAGAGUGUUUGGGAUUUUGAUGGGAGCAAGAGUCCGGGUCCAGAUGGUUUCAAUUUCAAAUUCUACAGGCUUGCUUGGAAUUUCAUUGCAGAUGAUUUGUUAGACCUGGCCAAGAAUUUCUUCAAAACAGGUAGGCUUCCAAAAGGAGUCAAUCAUGCUUAUGUUCAUCUAAUUCCGAAGAUAGCUUCCCCAAUUGGCUUCAAAGAUUUCAGGCCUCUUAGUUUGAUUCAUGGCAUUUACAAGAUAAUGGCUAAGGUUCUUUCUAGCCGUCUGAAAGCGGUUAUGCAUGACCUUAUCAGUGAGAAUCAAACAGCUUUCUUGGCAGGGAGGCAAAUAAUUGAUGGGUUUGUGGUUGCCAAUGAAGCAGUUCAUUCCUUGAAAAGACACAGAGUGUCGAGCCUUAUCUUUAAGGUGGAUUUUCACAAGGCUUUCGAUAGUGUGCAGUGGGAUUAUUUAGAGCAGGUUAUGAGGCAUAUGGGUUUUGGUGAAAAAUGGAUUAAUUGGAUCAACACUUGCAUCUCCACUGCAAAAUUAUCAGUGCUGAUUAAUGGAUCUCCUUCUAAGGAAUUCUUGAUGGGUCGUGGGAUUCGCCAAGGUGACCCCCUUUCUCCAUUCCUUUUUCUAAUAGCAGCAGAGGGAUUAUCUGUUUUGUUUCAAAGAGCAGCUUCAAAUGAUCUUUUCAAAGGUAUCCCUUUUGGAGACAGCUUUUGCCUUAGUCACCUACAAUAUGCAGACGACACUUUGAUCUUCAUGCCUGCUAAUCUUCAUAUGGUCAAAACGGUUAAAAGGAUCCUGUUAUGGUUCGCUAUUUGUUCAGGUUUGCACAUUAACUUCCAUAAAAGCUCUUUAAUUGGCAUAAAUGUUGGGGAAGAUACUUGUGCUAGUAUGACAUAUUCAGUCUUUUGCAGAUUUGAUUCCUUGCCUUGCUCUUAUCUAGGCAUGCCUUUAGGAUCCAAUCCUAAAAGAUUGUCUACAUGGAAGCCUAUUAUUGAGAAUUUCAGACGGAAGUUGAGCAUGUGGAGAGGUCGUAUGCUUAGUAUGGCAGGACGUAUUUGCCUAAUCAAAAGUGUCUUGAGUUCAUUGCCAGUAUAUUAUAUGUCUUCUUUUCUUAUGCCGAAAGGUGUCUGUAAUAUACUACCAUCUAUUCAACGAAGAUUCUUGGGUCUGAGUGGCGAAGCAAAAGAAAAUCUGCAAGGUACAAUGGCGUAUUGUUGUGAAAGCUAGAAAAGAAGGAGGCCUCGGGUUGGGUUCUUUAAUGUCAAAAAAUAUAUCCAUGCUUUUCAAAUGGAUAUGGAGGCUAAACUUACCAGACCAUGCCUUAUGGAAACAGGUAACAACCCAUUUUUACUCCCCAACUUUCGAGAAUGGAAUCCCAAAAUUGCAUGGUCAUAUUUCCCCAUUUUGGAAAGACAUUUUGUCAAUCUUGGAUCCAAACAGUGUCAUCGGCUUAGUAUUGCGUGAAAACAUUAAAUUCAAGAUUGGAGAUGGAUCCUCCAUCCUUUUCUGGUCUGACGUGUGGAUAGGAUCAAAUGCUUUACGUUGCAUUUUCCCUAAGCUUUACCAAAUUUCUACUUUUCGGAAUGGUUUGGUUAAUGAGAUGGGUCAAUGGGUGAAUGAUCAAUGGCGAUGGAAUUUGGUUUGGCGUAGGAAGCUCUUAUCUUAUAAAGAGCAACAAUAUCAUCAUUUGCUCUCAAUGCUGGAGCCAACGAUAAUUCGGCAAGGAAAAGAUGACAAACUUAUAUGGCCAUGCAAUUCUGAUGGAAGCUUCUCAGUUAAAUCGUGUUGCACCCUGAUUGACAAUACCUCCUCUGCGACUGAUAGAGUCUUUGAAGCCAAUGUUUGGAUUAAAGGGGCCCCUCUGAAAGUUCAGGUGUUUCUCUGGUUGGCAGUACAAGACAAAGUUAGUACAAGAGCUUUUCUCCAUCAACGGACUAUUUUGUCUGCCACACAAGCUUCAUGUGUCUUUUGCAGCUCAAAUUUGGAAACCUCAGAGCAUCUUUUUAUACAUUGUAACUUUUCUAUGAGUGUUUGGAUGAAAGUUUUGGAUUGGUGGGGUAUCCAAUGUUGUUUACCGAGAACACUUGACUUGCUGCUUCUGCAGUGGCCCGAAAUGGUACAAGGCAAAUUCCAAAGAUCAGCUUGGAGAUUAAUUUCAAGUAGUACUAUUUGGGGUAUAUGGUUACUGAGGAACAAAAUUGUUUUUGAGGAGGGAACUAUAAACUUGUUUGAUUGUUUCUCCACCAUCCUUCAUCGGGUUGCUAUUUGGUUGCAUACUCAUGAUUCAAACUUCAAUUAUACAGGCAAUGACCUCUUAAGAUCUUCUGAUGGCAUCAAAUUAUGGUGUAAUAAGAAAUCUUAGGUAGUCUUCUUGUUGUUUGCUGUAGUAGAUCAGUUUUUUUCUUUUUUCUUUUUUUCUUUUUUAUAUCCCUUGUAUUUCUCUUUGGCUAUUCGCUUUAUGGCCUUCUCAAUAUACUCUCGAUGAUUAUAAAAAAAAAGAAGAAGAAACCCCAUUAGUUAAUAAGUUAAAACAGCAGCAGCAGCAAAAAGACUCAAAUUUUAGUUAUUUGGACUUGAGAAAAAGCAUUGAACCCUCUGUGAAAAUGCCAUGAAAGGGGUGCUUAGAAACCUGGAAAAUAAAAACUUUUAAAAGGGUGUUUUUACAAAGCAAGAAAGAAGCUUGGAAGCAAGGAAGCAAGCCAGCCUACCCUCACGAACUCUGUUUGUUAAUUGUUUUUUCUCCUUUAAAGUGAAAACAAAAAAAUAAAAAACAAAAACAAAGAGCACCCAGAAAAUCUAGUCAGAAAUAUUUUAUGUUGCUGUCUUGGAGAGACGCAUUAUAUUACAUAACAAAAUGAUAAAUUCAUUCAUUACAAAAAGAUACCCAACAAAAUAUAAGAAAACUAAUCUACUGUUCAACCCGAUAGGGGGAUGUACCUGAAAAUUGAUUUAAUACAAUAAUUCAAUUAGACAGAUGAAAAAAAGAUAUCCAUAAAAUUCUUUCUACUUUCUUUCUUUCUUCCUUUUUUUUUUUUUUGAAAAUUUAGUCAAAAGAUCAUUAAAUUAACUUGCUCAUCUAGUAUUGUAUAUAUAUAUCAAUUAAAUUUCAGAAUAAUCUAUGAGUUUGUUUUCUUUUUCUUUUUUCUUUUUUAAUAUCAACCAAAAAUAUAAUUAUUUCUAUCGCUCAAUUAACCCGGCAUUACUUUCACUAAUAGAUGAUUAAUUUUCCACCAGUCCAUUCAACAAACACUAUUGUCAUCAAUUCAAAAAUUAGUUUAAUGUUUCAUCCAUUCAUCAGGUAAAAAUCUCAUUAACCAGGGAAAUUAAUUCUUCAUCUUGCCCAUUUGUCAAGGCACUAAUUCCAUUAAAUCAGGAAUUAGUUCAAUGAUUUACCUAUUCACCAGGUUACUAAUCCCAUUAACCAGAGACUUAAUUCCUCAUCAUGCCUAUUCACCAGGACAUUAAUCCCAUUAAUUCAGGAAUUAGUUCAACGAUUUGCCCAUUCACCAGGGCAUCAUAAUUUCUUAUCACGCCCAUUCACCAGGGCAUUAAUUUCUUAUCACGCCCAUUCACUAGGGCAUUAAUCCCAUUAGUUCAAGAAUUAAUUCAUCACAUCGCAUAUCUUAUUUUCUAAAGUAAACAAUAUAAUAAUUUCAUAUUUAUCAACCACAAUUAAUCAAAUAAAAAUACAUAUUGACCAAUAAUAAAUUCGAGUACCGUGUAAUUACCUGAUGACUAAGCUCGAGUUGAAAUUUCCUGCUGUGGUGUCGGCCUGGCAGCCUCUCUUGAAUUGAAAAGUAUAUCACAUCAUUAUUCUACUUUCCAUAUUGAAACACUCAAUAAAUAAAAUCAUUCCAAUUAUCCUUUUAUUUGCCAAAAUAAAAUCAUUUCGUAAGUUUCCUUCCCUAUCUUUCAAUUUCCACAUUGUAACACAAUUCAUUUUAUCAUUCAAAUCAAUAUAUAUANNNNNNNNNNNNNNNNNNNNNNNNNNNNNNNNNNNNNNNNNNNNNNNNNNNNNNNNNNNNNNNNNNNNNNNNNNNNNNNNNNNNNNNNNNNNNNNNNNNNCUUUAAAUUCAUUUAUUUAAUUUUUACCAUAAUUUAAAUCAAAGAAAAACAUAAAACAAUUUCAUGAUCUAUUCACUCUUUAACAUUAAUAUCAUGCUCUUUCUUACACAAUCUCAUCAUCUUAUCAAAACUCUUAAAUUUUUAUUUUUCUUAUUAUUAUUUUUCCAAAAAUCCCUUCUUCAAGAACACCUAAAAUUUUGCUUUAAUUACCAUAAUUUCUUACUUUUUCUACUCAUUUCAAUAAUCUUAACACAAUUUCACAAUCAAUUGUAAUUUUCUCUAAAAUUUAUCAUGAACCCUAAUUCCUCAUUUCACAAAGUUCAAUCAAUUUAAAGCAUAAAUUCUUCAAGAAUCUUAUUUAAAAGUUUGAGUACAUCUUACCAAGCAAUAACCAAAGUUUUAACACUUUUAAAUUGAGAAAUUUUCCUUGCUUGAAUUUGUUUUUUCUCUCCUGGCCGAUUGCUUCCUUCUCUUUGAAAAAACAAGUUUGUUUUUUUUUUUUUUUUGUUUACUUAUAGCACACACUCACUUGCACUCAUAUAUAUAUAUAUAUAUAUAUAUAUAUAUAUAUAUAUAUAUAUUAACUCUCUUUUUUAAAUACCUUCCACGUCCCUCAAUUUGUUUCUUCCCCAUACACACAUAUAAUUACUUAACUUUUUAAAAAUACCUUCUAUAUUCCUCAAUAGUAAAUUUUAUGAUUUUUGGGUAAAAUUUCAUGAAUCCUAACACCUGUUUAUACCAAAUUUUAUCCAGAUUAUUUCAAAUUUCACUCAGUUACUCGUUAGUACUUUCAGUUUCAUGAAAUUCAUUUCCAUCAAAAUUUUAUUCACAUUUUCAUGUUUAUUUAUUUAUAUUUAUUUUUUAUAUAUAUUUUAACACCCGAACAAAACAUUUCAAUUCAGAUUCUCGAAUAUAUCAUCAUUCUUAUAAUUUAAUUUAUCACUUUCCCUCAUUUUUCGUAAUCUUGACUUUUAUUAAUAUUAAUAAUAUUACCCGGGGUUUUACAGUCUCAGUUGACACUGAUUUUCGCCAUAAAAAAUGGUCGAUUUUUGUUUUAAUGAGUUUCAUUUGAUGAAGAGAGUUCCAUUGAAAUGUUUUUUGCUCUUGAAAUUGCCAAAACAUUUAUAGUUUUUGGGCUGUUUUAUUGGUUUAUUACAUCAUAAAAACGAUUUUUAGGUGUUUUGGUGUGAACUUUGUUUAAAUUUGCAUUUUUUGGUCAAAAACCACCAUGCUUAAUUUUCUAGUCACCUCUCCAAUGGCCAAGAACUGAAAAGUCUCGGUAGGUGACAUGUCGCUUUUCUUUAUUUUUUUUUCAAAAACAUUUGGAGGAUUUUCAAAUAAAAAAGGCCCAUACGUACCAACCCUUUUUAAAAUGGGCUUGAUGUGUAGGCCCGACUUACUAGGCCCAAAAGCACUUGAUCUAUUUCUAUUUUUUUUUCUAAUUUUGUUUUCUUAAUUGAUAUUUUUUAUGUAUUUUUAAUGAAUUUUUGAAUUUAUAUUUAAAUUAAUACUUUUCUCUCUAAAUAUUUAGAUUGUUUAUUUAGUUUUUUCUAAAUAAUGGAUAUCUUUUACUUAUCUUUUAUGUAUUUAAUAUCUAGAAAAAAUUAUUUCAAUUCAUCUAUAUGUUUUUUUAUAUAUUUUAUAUAAAUAAACUUUAUUUUCAUGACGUGUUUAUAAAAAUAAGAAUUAUUUGUUCUUGGUAAGAAAAAGUGACCUUUAAGAUAAAAAAGAAGAAGAAGGAGAAAAGUGUGCAUGAAGAUGAAAGUUAAGGUUAAGUAUCAUAUUUAUGUAUCUUUUACUUUUAUGAAAAUGAUUAUCAUUUUAUUUUAUAAUUUGAUUGGCAUUAACAACUCUUUAUUAGUUUAUUAGUUCAUAUUUUUGUAAGAUUGUUUUUUACAUUUCUUAAUUAAGAGAAUCAUAAUACAAUGAAAUGCACUUGAAACAAUGUCCCAUUUUUCUACUACAUUAAAAAUUAACUUAAGAUCCUAUAUGUGGCACGAUGCGUUAACAACUAUUUUUUAUAUUUAUGAACACUUAUGGUCCUUACUUUAUUUUUAUUAUAUGUAAAUAUCAACUUUUUUAUUUACAAUUAUAAUUUUCUCUUGAUUUUUAAAAAUACGUUAACAACAUUUAUAUAUAUUUUUUUUUGCGUUCAAAAAAUUAUCUAACUCGUAGCAAAGUGAAUUAAAUAAAUGCAUCAACACUUUUUUUUUUGUAUUUAUGAUUAGGAUUUGUUUUUGUUAAAAAUGCAAUUGAAAAGCAUACAAAUUUAUUUUUUGCUAAAAACAAUUUUGUGAUCCAUACCGAAGUGCGAGUUAAAUAACUACGUAUAUGGCUAUAGUAAGUCUUUUAGUAUAUGUGGAUGUAGGAAGCAAUGCGUUAUAUUAUUAGUUAGAUAUAACUUACCUAUUCAUUAUUAAAAAAAACAUAAAAUAAAUAAAUAUAUUAAUAGAAACCUAAAAGAGGUCGGCUGAAAUAUAAUAUUUUUGUCCUUUUUUUUAUUUUGUUUCACAUUUCUCAAUUAAGAGAAUCAUGAUACAAUAAAAUGCAUUUGAAACACCAUCCUAUUUUUCUAUUAAAUUAAAAAUUAACUUCCUGAUGCAACCAUAUUAUUCGAUAGUUUCACCCACAUUUAACUAGUGUUUUGCCUAUGUUUUAUAUAUAAAAUGCCUUGAUAUUCUUUGUUUUAUGUUUUGAAGGCACUUUUGGAUGAAAGAUGCAAAAAGGAGUAAAUUGGAGAUAAUUGGCAGAUUUGACCUUCAGUCGAUGUUUUGUGCAGAGCGUGAGCUCUAGAGGUUGAAAUGAAGUGAUUCCAGUGGCAUUAAAAAGCUAACAUCCAUACCUUUCUGGAAAUCUAAGGCAAGAAAAUAAAAUAAGGAAGAGCAUGGAAAUCACAGCCUUCAAAGUCAAAACAGAUUUGCUUUCUUUUUCCCUUAUCUUUUAUUUUUCGCAUUUUACUUUAUUUUUGUCAUUCUUCAAUAUUCCUUUUCUUUUAUUUCAACAUUGAGGACAAUGUUGUGUUUUAAGUGUGGGGGUAUUGGGAGAAUGUUGGUUUUCUAAUUUUGGUUUUCUUUGUUAUUUUUCAAAAUAAAAAAAAAUUAUGUUUGAUCUUUUGAACUCCCAUUGGUUUUUGAGAAUAUGAGUAUUAUGUAUGAGAAUUAGUUGAGAUAGAUGAAGAUAUAAAUAAAAUGAAUGAGUGUGCAUGCAAGUUUUAAGGUUUAAUUGGUUUAGGGAUUGACUUUGAGAAUCUGUCAUGUUGACUUUAUAGUGUUAUACCAAUGCAAGCUUUUGAGCCUUCAACAUUAUAUUCUUUUAUUGUGCCUUCUUUCAAUGAUAUGUAUCUUUAGAACUUGUUUCAUAUCUUGUUGAGAUUACAUUCAUAUUACAUAUAUACAUGAAGAUAAUAAAGGCAUUAGGAAUUUUAACCACUUGAGCCAAAAAGCCAACCUAAAGCAUAUUAUCCUUAGUGAGCCCCUUUUGAGCUUGUUUAUCUUUUCUUUGCUUUAUCCAUGUAUAAGCCUUAACUUUUUAUAUGUUUUCCUUUUCCCCUGGCCAAGGAUUAGUAGAGCAUAUACUUAUGAUAUCUCAUGGAAUUAUGGUUGGAAAUUAUGCGAAAAGAAAGAAGAAGUGAUGCUUGAUGAAAAGAUGGGCAAAGUUGCCGAAGGUCAAAAAAAAAAAAGGAAAAAAAAAGAAAAAAAAGAAAAGAAAAAGAAAAAGAAAAAAGUGUUCCUUUAUGUUCUUAAUAUUUUAUAUUGAAAAAGCUUGAAAUCAAAAGAAGUUAAGCAUUGGUGAUUAAAGAUGGAAAAUUUAUGUGCUUUGAUGGAAUAUCUUGUUUGAAAUAUCAUUUUUCAGAAUGCUCUACUUUCUUUGGUUUGAACCUUUUGUUUUACUCUCUUUUACCUCACCUUAACCUUAGCCCCAUUACAACCAGAAAAUAAGACCUUUUGAUUCAUGCAUUGUUUGUAAUAUGUUAUUAAUGGGGAUGAGAUUGAAGAGCAAGCUUAUGGUAGAACAUAUUCAUUGAUUGAAUUUGAGAGAUUUAAACACAUAAGCCCUAAACACGUGAGUGUUGGAGUAUAUAUCAAUGAGAGGACCUAUCACUUUGGCAUGGCAUAGAUUUCAUUUAAAUCUCGACGAUUAAUUGACUUUUGAAGUUUGCAUGUAAAUAAAUUCAUGAAAAUUUAUACUCUUUAUCCUUCUUAAUUGUGUUCUUGUUUAUAAUGCAUAUAUUCUUGGAUAUUGAUGGGAGAUUAGAAGAUUAGUCAUAGUGAUUUCAUUUAAUUUAACUUCAAUUUGAUUUUACCUAUCCUUUCUCGAGGACGAGCAAGAGCUAAGUGUGGGGGUAUUUGAUGCAACCAUAUUAUUCUAUAGUUUCACCCACAUUUAACUAGUGUUUUGCCUAUGUUUUAUAUAUAAAAUGCCUUGAUAUUCUUUGUUUUAUGUUUUGAAGGCACUUUUGGAUGAAAGAUGCAAAAAGGAGUAAAUUGGAGAUAAUUGGCAGAUUUGACCUUCAGUCGAUGUUUUGUGCAGAGCGUGAGCUCUAGAGGUUGAAAUGAAGUGAUUCCAGUGGCAUUAAAAAGCUAACAUCCAUACCUUUCUGGACAUCUAAGGCAAGAAAAUAAAAUAAGGAAGAGCAUGGAAAUCGCAGCCUUCAAAGUCAAAUCUCGCAAUCUGCCAGUGUUGACCUUCGGCCAUUCCGACUUGAAUAUCUGGAGCUACAGAAGUCCAAUUGAUGCAAACUCAAUUGUUUUGGAUUCAUGUCUCAAAGGUCUAUAAACGCUCCACAUUUCAGCCCAAACCGAUUUCAUAUGAGGGAGAUAUGAUUUUUCAAAGAUGACAACUGAAUUCUGCCAGCAAACAGGUUUCGUGAAGAAACGAGUCCAAAUUACGUUCCGAAGCAUCUAAACCGAUAUCCAAGUUUGUAUUUCAGCAAUUUAGCUCCUCUAAGUCAAAGCUUGAAGAUUUCAUGCAAGGCUAUUUCUCCUUUUUUAGGAAAAUAGUUAUUGAAGUACUUAAAUGUAAACAGUCUACUUAAUGGAGGACUAUUUUGUAAAAUAGAGACCUAGGGUUUCCUAGGAUAUAAAAAGAAUGAGAGAAGAGAAGGGGGGAGGCAGCCAAGAAGAGAAAAACGCCCCCUUCCUCUAAGAAACCCUAAAUUAUGCAUUCUUCCUUCUUUUUGAUUAGUUGUUCAACAAACAUGCAAGGCUAAACACUUUUUCUUGGUUGCAAGAACACGGAAACCUUCGGAUUUCAAGAACUGUGAGAUUUAUUUUACCUUUUCUUUUCAGUUUAUAUGAUGAAUAUGUUUGUUCUCCUAUGCUUAUUUUUCCUAUGAUUGUUUAUUUUAAUUGCUAGAGCGGACUCUAAGUUAUUAUUGUAGACAAUCUAUUGUUAAUUUUGAUAUCAAAACCGGAGUUGUGGUAUAUGAACUUGUGAAGCAACUGAGUUUAAUAAUUGUGGCGGAUCUACGUUAUUAAUCUUAGGGAGAACAUUCAAUCAAAUCAAACAUAGACUGCGGACAGUUAUGUUUUCUUGAUUAAUCAACUUAUCUAGUUCUUAAGGCUGCCAUUGAAUUAAAUUACUAGUGCGGACACUGUGGUUGUUUGAUGGUUAGGGCUAGUUAUACGGCGGAUCCGUUAACUAACCAAUGUUAAGAAGAGAUAAAUAUUCAGAAUAUAAAUUGAUGUUUCGUUUCCAUGAUCAGUUCUGAUUUUUGUAGGUGGAUGUGUGCUUCUGACCAAGGUUUGUUCUCUUGAUAAUUUUCUGAUUUUAUUAAAUUUAGUUUGAUAGUUUUCUGUUUUCUUUUGCUUUAGCCUAGAUAAUGUCCAAACCCCCCCAAAUUGCAUAUCAUCUAGCAUAAAAAUCUGACUUGAAUCUUCCUCGUGGGAUCGACCCCUUGCUUGCUCUAUACUAUCUUGUGUGUUGUGUUUGAAGCUAGGGUAAUUAAUUUGUGCGACCGCGACAUCGCAACACUUCCUACAUGGGGUGCGUUGCGUUAACAAUUGUUUUUGUAUUUAUUAACAUAUAUGAUCCUCAAUUGAUUUUAUUAUAUGUAAACAUCAACUUUUUUUAUUCACAAUUAUAUUUUUUUCUCUCGAUAUCUAAAAAUACAUCAACAACACAUAUACAUCCAUUCUUUUGUGUUGGAAAAUAUUAUCUGACCCAUAGCGAAGCGAGUUAAAUAAACACGUCAAUACCUUUUUUUUGUAUUUAUUAUUAGGGUUUUUUUUUGUUAAAAAUACAUUUGAAAAGCAUUCAUAUUUAUUUAUUUUGCUAAAAAACAUUUCUGAUCUAUAGUAAAGUGCGAGUCAAAUAACUACUAAUAUGGCUAUAGUGAGUGUUUUUUUAGUAUAUGUGGAUGUAGGUAGCAAUGUGUUAUAUUAUUAGUUAGAUAUAACUUACCUAUUCAUUAUAAAAAUAAAUAAAUAAAUAUGCUGAAACAAUAUAGUCCCCGAGAGGAAAUAUUGUGAAUUCACACAAUGUUUACUUUCUCUUUUUUUGUCCUUUUUUUAUUUAGUGAUCUUUGAUGAUGAAUUGAUUAAGAUUUGAGAUGGGUACUGUAUUUUUAUUUACCUUUUUUAUAGUUAUCUUGCUCUCAAUAAAACAUCUUGAUAUUAGAACAAUGCUCAAUUUCACAAAAAAAAAAUUAAUGUUUGUAAGAAAUUGAAAAUGAAAAGAUCAAAAUUGAAACAAAUAAAAAACUAUUUAAAAAAAAAAUGGUGUCAACUUUGCCUUUUGUUUUUUGCUUUUGAUCAUCUACUUUUUUUAUAAAAAAAAAAUUAAUAUUUCAAUGCUGUGUUAAUUGGAAUUUGAAGUUGGUAAUUUGAUAUAAGUUGGUAAUUUUAUAUGAGCAUCUAGAACUAAAUAAAAAGCCGCACCAUUGGUUUGGUGCUCGACUUUACAAAAAAAAAAUCGAUUAUAUUGUUUGAGAAAAAAUAAAAAAUAAAAAAUAAAAAUUAAAACAUGAAAAAAAAAAUAAGGGGCCUUAAAAAAACAAAUUGUGUCAACGCCUCCAUGCCUUGUAAUUUUAAUAAAUCUUCUUUUUGGUAAUGAAACUUUUUGAUACAAAACUUUAUUUUACUUGUAUUUUAAUUCUUGAGGUUGAGAAAGAAAAAAGAAAUUCAUCAAAAAAUUAGAAAGAAAAGAGAAAAUUAGCGAAAGCCAGCAAGGUAUCUGCUCGAAAAAACCAUUCAACAUAAGAUUGCUCUGCUAGGAAAACAUGAUAUCAGUAUCAAACUUUUGAACAAAGAGUUCAGCAUCAAGUCUCAGUCAUCUUGAGAUUUGAAUUGCUCAUACAACAACAUUUUUAAUAAUGCAUUAGAAACAGAACAUCAAACAAAGAGUUCAGCAUCAAGGAGAACGCAUGAAAGUCCACACAUUAAACCAAAAGAAACACAAAUGGCCAAGCAAACAUACGCCCUUACUUCUGGAGGCUUGUACGAUAAUGGGCAAGCAUCAUUGUUUUUUUUACUAUUAACCAUCACCAUCACCAUCACCAUCUUCUUCUUCUUAUACUUCUUUCCACCCUUUAUUUCUGGUCCACUCUCUAUUAAUGCUUGAAUCUUCAGCUACUUCAGAUACCUGUAAACCAAUCCAAGCAUGGCAUGCUCAUUUAACUUGUAAAUCUUAUUAUUGAGAGAAACAAGAAACAAACACACUAAAAGAGAGGCAAGAAAUAAAGUUAAAUCAUCAGCAGCACCUCUGAGCGAGCACUCAUUGAACCAUCUGGUGUAGUAGCAAAUUUUGUGGUCAGCUUUGGACAUUGAUGGACCUUCAACUUCUCCAAACGAGGGAAUAAGAAAUAAUCACACCAUCCGAAACUAAAACAGACAAUACUUGAUAAUUGUUGUAGCGACAACUCCUUUAGAUUAGGAAGCACUAUCUCCUUCUCAACGUUGAUAGGUGAAGCUUGAUCAUCCUGCCCAGGAGACUCUGGAAUUAUUUCCCUUUUACCAUCCUCUUCUCUGAUUAUAUGCUUCAAUUGACCGCAUUUACUUAUGGAAAGCCUUUCUAGCUUUGGCAGACUUUGUGUGAGGGACGGUGUGAAGAUAAAUGGCAGUUUGUCGAGAGAAUCCAAACUCAGAAUAUUAAGACUUUGGAGGCUGACAUGUCCGGUGGGCCCCUUCCAUAUGCAUUUGACCUCAGGUAACCUUCGCAGCUCUAACUUUGUUAAAGAUGACAGCAGCUCCUUCUCCUCACUGCUUCCUUCAUCAGCCUCACCUAAUUCAAAUACCUCUUCCAAUGAUUUGCAGCCGCCAACAAUCACCUCCUUUAGAUUGUUCAAAGCUCGCAGCAAUUUUGCUGGAAACGGAGCGCGAACAUCCCCACAAUCGUCCACUUGUACAAUUUCUAAUCUUUGUACGGAGCCGUUUUGCUGCACAUGGCCGGCCAUCUUAUCAGAGAACAAUAUUAUAUUUUUUCACUCUCAUAAAAACAAUUUAUAUGAUGUAUAAAUAGGAGAAAAAAGAAGAAAAAACAGGAUUACAUACUUUUUAGAGGUUACAUAUUAUUGUUUCAGUUUUUUUCUUAAUUAGAGAUAAGUUAAAUAAUAAUUAGAUUUUUUGCGAAAAAAGGUUACUACAACUCCUAAUAAUUAGUUUCAUGUAAAAAAUAAAAAUAAAAAUAGUAACUAAUAUUUUUACUUUAGUUAAAAAGUUAAUAAAUUUUUAAAGAUAUUUUAACUGAAUUAAAUAUUUGAACACAAAAUAAGCUAAUAAUAAUUAGUUUCAUGAGGCAGUUAAAUCUAACAGAUAAUAUGUUCUUUCAUAUGAUUAAUUUUUAAUAACGCAGACAACAAUGAGGCAGUUAAGUUCUUAUAUUUAUAUAUGUUUAGAUAAAAAUAAAAAUGAGCAUUUAUCAAUUACUUUACUUUUAGAAAUUGGGAGGAAGAGAGAAUAAAUUAUCGCAAUUGACAAUUUAAAUUAAGUGGAGAAAUAUAAAUUACGUACUUGUAGCUGUGCCAACCAAUUACCCACUCCUUCGUGGCCUCCAAUGGUUAAGUCUUGCAAAGGCAAUUGAGCAUCAAAAUUCCUUGGACCUAAAAAGCUGUAAUUUGAUCUGAGCCGAAGAGACACUUGUCUUAGGUGAGGGAACUUGAUGAUGCCAUCUCUGUUACGAGACAAAGAGACUGGGAAGACAUAUUCCAGUUUACCACAGUGAGAUAUGAAGAGAGUUUUUAAUAGUGGGAAGCAAGGAGACUCUGGAAUUAUUUCCCUUUCACCAUCCUCUUCUCUGAUAAUAUGCUUCAAUUUACCGCAUUCAUUUAUGUAAAGCCUUUCUAGCUUUGGCAGACUUCGAGCGAGGGACGGUGUGAAGAUAAAUGUCAGUUUGUUAAGAUUCCAAACAAGUAGACGAGCAAGAUUUUGGAGGCUGACAUGUCCGGUGGGCCCCUUCCAUAUGCAUUUGAGCUCAGGUAACAUUUCCAGCUGUAACUCUGUUAAAGAUGACAGCAGCUCCUUCUCCUCAGUGCUUCCUUCAUCAGCCUCACCCAAUUCAAAUACCUCUUCCAAUGAUUUGCAGUUGUAAAUGUCCACCUCCUUUAGAUUUUUUAAACCUUGCCGCAAUUUUGCUGGAAACAGAGUGAAAACAUCCCCACAACUGCUCACUUGUACAGAUUCUAAUUUAUGUAAAAACAAUUGCUCAAAUGUCUUCGCAUUUAAGGAUGUACCAACCAAAUUUAAUCUUGUCGAGGUUGGGUAUCCAUAAUUGGGCAGAAUCCGAUUCCCAAAUAUUAUAUGAUAUUUGCGCAAACUAACUGGAAAAACAAAAUCUCUGGGAAUGCAUUCAACCUUCGGUAUCCACAAUGAUAAUACGGCUAACUGAGACAACGAAUUUAGUUCUGUUAGGCUUGCAUUCAUUCCUCCUGUGCUGUCACAUCCACCAACAACAUCCCAUCCCUGAAAGCUUUCAUCCCCGAUCAACAGCUCUUCUAACUUCUUCAACCUUCCAAUCAAAUUCACAGGGAUCCUUCUUAGCAUUUCACAACCUGUCACAUCCAACAACCUUAACUCCUUGAGCUCUCCUAUUUCAUCAGGUAAUUCUUCAAUGGAUAAGCACCACGUAAGAACAAGAAUCUUAAGUCUCUGCAGCUUUCUCAACCAAAUGAGGUCCUUGCAUCCACACCUGAUCAACACCAACGAUUGAAGUUUCGUUGAGAGUUCAAGUGAUUGCAAUGACAAACACCCUCCCUUCAGAGACAAAACUUCAAUUUCUUUCAUCCCUUCGAAAAACUUCUCUGGAACAUUCAUACCAUCAUCCAGUUCUAAUAAUAGAACUUUGAGCUGUGGGCAUACCAAUCCUUCAGGAAGUUUUGCUAGUUUAUUGCCCAUUAACGAAAUUGUUGUACAACCUUCAAAGCUUUUAUUGCUCAUUGGCCACUCCUUCAACCCAAUGCCAACCUUUACCAUGAAUCCAUAUUCUUCUGAUGAUGCUAUCUGAAUAGCAACAUCACGAACCAAGUCAUGCAUUCUCACAUGUUCUUCAGUUUCAGUGCCCAGCAACAAACAACAAGCUUUGAGGUAUUCGAUUGCCACAUGAACUUGUUCCCUUGCAUCUUCAAUGGGCUCCCCAUCUUGAUGUAGCCCAUAGCCAACUGCAUAUCUCGUCAAGUCCUCGAUUGGAAUGUUGUAAUCUUCUGGAAAUAAACAGCAUAGCAAGAAACAUAACUUGGUUUCCUUGGACUUCAAAUAAUCGUAGCUCAACUUAAGACAUGCAUAUGCAUUUUUUUCUUCAAUUUGUUCCAUGUCCACAAAUUGAGAGUUUUUGAGCUGUUUAGACACUCUUUUCCACUGGUUUUCAGAUUUAUCUCUUAGAGCCCUUCCCAAUGUCACAAGUGCUAUAGGCAAGCCUUUGCAUUCUCUCGCAACCUUCCUUGCCACUGUGUUCAAGGUAGAGUCCCCAUCACGUAAACCUGCAUUGAUUCUGAAUAAAGCCAAUGCUUCAUCUUCAGAUAAGACUCCUAAAAACACUUUUUGCUGGCACUCCAUAGUAGAACAAAUGUGUUCAAGACGUGUUGUUAGAAGAAUUUUACAACCCCUGUGAUCAUCACCAAAUGGGAUCCCUAUCUCUUUCAAGUCAAUAUGUUUCCAAACAUCAUCCAGGAUUAUAAGCAUCUUCUUUCCCUGCAGUCUCUGCCAUAAUUCACUUGCUCUACCUUCUUUACCCGUUUUUUCAAAUUUCAGAUGUAAACUAUCUGCCAUUCGAUCCUGGAUGCCUAUGACAUUUGGAUUCUGGGACACCGUAGCCAUAAAAACUUCAGGAAAAAGCUGCGACUCUUUGGCUCUCCUGCCUACUUCUUUCACCAGGGUGGUUUUACCCACCCCUCCCAUGCCGUACAGUCCGAUCAUAUUGACGUUGUCAUCUUUGAGAGCUUUCAUAAUCUGUUCCAAAGCUUCUUUUGAAGCUUCUGAGGGCGUGAAAUCCUUUGAUGGAAGAAAUUCUAUGGGCUGAGGAGGAGCUUUGUCGGCCACUUUUGUAAACUUUGUUUCUAAAAGUUUUCUGAAAGUCUCCGACUUCUUGGCCAGUGCCUUGCUUAACUUGAAUUGUCGCAUGCAGUUUGGACACCAAGUGAAGCAUUUGCCAUUUUUUCCUAUUUCAUUUUCCAAGGGCUUCGCACCUUCAAUUUCGUUGUUUGCAUCUUCCAGCCACUUUUUGACAUCUUUGUAAAUUUCUUCAGCAUUCCUUUCAGCAGCUUUGACAUCAUCUUGCAGACGUUCUUUUGCCGAAUCCAGGUUCUCCUUUCGUUCAUUGAAUUCUUCAACAAAAUGGUUGAAACAGAACAUGUAACGGAACUGCCUUCCUACUGGUUCCACCAACAUGUAACGGAACUGCCUUCCUACUGGUUCCACCAUGAGUUCUGCUAUCUUAGAUAGAAUGGCACUUUCGAGAGCCAUUUUCCACAGGUCUGAAAAUCUAAGAAAUAAGGAUACAGAACGUGAGAGUGAGUCACUUCAAGUAAAACAGGCGCAGAGAGAGUGGGAAUAGGAAUCCAUUACCUUAAUUUGGGAAAAUAUGUGCGCAAAAGCACUGGUACUGAUAGCUCAAUGAAAUAGCGGAAGGAAGAAAAGGAGAAGGCCUUUAGCUCUGUAUGGAAUCCAGCUUCAAAAGCAACAAGGCAAGGUAUAAGUUUAACAAUAAAAUAGUUUACAUGGAUUCUAACUGACUCUUGUGAGUUAAAGCAGUAGUUCCCAUUAAAAAUGCAUUUUGAUGACAUAAUUAAGAUCAUAUAGAGACAGUGACAAACAAAUAAAAAAAUAAUAAUGUGUAAAAGUACUCACCUAGCAAAUAUAAUUGACCUAAGCUCACUUAGACGUCUCCAUGGAUGAUACCAGCUCGCUUCCAACAACAAAUAUAAUUGACCUAAGCUGUGAUAGGUCAAAUUUUUUUUAGUUUUUUUUUUAAAAAAAAAAAACAGAUCAACAAGAGAAAAGACUUACAAAGAAGUAGAAUUACUGAAAGAAACUCAUCAAAGAAUCAAACUCAAGCAAUUAAAAAUAAUUGUCUACGAUGACCAUCUCUGUAUUACACAUUCAGGUAAUAUGAUUGACCUAUAACAAUAUUAAAAAAAAAAUAAAGCUAAAAGAAUUACGUUUUUGAUAGCAUCCAGAGUGCGGUUACUUUUUUAAUCCCUCUUUUGUGGUUUUAUUUUAUUUCAGUCCUUCAAGUCUUUUUCUUUUGCUAUUUCAUCGAGUUUCUUUCUCUUGAGUUGUUGUGCUUGCCCUCGAAUAUGCAUUAUGCUAGGAAUUACAAUUACAUUACAUAAAAAAUUAUAAUUACAUAUUACAAUUACAAAUUUUAAAAAAUAAUUAUGAGAAAGGACCAAUGUUACAAUGUGAACAAAUGAAAGGAGAAUUUUAAAUUUUCUUGUGACAUGGUGACCAGGUAAUUCAAGGAACCAAUAGAUUAUCGCCACAUGUUCAACCAUAUCUCCACAUGUUCAACCUUAUAUUGUAUUGUGACAUGGAGAUAAAGGUCAUCUAAAAAGCUAAUAGAUGGUCGCCCCGUGUUCAACUUUAUCUACCCAUUAGGAAAGGAUAGAAAGUGGGAGAGAGAAAGGUUAAAAAGGCUUAAAAAAGAAAAAGGAAAAGGAGAGACAGAAAUAAAAGAAAGGCUGAGAAAAAGGAAAGGACGUGGAAAUAGAAGGAGAGAUUGAGGGAGGCAGAAAUGGAAAGGGACAUAGAAAGAUCGGAGGAGAGUAAGAAAAAAAUAUGAAUAUGUGAUGUCCUAUUUCUGAUAAAAAUACUCUGUUUUUUUUUAUUUAAAUGGGAUUUUUUUAUCUUUUAUUUGGAAUUUCUUUGGACACUUAAAUAAUAUAAUAACAAAAAAAAAUUAAAAUAUUGAUGAAAUUAAAACCAAUAGUAUUUUUUUCUAUAUUUUAAGUUUUAGUUUUUAAUAGCCUCGUUUGAUUUUUAUUUUUAUUUUCAUGCUCUUAUAAAUAAUGCAGGAAAUGAGGACCUGAAAUCACAACAGCGAAUAAAAAGAGAAAUAACGUGUUUGUUAUUAAGUAUUAAAAAAAAAUAUUUUAUUUUAUUUUUAUUUUAAAUUAAUUUUUAAAAAACUAGCUUGAAAAUUAGUACGAAAAAUAGUGAUAAUAGAGUAGAUGUCCAAAUCAAAACAUAUAAAUAGAGUAUUUUAUAAAUAUUUUGGAUAAAAAAUAGGUUAAAAACAAGUUUUUAAAUAAAAAAUCAAGCUUUAUUAUUUUAUAUAAUUCAAAUAAAAUCAAUAUAUUUAGUUGUUCAAAAUUAUAACUCAAGUUCUGUCAUGUCUUUUUAGAAGGAAAAAAAAAAACGCUUGUAACAUAGUGCAGUGCAAACAGAAGAGACAUCUGGUUUUUAUUGAGAAAAAGAAAGGAAAAAAAAUAUAUAUAUAUAUAUACUCUCUCUUCCAAUUUCCUCUCCCAGCUGAAUUUUGGCGACCGCUCACACAACGAUAGCCUACACAACCACCAGCCAUGCCACCUUUCAAGACCCCAUCUCUCAAUCUCAAAACCAGAAACAACCCUUUCUCCAUUUAACCGAACCUCAUAACUCCGAGAAAGUGAAGGACUAAACCAUAGUGGCAAAAAUCUAAAUUAUCUCUGUUACUUUUCCUCAAUUUUCUAGACAAGCACAAGGAGCUAAACUUAUUCCCGACCAAAACGUCAAGAAUUUCAGUAGAACAAAAGAAGAGAUUAUUACUUGACCAAAAAUAACUAGUUAGCACCCAAAGAAACCGAGUGAAUGAGAGAAAAAGACUAAUAGCUAGAAAACAAUCAACAGAUCCAAGAAUUUUCUGUAUGGUUUCCAAGAAAAUGAAACGAAAUGAGCAGCACAACCCUCUUUCUCCUCCAAGAAAAGAAAGAAAAAGAAAGGAAAGAAACAAAGAAAGUCAAACUUGGCUCCUCUUUUAGUGUUAAAAAAAAAAACAAAGAAGUUCGAGGAAGUGGGCAGCCUUUUUUCUGAUGUUCAUGUGGUGUUCUGCUGUUCACGCAGACUAAGAACUCCUACCAUCGUAAAAUCAUAUAAUUAAAACACAACAAUAAAAAAGUAAAAAGCAGCUAAUUAUGUGCGAAAAUCAGAGAAAUAAGGAUACAGAACGUGAGAGUGAGUCAUUGCAAGUAAAAGAGGCGCAGAGAGAAUGGGAAUAGGAAUUUCAUUACCUUAAAUUGAGAAAAUAUGUGCGAAAAGCACUGGUACUGAUUGCUCAAUGAAAUGGAGAAGGCCUUUAGCUCUGUAUGGAAUCCAGCUUCAAAAGCAACAACGCAAGGUAUAAGAAUUUUGAUGACAUACUUAAGAUACUAUGCGUAGUAAUAUAGAGACAGUGACAAAGAAAUAAAGAAAAAUAAUGUGUAAAAGAACUCACCUAGCAAAGAAAGAAACGAAUGAAAGGUUCAGGAUAAUCACUUAGACGCCUCCAUGGAUGAUACCAGCUCGCUUCCAACAACAAAUAUAAUUAACCUAAGCUAUGAUCGGUCAAUGUUUUUUUUAGUUUUCUUCUUUUAAAAAAAAAAAAAGAUCAUCAAGGGAAAAGACUUGCAAAGAAGUAGAAUUAAUGGAACGAACACAACAAAGGAUCAAACUCAAGCAAUUAAAAGUAAUUGUCUGUGUCACACACUCAAGUGAGGAGAGAAAAGAAGGAGAAAGAAAGGAAAGGGACAAGGAAGGCAGAAAGUAAGGUCACGUAGGGCCAGUCUUGUAGAAAGUUUGAAAAGUAGCAUGAAAGAAGAGGAUAAUAGUGUAGUUGUCAGAAUCAAAACACGUAUAAACAGAGGACAAAAACAGGAAGGGAGGCUGUUUGUUUUUUUAACUGUGUCUGAGUGCUUUUUAUAAUUAUAUUUAAUUUAAAAAAUAUUAAAUUAAUAUAUUUUUUAAUAUUUCUUGUUAUAUAUAUAUAUAUAUAUAUUUAAUAUUUAAUAAAUUUUUAAAUAAAAAAUAUUUUUAAAAGUAUGUGUCACAAUACAAAAUUAUAGUAUAAAUUAAAAGAAAAAGGAGUUUUAUGCUCAUUACUAUUUACUGGACUUGUAGAUAUUAAUAAUAAAGUUUUUGAAAGUUUUCGAUCUAGUAUUUGAACUUAUUUUUUUUUGCAUAAUUGAAUUUUUUUAAGCUUAAUUGCAUAUUUGUUUUUUAAGGAAAUAGGUUGAAUUGAGAAACAGACAAACUCGGCAAAAAUAUGUGGUUAAAAUCAAUCCAUUUUUUUUAAAAAAAACUACUUGGUUGUUAAGGAAAGAUUGGUAGUGUGAACAAAUCACCAAAGUCAGCAGCAAGGAAGUUCUAGGAAGUGGGCAGCCUUUCUUCUACUGUUCAUGUGGUGUUCUGCUGUUCAUUGGACAGUGCAAUUAACGUGAACAGUGCAAAAAAAGCGAGGAAUUCUUGCUUUGCAAAUACUGCAUUUCCAACGCAGAAAAAAGAUGGGACCCAGUGAACAGUAUACCACAUUUUUAUUUAACCAAGCGGCCCAAACGGGCUCUAAGAACUCCUACCAUUGUAAAAUCAUAUAUUUAAAAUACAAUAAUAAAAAUGUAAUACGCAGCUAAUUAAUGUAUUAAGCAGCUAAUUAAUGUUGUUGUUCUUUCUUCUUGUUUUGCUAUUUUGAUUUUAUUGCAUGUUUCAAAAAAAGUAUGAUUGUGAAAGCUAGCCAAACCAUUAGAUCAAAGUAAUCUAAGAUGGUUUUUGAGAGUGUAGUUGUCGUUAUUUUUCACUCGGAAAUACAUCAAAAUAAUAUAUUUUUUAUUUUUUAAAAAUUAUUUUUGAUAUUAGCGUAUCAAAAUUAUUUGAAAACACCAAAGAAAUAUUAGUUUGAAGUAAAAAAAAAUAAAAAAAAUUUCAAAAGUGCUUUUGAAACGUAAAAACAAACAGAGUCUAGUGUAGUUGCGUCCAACGUUGUCCCGAGGUACUUUUUAUAAUCUAAAUUUUUUAAUAUAUUUUUUUAUUUAAUUAUGCAAUAUAUUCAUAGAAAACACUCAAAAUAAAAUUAUUGACAAAAAAAUAUAUAUUUCUUAAAAAUAUUUUUUUAUUGAAAACAUAAUUUUUUAAUUCAUGCAUUUUUUUAUUUAAAAAAAAUGUAUUUUUUAUGAGUAACAUUAUUUUGCUCAAAUGUCCCUAAUACAUAAUUAUUUAUAAAGUAAUGAAAAUAUCAUAAUAAAAAUUCCUAAUCUUCUUGAAAACAAUUAAAUAAUUGAACAAUUACUUAAAUAUUUUUUUAAUAAAUUGAUUGAAAGAAAUUUUUUAUUAAAAAUAAAGAAUAAAGAAUAACAUGAUAUCUAAGAUAAAGGUCAUACAAGCCUUCAAAGAUAAUAUAUGUAUGUGUAUAAUACAAAUUAAUAAAUUAUAAGUAGCAAUAUUUAAUGCAAGUUUAAGAAUAAGAGUUUGCUUUGUGUUUUGUUGUGAGAUUAACCAUAUCAAAUUAUAUAUUUAAUAAUAAAUAAUUGUGUUGUGUUAUGAGUAAAAUCAAUAAAUUAUUUGGUGUUAUGCUGUCUUGUUGUUUGAAUUAAAAUUAUUAUUAAGAAUAUAAAUUAAAUUAAAUUAAAUAUUGAAAAAACUAAAUGAAUUGCUUAAUAAAUAAAUAAAUAAAUUCUUUCUUUAGAAAGCAUGGAAAUGCCAUGACAUUGGCUUUUUAGAGAAUACUACGAUAUUAAUAGCCAAAAAAGUUAUCGAUAGCUGUGUAAAUCAUUGAAAUUGCCACAAAAGCAACCCAAAUUAUUUAUGAAUUGGAUUCGAUGGAAGGAAGAUGGGAAGGGGGAAAUUAAAGAGACAUGAAGAUCUGUGCAUGGCUACCUGUUUUGAGAAUUAUAGAUUUUUAUCCCUAACUCAAAACGGCACCAAUUAUAAGUUCAUUCAAAAAAAUCUGGAACACAAAAGAUGGAAAAAACUCGAAACAACUCGUCUAGAAUUUAGGCAAGAAGAAUGAGCCAAGAUUUUAAGUGAAAUGAAAUUUGUUUUACUUUGUUCUGUUUUUUAAAAUGAUAUAAGACAUACUACCUAUUUAAGGUGAAACAAAUGGAAUCGACAACCUUUAAAGAGAGUAGAGGCCACAUAUGUGUCACUCGUAUUCAAUAGCCUUUCUCCCAUACUGACAUGUGUUUUACACGCACCAACAUUUCUUUCUCUUUUAUUCUAUAAUAUUCAAUAUCGGUGAGUGAGGAUUUGGUAGUUGGCCUUAUUAGUAGUGUUGGUUGUUGACUUGUCAAACACGUUUUGGGCCCAUGCGUGGUCACCAAGAACAAAUUCGUGAGGGCGAUAAGGCCCAGAAAGAUAAUAUCUAGUAGGUUCAGUCAGGCUAUGACAUAUUCGAUAAUAACUCUUCAAUUAAGUCCUAAAUCUCAUUUUAUCUUUUCAAUUUAAUCCCUAAUUUGACACCAACUCUUCAAUUAGACCCCAAAGCUCAUCUCACAUGAGGAAAGCCCUCUUUUUUCAAUUUAGCCCCUUAUUAUCUUCAAUUUAAUAUCAAAUUUUAUUCGAUCCAGGCCCAAAAAAGGCUAAGCGAAGAUAGAAUAAAGGAAGGGAAAGAAGAUGAAUAAUUGCCCAACUGAGUUAACGUGUUCUGGUCUUUUCUCUAUGAUUCGGGUUGAACAUUUGACAUUUAUCCUUUUUUUCCUAUAGUCUUUUCUCCAUAUUCGUUGUGACGCCGCACACGUGCGACAACCAGUAAAUCUAUAGUUAAUUUCAUUUUUUGAUAAAAGAUAAUACCAUCGGUAUAGAAUGGUUACCAACUGUUAGUUUAAUAUGCCUUGUAGCCAAUCGGUUAGUUAUACAAGGUAUUAUUAUAUUCAUGUAAAUACAUAUUUAUUAUUAAUAAAGCCUUAAUUUAACUUUAAUAUUCAUAUAAUAUUAGAUUAAUGAAUCUAGAGUGUAGAUAAAGUUUAUGAGACAAAAAUGCUUUGCAAAGGAAAUUAUAAAGUUGUUAUAAUUAUGAGAUUUUUAAUGCGUCAAAAUAUUGUUAAUAAAAUGUUCUUGGUUGAUGCUCUCUUAAAUACUGGAUAUUUAUUAGAGCCAUAAAGACUGAUACAUAUUAUGUUUUUUCCUUUAUGAAAUGAAGCAACUGUUCUCAUAAGUUGAGCUAUAAGGGAUAUCUAAAACUAAUAUGUAUGUGCUUGUCAUAAGACAUGUGCACUGAAUUGACCCGCAUGAGAAUUCCAUAUGGAGAGAUUACCUAUGUCUAUGGAAAGACUCACGUGACGGUUGUAUAUGUAAUCCUCGGACUUGAGAUCACUAAGUUAUCUUAUAUAGAGAAUGUUAUGCUUUGAUCAUGUUACAUGUUAUCUUAAUUGAGGUAACAAAAUGAUAGACAUUGGGUAUAUCAUGAACUAUAUGAAGGUAUUUGAGUGAUUAAGAGAGGAUUUCAUCAUCCUGUGUGAAUUAGAAAAAAUGUUCAAUCUGUUCUCAAAUAGUAUUGACUGAGAAAUCCUUGACCAAUGUGGAAUGAUAUUUAAAAAGGGUUUGAAAUCUUAUUCAAAUGAUCAAUUAGUAUUAUUUAGAGAAUGAACAUAAUUUAACAUGACAAAUAUGCUUCAUGCUUUAAUGUUAAAUAAGAACAUUAGUGAUAAAAUGGUAUUAAUUACAAUGAGAAACCGGUAAUUUAAACCACUAAUAACUUUUCUAAUAUUUAGGGUAUCAUGACACGUUACUAGACAAUACACAUGAUCUUCAAAUCUUCAAUUGUAAUUUAUUUAAUUAUAAUUAUAAUUUAUAUUUGGGCCAAUAUAUUAAAUUGUGAUGAUUUAAUUAAGUAUAACUUGAUUAAAAUAUAUUUUAGAAAUUAAGGACUACAAUAUAAGUAAUACAAGGAUUAUAUUUCCAGAUCUAGAAAAAUCAGGUAAGGACUAGUGGUUCAUGUGGAUUACCGUUGAAGGACGAACAAUUGGACGACUUCUAGUUUGCAACAACUCAGUCUUUAAAAAAUUAUUCAAAACCGAAAAUGAUCAAAUUUUCAGGUAAUAAAUCCCUAAACAACUCUAGAUCUGUUUAACGAGAUUCUAGAAACUCCUGAAUAAUUUUAUUUUAUUACUUCAGCUGCAUAUUUGUUAUUCGACAAACCCAACACCAACUUCAUUGUUGGUUUAACAUUUCUUUUACAUGUUGGGAAUUUGGUACUAAUGGAUGUAUUUUCUUAAGUUGAAAUAAUGCCACACAAGAAAGGUUAAAAAGGCUCUUAAAAAGAAAAGAAAAGGAAAGACACGGUUGAGAUAAGAGGACAAAGGAAGAAAGUGAAUGGGACAACGGAAGAAAGUAAGGUAUUGUAGAGAAGAGGAGAUGAAAGUUAGUAUGAGAAAGAGGAUGAUAGAUAGAGUGGUUGUCCAAAUCAUAGUGGUUUUUAUAAUUAUAUUUAAUUUAUACAAAUAUUAAAUUAAUAUAUUCUUAGUAUUUUAUAUGAUUUAAUUUUUUUUUUGAUGAUUUAAAAAAUAUGUGUAUAAAAAAUUAUUUUAAUAUAUUUUAAAAUUAAAAGAAAAUGAGGUUUUAUGUUCAUUACCAUUUAAUUGUGGACAACAAUAGUGUAUUUUUUGAAAAUUUUCAAUUUUAUACUUAAAUUUUUUUUCAUAAUUGAUCCUUUUUAAUUAAAAUUAGAGUCGAAUUACAUAUUGUUUUAAGGAUGAGAGUUGAAUUAAAAGACAGGGGACUAAAGUUAAAAACUCAGCUAAAAUAGAUGGCAACUCUAUAAUUUGUUUGCAAAGUUCAUUUUAGUUCCCUGUUUUUUUAAGCUAUUAAAUAAUAAGUCCCUAUAAUUUUCCAGCAUUGCAUUUUGAAUUUUUUUUAUUAAUACUUUUUUAUAUAUAUUUUUGAAAAUAAUUUUAAAAAUGAUGUUUUUAUUAAUACCCUUUUUCUAUGAUUUUUUUUGGCCUUAUGUAGUCUUUCUUCAAUUAUUUUUAAUUUUGUUGCUUGUGUUUAAUUUUUUAAGAGGUUAGUAAUAUUUAUCUGUAAAUAUUUUUUAUAUAUUUCAGAUAGAUUAAGUAUCUAAUUUUUAUAAUAAUUUGAAUAUGUGUAGCCUUGCAUAGUUUUUUUUUUCCUUUUAUGAUAUUAAAAAAAAAUUAUGUGUGUGUUGAUUUCUAUUAUAGAUUGAUUUUAGUAAACAAAUUCAUUAAAUAUAACCAGAUAAAUGAUCCAUGUUGCAAUAUUAAAUAUUUUAUCUAUAUUUGUUUCUUAAUUUUUCCACUUGUAUUUUUAAUUAUCGGUAAUGACUUUAUUUUUUUCAUUUAUUUACAUAAUUGUUUGUGAUUUAUUUAAUUUGAUGCGUGUAUAAAUUUUUUGAUUUACAUUUAAAAAAAAUUUAAUAUAAAAAAACAUGUUGAGAAAUUCUUAUUCUUAUGAUUUUAGUUUGAUCCUUAUUCUUAUGAUUUCUUAUUUUCUUUCUAACCCUUUUAUAAAACAAAAAAUUGUUUGUAAUUUUAUCCUUCAUUUCAACAUAAUGAUGUAUUUUUUUCCUUAUAUAUAUUCUUGUUUGUUAUUAUUGCUUUUUUUCUUUAUAUAAUUCAUAUAAAACCAGCUUAUUUAAUCGGUCAAGACUAAAUAAAUAAAUAAAAAGAUAUACUCUGUCUUCCCAUUUCCUCUCCCUGGUGAAUUUUGGCGACCACCCACACAAUGAUAGCCUAAACAACCACCAGCCAUGCCACUUUUCAAGACCCCAUCUCUCAAUCUCAAAACCAGAAACAACCCUUUCUCAUAAUUCCGGGAAAGUGAAGAACUAAACCAUAGUGGCAAAAAUCUUAAAGGGUCUAAAUUAUCUCUGUUACUUUCCCUCAAUUUUCUAGACAAGCAAAAGGAGCUAAACUUAUUCCCGACCAAAACGCCAAGAAUUUCAGUAGAACAAAAGAAGAGAUUGUUACUUGACCAUAAACAAUUAGUCCGCACCCAAACAAACUGAGUGAAUGAGAGAAAAAGACUAAUAGCUAGAAAACAAUCAACAGAUCCAAGAAUUUUCUGUAUGGUUUCCAAGAAAAUGAAACGAAACGAGCAGCACAACCCUCUUUCUCCUCCAAGAAAAGAAAGAAGAAGAAAAAGAAAAAGAAAAAGAAAGGAAAGAAACAAAGAAGUUCGAGGAAAGAAAAAGUAAGGAAGAUGAAACCAUAAACCUGCAAGUCCUACAAAUCAUAAACAUUGACUUUGAUUUUUCCUUUAUAAAACCAUAAACCUGCAAGUCCUACAAAUCAACAUGAAGACUUAUCAGAUCCUAAUGAAAAGCUGUCAAAAUCCUAUCAGAAAUUAAGGAAGAUGACGUUACGUUAACUUCAAAUCUGAGGAUUAAUUGUAGCAGAUCUUAUAGGGUUCAGCUGAUUGCUUUACUUGUUUAAAUAAUUCUCUUGUAAGCCUAAUGGUUCACGUCUUCCAUCAUUGCAACCUUUUUUUCUGUGAUUGAAAAAUCUAUAAUAGGAACCUGCACUGCAUCCCUUCUAUGCUGUUGUUCUUUCUUCUUGUUUUGCUAUUUUGAUUUUAUCAUAUUUUCUAUGAUGAAAGUUGAAGAAAUUCUACUUCGAAACUCAAGACAAAGUCUCUCGGACUGCAUAUUAGUGGGUUGCUCAUUGGGAUUUCUAUAAACAACUGAUUCUAUUGCAAAGCAACAUUACGAAAAACUGAAUAUUUCACACAUUGUCAAUUCCUUAACAUUUUCCAAACAAAUCCAUGCUCCUCAUUUUAUACUGUCUUGAGGGUUUCUAUUCUCUUAUUACCAAUUUCAGUAAGUUUCAUAAUAAGCUGCUUAGAAAGAAGCUAUCUAACAGGAGGGUGGGGCUACUCUUAGCCAAUGAAAACAGCUUCACAUGCUAUACAGCAACGUGAAAAAAAGAUUCUCAGCCUGUUCUCUCUUUAAUUGAACCAGUUAUUUUUCUCAAAAAUAAAAAAAGUAAACCGUUUUCUAAAAAUCUAAUUUAUAAUAAAACAAAUAAUAAGACUUGAUAAUAAUUCACUAAAUAACCAUUAAUUAUUCAUCAAACCAAUAUGAAAAAUCUAAUAUUAAAGCUAGGGACCAAUCUGGAAUUUUAUUAUAUUUUUAGGGGUCAAAUUAUAAUUUUAUUAAAUUGGAGGACCAAACUAAAAAUAUCAUAAAUUCAUGACUAUACUGGAAUUCUGCUCAUAAUUCACCCUCAAUUCUGCUCAGAAUCUCAAAUUAUGCUCCAAGGAUCACUCUAGAAUUUUAUCAAAUUUCUAGGGUCAAAUUGUAAUUUCAUCAAAUUGGAGGACCAAAGUGAAAAUAUCAUAAAUUCAUAACUAUACUGGAAUUCUGCCCAUAAUUUAACUUUAAUUCUGUCCAGAAUCUCGGAUUAUGCUCCAGGGACCAAUCUCUAAUUUUUCCAAAGUUCAGGGACUAAACUGUAAUUUUCAUAAAUUGAGAGACCAAGCUGAAAUUUUAUAAUCUUCAACCUCAAACCCAGAAUUUACACAGAUAACCUACUGAUAUAUCAAGAUUUCUAACUUAAAUUCACCAUAACUUAAAAUAAUUAUUUUUACCUAAAAUCUUUCAAAAUCAACUAAAUAACUCAUUACCCAUAACAAUCUACUCAUAAUUUUUCUGUAAUGUAAUUGUAAUUCCUAGCAUAAUGCAUAUUCAAGGGCAAGCACAAAAACUCAAGAGCAAAGAAACUCGAUGAAAUAGUAAAAGAAAAAGACUUGAAGGAUUGAAAUAAAAUAAAACCAAAAAAGAGGGAUGAAAAAAGUAACCGCACUCUGGUUGCCAUAAAAAACAUAGUUCUUUUAGUAUUUUUUUUUUAAUAUUGUAAUAGGUCAAUCAUAUUACCCGAGUGUGUGAUACAGAGAUGAUCAUCAUAGAAAAUUACUUUUAAUUGCUUGAGUUUUAUCCUUAGAUGACAAACUUACCUCGUCCUCCUAAUGCUUUUGCUUUUGCUUUCAUUGUUUCGAAAGUAAAAGAGACAUAAACAUAAUCAUUUCCUUCCUUUUACUUUCCACUUCUUUGUAAUGGAUUGCGAACGGGAUGGUGCUUAGUGAGGCCAGUUUUUCUUUUCCUUUCUUUUUAAAAUCUUAUGCCUUGGGUGAGGAAAUUAGUGGGGCAUUAGACUUUUUAAAAGACAACAAAAAGAAGCAAUGUCUGAUCAUCUUUUGAUAUGGUGGUCUUCCAUGAUCAGUUUUCGAAAGAUUCGAGUCUCCGUUCUAGCUCAGGUUGGGAGCUAGGCCGAAAGCUAAGCUUCUUUUAAUUAUGAAUUGUUUAUGCAAAGGAAACCCAGAAGCUUGAACAAACAGAAAUGCCUUGUUGAUUUCUCUGCUACUACUCAUUAUUUCCAAUAUUAUUCCAUUAUCUUACCCGAAAGCAAUUAUACAAGAAAUUUCAUUAUCCUGCCCCAGAAGGCAAUUUAUUACAAGGACUUCCUUUAACCUCCUUGAAGGCAAUUUAUUUGAUGAAAAUUCCUUUAAUCCACCUCAAAGACAAUUUAUCUUAGGGAAUUCCAACGACCCAGGAAAUUUAUUUCCUGGAAAUUCCUUUAACCCGCCCUAAUUAAGUCAUUUUAUCCAAGGGAAUUCCAAAAUCAAUUUAUUUCUUGGACUCAGUAUUCUUUGAUACUAGUUAUUUAUAUAUAAUUUAACAUCACUUAAUCAUCUUGCAUUUAAGAAGAAAUUCAAAAGUAAGGAUAUAACCCUUACCUAGAGCUCCUGUGGUUCUUGUUCCCGAGAGAAUUGGCUCCAUUCCUGACAAAUCUAUUACCAAAAACCCAAGUUUCAACCAAUCAAUAACAUCAACACCCAUUUUAAUUCAAUGCAAUAAGUUUUUCUUAACCAAUUUACUUGAUGCAAGUUCUUAUAAUCAAAGUGACAGUACUAUUCAGGAUGAAGACAAGCAGAAGGGCGUGUAUUAAUUUUAUUUUUUAAUGUUCAGCUUUUUUUAUUGAAUUUUAUUUGUCAAUAUUGAAUUAAUUAUAAAUUAAUUUUUAUAUUUUUUUUUAUCAUAUAUAAAAAAACAAAGUAAUCUCAUCUUUUGAUACGGUGGUCCAAGAUGCACCAUGACAUGGUUGUACGUAGUUUUUUUUUGCCUGUUUCUUUUAAAAAUGUUAUGUCAUUUAAUUUAUAAUUAUAAAUUAAUUUUUUUUAUUGGUCAUUUUAAUUUUUUUUACUUUUUUUAUAUAUAAUUUUUUAAUUUUAUAUUUUAAUGUUGAGUUUUUUUAUUAAAUUUUAUUUGGCUAUAAACCAGAACUUUUUAUUUUUUAUUUUUUGGACAAGUAGAGAGAAAUUAAAUAAACAAAGUAGUCUCAUCUUUUGAUAUAGUUGUAGUUUUUUAUUAUUUGAUUUUUGCCUUUUUCUUUUAAAAAUGUUAUCUCCUUGGUAAGGAAUCCUUGGUUCCCAACGGCAACUGUAGCAACGUAAAAACAAAUCUCUAAACUCCACCGAAAGUAGUAGAGCAUUAGUUUUUUAAAUUGACAAAACGGGGACAAAGUGGGAGCGAAGAAAAAGACAAUAGUGCAUGUUUAAAACAUGCGAUACACCGUAUAUAUGACAAUAAUAAAACCACCGUUUAAAACAACUCUGAAAACAAAUUUUUUUUUAUAAUUCAUAAUUUAUUAAACAUGCGAUAAAAUAAGUCAUAGUGCAUGUUUUCAUUUGGCAUUUAAUUCCAUGAACAUGAUUUUUUUAGAUUAAUAUGAAUAUCCGGAUUAGCUUGUGUACCUCAACUAAUCCCAUGAAUCCUAAAAUUAACGAUAAUAUAAGUAUCUAGUGGCCCUGAAGUUUGUGAAAUUUGAACUUAUAAUUUUUAGAGAGCAAAUUCAGGAUCUGAUCAAUUGAGCUACUUUCCUCAUAUUUUCAUUAAAUCUUACUUUUCGAUCAAAUUAAUGUGACCAUAAUAUACUUGUAAUCAGACCAUUAAUUGACUGUUCUUGACUAGCUAUUGUUUCUCAUUGGCAAGAGUCAUUGCCAAUUAUCAUAACAUGUUAGUGAUCUAUUACAACUAGUUCUAGCAUCUACAGAGUUCUUAUUUAACCAUUAAAUCAAUUUAUAAAACAUUAUUGACUAGCUAUCUAACACUAACAACUAAUCACUGAUAAUAUUUAUGCAAAACUUGUAGCUUCAUACAAAUCACAGUUGCUCCUCGUUUGAUACUUUCUUGAAGGUUUCUUUUCUCUUAUUACCAAUUUCUGUGAGUUUGUGAUUUUUUAUCUGUACCGUAUCAUCCGAACAAUUACUAGAACCACACAACUAAUAUGUAAAUUCACAAAUUCCCUACAGUUCAUAUUGCCAACAAACUCCUCUUGCCAUUCCCUAAUUGCAUUGAGCCAACUAAUCUGGAUGAAAGAAAGGACUUCGACCUUGCUAAUCUGGAUGAAAGAAAGAAAGGAACCUUAAAGCAGACCCAACUUUGUAGCUCAUUACCAGUUACGUAAAAGUUAUCAAUAGCUGUGUGAAUCAUUGAAACUGCCACAAAAGCAACCCAAAUUAGUUAUGAAUUGGAUUCGAUAAAGGAAAGAGGGGAAGGGGGAAAAGACAGAUGAAGAUCUGCGCAGGGUUACCUGUUUUGAGAAUUAUGGAUUUUUAUCCCUGUCUAACGUGACAAAACCUUCUCUUAGACUUAGACCUGUUUCAUUGGUCCAUAAAUGCAUUUGCUAGACUAUCAACAUAAUUUAUCUUGGGCAAAUCUUCAUCUAGUUAUGGUAGACUCACACCUGACUGCUUAUAAUCACUAAUUAUUAUAGAAUUGACUACAUCAAAAUUGGUCGGUUUUUUUGUUUUCAAAGAGAUUUAAACUUGAUGCAGACGAAAGCUAUAAACACAAUAAUUAAAGAACACCAAAAAAUAUAUGAGCAAAAGAGACUGUAGAUGUGAACCCUCAAAUUCCCAAGUUUAUUUUCUCUAAAAUAAUAAUAAUAAAAUUUUUCUUCUCAGGAGGUUUACAAAGCCUUAAAUAUGUUAGGAACCUUACCUCAACUAGGAAACAAAAACAGAAACCAAAAUUACAAAGGAAAGAAAUAUAAAAUCCAAAACAAGCAAGAAAUGAAAAAAUAACAAGGAAAAUCACAAAACUGUCAAAACUAGAGGCCUAAACAAGAUUUUUUAUAUUUAAAGAUUCGAUGGUUCACGUGAAAAUUUGAGCAUGAUCAAAUAAUCAAAUAAAAAAUUAUAACUUUUUGAGUUUUUAUUCUGGUCUGACGCGACCAAACUUCUUCUUGAUCCUAAACUUGUUUUAUUGGUCCAUAAAUACAUCUCCAUGACCUCUUUUUUUUUGUUUCACUAUAGAUGAAGUUUGACCAUCAUCAUAUAUGGUUUGACUUAGCCGUAUCGGUUUUCAAUUAGAUCAACUUCAUAUAUUAUGGGUUUACAUUUACUAUUUUUUAAAAAAAUGCUCACAAGUCCAUUUUUCACACCUCAAACUCGUAACUGCAGCGAUUCGUAGGCAACGAAACUAGUUAGAGACUAGAGAGUAAACAUGCUACUAAAGUUUGCAGGUGAGGGUUUAGAUUAGAUUAUUUGUUGUCUUGUUUCAAAUAUUAUAUCAGUCUCAACUCAUUAAAUAAACAAGUGGUGCAUUGAUCCUUGGACUCAAAUCAUAUAUACACGGUGAGCUCAUUUGUGUUUUUAUUUUUUGUCCCUCCCUGUACUUGUAGCAGAAGAGAAGCUGCUCUCAUCUUUGAAGGAAUGCAAACAAUUGUUAAUAUGAAACAUAUUAUGUACAAAUUAUAAUAUUUGUAAGAAGCCGUUUUGCUGCCCACCGGCGGCCAUCUGAUCAGAGAACAAUAUUAUAUUUUUUAAACCCUUCACUCUCAUAAAAACAAUUUAUAUGAUUUUAAAUAGGAAAACAUAGAAAAAAAUAUGAUUAAAUAUUUUUAGAGAUUACAUAUUAUUGUUUUAGUUUUUUUUCUUGAUUAGAGAUAGGUUGAAUAAAAGUAGUAAUAAUUUAUUUUUGUGAAAAAGGGUUACUACAACUCCUGAUAAUUAGUUUCAUGUAAAAAAUAAAAAUAAAAAUAGUAACUAAAAUUUAUUUUAGUUAUGUUAAUAAAAUUUUAAUUAUAUUUUAAUUGAAUUAAGUAUUUCAACACAAAAUUUUUGUUCUUAUACAGUUAUAUAUUAAUUCUAACAAAAAAUAUGGUUUCUAUGUUUAAAUUUUGGUAUUAAUAACGCAUAUAACAAUGAGGCAGUUAAGUUUCUUCGACAAAAUAAAAUCAUUUAAAAAAUAAAAAUAAGCUAGUAUGUUUGUUACAUAACUAAAAAAAAAUCGAUUUUUUUUUAAAUUAAUUUUUUUAAAAUCAUUUUAGUAGACUGAUAUUAAAAAUAAAUUUUAAAAAAUAAAAAAUAUAUUAUUUUGAUAUAUUUUAAAAAAAACAUUAUGAAAAGAAAUUGUUAAUAUUUGUUAAAACAUUAUUGUUAAUAUUUCUGGUCGUUUACUAAAUAUAUAAUGACAUGUGAUUGGAAUAACGUAUGUGAACUUGUACAAAACUUAAUAAAUGAGAAAACUAAGGUAGCCGGUCACGUGGGCUUAAUGGACCUCAAUACAAGUUUUUGAUAUUUACUUUCACGUGUGUUUUAUGAGAAAACUAAGGUAGCCGGUUUCUGAUAAUAUGAGCUGAAUCAAUCAAGCUUAAGAAGCCAAUUUGUAUCCCAUUGCCAAUGAAACAGUUGGAAUUAAUUACUUCCCACCAAUCUAAAACAUAUUCGCAGCACCAACCUUGAAAUCAUGUAACAGCUAACCAACCUUGCCUGAUGCAAACAUGAAGAACAAAGACAAUCCAUGAUUUAAUUCAACCAUUAAAAUUUGAAGGUAAAGGAGAGGAUAAAUAAUCUUCAGCUAUAUCACCUGGUUUGGGCAAGAAAGAAUUAUUAGACUACCAAUCAUCAUCAUUCUUCCCACCCGUUAUCUCGGGUCCACUCUCUAUUAAUGCUUGAAUCUUCAGCUACUUCAGAUACCUGUAAACCAAUUCAAGCAUGGCAUGCUCAUUUUAACUUGUAAAUCUUAUUAUUGAGCCAAACAAGAAACAAACACACUAAAAGAGAGGCAAGAAAUCAAGUCAAAUCAGCAGCACCUCUGAUUGAGCACUCAUUGAACCAUCUGGUGCAGUAGCAAAUUUUGUGGUCAGCUUUGAACAUUGAUGGACCUUCAACUUCUCCAAACGAGGGAAUAAGAAAUAAUCACACCAUCCGAAACUAAAACAGACAAUACUUGAUAAUUGUUCUAGUGACAACUCCUUCAGAUUAGGAAGCACUAUCUCCUUCUCAACGUUGAUAGCUUGAUCAUCCUGCCCUGGAGACUCUGGAAUUAUUUUCCUUUCACCAUCCUCUUCUCUGAUAAUAUGCUUCAACUCACCACAAUUACUUAUCUCAAGUCUUUCUAGCUUUAGCAGACUUUGAGCGAGUGACUGAGUAAAGAUAAAUGUCAGUUUGUCGAGAGAAUUCAAAUACAGACGAGCAAGACUUUGGAAGCUGACAUUCCUGGUGGGCCCCUUCCAUAUAUAUUUGAGCUCAGGUAACCUUCUUAGAUGUAACUCUGUUAUAGAUGACAGCAGCUCCUUCUCCUCACUGCUUCCUUCAUCAGGCAGCUCACUCAAUCCAAAUACCUCUUCCAAUGAAUUGGAGCCGCAAAUUUCCACCCUCCUUAGAUUUUUCAGAGCUCGCAGCAAUUUUGCUGGAAACAGAGCGCGGACAUCCCCACAAUCGUACACUAGUACAGAUUCUAAUCUUUGUAAGAAGCCGUUUUGCUGCCCAAGGACGGCCAUCUUAUCAGAGAACAAUAUUAUAUUUUUUCACUCAUAAAAACAAUUUAUAUGAUGUAUAAAUAGGAUAAAAAAAAAUAGAAAAAACAGGAUUAAAUACUUCUUAGAGAUUACAUAUUACUGUUUCAGUAUUUUUUUUCUUAAUUAGAGAUAAGUUGAAUAACAAUUAGAUUUUUGCGAAAAAAGGUUAAUACAACUCCUAAUAAUUAGUUUCAUGUAAAAAAUAAAAAUAAAAAUAGUAACUAAUAUUUUUAUUUUAGUUAUAAAGUUAAUAAAUUUUUAAAGAUAUUUUAAUUGAAUUUAAUAUUUGAACACAAAAUAAGCUAAUAUGAUUUCUAUGAUUAAUUGUUGGUAUUAAGUUUCUUAUAUUUAAUACAACUCAAUAUAAGAUGGAGGUUUAUCUUCCUUUUCAAAUACUUCCAUUAAUUGGGGGAAGAGCCUCAAUUUCACUCAAACUUGGAAAGCAUAAAGAUUGAAAAAUCUAGGUAGGAUUUCAUUACAGUAAUUAAUUGUUCCAGUGACAGCUACCACAGAUUAGGAAGCCCAUCUCCUUCUCAACGUUGAUAGGUGAGGAAUGAUCAUCCUGCACAAAUACUCCAAAUAAUUGAGAAGCUUCACUUACUUUUAGUAUUUGGAGCUUUGGGAGACCUGAAGUCAUGGCUACUGGGAAGAGACUCUUCAACUUGUUGCAUUUUCUGACAUCAAUUUCACACAAAUUGGGAAAGCAUAAAGAUCGGAGAUGAUCUCCUAACAAUAUAUGGUCGUUUUCAUCAUCAUCCUUAAUUAGCAAUGAUUUGCUCUGAUUCCUCACAGAACAAUAUCCGUAGAAUUUUCAGUUGAACUAGACUGACAAUCAUGCUGCAUGUGAAUACAUGUGUCAAUCUCUUACACUUGACCACAUCCAAAGUAGUCAAUUUGCUCAGCACGAGACCCUUCCAUAUACACCUCAUGUCAAGCAGGGAUUCCAAGCAUAAUGUUUCCAAAUUUGUCAACCCUUGCAUCAAAAGAAAACAAGGAUACCAAUUUGUUGGAUAUAAUUCCUACGAAAUUUUGUGCACGGUGGAACUAUAUAAUUUUGGUAAAUAGAUGGAUGAAUUGUCCCCAAUACUUCAGCCAAAAACUUAUCAACAAAAGAAUAUAAGUAAACAUGGCAAUAGGGCUUCGGAAUAUGAAAUCAGAAGUUGUAGGACUGAAAGAGACAACUCAAUAUUAACAGAUGGAGGUUUAUCUUCCUCUUCAAAUACCUCUUAAGCCCUGCAUCAAGAGACAGGGAAAGAUACAGUUAGCCAACUCCUUUUUAAAUUUAGUGGAUGGCUAAUGGAUUUAUCUCCACUUAUCAAUUACUUUUGUUUUAGAAAUCUAGAGGAAGGAAUCACAGUGUAUUGAAGUUGACAAUUUAAAUUAAAAAGGAAAAAAUUAUUGGAGAAAUAUAAAGGAUGUACUUGUAGCUGUGCAGACAAAUUACCCAAUUCUUCGUGGCCAGAGAUGCAUAGAUUUUGCAAAGAAGGUAAUUGGGCAGCAAAAUUCUUCGAACCAAAAAAGCUGUAAUUUGAUCUGGAAAAAAGAUACAAUUUUCUUAGUCGAGGGAACUUGAUGAUGCCAUCUCUGGUGAGUGCAUCUCCUUCUCCAAUGUAAAAUAUUUGCUUUAAAUUGUCAGCAAAAUCAAUCUCCAUCUCUUCCAGGUUCAGAAGGCUUGGAGAAACAGAGACAGGGAAGACAUAUUCCAGUUUACCACACCGUUCUAUGAAGAUAAAUUUUAAUUCUGGGAAGCCCGGAGACUCUGGAAUUAUCUCCCUAUGUAGACACAAUUUUAUACACCUGAAAUUAAACAACUACAAGUGUAUAAAUAUAUAAUUUUAUUAAAUAUAUGAUCAGAUAUAAUUUUUAUCUAAUAUAUUUUUUCAAAAGAAUAUGAAAAUUCUUUGAUUCUUCUUUUGGAUUUGAUAUAUGAUGACUUGAUUUAUUUGAGAAAUCAAACCAAGAUUUGUGCUUUGCAAGAACACGAAUUUAGGCGUAUAUUGCAAAGCGAGAUAUGAUAAUUUGAUGCUUUGAAGAGUACCUUUAAAUCGUCUUCAAAGUAUUGUUGAAGAACUCAAAUAGGCAUUUAGACUUGAUUCAAUAUAGCUUUGUUCUUUGUAAACUUCAAGCGUAGAUGAAGGAGGCUUGAGAACUUUUGAGAAGGCUUCCUUACUUGAAGAGAGAGAGAGAGAGAGAGAGAGAGAGAGAUUCUUUGCUUGAACAGUUUGUCUUGAAAGAAAUUUGUAUUUCCCAGAAUCCUCCCCUUCUCUAGGUUGAGACCCUCUAUUUAUAGAGAUCUGUAAAGGUUCUCAGGUCCUUUUCCAAUGCCUUAUGAUAUAAUUUUAUUAGUUGAUAUUUAUUGGUGUGAUCUUGCAUUUAUGACAAGAUAUCUUGAAUAUCUUAUCUCAAGUGUCAACCUUUUAUUGGCCAAGAAAUAUAUGAAGACUCAUUUAUUUUUCAUGUUAUAUAUUUCAAUUUUAUUUAUUCUUUCUUUUAAAAUAAAAUAACACGUGGUGAAAUUUGAUUGGUAAAAAAUUUGUGUUUCUACAUAUGUCCUCUCGAGAAAAGUUCACUUACUUUCGAAAUAAGUGGGCAUGUCUCGAAAAAUAUGGUCGAGAGGGUUUUAUAUUUUUGACUAAAAUUUGAUUUGAUCAUAUUAGAUUUUCAUAAUAAAUAGAUAAAUUUGAUUGUGAAAUAAAAUAUGAUAGUCAAAAUUAAAAAUUUAUGGACCAAUCUUGAUUGAAAUUUAUCAAAUCAAAUGAUAGAAUAUCUAAAUUCAAUAUCUCAUUUGAAACAGUUGCAUAUUUAAGGAUCAAACAAAAUUUAUCUUUAUACCUGAAUAGCAACCAACACUUUGACCGGCUUGCAGGAUUUUUUUUUCAUCGGAAGUGGUCACUGUAACAUCUUGUUUUGAAGAUCUCAUUGUUCUGAAUCCAACGACGAAAUUCGUUCGUGAUUCCAGCUAGUGGUUAAUGAGCUAUAAAAUAUUAAAGAUUUUGAUUAAUUUUCUCUUCCUUCUCUUGAUAUGCGUGCGCACUCAUAUUGGUUGAUGAAUUAUUUUCUUCCUUCCCGUUCAAAUGUUCUUUCCUUUAACAGUACAGGAAAUUUGUGUUUCCUUUUCUUUUGGCUUUACCAUGUGCAUCCUUUGUUUCCUGAAUGAAUUGUCCAACGUGAAUGAAUUAUUAAAAGAGCAAAAGAAUUCCAGUACUGGUAGCCGACUUCGCUUAAUUGAACUAGGAAAACUUUCUUCAACUAGGAAAAGUUCGCUGGCUUUUGAUUAUGUUAAUUAAGCAAGAGUCCUCUCAUCAGAGUAAGCGGCUAUAAAAACCAUACUUGUCCCUUCUAUUUUUUUUACAGACAGUUCGGCUUCCAAUAAAGCCAGGCAAUCAAUCUUAGGAGGCGUUCGUCAUUCUCUUCUUCUUUAGCACCAGCAGGUUGCUACUUCUCAAAGGAAUCAGCUAUUUUAUUUCUAUCAAUAAGUUGCGGUCGUUCUGUGUUGUUUUAAUAAUCCUGGUUCCUUCAACACAGCCUCCACCAGCAGUCCAGGUAUGCAUGUCUCCAUUUAUUUUUUUGUUUUAUUACAACUGCAAUUUUUUAAAACGAGAAGGAAGGUGCCCACCCUAUUCUUGCUGCUAUCUCUAUAUAUCUCUGAUUAUGCGUGUGGCUGUUCACUGCUAGGUGGUAUCGAACCUCCCAAAGCUCAUUGAAGGUCUGAAGUGAUUGGCCAAGUCUACUCCCAUGGUGGACUGUUCCAUCAAGGGAUCUUCUUUAUUGGAAACCAAACCAUCACUGCAGCUAUUUCAAUGUCCUUUUCAUCACCAACCAAGUCUUUAUCAAUGUCAAUAGCAUCUGAAUUAUGACCAUCAAUGUCGACUGGAGCAAAGCUGUGACCCUUAAUUCCAAUUGCAUCAGAUCCAUUGCCAUCAAACUUCUCCUUGGUCCCAUCCGACACAAACCUCCAAGGAUCAAACGAUGCUAAUAAUCUUUUUUUUUAUUUGUGUCUUUGCAGAUUUUGCUUCAGCAAGACCUGCUCCCUGAUGAUCAUCGUAAUAUUUUGUAUGGGCUCACUUUCAUCUUCUCAUUGAAUUACCACGGAGUUGUUGUAACAGUAGCAGCAGAGUCAACAAAUCCUUCAGCUUUACAUCUUUCACAGUCUUAGGGGUAGGUAAUUUUUGAAUGACUUCAACCUUUGACUUAUCUACCUCUAUCCCUUUUGAAGAGACAAUGUGACCUAAGACAAUGCCAUGUGUCACCAUAAAAUGACACUUCUCCCAAUUGAGUACAAGAUUGUUCUCUUCACACCUUUCAAGAACUUUUUCUAAAUGCAUUAGACACAACUCAUAAGAAUCCCCAUAAACUGAAAAAUCAUCCAUGAAAACUUCCAAAAAAUUUUCCACCAUGUCACUAAAGAUACUCAUCAUACACCUUUGAAAAGUGGUUGGUGCAUUACACAAGCCAAAAGGCAUUCUUCUAUAAGCAUAGGUACCAAAAGGACAAGUGAAAGUGGUUUUUUCUUGGUCUUCUAAAGAAACCUCAAUUUGGUUGUAACCUGAGUAUCCAUCAAGAAAACAAUAGAAAGCUCUUCCGGCUACUCUUUCAAGCACUUGGUCUAAAAAUGGAAGCGGAAAAUGGUCCUUCCUAGUUACCAUGUUCAACUUACGAUAAUCAAUGCACAUACGCCAUCCAGUUUGGAUUCUAGUUGGUACUAGCUCAUUAUUUACAUUUUUCACUACCGUGACUCCAGAUUUUUUUGGGACAACUUGGGUUGGACUAACCCAUUUUGAGUUUGCAAUGGGGUAAAUGAUACCCGCAUCAAGUAGCUUAAGCACUUCACAUCUUACUACUUCCUUCAUGUUUGGGUUCAAUCGUCUUUGCAUUUGCCUCACAGUUUUAGCCUCUUCUUCAAGAUAGAUUCUAUGUGUACAUGAAAGAGGGCUAAUUCCUUUCAAGUCAGUAAUAGUCCACCCAAUUGCUUUUUUGUGUUUUCUCACCACUCUCAAAAGUUCUUGUUCCUGCUCUAUGCUAAGUUUUGAUGAAAUCACAAUAGGAUAUGAUUCAUCUUCCCCUAGAAAUGCAUACUUAAGAUCACUCGGUAAAGGCUUCCUUUCUGGUUUAUAAGGUUGGACAAGAGAUGCCUCAGCUUUUACUUGGGGUGAAAUCAAAGGCUCAAACGAUGGGGUCCAUUGACUUAUUGACAUAAUAGGCAUUGGAUCUAAAUAAGUCUCGAGUUCUCUUACUUCCUCAUCAACACAUUCCAAAGAACAAAAUCUUUCAUCAUGAAUUAAAGUUCUCUCCAAUGGAUCCUUGAUCCACUCUCUCUCAAAGUGUUCUUGACAAACUGUUUGGAUCAAAUCUACCUCUCUAAUGUCCUCAUGUUCACCAAUUUGUUUAGAGACAUUGAAUAUGUUAAUCUCCACAGUCAUGUUCCCAAAAGACAAUUUCAUCACGCCAUUCCUACAGUUGAUUAAAGCAUUGGAUGUAGCUAGGAAAGGUCUACCUAAGAUGACUGGGAUGGGAGCAUUAGAACCUUGAAUAGGUGCGGUGUCUAGCACUACAAAAUCAACAGGAAAGUAGAAUUUAUCUACUUGGACCAACACAUCCUCAACAAUACCCCUGAGAAUCUUGAUUGACCUAUCAGCUAAUUGAAGGGUGAUUCGAGUAGGCUUGAUUUCUCCUAAACCUAACUGUUCGUAAACAGUGUAGGGUAUCAAAUUCACACUUUCUCCUAAAUCCAACAAAGCUUGGUCUAUCCUAUGACUUCCAAUAAUGCAUGAAACGGUAGGACAACCAGGAUCUUUGUAUUUGGGAGGGGUCUUAAACUGGAUGAUGGCACUAGCAUGUUCAGUUAGAAAGGCUCUUUCUUUCACAUUCAAUCUCCUUUUGACUGUGCAUAAGUCCUUGAGGAACUUUGCAUAAGAUGGGACUUGUUUAAUUGCAUCAAGGAGUGGAAUGUUGACUUUCACUUGUUUGAACAAUUCAUAGAUUUCCGAGUUCAUAAGAUCAUGUUUAGGUUUCCCUAACCUUUGUGGAAAUGGUGCUCUAGGAACAAAUUCUAAAUCACUCACUUUGACUCCAAUUUUUCUUGAAUCAUCUCCUUUCUCACUCAUCUCUUUCUCAUUUAUCUCACCUUCUUUGUCACUCAAGCUCUCAUUUGUCACUUGUGUUUUGAUUUCCUCUUCACUUUCCUUAGAUUUCUCCUCCACAAUACCUCUAGGAAUCUCAAAACCUAUAGCUUUGGCAACAAUCUUUCCACUUGUUCAUGGUUUGAAGGUUCACUAGAUGAGGAUUCACUCAUGUGUACCUGACCUCUAGGAUUUGGCAUUGGUUGAGCUGGAAUCUUUCCCUUCUCUUGAAUGCUUAGUGAUUGAGUCAACUUGGUUAGUUGACUUCGAAUGUCAUCUAAGGUCCUAUUGGUCUGGUCUUGAAAUUUGUAAGCUUGGUUGUUGAUUCCUCCUUGUGUUUGCAUGAAUUGUUGAAGAGUAUCCUUUAGGGAUCUCUUAUGAGGUGGUUGGUAUGUAUUAUGUGUGGGAGCAUGAAAUGGUUGGGGUGGAGGUUGAAAUGUUUGAGGUACUGAAGGCCCCUCAUUUCUCCAUCCAAAAUUUGGGUGGUUCCUCCAUCCAGGAUUGUAGGUCUCAGAGUAGGGAUUGCCUACUUGGUUUGAAAAUGGCUUUCUAACAUUACUUGAAUUAGAAGUUUGGCCAUAUAGCACUUCCUUGAAGGCUGGAAUGGUAGGACACUCAGUUGUCCUAUGCCCUUUGCUCUCACAAACAACACAACUUUCCUCUUGUUGUUCACUCAUGACAUGCACUUUUUUAAUCUCAAGAGACUCUACUUUCCUAGCCAAUGAGGCUAAUCUAGCAUUGAGGUCAUCAGUCUCUUUCAAUUGGAACUUCCCACUUGAAUGAGAAAUGGUGUUUCUAGACUCAACAUGAAGUGGGAGAGAAGUCUCUCAUUGCUUUGUGUUUUCAGCCAAUUGAUCAAAGAAAUCAAAGGCUUCACUUGGUUCUUUGUCAUAAAACUCACCAUUACACAUGGUUGACACUAGCUUUUUAAAAUCUGCGGUAAGAGAGUCAUAGAAGAAACUCACUAACCUCCACAUCUCAAAACCAUGGUGGGGGCAUGCAUUUAACAAGUCUUUGAACCUUUCCCAAGCUUGGUGAAAUGACUCAUUUGGACUACAAGAAAAAUUCAUCAUUUGACGUUGUAAGGCUGCCGUCCUAUGAGUGGGGAAGUAUGUUUUCAAAAAUUCAGCUUGCAUUUCUCUCCAUGUACCUAUAGACCUAGGACACAAGGAGUUUAGCCAAAGCUUGGCUUUAUCCUUUAGAGAGAAUGGGAACAAUUUAAGACGAAUAGUUUCCUCGGUGCAUGUUCUAUCAAUAAAAGUAUUACAUACCUCUUCAAAGUCCUUAAUGUGUAUGUAUGGAUUUUCAGAAUCCAUACCGUGAAAUGUGGGAAGAAGUUGAAUCAUGCCCGGUUUCAAAUUGAAAGCUUGUUGGUUAAGAGGUAAGAUAAUACACGAAGGUGUACUUUGUCUAGCCGGGUGAAGAUACUCUCUAAGAGUUCGAAAAUUAGGUUGAUCAUUGAAUUGUGGAGGUCCAUUACCUUGAACACUCCCUUCACCCUCUACAUCUUCAACAUUAGCCAUGAUAAAAUAAUAAUAAUAUAACAAUUAUAUGAAUACGAAAGGAAAGGAAAAACAAAGAAAAAGAAAAAGAAGAUUGCAAAUAAAAGUAAAUGAAAUGUAAAAGAUAAAGUAAUAGCUCAAAAAUAAAAAUACAACAAAUUAAGAAAUUCUCCAACUAAUAAGCAAUAUUAACAACAAUAAACAUUAAAAGAUAAUUAUAACAAGCAUGAAUAAAAAGGCGGUAAUACCGGCCAAGCACUUCAGACAAUAAAUAUAAGAAAAAUAACAACAAUAAACAUUAAAAGAUAAUUAUAACAAGCAUGAAUAAAAAGGCGGUAAUACCGGCCAAACACUUCAAACAAUAAAUAUAAGAAAAAUAAUCACAACAAAACAACAAAAUAAAAUAAAAUGAACAAGAGGCGGUAAUACCGGCCAAGCACUUCAGACAAUAAAUAUAAGAAAAAUAAUAACAGCAAAAUAAAAUAAAAUAAACAAGAGGCGGUAAAACCAGCCUUAUAAUAUAAACAAUAAAUAUUAGAAACUAAUUAAAAUAGACAAUACAAGAAAAAUGGUUGAACCAACCAAAAUCCAACAAUUAAUAGUCUAGUCCACAGUCCAAUAUCCAAAAAGUUGAGGUCAAUAUUUUUUUUUUAGGCGGUAAAACCAGCCAUUUGAUUUUUUAUUUUUAUGUAUUUUUUUUUGUUUUCCAAUAAUCAAAUAGAAAUUUGUUACCUUUGCUUGCUAGCUCCCCGGCAAUGGCGCCAAAAUUACUUGACCGCUUUUUAUGUUCGGCUUGUUUUAACUCGCAAGUGCACGAGUGUGCGAUGUAGCAAUUAACUCGGUAAGAUCGAGGUCAUAUCCACAGAGAGCUAGAUCUGGAAAUUAAGCUAGGUAACAAAAAAACUCAAGAGAAAUUAAAUUAACAAUAACUUGGUUGAAAAUGAUUGAUGGAUUUGUUUUCAAAGAUGAAAAGGUGUAAAUAGAUUUUAAAUGACAAGAAAAAGUAAGUCUUGGUCCAAAUCAAUUUUAAUGGUGAUGUAUUGGUGAUUCCUUCAACAUAUAUAAGAUAACUCAACCUAAUAUCAACAAUGGUGAUAUUAGAUCGGAAGAUAUUACAAUGAAGAUUAAAAAGAUGAAGAUUGAUUAUUGCUUAAGAAUGAACAAGUACUUUCAUAUUAAGUAAGACAUUGAAUCAAGCAAUCUCUAUACCAAAACUAAGGUUUGUCCAUAAAAAUUCAAGAUUAUAACAUUACCUAAAUGAUUUCUAAAAUUUCUUUGCAAUAAUAAACAUUCAUGAAGAAAAUGAAAAGAUAGACAUUAAGAUUCAUUCAUAUCUUAAAGAACUCACCUCAACCACCAUCAUCCUUGAUUUGGAUCCAAGAAGGAGAUUAGCCAACCAUGAUUAUAUGUAAUAACAUUUUAAUAAAUAUGAAAUAACUUAAAUCAAACUGAAAUAAUAAGUUUUACAAUCUAAAGAACCGAAAUCUAUAAAGAAGAACACAACACAAUUGCAGUAAAAAUUCGGACACAAAUCUGACUCUAACUUUGGACAGCAAUUCGACCCUCUUAGAAGCCUCCUUUGGAGAUGGCUAUUAGCAAUAUAUUUAUAGGCCAUUCGGUUAGCUUUCCAGAUCAUUAAAUAACAGCUCAUUUGGACAUCGGAGUCAAAAGUUAUGGGUAAAACACCGAAAGGUAUUCUGGAAAAUCAAAUCAGGCCAGCUUGGAGAACACUUUGGUGCACGUUUUUCUUCCUCCUUUGUGAGCUGUCUCUUUCUUCUUUUUUACCCAAAAUAAUGUGACAAUGUCCCCUCCAGCUUUCCAUCCAUGUGCUUGCCCUCUUGGAUCAAUGAAUUACCCAAAAUAAAUCAAAUGUUAUUUGUUGUGUGAACAUGUAAGAUCAUUGAUUGUGCUUGGGCUGAUUUGGGGCUGAUUUUGGGGCUGAAUUUAAGCAUCAAAUAAGGGUACAAAUGUACCUAUUAUUUGGGCUAAGAUUGACAUUGAAACCUUGAGUGUUUGAUGGUUGAAGUUUGCACACAACAUAAGGCAAGUUUGGGCUUGAAAUAGAUCAUAUGAUAUUCUUUUCUAGAAUUGGAAUAGAAUUGAUUUUUGGGGCAAAUUUGGAGCACUUAUUUGAACCAAGAUUUGCUUCAAUCUUCAACUAAAUUUCUCUUCAAUUCUUUGUUCCGAAUUCCGACGUUGAAUUUUCUGAAAUAAUUCAUUUAAGCUCCAAAAACCUAUCGAAACAUUAAAAGAAACUUCAUUACUAAAAAGCACAUCAAUUACUAUAAAAAACCCAAAUAAAAACAAUAAAUACAUAUGUAAAAUAAGAGACUUAAUGAUACUUUUGAUGCACAACCAGUGGACUUACUUAAAGGACAAAAUGUCAAACUGGAUCAAACCAUAGCCAACCAAGGUGCUCAGAUUAGAGACAUGCAGGGUAUUAUGGGCACCAUGGCACAACAACUAGAAUUGGCUUUGCAUAAGCUUUCUCCCCACACUGGCAGCCCAAGUCAAGGCAGAGACAAGCAAGUAUCAGGCAUGGAAGGUUAUGAGUCAAGGCAUAGGAGCUCGCAGGAGGAGAGAAUUCCUGCAUACAAAAUACAUAAACCAAAACAUUUCUUCCCAAUUUUCAAUGGUGAAGAUGUUCAUCGCUGGCUUUACAAAUGUGCUCAGUAUUUUGAGAUUGAAGAAAUUGCCAACACUGACAAGUUGAGAAUAGCAUCUUAUUAUCUUGAAGGUGUUGCAUUGUAUUGGCACCAGAACUUUUUAAGGAGUAUAGCCAACCAAGGAGUCACCUGGGAAGAGUAUGUGGAGGCUAUUGGCUGCAGAUUUGGAUGGCAACAAGAUCCCUUGGAGACACUAAUGGAGCUAAAACAACUAGGAAAUCUGGAAGAAUACAUCUAGGAUUUCGAUAUUUUGUGGAACAAGGCAGGAAUCAAUGAGAAGCAAGCACUGGUCAUUUUUCUUGGAGGUCUGGAGUUGGAGAUCAAAAACACGGUAAAAACGUUUGAACCCAAGACUCUUAAGCAUGCGUAUAAUUUAUCCAGGCUACAAGCUAACACAUUAUCCUACAAGAAACUGUCUCCUCUUCCUAAACAUUACACCCCACCUUUCAAUACCACACAGCCACAGAUCCAUCUUCCUACAAACACACAGAACCCCACGACCAUGCAAAAUACCAUAAAACCAAGUCCAGCUCCCUGGCACAAUAAUCCUUCAAAUACCAUUCACAGGAACAAUGUUAAACCAACCAAAUCUAUAAAGAACCAAGACUUUGAAGAGAGGAGGUUAAAGGGGUUAUGCUUCUGGUGUGAUGAUAAGUUCGUUCCUGGCCAUAGAUGCAGAAAUAAAAGGUUGUAUCCAUUAAGUGUUAUGGAGGAAGAAGAUGAAGUCAUUACAGAAGAAAAGCUGACAGACAAUGACGCCCUAACAUGGGAGCUUUCACCCCACAUAUCCUUGGAUGCAUUAGAAGGUACGGUGGGGCUCAACACGAUGAAGGUCUCUGGUAGAUUGGAUAGAACUACGGUUAGUAUUCUAAUUGACUUAGGAAGUACUCACAACUUCCUCAAUGCUGAAAUGGCUCUGAAACUCCAGCUCAAAUUAAUUGCCAUUAAACCAAUGAUGGUGCAAGCAGCUAAUGGUGACAAGAUGAUUUGUAAAUCCUUGUGCAAAAACUUGAAUUGGAAGAUGCAGGGAAUAAGCUUUGUGGCUGAUGUGUUCAUCAUAGACCUAAGUAAUUGUGAGAUGGUGUUAGGUAUCCAAUGGCUAUCCUUAUUGGGUGAUAUACUAUGCAACUACAAGCAUUUAUGGAUGUCCUUCGAUUGGCAAGGCAAAAGGGUGUUACUUAAAGGGGAAAACCCACCAAAGCUGCAAUAUAUAGAACUGGAGCAUCUAAAUUCAUUAGCAGGCAACCAUGACCAGCUAGAGGGGUAUCAUUUAUGUAACUUGCAAAUGGUAGAUGAGGUAGAGGCAGGAACUACUCCAGAGUCCACUACUAUCACUAUUCCUUCAACAGAUAAUCAAGACAUCCACCUGCAAAACCUGUUAGCAGCAUAUAUUGACUUGUUUCAGGAACCCACAGGCCUGCCUCCUCUUAGAUCCCACGAUCACAGGAUUCCUCUAAAGGAAGGAGGAGACUCAGUUAAUCUAAGACCUUACAGGUACUCUGGCCUUCAAAAAGAUACAUUGGAGGACAUGAUAAAAGAAAUGCCGAGGAUAAAAAUCAUAAGGACCAGCAACAGCCCGUUUGCCUCGCCAGUAAUCCUUGUUAAGAAAAAAGACUCCACAUGGCGUCUCUGUGUUGAUUACAGAGCCUUGAAUAAACUCACCAUCAAGGAUAAGUAUCUUAUUCCCAUGAUUGACGAACUUUUGAAAGAAUUAGUGGGAGCUUCUGUGUUUUCCAAUAUAGACUUGAGUUCAGGCUACCAUCAGAUCCGCAUGGCGAGAGGAGAAGAGUUCAAAACAGCUUUCAGAACUCACAGCGGCCACUACGAAUUCUUGGUAAUGCCAUUCGGCUUAACCAAUGCUCUGGCCACCUUCCAGAGUUUAAUGAAUGAGAUUUUCAGGGAGCAUCUGAGGAAAUUCAUUCUAGUAUUCUUUGACGACAUUCUCGUCUACAACCAUACACUCACAGAACAUUAUGAGCAUCUAGCUACGGUUCUCAACUUAUUAAGAGAACAUCAUCUGGUGGCUAAAGCCAGCAACUGCUUCUUCGGCAGGGACCAGGUGGAGUAUUUAGGACACAUCAUUUCUAAGCAAGGUGUGGCGACAGAUCCCUACAAAAUACAAGCCAUUCGGGAAUGGCCACUGCCUAUAGGAUUAAAACAACUAUGAGGGUUUUUGGGAUUGACUGGUUACUAUAGAAGAUUUGUAAGGGGUUAUGGCAGCAUUUGUAAACCACUCACUCAAUUACUCAAAAAAGAGGCCAAGGGAUGGAAUGAUGCGGCCACCACAACUUUCAAUCAGUUGAAAAUGAUUAUGACUAGUGCUCCAGUAUUAGCUCUGCCAGAUUUCAACAAAACAUUUAUCGUUGAGACAGAUGCAUCCAUGAUUGGUAUGGGAGCAGUCCUCAUGCAAGAGGGACACCCCAUUGCGUUCAUUAGCAAAUCAUUGGGUCCUAAACAACAGGUAAUGUCAGUAUACGAGAGGGAAAUGCUGGCUAUUCUCCAUGCAGUCACCAAAUGGAAGCAUUAUCUCUGGGGGCGCCAUUUUAUCAUCCGAACAGACCACAUAAGUCUGAAAUAUCUUCUACAGCAGAAGUUGACUACCCCUGCACAACAUUUCUGGUUGGUGAAAUUGCUGGGGUAUGACUACGAUAUAGAGUACAAACAAGGUCGCGAAAAUGUUCCCGCAGAUGCCCUUUCCAGAAUUCCAAACAAAGAGGUUUAUGCUCUAACCACUUCUACCAUCUCUACUGACCUCCUGGCAGAAAUCAAGAAUUCUUAUGAAGGUGAUGUUACAGUUCAAGGAAUUAUUAAACGGUUACAAGAGUCUACAAACACCCACCCACACUACACUUGGGUGAAUGAUCACCUUAACAGAAAAGGAAAGGUGGUGGUAGGGAAGAAUCUUGUACUACGGGACAAGCUCAUCUCCAUGUUUCAUAAUUCAGCUGUUGGAGGACACUCAGACAUGACAGUAACAACAAAAACCAUUGGGGGUUUAUUUUAUUGGAAGGGUCAGCAGAAACACAUCAGGCAAUUCGUUAGGGAAUGCAAUGUGUGCCAGAGGAAUAAACAUGAAAACACAGCCAGUCCUAGACUCCUUCAACCAUUACCCAUUCCUUCUGCUCCCUUCAUCGACAUCAACAUGGAUUUCAUGGAAGGACCGCCCAAAUAUGAAGGGAAGGAGGUGAUAUUGUUGGUGGUGGAUCGUUUCAGCAAAUACGCACAUUGCAUGGCCCUCAGUCAUCCUUACUCUGCCUCAGGGGUGGCCAAGACCUUUAUGCACAAUGUCUAUAAACUACAUGGGUUACCAGCCUCGAUAACAAGUGACAGAGAUCUGGUCUUUUUUAGCAGGUUUUGGAAAGAAUUAUUCACCAGUCAAGGGGUCAACCUCAACUAUUCCUCAGCUUACCACCCGCAAACAGACGACCAAACCGAAAUUGUUAACAAAUGCAUCGAACAGUACUUACGCUGCAUGAUUGGUGAUUGCCCGAACCAGUGGGUCAAAUGGCUACCUUUAGCUGAAUGGUGGUACAAUACUAACUACCACUCAGCCACCAAGAUGACACCUUACCAAGUUUUAUAUGGAGUUGCCCCACCCCUACACAUUCCCUAUUUUCCUAAAAAUUCAGCUGUGGAAUCAGUCGACGAGUACUUAUCAGCUAAAGAAGAAGUCAUCAAGAGGGUCAGGGAACAUCUCCAAGCAGCACAGAACAGGAUGACUAUAGUGGCUAACAGAAAAAGGAGUGAUCAUAGUUUUGAGAUCAAUGACUAUGUCUUCCUCAAACUCCAACCAUACAGGCAACAUUCAUUGGCACGCAGGUCCUCACAGAAGUUAGCUGCAAAAUAUUAUGGGCCUUAUCAGGUCUUGGCCAAGAUAGGGAAGGUGGCUUACAAGCUGGAAUUGCCAGCUUCAACACUUAUUCAUCCAGUGUUCCACGUUUCUCAGCUUAAAAAACAUAUUGGAAAUCACACCGCACAAGGCACUCCUCCGAUGAGACCAAAAACAACUACACUACAGCCUCGAACAGUGUUAGACCGACGAAUGGUUAAACGUCACCACCAAGCACACACUCAAGUAUUGAUACUCUGGGAAGGACUAGCUCCUACUGAGGCUACUUGGGAAGACAUGGAGGAAUUUAAGUUGCACUUUCCAUUAUUCAACCUUGAGGACAAGAUUGGUUUCAAGGGAAGGCAAUUGUUACCUGCAGAAGAAGAAAUGGAAUAAUAGGAACUAAUGCAGGCCACGCAUUCAAAAGUUAGUUAUAGAAUCCAUACGCACCGUUUCAUUUAAGUAACCAUACGCACCGUUUCAAUUCCAUAAAAUGUUGCAUGACAGUUAACACACAGCCUCCGUGCUGAAGGUUUUCGUAACCAAUUAGAAUUGCAAUAUUCUAUAUAAAGGCAUAUGCAUGAUAACAGAAGGGAACAAGAAUUAUAAUGAAAGAAUGAAUUCCUUAUUAUCAGGAAACGACUAUCAGGGUGUUGUUGGUGUGGUAUCAACGGCCUCUCAUAAAUCCUCCCCACUAAAGCCCCUACUACAGCAUUAACCAUCACUGGAGACCAUCCAAUUCGGGUCCAUCAUUUCUUCACUUGUAACAACUGGUAUCAGAGCUUGCAAUCCACGGACUACCACCAUGCCACCAAGCCCCACAGCAGCAAGCGAUCUCCUUCACUGCCAACCAGCCAGCUCGUCGAGACCCGACACUCUCUUUCAACCAGCCUCUAGCGGCAAAAAUAACACAGUAGCGCCGCACCCACAGACCAGCUGCCUCUUGGCCUUUCCACCAGCCACCUGAAACAGGUCCAACAGCGACGCCCCCUUCUCGGUUGUUCCUCCUCACCACCAGCCACCUAAAGUGGAGGAGAAGAAGAAGCCCUCCCAUCGGCAGAAGGAAAACCAACAGAGAGGGAGAAGGCGGAGGAACUGGAUAGAUCUAAAAAAAAAAAGGACUGCUUGUGCGUUUUCUUUUGUUGCAGGUCAUGGUGAAAGCCACCACGGGCAGGGAAGAGAAGAGAAGAGAGGAGGAAACCAUUUAAGAGCCCCCUGUUUGUUGGACUUUUGUGCGGUGGCGAGUGAACCCACGCGCCGCCAGUGGCGGGGCGCGUGGAGGAGACGCGCCGCCACUGUUCCACAAUCAUAGAAGAUGGCCAGAAUUCUCCAGCACUGUUCCCGAAGUUUUUUUUUUUUUGUAAUUUUCAAAUGUUGCUGUUAUAUUUAGAUUAAUGGUAUUUGAUUUAUUUUGAACUUUUGAUAUUUUGUAAUAUGUAAAAGUGAUGUGUGAGUUAAGCAUAGUAAAAAAGUGAUAUUAGUGUGUCUGUUUGUUUUUUUAUUUAUGUUAUUGAAUUAUAAAAUAAAAAAAAUUAAGUGUUUAAUUUGAAUAUGGUUAAAUAUCUUAAGGAUUAAUAAAAUCAUGAUAUAUUCUCCAUGAAAAUGUAAGAACAUGUUUCUAUAUAUAUUCUGGGAUUUAAUAACUAAUUUAUUAAAACUUUAGAAUUUGAUUAAUAUUUCAAAUUUUCAAAUCACAUUAAAUCAUGAAGCAGCUUACCUCAGGUAGGGUGCGCUAGGGAUGCUAAUACCUUCCCUAACCACAACCAGUCCCUUACUCUCGAAUCUCUGACAACGACCAGUAAAUCCGGGUUUUCUAGUAACCCAAUUAAAUACUAGGUGAUAACUCCCAAAGAACCAAUCAAGCAAGAAAAAUAAAAAAUCGCCGAAUCGCCACGCGGGGGACGUGCGACAAGAAUCUUGCUGCCCCAUUACCAUUUUUGCAAAAUCUUGUUCAUCUGAAGUUGUUUCUUGUCGCAAAACUGUCAUUUAUCUUCACACCGUCCCUCGCUCAAAGUCUACCACAACUAGAAACACUAGAGGUAAGUUGUUGCGAUGAAUUGAAGUAUAUUGUCAGAAAACAAGAUGAUGAAAGGGCAAUAAUUCCAGAGUUUCUAAGCUUCCAAAAAUUAAGAACUCUAUUUAUAUAUGACUCUGAUAAACUGGAAUAUGUCUUCCCUGGCUCUCUGUCUCCAAGUCUUGUGAACCUGAAACAGAUGACAAUUAGAUACUGUGGUAAAUUUGAAUAUGUCUUCCCUGUCUCUGUGGCUCCAAGUCUUCUGAACCUGGAAUAAAUGACUAUAUUUGCUGACAAUUUAAAGCAAAUAUUUUAUAGCGGGGAAGAAGAUGCACCACCCAGAGAUGACAUCGUCAAGUUGCCUCGACUAAGAGAAAUGGAUCUUUCAUCUAAAUCAAAUUACAGCUUUUUUGGUCCAAAGAAUCUUGCUGCCUAAUUACCUUUUCUGCAAAAUCUAAGCAUCCAUGGCCACGAAGAAUUGGGUAAUUUGUUUGCACGGCUUCAAGUACGUCCUUUAUAUUUCUCCGCUAAUUAUUUUCCUUUUUAAGUUAAAUUCUAAACUUCAUUUAAUAUAAAUAAAGUGUUGAUUUAGUCUUGUAGUCAUUAUCUCAAAGCUUUUCUUAGUUUAUUAUAAAUUAUCACAUGGAUAAAUUACAAUUAAUGUAUGCGAGACAAUAACAAAUAACACAAGAAUUAGUAGAAACACACUCACCUUAUAGUAGAGACAAGAGAAUGAUUAUGAAUGGAAGGUUCAUGCACGAUCACUUGGUCGACACACACACACUUGAUAACACCUUUGAUCUAUCGAUCGAUUCCGACCACAAAUAUAAUUUAUCUAAGGAGUUAUGUAUGUGAUGUUACUUUAGUUAUGGUCUCUCAAGGGGAAAUUAACGAAAAGAAUUGAAAAGGAGAAAAUAAUUAGUUGAAUGAAGGAAGCUCUCUGCCACUUCCCUAUAUCACACUUGUAAACCCAGGAAAAAAUAAAUAAAUAACAAAAAUUCAAAAAAUUUUGAAUAUAAAUUUUCGGGUGAAAUAGUUUGAAACAUUAUAAUAAACUCAGUACUGUUGAGGGUUGGAUUUAAUUGAAGAAAAUAAUACACUUAAAGGAAAAGGGGGGCCUAAAUGCAAAUAAGAGAAAAUAUAGAGUAUAAAUACUCUCUCCUCACCAAAAAUAUGUAGGAACCCUAAGGAGAGAAGAUAGGGAGUUUUAUACCCAUUCUUGAGAAAUCAAGAGAGAAACAUUAAAAUUUCAAGAACCCAUCCAAGAUUAAGAGCUUAUAGAUGGGAUAAAAACUUGAGAGCAAAGGAUUACCAAGAAAUUGAACAAGAAGAAAAGAAAGGAGGGAGUUGAAAAUCUUCAACUAGUUGAAGAUCAAAAUCUUAAUUUGUACCGGGUAAGGUAUUCUAAACAUGAUCUUAAAAAAAUUCAUUUUUAAAUUCGAUAAAGAAUUGAUGCCUUGAUAUUGAAUCAUAGGUUAGGGUUCUUAGACAUAAAUUGGGGAAAAGUACUUAUUGUUGAGAUUAAGUUAAUUCAUGUGUGUGGUAUGUAGUUUAUGAAAGUAUUGAGUGAAGGGGAGGGGAGACAAAUCUGGACAGACUUGUCUCCUGACUUUCUGUGAGAUUUCAGGUAGGAGGAUGAGGGAAUUAGGAUCGGGUUCCUCAUAGGAAUUGUAGAUUUGAAUGUUAGCUAACCAAGGAAACUGGUCUUGCUCAAUUUGGAGAUGUAGAACUCCAAUUAUGGGUUACCAGCUGAGACUGAGUCGUGACUGAUUAUGUAGGGCAGUAGGACUAAUUAGUUAAUGAGCAAUUUUGACUAUUUUGGAGGCAAAACUGGGUUCUUCUCCCUCAGAGAACUUGUAGCCUUGUGUCUUAGCUUUCUAACGAGAUCAAUCUCACUUAAAAUGGAGUUUUAGAACUUUAGAUAUAGUUAAAAAUCUGAUGAGUGUUCAGACAAUAACAGUUGAAAAUUGGACAAUAACAGUUCAAAGUUGGACAGUAACAGUUGAAAAUUGGACAGUAACAGUUGAAAAUUGCACAGUAACGGUUCAAAGUUGGACAGUAACAGUUGAAAUUUGGACAGUAACAAUUGAAAAUUAGACAGUAACAGUUCAAUGUCUAGACAGUAACGGUAGGCUUUCACGUGAAUACUAUAUAUACAAGAAUAUAAAAGAAUUGAGUCAUACGAACACUUGCACAUUGAGAUACUAACUCUGAAAAUAUACAUGAUAUAUGUAUGUAUGUUAUUAUGAGAAAAUGAACAUGUAUAUAAAGUAACAUAUGAGUAAUGGAUGAAUAUGGAUUCUCUAUAAUGUCGGCUUGAAGGAAUCAUAACCAAAAACUUCCUUAUGAUUCAGGAGGAGCAACCAAGAUUGGAUCUUCUGUUAGGGGAGGUCGCGAGACAGGCGAAGUAGGUGCGUGAUUCUCCUCCUAUUUGCACUUAUACAAUUUAGAAUUCUUAUGGUGAAUGCAAUUACAAUAAAUGUCGUGUUCAAUGUAAAUAAAAAUCUAGCGUAAAUACAAGAUUAGCUUCGGCAAAUGGCAUCCGUGAUAGGAUUGCUGGGAUAUGAAUUACAAGAUUAGCUGCGGCUAAUGGCAUCCAUGAUAGGAUUGCCGGGAGAUGAAUUACAAGAUUAGCUUCGGCUAAUGGCAUCCGUGAUAGGAUUUCCAGGAUAUGAAUUACAAGAUUAGCUUCGGCUAAUGACAUCCGUGAUAGGAUUGCCGGGAGAUGAUUUACAAGAUUAGCUUCGGCUAAUGACAUCCGUGAUAGGAUUGUUGGGAUAUGAAUUACAAGAUUAGAUUUGGCAAGGUCACCCAGUUCAUGCAAGUAAAUAAGAAUAUUCAAAUCAUGGAUAUACAAAUGAGUGUGAAUUAGGUUUAAAAGACUUACAAGCAAAUUAUAAGUUCUUUGUUAGAAUUCUUAUGGGUCCGAUAGAAAGUUAAUACUUCAUUCGUAUUCAUUACAUGAGCAUAUAUAUUCUUUAUCAACAUAAUGAUAUGUUUAAUUAUGUAACAGGUCCAUCAAAUAUCCAGGAAGAUCAUUAGUUUAGGACUCUACUUUGCGAAGCUUAUGUAAAUAUUUAACUUAAACAAAAGGGAAUUAACGUGUUUAUGUAGUAUAUUUUUGUGUAAACCUUGAUGUAUUUAUAAAAGUUCAAUUUUGCAUGUGGUAUUUUAGUUAUCUUGUAAUUAACCCUUUUAAAAUAUUUAAGAACACUUAUUAUGUUGUAAAUACUUUCUUUGCAUGUUAGUAUUCUUUUCCUUUCAAAUUUUACGAUAUGAUGUUUGGACUAUGUUCAUAUUGAACUUACUCAUAGGAUAUAUAUAUAUAUAUAUAUAUUGUGUGGAUUGUAUGAGGUUUGAUAUAAGGUCCGGAAUUAUGGGACCUUAUGAUGAUGGGUUGAUUGAGUAAAUUGAUAGUAGUCGAUAACUUGGGAUAUCCUAAAUACAAACAAAACUCUGCUGAAUUUUUGGAAAAAAAAAUUUACCCUCAGAUAAAGAGGAUAUGUUAGGAUCUUUUAACAUUGAUCGAGUCUUACAGUUCAGACCGUUACAGUUGGUAUCAGAGCCCUGGUAUAGGUUAUGGGAAGAAAUCAAAAGAGGUUGUUGAUGUUCAUUAAUUUAUUGCAGGAUGGUACAUACCUGUCAAGAGAUUAGAACAGAUCUAUCCUCUGCAGGGAGGGGGAAUAGAGAUAUAGACUCUUCCAAAGGGCAAGAAGAGAGCCCUUUGGAAGAUACUGCUUCACAUGCACUGGUAGUAUCGACUCAAGUAGGGCAUGAAGAAUCGACGGGGCCUUAAAUUAGACAGGCACCAAGGCAAACUGGGGAUGUUCAGUUGACCAUGUUAGCUCCACGGGGACGAGUAGAGGAGCCCCCUCAGACUACACCUGCAGGGCCAUCUGUUUCUUAUGUUGAUCCGAUGCUCCUGGCCCAGCUAGUCAAAGCAGUAAUGGAAGGUAUGGCUAAUGCUGCCACUCCUAUGCCAGCACCCCCAUUUGCACCCAUCAUACCAACCGUUUCAGAAGCAACUACAACUACUAAUGACGUGGUACAACUAGUUCGUUUAGUGAAAAGUAUGAGAGAAAUGGGUUGUGAACCCUACUCUAGUGAACAGAAUGCUGAAGUGGUGGGAAGGUGGAUUAGAAAGGUGGAGAAAACCAUGAUUCAAAUUAAGAUACCAUAUGAUCUGCGGGUAGACUAUGCUACUUAAUUACUAUCAGACGGUGCUAUGACUUGGUGGGAGACAGUUCAGUUGAGGAGGGCUACAGAAACCCUAUCCUAGGAUGAUUUCAAGAUAGAGUUUGAGAAUCAAUAUUACUCCAAAUAUCAUCGGAGGAUGAAGGAACAGGAAUUCCUAGCCUUGAGACAGGAGGGAAUGUCAGCACUUGAGUAUGAGAGACAAUUUCAUGACCUCUCACUAUUCGCACUACAUUAUAUCCCGUCAGAACAACACAUGAUAGAAAAGUUAAGGGAUGGCUUCAGACAAGAAUUGAAGCAGGGGUUGAUUGCUUUGCGAUUCAGGACAGUAAGGGAACUGAUUGAAGCAGCACAGGCCUUGGAGGCGUGUAUGGUGACACGAUCAAAGAGUUGAUGUCUUAUCCCAAGUGCAGGAGUAUCAAAGUAAUAAAUAACCCGGCAAGACCGGAGUCGAACCACAGGGAGGUCAACUAUAUAAAUUACAAAUAAAGAGAAAGAUUUGAAGAGAAUAAUAACAGAAAAGAAGUUGAAGAGAGUUUUGGGAUAUGAUAUUGAUAUAAGGAUUAAACAAUAAUAAAACAGUUGUCAAGGUUAGAGGAUCCACUAAUGGUAUUUCAAAUAAAUAUAAUAUAAACUCUUUUUAUUACUCAAUUGGAAACCACACACAAAGGAGGUUCCAAUCGGAUGAUUUAUCGUUAUUAACUCAUUAUAAAUUAUUAACAUGAUCAUAUUAAUCAUCUUAUCUAAGUAACACCAUACUUAUAAAUAUCAUCAGGCAUUUAUGUUGCUAGCUUAUGUUAACAACAAAUCAAGUUCCUAUCAUAACAACGAUGUCAGCCGAAAACUAUGAAGGAUCAAACAUUUGAUGUACCAAGUGUUAUACAACAGAAAUCUAGAUUAACCAUUUAAAAAGCAAGGUAUUAAGAAUUAGUAAGAUAAAAAGAUAAAACAUGUUAAUAACAAUCUUUCUUGAAUAUAAACAUUAAAGUCCAUGUUGAGUUUAUAUUAUACCUAUUCUAACACCACUAGUGAAACAUUUUUACCUUGACAUAAUUAACUUAGCUAAACAUAAUGAAGAAGAAAAACAUAAAUAAACAAUAUAAGAACAUAAAUAUGAUAUAAGUUAACUAAGUAUAGGAAAGGAAAUGAAAAAGCAUAAACAAGAGAUUAAUAUAGCAUGAAAGAAAACUUGAACAUUACAAAAAGAGAAAGCAAGAAGAUGAUUUUGAUCUGAAAAAUAAUAUGACUAAAUACAUGGCAAAUGCCUCCUUUUAUAAGCUAAGAUUCAGAACUAUUGAUUGGUUGACUAAGAAAAUAGUUGGUGGCCAACCAUUGAUUUGGUGGCUGGUUUUUGACAUUGUUGGCUGAUUUUUGAUAUUGUUGGCUGGCCAAAACGUCAUUUCUAACAUCAUAAUUUGAGCCCUUUGUUUCAUGAAAGCUGUGGGCAAUUAUCUUAGCUUUCCAACAAAAAAAACCAGAGCUCAUUUGGACUUCUAGAACUCAAGAUAUGAGCUGAAAACCGAACAGUGUCUGAGCUGCAGGACAGGUUCCGACUUCUCCGUUGUUGCUAAACUUUGAACUUGAAAACGGCAGAAUUGAGUCUUGGACUCUGCAUGAAAGUUUUAGGUCUAUGUCUUAGAUUUCCAUCCAUAUAAAGUAGACCUAAAUCCGAGUUCUACAACUCCAGUUAUGAUCCAAUAACCGAAUGGUGUUUCAGUUUGGAAUUGAACUAUCAUCUCUUCUCUUAGCCUAGUCCUCUUUUUGUCUCUUCACUUUCAAUAGUUAAUCACAUCAAUCAAUCCUUUGAAUUGUGAGAUAUACCUGCAUUCAAAAUAAGCAUUUAUCAUAAAUUAAAGAUAUACUAUAUUAUCAGACUUGUUAUUAUAAAACAUGCUUUAGUUAAGGAAUUUAAUGAUACUUUAGUGCAAUAUGAUGAUAUAAAGCAUUAAUAAAAAUGCACUUUGAAUUACUAAUCAUAUGGAAGAAUGCCAACAGAGUCAUGGGGGUGCAGGAAAACGAAAGGAUAUGGAAUUUUUAGGCAGGCCACCGCUUCCAAAGAAAGGUAGAGGCGAACAGUUCCUUCAAUUCAAAAAGAAAAGAGGGACGUCAACUAGCUUCCGACAGGAUAUCGGUGGGAAGUCGGGAAGUGGUCAGACCCGCUCCAGGGCUAUAGCUGCAAGGGGGCAUAACAAUCAGAAGGAAAUUGUCUACCCUCGAUGUGCUUAGUGUGAACAAAGACACCCCGGGAGUUGUAUGGUUUCUCCUGGACAAUGCUAUAUAUGUCGAGGAGAAGGUCAUAAGUGGAAACCCUGUUAAUACUUGGGAAGAGGAUGUCAUCAUUGUGGUGAGAAAGGUUACUUUAAAAGGGAAUGCCCCAAGUUAAACACUAAACAGCCUUAGAGACAUGGGGAGCAAAGUCAGAGUCAUCAGCAAUCCAUCAUAGUAAACAGACCGGGAAGGUCGACUCAGUCAGGAGCUAACUCAAAUAGGGGACGACCCAGAGUACAAAAUGAAAAGGGAUCAAGGAAGGGUUUUCCAUAUGACCCAGGAGGAUGUCAGAGCAGCAUCAGAUAUGGUGGCAGGUAUGCUGCAAAUGAAUGACUAUCAAAUACAUGUUUUGUUUGAUUCUGGUGCCACUCACUCUUUCAUAGCAAAUAAAAAUGUAACCAAAUUGAGUAAGGAAACGAAAAGGGUAGAGAAAGGAUUUAUUAUUGGGACACCUUUGGGUGAAAUUGUGAAAACAAAUAUUGUAUUUGAAGGGGUGGGAAUUAACAUUAAUGGGUGUGAACUAAAAGCAGAUUUAAUACCCCUAGAAUUAAGUGAUUUUGAUAUAAUUCUAGGUAUGAAUUGGUUGGGCAAAAAUAAGGCUCGUCUAGAUUGCUUUACAAAAACAGUAACCUUUCAAGGGGCUAAGGGUGAAACAAUAGUCUUUAAGGGGGAGAGAAUUUACAACUUUACAAAUAUGAUCUCGGGUAUGGUUGCGAGAAAACUACUAAAGAAAGGUUGUACAACAUACCUUGCCUAUGUGAUAAAUUCGGAAAAGGGUAAAAUAAGAUUGUCUGACAUUCCAAUUGUGAGGGAAUUUCCGGACGUAUUUCCGGAAGAAUUGCUAGGACUACCCCCAGAAAGAGAAGUUGAAGUCACCAUAGAUAUAUUUCCUGGAGUGUCUCCUAUAGCCCAACCACCGUAUAGAAUGGCCCCAAAAGAAUUGGAUGAGUUGAAAAUUCAAUUGCAGGAGCUUUUAGACAAAGGGUUCAUACAACCAAGCAACUCGCCUUGGGGGCACCUGUAUUAUUUGUGAAGAAGAAAGAAGGAACGUUGCGGCUUUGCAUAGAUUACCGUCAGCUGAAUAAAGUGACGGUAAAGAAUAGAUAUCCACUUCCACGGAUAGAUGAUUUGUUCGAUAAGUUAAAGGGUGCCAAAGUAUUCUCAAAUAUUGAUUUAAGAUCAGGAUACUACCAAAUGUGAAUCAAAGGGCAAGAUGUGCCGAAAACUGCCUUCAGAACUCGCUACGAACACUUUGAGUUCUUGGUGCUACCCUUUGGAUUAACUAAUGCUCCAACACUUUUUAUGUAUUUAAUGAACCAAGUAUUCCAACCAUACCUUGAUAAGUUUGUUGUCGUAUUCAUCGAUGACAUCUUGGUUUACUCCAAAUCCUAUGAGGAGCAUGAACAGCACCUGAGACAGAUACUAUAGACUCUGAGGAGCCAUCAGUUGUAUGCCAAGUUGGAUAAAUGUGACUUCUGGUUAAAAGAAGUUACCUUUUUGGGGCAUGUAGUGUCUUCAAAAGGCAUUUUUGUGGACCCUCAGAAGGUGGAAGCAUUUUUGAGAUAGGAAAGGCCUACUACGGUAACUGAAAUUUGUAGUUUUCUCAGAUUGGCAGGGUAUUAUAGAAGAUGUAUCGAAAGGUUUUCAACGAUAGCAACUCCAUUGACACGACUCACCAGGAAGAAAAUAAGAUGGGAAUGGUCAAAGGAGUGCGAUGAGAGCUUUCAAGAAUUGAAGAGAAGGCUUACUACUGCCCCCGUACUAAUCCUUCCAUCCGGAACAGAAGGCUUUGUAGUCUACAGUGAUUCCUUAAGAAAAGGACUGGGUUGUGUUCUAAUGCAUCAUGGAAAAGUAGUUGCCUAUGCAUCGAGACAACUGAAGACUCAUGAAGUCAACUACCCAGUUCAUGACUUAGAAUUGGCAGCAGUAGUUUUUGCUUUACGAGUAUGGAGGCACUACUUAUACAGAUCCCGGGUCCAAAUUUUCACCGAUCAUAAGAGCCUUAAAUAUCUGAUGUCAUAGAAGGACUUGAAUAUGCGACAACGGAGAUGGGUAGAAUUAAUUAAAGACUACGAUUGUGUUAUAGAUUAUCAUCUAGGAAAAGCGAAUGUAGUCGCGGAUGCUCUCAACCAUAAAGACAAGGUGAUUAGGGGUAGACCAGCGACUUGGAAUGAGGAAACCAUGAUUGACCUAAAGAGAUUGGGGGCAGUACUAGGUGUGAGCCCAGAAGGAUCCUUAAUGGCUCAACUAAGGGUGAAGUCAGGAUAUCGAGAGCAAAUAUUAGAGGCUCAACAACAUGAUGAUGAGGUGUCAAAAGUGAGAAUCAAACUGGAAUCGGCGGGUGAAACUCUUUUUUGAAUGGGUGAUGAUGGAAUAGUGAUGUUGGGGUGACGUAUGUAUGUACCUGACAGCAAAGCCCUUAAACAAAAGUUACUACGAGAAGCUCACGAGUCUAAGUUCACUGUACAUCCAGGUAGUACUAAGAUGUACCAGGAUAUGAAGCAGUACUACUGGUGGCCAAAUAUGAGAAAAGAAGUGGUUGGUUACAUGGCAAAGUGUAGUAUUUGCCAACAAGUAAAAAUAGAACACCGAAAACCGGCAGGGCUGUUACAACCAUUACCAAUCCCUGAGUGGAAGUGGGAGAUGAUCACAAUGGACUUUGUGUCGAGACUACCCAGAGGAAAGAGGGGAAAUGAUGCAAUCUGGGUCAUUGUGGAUCGACUAACAAAGUCUGCUCUUUUCCUACUAGUAAAGAUGACAGAUCCAGUUGACAAGUUGGCUAAGAUUUAUGUGAACGAAGUUGUAAGGCUUCAUGGAGUCCCAAUAUCAAUUGUUUCAGACCAAGACCUAAGAUUUACUUCAUGUCUCUGGCCGAGCAUACAACGUGUCUUGGGAACAAAUUUGAGUAUCAGUACUGCCUUUCAUCCGCAAACUGAUGGCCAAUCUGAGAGAAUUAUUCAGAUCUUAGAGGAUUUACUAAGGGCAUGUGCUUUGGAAUUUGGUGGAAACUGGGAGGAGCACCUAUCACCAAUAGAAUUCACGUAUAACAACAGUUAUCAGGCAACAAUUGGAAUGGCCCCAUUUGAAGCUCUUUAUGGUAGAAAGUGUAGGACACCCUUGUGUUGGGAAGAAGUUGGGGACAGAAAGCUGUAUGGGGCAGAAUUAGUACAAAUCACUACUGAAAAAGUGAGAAUUAUUAAGGAUUGAAUGAAGGUGGUUCAGGAUAGACAGAAGAAGUAUGCAGAUAUUCGAAGAAGACCACUUGAAUUUUUUCCUAGAGAUAAAGUAUUUCUGAAGGUAGCUCUAUGGAAGCACAUGCUGAGAUUCGGCAUGAAGGGGAAGUUAGCUCCGAGGUUCAUUGGACCAUUUGAAAUCUGAAAACAUAUCAAACCUGUAGCAUAUGAAAUAAACUUGCCCUCAUAGUUGGCCAAGGUUCACAAUGUAUUCCAUGUUUCUUUGCUGCAAAAAGCCGAUAUAGACCCUUUGAGAGUGUUACCCCAAGUGCCAGUGGAGAUAAAAGAAGACUUAACACUUGAGGUAAGACCGAUAAAGAUACUUGAAUGGGGCGAGAAAGAACUUCGUAAUAAGAAAGUUCCCAUCCUCAGAGUCUUAUGGCGAAGCUCACAAAACGAGGAAGAAACAUGGGAGAAAGAAUCAGAAGUGAGACGAAAAUUCCGCGACUUGUUAAUAAACUCAGGUACCUCACUCAAAUUUCAAGGAUGAAAUUUCUAUUAUGGGAGGAGAAUGUAAACCCCGGAAAAAAAUAAAUAAAUAAAUAACAGAAAUUCAAAAAAUUUUGAAUAUAAAUUUCCGGGUGAAAUAGUUGGAAACAUUAUAAUAAACCCGGUACUGUUGAGGGUUAGAUUUAAUUGAAGAGAAUAAUACACUUAAAGGAAAAGGGGGGCCUAAAUGCAAAUAAGGAAAAAUAUAGAGUAUAAAUACUCUCUCCUCACCAAAAAUCCGUAGGAACCCUAAGGAGAGAAGAUAGGGAGUUUUAUACCCAUUCUUGAGAAAUCAAGAGAGAAACACUAAAAUUUCAAGAACCCAUCCAAGAUUAAGAGCUUAUAGAUGGGAUAAAUACUUGAGAGCAAAGGAUUACCAAGAAAUUGAACAAGAAGAAAAGAAAGGAGGGAGUUGAAAAUCUUCAACUGGUUGAAAAUCAAUAUCUUAAUUUGUACCGGGUACGGUAUUCUAAACAUGAUCUUAAAGAAAUUCAUUUUUAAAUUCGAUAAAUAAUUGAUGCCUUGAUAUUGAAUCAUAGGUUAGGGUUCUUAGACAUAAAUUGGGGAAAUGUACUUAUUGUUGAGAUUAAGUUAAUUCGUGUGUGUGGUAUGUAGUUUAUGAAAGUAUUGUGUGAAGGGGAGGGGAGACAAAUCUGGACAGACUUGUCUCCUGACUUUCUGUGAGAUUUCAGGUAGGAGGAUGAGGGAAUUAGGAUCGGGUUCCUCAUAGGAAUUGUAGAUUUGAAUGUUAGCUAACCAAGGAAACUGGUCUUGCUCAAUUUGGAGAUGUAGAACUCCAAUUAUGGGUUACCAGCUGAGACUGAGUCGUGACUGAUUAUGUAGGGCAGUAGGACUAAUUAGUUAAUGAGCAAUUUUGACUAUUUUGGAGGCAAAACUGGGUUCUCCUCCCUCAGAGAACUUGUAGCCUUGUGUCUUAGCUUUCUAACGAGAUCAAUCUCACUUAAAAUGGAGUUUUAGAACUUUAGAUAUAGUUAAAAAUAUGAUGAGUGUUCAGACAAUAACAGUUCAAAGUUGGACAAUAACAGUUCAAAAUUGGACAGUAACAGUUGAAAAUUGCACAGUAACAAUUCAAAGUUGGAUAGUAACAGUUGAAAAUUAGAUUGUAACGGUUGGACAGUAAAAGUUCAAAGUUGGACAGUAACAGUUCAAAGUUGGACAGUAACUAUGAAACCCUAGAAAAUUUAUAAUUUAAAUAUGCGGAUGUAUAACCUCCCACGUAAACGUAAGACUGAAAGUGAUAUAUAAUGGAGGGGAUGACCUCCAUAAAAUGAAUUUUAUUUUAGAAUUCAUAAAAUAGAGAAACUGGUAACAUGUUUGAAUGGAUAAAAUAAUGAGAGAAAUAACAAAAUGUUUCUAAGAAAUAAGUGAGUAAUAAAGAAUACAUUAUAAUAAAGGAUAAUUCAAUGAAAAUGGCAGGACUGAAGGUGCAAGCAUCAAUUAAAAAUCAGUGACGUUACUUUGGAACGAUAAUAAUACCUGAUAAAUAAAUAAAGGUAGAAAUUUUAAAAUGAAUAUAUUCCAAAAUAAUAAAAUGACCUUAAAGGUUUAGAAGGAUGAUUGAUAUUAUUUUAUGUGAAGAUUGAACAAGAAAAUUUGGAUCAUUGACGAAAAGUUAUGAACUGACCAAUUUUACAUUAAAAAGCAGAGCUCUCAAUCCAAUCGUCGGAUCGGGAUGAAAUUUUGCAUGAAGUCUAUUAAUAUGUUUUCCUACCUUUGUGAAAGAUCUCAUCCCAAUGGAAGUUUGGUAAAGACUAGCGAUUUAAGCAGAAACAAACCGGAUGGGGUGAGAGACAAUAGAGAAUUCGGUUACAGAGAGGUGCAAGAUUUGGAGGAACCAAUAAUGCUUCGAUGGCCAUAUCUCUAGAAGCCACCGUUGGAUCAUGUUGAUUUUUGGAUAUAUUGUUCUUCUCACAAUCCUACACUAACUGACCGGAAGUUUCCUGGAAAACAUCAGGGAUUUGGAGGCACAUAAUCCGUUGAACAGAAAUCAUCAUCGAAAGUUUCCUGGAAAACAAAAGGAAAUAUACCUGCAGGGAAGUUUUGGUCACCGGCUGAUUUCUCUCUUUUCCACCGUUGGAUCAUGCCUAUUUUUGGAUAUGUGGUGCACCUCUAUGUUGCCUUCAUUCUGGACGGGGGAGAUCGCAAACUUACUCUCCGGCAGGUUUAGUUCAUGUUGAACAGUAGCUCGUCCAUUUUCAGGUUAGUUUGGUUUUAUUCAGAUCUAUGGAGAUCCAACCGUUGGAUCAUUCUAAUUUUGAGAUAUAAUGUACACAACACGAUGAUAUAUAUUAUGACCGUUGGGUUCAAGGAAAUAAUUAGAGGUGGAUGAGUUGUUGCUAUUUGAAUCUAUUGCUAGUCUUAGUAAAACAUUUAGGAAGCUUGAUUUAAUUACAUGUUUUGAUGAAAUUAGAAUUGUGUGGGUGUAGGGUUUAUGUAAGAUGUAAUGGUAAAAUAUGUUCUUGUUAUUAGUGUUGUUAUAGAUAAAUUGUGUUGUAAAAUGUGUUAGGGAAGUUUUGAAAUUUGGAUGAAGGGACAUUGAGUUUGUUGAUUUAAUGGAUAUAUGUUUUUAGGCAUUAAAAAAGGAUUGGGUCUAGUGGUAAUUGAAAGAAAACUUGAAGAAAAAUUUAUCCUCCAUUUAAUGCAAAGAUUCGGCCUAGACAUAUAAAUGAGAGGAUGUGCUUAAUUGUUUUAAUUGCUAUGGAAUUUGAGUUGAAUGAGGUUAGACUAGAUAUGAAAUAAAUGGGUAAAGGUUUAUCCGGAAUAAUUAAAAAGGGCCUCACCAUGAAGGAAGGCAUUCGGCCAAAUGAAGAAGAAAUAAAGGAGAUAAGACUUUGUUUCAUUUUCUAUGUAAAUUAGGUAUGGAUGCAUAUAUCUGGUAAAGAAGAUUAGUUAGGAAGUCAGAAGAAAGAAUAUUAAAAAGAACCAAAUUCUCAUCAUAAUAUGGAAUUCCGCCAAAAAUAGAAAUAUUGAUCUGAGCAAUUGACCAAUGACANNNNNNNNNNNNNNNNNNNNNNNNNNNNNNNNNNNNNNNNNNNNNNNNNNNNNNNNNNNNNNNNNNNNNNNNNNNNNNNNNNNNNNNNNNNNNNNNNNNNNNNNNNNNNNNNNNNNNNNNNNNNNNNNNNNNNNNNNNNNNNNNNNNNNNNNNNNNNNNNNNNNNNNNNNNNNNNNNNNNNNNNNNNNNNNNNNNNNNNNNNNNNNNNNNNNNNNNNNNNNNNNNNNNNNNNNNNNNNNNNNNNNNNNNNNNNNNNNNNNNNNNNNNNNNNNNNNNNNNNNNNNNNNNNNNNNNNNNNNNNNNNNNNNNNNNNNNNNNNNNNNNNNNNNNNNNNNNNNNNNNNNNNNNNNNNNNNNNNNNNNNNNNNNNNNNNNNNNNNNNNNNNNNNNNNNNNNNNNNNNNNNNNNNNNNNNNNNNNNNNNNNNNNNNNNNNNNNNNNNNNNNNNNNNNNNNNNNNNNNNNNNNNNNNNNNNNNNNNNNNNNNNNNNNNNNNNNNNNNNNNNNNNNNNNNNNNNNNNNNNNNNNNNNNNNNNNNNNNNNNNNNNNNNNNNNNNNNNNNNNNNNNNNNNNNNNNNNNNNNNNNNNNNNNNNNNNNNNNNNNNNNNNNNNNNNNNNNNNNNNNNNNNNNNNNNNNNNNNNNNNNNNNNNNNNNNNNNNNNNNNNNNNNNNNNNNNNNNNNNNNNNNNNNNNNNNNNNNNNNNNNNNNNNNNNNNNNNNNNNNNNNNNNNNNNNNNNNNNNNNNNNNNNNNNNNNNNNNNNNNNNNNNNNNNNNNNNNNNNNNNNNNNNNNNNNNNNNNNNNNNNNNNNNNNNNNNNNNNNNNNNNNNNNNNNNNNNNNNNNNNNNNNNNNNNNNNNNNNNNNNNNNNNNNNNNNNNNNNNNNNNNNNNNNNNNNNNNNNNNNNNNNNNNNNNNNNNNNNNNNNNNNNNNNNNNNNNNNNNNNNNNNNNNNNNNNNNNNNNNNNNNNNNNNNNNNNNNNNNNNNNNNNNNNNNNNNNNNNNNNNNNNNNNNNNNNNNNNNNNNNNNNNNNNNNNNNNNNNNNNNNNNNNNNNNNNNNNNNNNNNNNNNNNNNNNNNNNNNNNNNNNNNNNNNNNNNNNNNNNNNNNNNNNNNNNNNNNNNNNNNNNNNNNNNNNNNNNNNNNNNNNNNNNNNNNNNNNNNNNNNNNNNNNNNNNNNNNNNNNNNNNNNNNNNNNNNNNNNNNNNNNNNNNNNNNNNNNNUGGUACGUCAAACAAGUAUAGUAUAAACUCUUAUUAUUCAAUUGCCAAACCACACACAAAGAAGGUUCCAAUCAGAUUAUAAAUUGUUCACAUGAUUACAUUAGUUAUCUUAUUCGAAUAAUGCUAAUACUUGUAAAUGUUGUCAAGCAUUCAUGAUUAUAACUUAUGUUAACAACAAAUCAAGUUCCUUUCAUAGCUCAGGUGUCGGUUAUACCAUACAGUAUGGGCUAUGAAAGUCCCAAGUAUUUGUUGUACCAAGUGUUAUACAACAUAAAUCUAGAUUAGUCAUUCAACAAGCAAAGUAUUAAAAAUGAACAAGAUAACAAAUAUAAAACAUGUUAGUAUUCAACAUUAAAGUCCAUGUUAAGUUUAUAUUAUACUUAUCCUUACACCAUUAGUGUUACCCUUUCACCUUGACAUAAUAAACUUAGCUAAACAUAAUGAAAGAGAGAAACAUAAAUAAACAAGGAAAGGAAAUGAAAAGCAUAAGCAAGAGAUUAAUAUAAGCAAAACUUAAGCAUUACAAAGAGAGAAAGCAAGAUCAUGAUCUUGAUCUGAACACCAAGAUGCCUCAAUACAUGGUAAAUGCCUCCUUUUAUAGGCCAAAAUUUGGAACUAUUGAUUUGUUGACUAAUUGAUGAGUGGGUUGCCACAUCUUGACUUGAUGACAAUUCUUAUCUUUUUGUCUGCCAAAAACAUCAUUGAUAACGUCAUAAUUUGAACAGACUUAAAUCAUUAAAGUUCUAGUAAAUUGUCUCAGCUUUCCAGGAAAACAAAGAUGAGGUCAUUUGGACUUCUAGAACUCGAGAUAUGGGCUAAACACUGAGCAGUGUCUGGGCUGCAGAACAGAUUCAGACUUCUCCGUUGUUGCUACAAUUUGGACUUGAAAACAGCCUUUUUAAAUCUUGGACUCCCAUGAAAGUUUUAGGCCUAUAUCUUAGCUUUCCAUCCAUAUAGAGCAGACCUAAAUCCAAGAUCUACAGCUCCAGAUAUGCCCCAAUGACCGAACAGUGUUCCAGUUUGGAUUGAACCAGCAUCUCUCUUCUAAGUUUGACCCUUUCUUUGUUCUUUCAAUUUCAGUACUUAAACUCAUCAAUUAAUCCUUUUAUUUAUGUGAUAGGCCUGCAUUUUAGAUGAACGUUUACCAUAAAUUAAAGGUAUCUUAUAGUAUCAGACUUGUUAUUAUAAAACAUCUUAUAGUUAAGGAGUUAUUGAUACUUCAAGUGCAAAAUGAUGAUAUAUAACCUUGAUAAAAAUGCAUUUUUAAGUACUAAUCACACCCCCCAACCAGCUUAUUACUAGUCCCUAGUAAUCAAAGCGUUAAAAUAGAAAAACAAUUUGUAAAUUCCACAAAGCAAGGCAUUCAUCAUUCAACUUCCCUUAAUCUAUCGAGAUAAACAAACUCUCAUUAAGUUUAUAUAUCUGCUCAAUACCUCUUAAACAAGAUAUUAAUAAACCUUCCUUUUUAUGUGCUCAUUGUACGAAAACAUAGAUGAUGGGGCUUUUGUUGGAGGAAAACAAUAUUAUGUUCUAAUGUUUAAGGUUAACUUCCUUGGGUUGGGAUUAUUAUUAUUAUUAUUAUUUUUCUCUCUUUUUUUUAAUAUAUAUACAUAUAACUUAAAACACAAUGUAUCUUUAACCCAUGUAACGAGCUUUCGGCUAAUGGCUCCCAGACCAGUUGGUCUUAGGGCAUUAGGUGUUGAGACACCCCUACGAGCUUAGUAACUCGGGUUUCAGAUACUGAUACGUAGAUAGUGCAAUGUUUGAUUCCCUUAAGCUUUUCUCCUUAACCCAUGUAACAAGCUUUGGGCCAAUAGCUCCCAAGUCAGUUGACUUUAGGGUAUUAGGUGUUAAGACACCCCUUUGGGCUUAAUUGCUUAGGUUAGGGAGGCUAAGAAACCAAACUUAUCUACGUUUUUAUUAUCAUCAUUUUUUUUUGUUUUUUUUUAAAAUUAUAUACCAUCCCUUUCCCUUAGUUGUUACCUUUAACAAAAGAACAUAAAUAAUGUAAUAAUCCAAUGUGCAACCCACAAUCAUAUGUUAAAGUGUGUGUGUGUGAAAAUGAAGGUUUAAGAAUACUUGUUAAAUGAGUAUAUGAGCAGAAUUAAGUGAUAACAAUGCGAGAGUUUGUAAACCUGAAUAUUUCAAGAAGUUUUUUGAUAGACCUUGGUAAUGAUACUUACUAAGAUGCGUCUCUAGAGUCAAUAAAAUUUCCUCCUUACUCUGCCAUCCUAAUAAGAAUACUUUACUAAGAUGCGUCUCAAGAGUUAAUAAGACUGACUCCUUACUCAGCCAUCCUAAUAACAAUUGUGUCAAAUGGUUUUAAUAAUAGCAAAAACAGUUAGUAAGUUAGUUUUUUUUUAAGGAUUGUAGUUGGUCAAUCAAUUGUUCAGCAGUAGCAGCAGAGAUUAUGAUUUGUCAUGCUGAAGAUGUUAGAAAAUUCUGUUCCACAACAUGAUCAAGAAAAGACAACAAAUUAUCAUAAAAACCAUUGACAUUUAGCAAAUCUAUAGGUUUAUGGUGAAUGUGCAGUUGGGCCCAAGAGGAAAUAUGAAAGAUCUCUUCCAAUGUGCCUCGACCACCUGAUAAUCGAACCUUCGCUUCAAUCAGCCAGCGAAUAUCUUCAGGAAUUCCAUGAUUCAUUAACAAUCUCAAUCUUGCACACCUUGCACGGUAAAUUUUUGUAAUCACAUUCCGAGGCAGAGUGGGAAAAUACUUUUUCAAUUUUUCAAGAGUGGUGUCCAUUUUCAAAUGAGAAUUGGAGAAGAGAUUCAAAGAACUGAGAAAGAGCAAAGAAUUGCACAAAUAUGUACACCGAUAUCAGUUAUUAUGGGAAACUGAAAGAACCGACUUAAGUCACGGAGUAACGUUAUCCGCCAUUUGACCGGGGUGAGAGAAACUAGCAAAACAAAACACAAAACAAUGUGAGAAAAAAACAAAAUAAUCAACCUUUAUCUACAGGAUCACUCAAACCAAUGGAUUCAUUUUCACUAGGAAAAUUAUCAAAGUAAGCUUUCAAAUGAUGUUCAUUUACCUUAAAAACAUUGUUAUUCUUUGGAUUCUCGAUAUCACAGGCCCCAUAUGGAUACACAUGUUUCACAAUAAGAGGACCACUCCAUCUUGAUCUUAGUUUUUCAGGAGAUAAAUUGAGUCGAGAAUUAUAAAGCAAAACUUUUUGACCAAUAUCAACUUUUUGACAACUUUCACAAGUUUUGCAGAAUGCAUAUGUGUCCUUGAACAUGGUGGGCCAAUAAAAUCCAUUUUGAAAGAUUUUCGCAAUGAUCUUUUUUGAUGAGAAAUGACUCCCACAUGCUUCAGAAUGACAAAAUUUAAUGACACUACUUACCUCAUUGUCCACAAUGCAUCUUUGAAAUAUUUGAUCAGGACAAUAUUUGAAUAAGUUAGGGUCAUCCCAAUAAAAGUUUCUCACUUCGUUCAAAAACUUUCCUUUAUCUUCGGUACUCCAAUGAGUUGGCAAAUCUCCUGAGGCAAGGAAAUUGAUAUUUUUAGCAAACCAAGGCAUUGAACCAAGAGAAAGUAAGGAUUUGUCAGGAAAGUAAUCAUCGAUUGGUGUGAUGUCAGAUGUCGAAUCUGUUGUCACUCUUGACAAAAGAUCCGCAUCAACAUUUUUUAUGCCUUUUUCAUCCGUGAUUUCUUCCUGAGAAUAAGUCAUUUGCAAAUCUUCAAAUUCAUCAAACUCAGUAUUACUCAAAGUAGAUUCAAAUUGAUCAUAAACCAAUUCUUCAAUAAAAUCUACUUCUUAUAAAUCAUUAUCAUCUCCAGGUUGCUUGCAAAUGUUGAAAAUAUUCAUCUCCAAUGUCAUGUUUCCAAAAGAUAGCUUCAUCAGUCAAUUCCUACAAUUAAUCAAUGCAUUAGAAGUUGCAAGAAAUGGACGCCCUAAAAUAACAGGAAAUGAAUUACAUGUUUCAACAGGUUGUGUGUCCAAGACAAUAAAAUCCACAAGAUAAAUGAAUUUAUCAACUUGUACUAACACAUCUUCAACUAUUCCUCUAGGCACUUUUACAAAUCUAUCGGCAAGUAAAAGAGUUACAGAAGUUGGUUUUAACUCACCUAGAUUGAGACUUUGAAAAACUGAAUAUGGAAGUAAAUUCACACUAGCUCCAAGAUCAAGUAAGGCUUUUUCAAUUUUAUGUUCUCUAAUAAAGCAAGAAAUUGUAGGGCAACCAGGGUCUUUAUAUUUCAAAGCAUUAUUAUUCUGAAGAAUGUCACUUGUUCGGCCAAAAAGGCUUUCUUUUUCACAUUCAGUUUUCUCUUCACAGUGCACAGAUCUUUCAAAAAUUUUGCAUAAGAAGGAACUUGUUUAAUAGCAUCCAGCAAAGGUAUAUUGAUCCUUACCUGUUUGAAAGUUUCAAAGAUUUUAGAGUUGUGAUUGACUUUCCUUUGUUUGGCCAUGGCAUGAGGAAAUGGAAGUGCUGGCGGGGAAUCAGUCUUUUCUUUGUAAUGAUCAGAUUCAACCCCUUCCUUACCCUUAGAGAUUGACUCAUCAUCAUUCUCAUAAGGUUCAAGAAUGGGUUUUUCAAUAACCUUACCACUACGAAGAGUGAUGACUGAUUUGACUUGAUUCAUGUGUUGACUUCCAGAACUACUUGCAUUUGCAUGAUACUGCCCCUUGGGAUUUUGUUGUGGUUGACAUGGAAACUUACCUUUCUCUUGGAAACUAAGAGCAGAUGUGAAUUUUGCAAGAGUAUCUUUAAAAUCUAUCAUGCUUUGAGCAAGUUGAUUGUUAAUUGCCUCUUGCUUUUCCAUAAAUGCAUGCAAUGUUUCCUCAAGAUUUCUUCUAGGAGGGGGAGCAUAAGGAGGUGCAUAUCCAUGAGAAUUUUGGAAAUUAUGGUGUGCUUGAAACGGUGGUUGUGAAGUUUGUGCAUUAUUGUUCUCACUCUUCCAACUGAAAUUUGGGUGAUUUCUCCAACCAGGGUUAUAUGUUUGCGAAUAUGGGUUAUGAUUGGGCAUUUGAAAACUAUUUAAAGCAUGGGCUUGUUCAUGGAGACAUUCCUUAAUAGAAGGCAAAGUUGGACAGUCAUUGGUUGGGUGUUCAUUGGUUUCACAGAUUUGACACGCAAUGUCUUGAACAAAUUUUAAUUGACCACUCUUUUUCAAUUGUAGUGCUUCGACUUUUUUAGCUAAAGAUGCAAACUUGGCUUGGAGGUCAUGAUCUUCCCUAAGGUUGUACAUACCCCCACUAGAUGUAUGAGGUUGGGUUUUACUUGGUGCCUCAUAAGUACCUGUGGUGUCCCAAUUUUGUGCAUUUUCAGCUAGCAAGUCUAAGUACUCCAUUGCUUCAUUAGGGUCUUUAUCUUCAAAAGUUCCAUUACACAUCAAUUCAACCAUUUGCCUAUCUCUAGGUGUUAAUCCUUCAUAAAAAUGUGAAACUAAUCUCCAUGUUUCAAAACCAUGAUGGGGGCAAGUAUUAAGCAAGUCUCGAUACCUAUCCCAACAUUGGUAAAAUGUUUCUCCUGGUUUUUGAGAGAAAGUAAUGAUUUGUCUUUUGAAAGAGUUUGUUCUGUGAGAUGGAAAAAACUUCUUUAAAAAUUGUUGUUGCAUUUCAUCCCAAGCACGAAUGGAUCUAGGUCUCAAAUUUUGUAGCCAUGUUUUAGCUUUAUCUUUUAAUGAAAAAGGAAAAAGCUUUAAUCUAAUGGUGUUCAUGCUACAAUUUGAGUCAUUAUACGUAUUGCAGACCUCCUCAAAUUCCCUUAAAUGCAAGUAUGGAUUUUCUAAAUCUAAGCCAUGAAAAGAUGGUAAAAGUUGAAUAAUGCUUGUCUUAAAAUUAAAAUGAGAUGCAUCAAGAGGAAAAACUAUGCAUGAGGGUGCACUUGUUCUUAUGGGAUUCAUGUGGUCUCUAAGUGUUCUAACACGGUUAUUCUCAUUAUUUUCAUUAUGAAGCGAUUUGUUAUCUUCUUCGGCCAUAUUUUCUGAAAAUGAUGAGGAUACCCUACAAAGUCUACCACUUAAUGUACGUGACCACACUCACAUGCACGUGCAGGAAGAGAAUAAAAGAAAGAAAAGAAAAACAAUAGAAAAAGAAACAAAACAAAAGAAAUGAAGUUAGAUAUAAGAAAAGUGAAAAGAGAAAACAAAAUAAAUAACUCGACCAAAAACUUGACACGACCAAAAGAUUGAUGUCUUCUCCCAAGUGCAGGAGUGUCGAAGUAAUAAAUAACUCGGCAAGACAGGGAGGUUAAUUGUAUAAAUUAUAGAUAACAAUAAUACAACAAUAACAAUAACAACAACAAUAACAACAACAAUAAUAAUAGAGAUAAUAAUAAUAGUGAAGAAGAAGAGGAAGAAGUUGAUGAAAACUUUGAGAUGGAAGAUUAACGUAAAGAUUAAACAAUGAUAACAACAAAUGUCAAGGUUAGAGGAUCCACUAAUGGUACGUCAAACAAGUAUAGUAUAAACUCUUAUUAUUCAAUUGGAAACCACACACAAAGAAGGUUCCAAUCAGAUUAUAAAUUGUUAACAUGAUUACAUUAGUUAUCUUAUUCGAAUAAUGCUAAUACUUGUAAAUGUUGUCAAGCAUUCAUGAUUAUAACUUAUGUUAACAACAAAUCAAGUUCCUUUCAUAGCUCAGGUGUCGGUUAUACCAUACAGUAUGGGCUAUGAAAGUCCCAAGUAUUUGUUGUACCAAGUGUUAUACAACAUAAAUCUAGAUUAGCCAUUCAACAAGCAAAGUAUUAAAAAUGAACAAGAUAACAAAUAUAAAACAUGUUAGUAUUCAACAUUAAAGUCCAUGUUGAGUUUAUAUUAUACUUAUCCUUACACCAUUAGUGUUACCUUUUCACCUUGACAUAAUAAACUUAGCUAAACAUAAUGAAAGAGAGAAACAUAAAUAAACAAGGAAAGGAAAUGAAAAGCAUAAGCAAGAGAUUAAUAUAAGCAAAACUUAAGCAUUACAAAGAGAGAAAGCAAGAUCAUGAUCUUGAUCUGAACACCAAGAUGCCUCAAUACAUGGUAAAUGCCUCCUUUUAUAGGCCAAAAUUUGGAACUAUUGAUUUGUUGACUAAUUGAUGAGUGGGUUGCCACAUCUUGACUUGAUGACAAUUCUUAUCUUCUUGUCUGCCAAAAACAUCAUUGAUAACGUCAUAAUUUGAACCGACUUAAAUCAUUAAAGUUCUAGUAAAUUGUCUCAGCUUUCCAGGAAAACAAAGAUGAGGUCAUUUGGACUUCUAGAACUCGAGAUAUGGGCUAAACACUGAGCAGUGUCUGGGCUGCAGAACAGAUUCAGACUUCUCCGUUGUUGCUACAAUUUGGACUUGAAAACAGCCUUUUUAAAUCUUGGACUCCCAUGAAAGUUUUAGGCCUAUAUCUUAGCUUUCCAUCCAUAUAGAGCAGACCUAAAUCCAAGAUCUACAGCUCCUGAUAUGCCCCAAUGACCGAACAGUGUUCCAGUUUGGAUUGAACCAGCAUCUCUCUUCUAAGUUUGACCCUUUCUUUGUUCUUUCAAUUUCAGUACUUAAACUCAUCAAUUAAUCCUUUUAUUUAUGUGAUAGGCCUGCAUUUCAGAUGAACGUUUACCAUAAAUUAAAGGUAUCUUAUAGUAUCAGACUUGUUAUUAUUAAACAUGUUUUAGUUAAGGAGUUAUUGAUACUUCAAGUGCAAAAUGAUGAUAUAUAACCUUGAUAAAAAAUGCACUUUUAAGUACUAAUCAUGAAGUUACUAAGUUUGUACAUGAUGGGUUGAGUAGACAAAAAUAAAAUAAAAUAAGAUUGUUAGGUCAUGUUUAAAGAUAUUUAGUCUGGAAAGACAAGUCAUGAAAGGAAAGGAAAUAAAUAAAUAAAUAUGUGAAUGCAUGUGUCAUGCGAUUUUAAAUUUAAAUGAAUUUUAGAAUGGAAUUUUCAAUUAUGGUGGAGCCACAUUUGAUAUGUAUCUUUAAUGAUACUGGAGAGAUUGCAGAAUCUGUUCAGUAGCAUGGGACUUUUACGCGAGUUCAAGCAUUAGGUAGGUGUCUUAUACCUCAAACUUUUGUUUUUACAAUACUUGUUAGAGUUAAAUAAAUGGUAUUUUCUAUAAAUAUACUUGUGCUUGUGUAAUUGUGAAUGUUUAUGUCGAGGAAAAUAUAGUGGACUAGCUAGUUUGAAUAGAGUUAGUGGUGCUACUGUACUGACUGUUGAGUUAGAUGUAUAAUAACAAAAAUGAAAUGUACCGACUUUAGGGUGAUAAAUUAAUGGUACAUUAUGAUUAAAUUAUUGAUGCUCGAUUUAUAUAUGUAUACUGAUGAUGUGUAUGUGUUUAAAUAAUUUAUAUGAAGGAAGCAGGUGUAUCCCACCUUGUCUCUUUUAAGUUGUGUAAACUUAUUGGUAAAUUUCAGAAUUUAUUGUUUUAUUGCUUCGAUGAUAUUGACAUGAGUAAGAGUACCUUAUGUGCAACGGUAUACCUCUAUUAGUUAGGAUAAUGUUUGAACGAAUAGGAGUGACUUGCGUGUGUUGUUAUGUAUUGAAUUAAUUAUGUUAUUAUGGUCGUAGUGUCGAUAACUAAGUUUGUGUGGGAAUGAUGCUUAGCAACAGUUGUUAUAAUGCAUAUGAUGUAAGAAAAAAAAAGAAGAAGAAGAAGAAAAGAAAGAAAGGGGAUCGAUACGAAUGGAAAUUUCAAGUGACAUUGAUUAGCUAUCCGGGUUUGGAUAGCUAAUGGUAUCAAUGAGGUUUCAUUGGUAUCGGCAUUUAGGGUGACAUUGAUUAGUUAUCCGGGUUUGGAUUGCUAAUGGUAUCAAUGAGGUUUCAUUGGUGCCGGCAUUUCUUAAAUUGAUUAGUUAUCCCGAGCAAUUGGGUGACUAAUGAUGUUAGUAAUGAUUACUAAAAUCGGCAUGGUUACUCUUGGUUCAGUGAAAAAGAUAAGUUUAUUAACUAUUUUGGGUCGAGAAUAGUUAAUGAUAUCAAUUGGUCAUAUUGGUAUCGGCAACCAUUUCUGGUGUGAUUAGCUACUCCAGGUAAGGAGGCUGAUAAUGUAAAGGGUUCUUGACAUCGGCAACUUUGAUGAUAAAUCAUAUAUGAAUAGGAUUUGAUACUCCAGAUAAGAAUAGUUAAUGAUACUAAUCGGUUGUGUUAAUAUCGGUACGUGAAUGUAAGUUAUUAGUCUAUCCCAAUAUUAAAAGACUAAUGAUACUAAUGAGAUUUAUUAGUGUCGGCGAUUACUUUCUAGAAAAUAAAAGGGAAAAUAUUGAUUAGUUAUUCCAAAGGAAUGAGAUAAGCUAAUGAUACCAAGAGAGAAAUGUCUUGGUAUAAAGAGAGAAUUGAUUUAUAAGGAGAUGGUGUUCGAAAAUCAUUGAGUUGUGUUGAGAUUUCCAAGAUGAAAUUAUUCUCAACAAAUGGGAAAGGAUAUUAGAUGGAUAUUGGUAAUAGAUUGAAAAUGCAUGUUGUAAAAGAGGUUUAUACCUAAUUUUAUGUCUCAAAAGAAAUUCUAUGAAGAUUAUUACCUAUCAUUGUUAUUGUUUGUUACUACCUUUUUAUAUUUAUGUGUACACGUUAAUUUCUAUUUUCAGGUCCAUCAGGGUCGCGUCCGGAAUGAUAUUGGUUUAGUUACCUUUUGCUUUUGACCAUGUAAUUAUUUGUAAAUUAAGAGUCUUAUAUCCUAAAACUUGAAAUAUAAUAUUAAUCCGUAAAUUUGAAUGUAUGACUUUAAUCUAAUGUUUGUAACUUUAAGUACCUAUUUAACCAUGCAUGUUUAGAGUUGAAAACAAAUCUUUCACUUGAAUUACAUUAUAUGACGUUAUUGAAUAACAUGUGUUAUGUUGAUGAUGAUGAGUUGGGUUGAGAUCUAGGAUGAUUGGAUUAGGAUGUGAACUAAAAUUGGAAGUAUAAUAUGAUUUUGUCGAUAACUUGGGACCUCCUAGUAUAGGGGAGACUCUGCCAAAAUUUUGGUAGACAUUUGGUGGAACCGGUAUAUUAAAAAAAAAAUUACUUGAAAAUUUCCAAUGUAUCGUGAAAAAAGGAUGUUGGAAAUCAAGGUUGUUAUAGUAACAGUUGAAAAUUGGACAGUAACAGUUCAAUGUCUAGACAGUAACGGUAGGCUUUCACGUGAAUACUAUAUAUGCAAGAAUAUAAAAGAAUUGAGUCAUACGAACACUUGCACAUUGAGAUACUAACUCUGAAAAUAUACAUGAUAUAUGUAUGUAUGUUAUUAUGAGGAAAUGAACAUAUAUAGAAAGUAACAUAUGAGUAAUGGAUGAAUAUGGAUUCUCUAUAAUGUCGACUUGAAGGAAUCAUAACCAAAAACUUCCUUAUGAUUCAGGAGGAGCAACCAGGAUUGGAUUUUCUAAUAGGGGAGGUCGCGAGACAAGUGAAGCAGGUGCAUGAUUCUCCUCCUAUUUGGACUUAUACAAUUUAGAAUUCUUAUGGUGAAUGCAAUUACAAUAAAUGUCGUGUUUAAUGUAAAUAAAAAUCUAGCGUAAAUAUAAGAUUAGGAGAUGAUUUACAAGAUUAGCUUUGGCUAAUGGCAUCCGUGAUAGGAUUGCCGGGAGAUGAAUUACAAGAUUAGCUUCGGCUAAUGGCAUCCGUGAUAGGAUUGCAGGGAUAUGAAUUACAAGAUUAGACUUGGCAAGGUCACCCAGUUCAUGCAAGUAAAUAAGAGUAUUCAAAUCAUGGAUAUACAAAUGAGUGUUAAUUAGGUUUAAAAGACUUACAAGCAAAAUAUAAGUUCUUUGUUAGAAUUCUUAUGGGUCCGAUAGAAAGUUAAUACUUCAUUCGUAUUCAUUACAUGAGCAUCUAUAUUCUUUAUCAACAUAAUGAUAUGUUUAAUUAUGUAACAGGUCCAUCAAAUAUCCAGGAAGAUCAUUAGUUUAGGACUCUACUUUGCGAAGCUUAUGUAAAUAUUUAACUUAAACAAAAGGGAAUUAACGUGUUUAUGUAGUAUAUUUUUGUGUAAACCUUGAUGUAUUUAUAAAAGUUCAAUUUUGCAUGUGUUAUUUUAGUUAUCUUGUAAUUAACCCUUUUGAAAUAUUUAAGAACACUUAUUAUGUUGUAAAUACUUUCUUUGCAUGUUAGUAUUCCUUUCCUUUUAAAUUUUACGAUAUGAUGUUUGGACUAUGUUCAUAUUGAACUUACUCAUAGGAUAUAUAUAUAUAUAUAUAUAUAUAUAUAUAUAUAUAUAUAUAUAUAUAUAUAUAUGGUGUGGAAUUAUGAGGUAUGAUAUAAGAUCCGAAAUUAUGGGACCUAAUGAUGAUGGGUUGAUUGAGUAAAUUGAUAGUAGUUGAUAACUUGGGAUGUCACUCUGCCGAAUUUUUGGAAAAAAAAAAAUUUACCCUCAGAUAAAGAGGAUAUGUUAGGAUCUUUUAACAUUGAUCAAGUCGUACAGUUCGGACCGUUACAACACUCAAUGAACAUGAUUUACCCAUAAAGGAAAAAGAGACAUUCCUUACUUCAAGUUUGCUUUACUUAUGAUGUAGGCUAAGGACAACAACAACUGCAAGUUAAAGAGGGAUAAUCAUUAGAUUGUGUGUUGGGACAAAAUAAAUAAUUUUUUUAAUAUCCGUGAUCAGUACCGGUGAAUAUGAUAGAAUGGAAGACUCCCCUUCAUUAUCUAAAAAUAAAUAAAUAAAAUCUAGAUUAUCCUUCUAUUGUGUAUCAAAUUUAUGCUUUUUAUUGGUCAGUGAUUUUAAAUCCGGUUUGGUGGUCGACCCGACCCAAGGGGUUCUAGUCACGAGUUUUGAUCGGGUCACCUGAGUCAACUCCAAUUUUUUUAUAAAUCAAAACGAUAUCGUUUUUUAUUAAAAAAAAUCAACAGGUUGCAACCGGGUUUUUUAAUCCAUUUCAAGGGCAAUAGCAUUUAGAUCCAUUUCAAUAGCAUUGAUUCCAUCAGGGGCUCCGGUGUAUAGUGAGGACCUUGCUGUUAGAAACUAUGGAGCCCACUAUUUAUUAAUCCAUUUCUAUUUACUACUUAUUACUAUUUAUUUUUAUUUACUAUAUUUUUGUUUGUGAUACCCGGUACCAAUACAAUUUGAGAUUCCUUCAAUUUUUAAGGUGCAUGCAAGUCUAAUGGCUUCAUGUACAAAAUCAAUUCAAGGGUGUGUAUCCUUAACUAUCAGGCUAACCUUUACAAGCUUGGCAAUCGAUAAUUAAUUUUUAAUGAAUUCAAUUUUUUUUUAAAUAAGGAAAAGGACAUUGGUGAAUAAAUUGUUUCCUUCCUAUUAUAAUUGUUAGACCUUACCAAAGGGCUAAUUUAGAAAAAGAUUGUAACUUAUAGGUCACUAGGGCCGAGGUCAACUUGUGACUAAGUAGAUCAAUUUAAAUUAAUUAUUUUUAUUAAAAUAAUAAUGUUUUGUUUUUUUUCUUGAUAUUAAUUUGGCUAAUUUUUAUCAAAUCAAAUCACUAAGAACUUAACCAAAUCAAAUUUCAUCAAAUCAAUAAUAUUUUAUGUAGUUGAAUUAAAAAUUCAAUUCAAUUCUAGCUCUGAACCCUGAUUUUUUUUUUGUUCAAUCUAGCAUACAGGUUUAUCAAAUAUGCUUCGCGCUUGCAGCUGUGGUUUGCUGCGGGCAUUUGAUAAUUGGAUUACUGUAAAGAUUAUUGUUGUCAUUUCCAACUUCAUGCAUGUUGCUAGCACUAGAAGUUGACCCAACCACCCUUUCUACCAUGCUCUCAUUAGGACCAAAUAGUUCUCCGUGUGCAUACCAACACAGGUAAUCUUCCAUGAACCAUUUGGUUAGAAGAUGCAUCGUUACAACAUUUUGAUGCAGAAACGUUUUAUUUUUACACUUCCUGCAUGGACACCUAAUACCGCCAUCAGUAAAAUUCGUCGGAAUAGAUGUUGCGAAAUUAAUAAAACCCAGAACCCCGUUAUAAUAAUCCAUCCUCCGCAAUCCUUGGGGUGAGUCCCGAUACAUCCAUGAACGAUCAUCCAUGACUUCUAUCGAACCUCUAUAAAAUUAUGACGACAACAUGUAUUAAUUAACUAUGUUACGUAAAUAAAUUUGCAAAAAUAUUGGUUUGCCCCAACAUUAUCCAACAAACUAAAAAAACACUUAUGUUAAAUAUUCAUUAUCAAUUAUCAAUUAUCAAGGUCCAUACAAAUUUAUAUAUAUAUAAAUUUAUGAAAUCACAACUUCGCAAUAGAAUUGAUAAAAAUUAAAACAGACCCGUUAAACAAGCUAUUAUUUAUUUCAUCACAACAUAUCUAAUUCGGUGUAAUUCAAACAAAGUUUCAAUAAUUUACAAAUAAAUACAAUUUGACAAAAUCUAAAACAAACUAUAACAACUAUAAAAUUCUACAUUCAUACUACAAGUUUCUUUGACAAAUAACAAUCAAACAAGUACAUACGUUAACAAAAAUAUACAUAUACUAAAAAAAAAUGACAUUUAAAUGUUAAAACUAAAAGGAUAAAUUUACUUACAAAAAAUGAUAAAAUCCACAAUAAACUGCUCGGAGAACGGAUGUUGUGACCACGUACAAAAGUAUAAGAAACUUGAGUGCUUGUGUUGAGAAGAUGGGGGAGUUGGGAUGGGUGGUUGGCUGCAGUUUGGGAGGGCAGAGUUGGGAUGGGGAAAAAGAAGGGGAAGAAGAAGGAGAAAUAGGGCAGAGAGUGUCGGCAGAGUGGAUAAUAUAUUGGCUUUUACCGAUGGAAUCACCGACUGAACGUUUCCGUUGGUGAGUCGGCCAGUGAAUGUGCCACAUCACUGUAUGGCGAUCCCGGUUUGAAUCCCUCGGUAAUUCCAUCGGUAAAAUCAUCUGAAAAAAAUCCACGUCAUCACACCGUUGCAACUUUUCAAAAAACUAUAUAAUCCGUCAGUGAUACCGUCGGUAUAUAGCGACGGUAUCGCCAACGGAAAUUGUCUGUCGGUAUAUACCGACAGAAGUAGAGACGGAAUUAUUUUCGUCGGUAAUUUUUACCAAUGAAAAAAGUCUGUCGGUAAUUCCGUUGGUUUUCGCCGAUUUUUUGGUAGUGAAAUCUUAUUUAAAUUAAAAAGCCAAAAAUGAACUCAUCUACUCUUUGCAAGAAUGGACUAAAAUCCGCAUAAUUAAAUAGUACUGUUACUGUAAACUACUAGGAAAUUCAUGGGUAGAGCCAAAAUGUUAACAAUAGCAUUGAUUCGACCAAGUAAGGGGCUCACUAUUUAUUAAUCCAUUUCUAUUAAGGAAAUAACCAUAGAAAUUAUGGAGCCCACUAUUUAUUAAUCCAUUUCUAUUUACUACUUAUUACUAUUUAUUUUUAUUUAUUAUAUUUGUGUUUGUGAUACCCAGUACCAAUAAAAUUUGAGAUUCCUUCAAUUUUUUAGGUGCAUGGUCUAGUCUAAUGGCUUCAUGUACAAAAUCAAUUCAAGGGUGUGUAUCCUUGACUAUCAGGCUAACCUUUACAGGCUUAGCUAGCAAUCGAUAAUUAUUUUUUAAUGAAUUCAUUUUUUUAUUUAAAAUAAGGAAAAGGACAUUGUUACACCUUAACUAUUAUAAUUGUUACACCUUACCAAAGGGUUAAUUUAGAAAAAGAUUAUAACUUAUAGGUCACCAGGGCCGAGGUCAACUUGUGACUAAGUAGAUCAAUUUAAAUUAAUUAUUUUUAUUAAAAUGAUAAUGUUUUGUUUUUUUUCUUGAUAUUAAUUUGGCUAAUUUUUAUUAAAUCAAAUCACUAAAAACUUAACCAAAUCAAAUUUCAUAUUUCAUCAAAUCAAUAAUAUUUUAUGUAGUUGAAUUAAAAAUUCAAUUCAAUUCUAGCUCUAAACCCUGAGUUUUUUUUUUUUUUUGUUCAAUUUAGCAUACAGGCUUAACAAAUAUGCUUCGCACUUGCAGCUGUGGUUUGCUGCGGGCAUUUGAUAAUUGGGAGAGGCUUUAGUUUCGUACCUGUUGUUCUGCUUCAUGUACACUCGGACCUCUUAUUUUAUUUUAUAUUGGUUGGAUCCAAACUUAAUCCAACACAAAAUUAACAUAUUUAUUAUUUAUUUAAGAUAAAUGAUAUAGGUUUAACAUAUUAGCGAACACUUAAUAUGAUUAAAUUUAAUUUUAAUUAAUUAACAUCUCACCGUAAUAAAUUUUACCAUUUGCAACCAAAAAACAGUUGACACCUUAUUAAUAUAAUCAAUAUAGUAGAAAAAUUAUAGUGAUUUAAAACAAUUCAUUAAAAUGUUCGUAAAUGUUUUUAUUUUGUGACAAGGAUUUUCAUGUUAUCUGUUAUGUAUUGUUACUGUUAUAAUCCAUUUCUAGAUUAUUUCUCAAAUUCCAUAAUUAGAUUUUUAAUAGGUCAAUUUGAUUUAAUCAUUGGCCAAAUUAAAUUUUAAUUAUGUUUAAAAUUUUAUUUGGGUCCUAUUGAAGGAUUUAAUUAGAUGCAAUGACUUAACUUUACUUUAAAUGGGUCAAAUUAAAUUUAUAAGGGUAAAAUUGCAAGAAAAUCAAAGUUUUUGGGGUCAAUUAAGGGCUAAAUUAAAAAAAUUCACAGCCAAGAACUAUUUUGCAAAAGACGCUAAACUAUAGAAACUCAAUUGAUUGAAAUUAGAGAUGGAAAUGAAAGAAUUGAAAGUUUAAGAAUCAAUUGAGGGUUAAAUUGCAUAAAUCCAAGACCAAGGAUCAAAAUGAAAUAGGUGUUGAAAUUUGAGGCUGACAUUCAAGUUCGGCAGAGGCAAAAUUGCUUAAAAUUGAAAGUUUAAGGUCAAUUAGGGAUGCAAUUGAAAGAAAUUAAAAGUCGGAGGACCAAACUGAACUUUGGCCAAAUCCCUAAAAUAAAACCUUAAGAGCCAAAACAACGUUGUUUCAUUUAAAUGCAUUUAAAUGAAACAACGUAAAUGAAACAACGUUGUUUUGACAAAACAGUACCAAAAAAAAAAGGCAAACCAGACAACGCAUCAUCUAGACUGUUCAUCUUCUUCAUCAUUAGCCUCCUAGAAAGCUUCUCAAAUGGCCACUUUCUCAAGGCAUUUAAUGUCUUUUCUCUCCAUCAAAUUUGAUAAAAUUUGCACGCAAACGGUGGCCUAACAUCUGGUGUUGUCCUUUAUGGCUGAUUGACGCCACAGCGGUUAUGGCACCGCCUUAAAGUGGCCAACCCGACUAGCCCUUCUGUAGUAACUUGUCAAACCAUGAUUGCAACUUUAAGUCAAUGGUUGAGAUCUUUCAGAGUUGAAUUAGGGGCUAAGAUUUAGCAACUUUAAAUCAAUUAUUGCAAAGUCAAUGCUUUUAUUUUGUGACGACGAUUUUUGUGUUAUCUAUUAUGUGUUGUCAUUGUCAUAAUCUGUUUCUAGAUUAUGUUUCAAAUCUAUCUUCUUUCUUUUCAAAAUAAAAAAGAUCAAAAAAUAAUAAUAGCCAGAAAACUAGCAUUUUGGCAAAAGCAAGUUGGGAAAAUUUCAAAUGUAGAAUUGCAAUUUUGGAUGGAAUUGGGAGCCUAAUUAUAUCUUAUUUAUCCAAAACUAGAGAAACAAUACAAAUUCAAUGUCAAGUUAAAUGAUUAUUGAAUGAAUCUUUAUAAAAAUUAAGUCUAAGGACAUAAUUAGAUUUUAAAUAGGCUAAUUUGAUUUAAUCAUGGGCCAAAUUAAAUUUUAUUUAUGUUUAAGAAUUUAUUUAGGUCCAAUUGAAGGAUUUAAUUAGAUGCAAGGACUUAAUUUUACUUUAAAUUGAUCAAAUUAAUUUUAUUAGGUGACUUAAUUAGUGAAAAAUUAAGUUUGGGAGCCCAAUUUGAGCUUAAUUGAGAAGAUUGAUAUUUUAGGAUGUCGUACAUGGACGUGCAACAUCGGGGGGUCAUUUGGAGUCGUCACCUAGUUAUUUAGUUCAAGGUCGCUAAAAAACCUAGGUAUAUUGGUCUUGUUAGAGAUUCGAGAGUAAAUGACUAGUUGUGGCUAAAAAAGGUAUUAACACCCCUAACGCAACCUACCCAGGUAAGUUACUUUGUGAUUAGAUGUGGUUUAGAGAUUUUAAUGGUUUUUUAAUAUAUCUAUAGUUUAGGAUUGCGUUUUGCAUGUAUGAAUAAAUUUGAUGUUUAAUAAUUUAUUAUGGACUCUUGUACCCAGAUCAAUUCUUAGAAAAAAAAGUUCUUCGUAAUUUAUGUAUUGUGGUAAAAAUUACUCUCAAUAAAAAUUAAUGAUUAUUUAGAAUAACUUUGAGGAUUUUCUGGUCAACUCCAAUAUUUCAAAUAUCAGCCUCACUUAUAGGUAUAGCGUUUUAUAUCAAGAUUUUUAACCAUUAAUUCUCAUGAAUUAAAAAAUAGUGGUCUAUUAAAAUAUUGAUCAAAUUCACAUGAAUUUAAUAAACUAGUUAUUAAAUUCUAAAAUGCAUAUUCAUAUAUAAUAUUUUAAUUUGUUUUUAAAUAAAAAAUAUUUUUAAAAAGUAUGUGCCACAAUACCAAAUUAUAGUAUAAAUUAAAAGAGAAAGUAGUUUUCUCUUCAUCACUAUUCACUUAUAUUCAUUUCACUAUGGAUAUUAAUAGUGAAUUUUUUGAAAAUUUCCAAUGUGGUAUUCAAUUAUUUUCUUCACAAUUGAGCUCUUUUAAAUUCAAAUUAGAGUCUAAUUGCAUAUUUUUUCAAGGAUGAGGAUUGAAUUGAAAGACAUAGGACUAAAGUGAAAAACUCGACUAAAAUAAGUGGUGGCUUUGCAAUUUGUUUGCAAAGUUCAUUUUAGUCCCUAUAUUUUUUCAUCAUUUUAUUUUGAUACCAAACUUUAUUUUCCUCUGUUUUUAGUUUUUUUUUGUGUAGGAGAGAGAGAGAGAGGAUCACUGAAUUUCAUUUUAGAGAGAGAAAGUUGUUGUUGGGGAUUUUGGCCACCAAAACGGUUGAUUUUUGUGUCAAAUUAUUAUGUCUUAAUUUAACAAGAUUCCUUGGAUAUUUUCUAGGUGUUUUGGAUCAAAAUGAGUUGAAAACAAGUUUUUUGAUAAAAAAAAAAUCAAGCCUCCUUUUUCUAGCCAUACUAGUAAUCGAAAUCCGGGGACGCAUUGACGACACAUCGUUUGUUGAGGAAAACGCCGUGUCAUUUUUUUUCAAAGCAUUGGGGUGACGACGUGUCAUCCGCCCUAUUAACUUAAAAAAAGUUAAAGGCUUGUGCGUGUGUGCCGACUUUGCAAGUCAGUGCGCGAGCCUUUGAUGGGUGGGCCAAACACUCUAAGCUUGACUCUCCAAGCUCAGCAAUGUCUGACUUCAUUCAUUUCCUUUUAUUAUUAUUAUUAUUAUUAUUAUUAUUACCUAUAUAUAUAUAUAUAUAAGAAAAUAAUUAAGAAAAUAAUUUUAAAAUGAUGUUUUCAUUAAUACUCGUUCUCUAUGUUAAUAUGAUUUAUUUGUAAUGUUUUAUAUAUAUUUCAGAUAUAUUAAGUAUUAUUUUUUUAUGUGUGUGUCGAUUUCUCUUAUAUAUUGAUUUUAGUAAACAAAUUCAUUAAAUAUAACCAGAGAAAUGACUCAUGUUGCAAUAUUAAAUAUCUUGAUCUAUAUUUGUCCCUCAAUUUUUCCACUUGCUUUUUUAAUUAUCGAUAAUGACUUUGUUUUUUUUAUUUAUUCACACAAUAAAAAAACACUUUGAGAAAUUAUUAGGCUUUUCUAUUAUUUAUUUGAAGGGAAUAACUUUUUUAUACUUAUACAAUAUUGUAAGGUUUUAUAGUUUUAAUAUAUAAAUGGUUGUAAUAGCUUUUUGGCAUGUGAGACUUGGAUAAAUGAAAAUCAAAUAUUUUGGGUGUCUAUCUUAUAGUUAUGAUAUUUUUAGUAUUUGAGGGUUUUGACUUGGAAUAAAUCUUGUUAUUAUUCGUUUUCGUUUAUAUCAAUUUGGUUAGUGUCUUAGGACCAAAAGAAAAGAAUCAAAAUGAAAAAAACACAUUUGAUUUAAAAUAACUUAGAUAGAGAUAUAAAAUAAAUAUAUUUCUAAGAUAUUUUUUGAAUGAGUUUCUAUCAUUACAAAACAAAAUGUGCAUGAAAAUAUGUUUCAUCUAUCUCCACCAUCUCUAUUUUUAAAAAAAGAUAUACUCUAACCAUCUAGGUGGUGGCCUAGUGGUAAGAGCUUGGGACCAAGAGGUUUGCUCCCUCUGUGAUCUCAGGUUCGAGCCCUGUGGUUGCUCAUAUGAUGGCCACUGGAGGCUUAUAUGGUCGUUAACUUCAGGGCCCGUGGGAUUAGUCAAGGUGCGCGCAAGCUGGCCCGGACACCCACGUUAAACUAAAAAAAAAAAGAUAUACUCUCUUCCCAUUUUCUCUCCCUGCUGAAUUUUGGAAACCACCCACACAACAAUAGCCCUCACAACCACCAACAUGAUUUUUUUUAAUCUUAUUUAGCCUUUCUUCAAUUAUUUGUAAUUAUGUUGGGUGUGUUUAGUUUUUUAAAAAAUUAGUAUAAUUCAUCUGUAAUUUUUUAUAUAUAUUUCACAUAAAUUAAGUAUUUAUUUUUUUAUAAUAUUUUGAAUAUGUUUAUCCUUGAAUUUUUUUUCUUUUUAUGUUAUUCAAUAAAUUUGAUGUGUGUGUUGAUUUCUAUUAUAUAAUGAUUUUAGUAAACAAAGUCACUAAAUAUAGCAAGGUAAAUGACCUAUGUUACAAUAUUAAAUAUCUUGAUCUAUAUUUAUCUCUUAAUUUUCCACUUGCCUUUUUAAUUAUGGGUAAUGACUUUGUCUUUAUUUAUUUAUUUACACAAUGGUUCGUGCUUUGUUUAAUUCGAUACGUGCCUAAUUUUUUCGAUUUACAUUUAUGAUUUUUUUAAUGUAAAAAGAACGCGUUAAGAAAUUCUUAUUCUUAUGAUUUUAAUUUAAUCCUUAUUCUUAUGAUUUCUUUCUUUUUUCCUUAACCCUUUUAUAACAAAAAUAUUGUUUGUAAUUUCACCCUUCAAUUCAAUGUGAUGGUGUAUUGUUUUUGUUUUUUUAUUUUAUUUUGAUCCUCAUUGAUCGCUUCUUUAUAUAUAUAUUCUUGUUUGUUAUUAUUGCCUUAUAUAUAUAUGAUUCAAAUAAAAUCAACUUAUUUAAGUCGGUCCGGACUAUAAAGUUAUUUAAUGUUUUUUUUUUUAAAGAAACACGCUUGUAAUAUAGUGCGGAAACCAGCAGGUGAGACUUGAGUAAAUGAAAAUGAAAUAUUUUGAAUGUCUUUCUCAUAGUUAUAUUAUUUUUAAUAUUUGAGGGUUUUAAUUUGGAAUAAAUCUUGUUAUCAUUCGCUUUUGUCUUGUCAAUUUGGUUAGUGUCUUAGAAAAACAUAGGAUUCAAAAAGAGAAAAACAUAUUUGAUUUAAUAUAACAUAGAUAGAGAUAUAAAAUAAAUAUAUUUCUAAAAUAUUUAUGGAAUGAUUUUCUAUCAUAUCAAAAUAAAAUGGGCAUGAAGAUUUCUUCUAUCUCCACUAUCUCUAUUUUUAAAAAAAGAUAUGCUCUAUUUUCCCAUUUCCCAUGAAAAUGGGCUGAAUUUUGGCGACCACCCACACAACGAUAGCCUACACAAUCACCAGCCAUGCCACUUUUCAAGACCCCAUCUCUCAAUCUCAAAACCAGAAACAACCCCCUUCUCCAUUAAACCGAAUCUCAUAACUCCAGGAAAGUGAAGGACCAAACCAUACUGUUAAAAAUCUUAAAGGGUUUUAAAUUAUCUCUUUUACUUUCCCUCAAUUUUCUAGACAAGAAAAAGGAGCUAAACUUAUUCCCCACCAAAAUGUCAAGAAUUUCAGUAGAACGAAAGAAGAGAUUAUUACUUGACCAAAAAACAACUAGUCAGCACCCAAAGAAACCGAGUGAAUGAGAGAAAAAGACUAAUAGCUAGGAAACAAUCAACAAAUCCAAGAACUUUCUAUACGGUUUCCAAGAAAAUGAAAAGAAACGAGCAAGACAACCCUCUUUCUCCUCUUUCAGUGUUCAAAAAAACAAAGAAACGUAAAAGAGGACUUUUCAAAGUCAGCUAAGUAUAUGGCUUAUUAUAUUCAUAGAGAGAGGCGGAAUUAAUUUUAUAAGCCAUGUAAAAUAUAUCUUUUUUCUUGGCAACCAAACACAACCAGAAGCCCAAAUGAAAACAAUUUUGACGAAUUCCCACCAAACAAUUGAACUGCUGUUGUAACUAAGAUUUUCAGUUAUACGUAAUUUUUGUGGUCCAAAGGACAAAUAAUUUUCUUUUCUUUUAUUUUAUCAGCUUAAUUUCACUUGUGGACUUGAUGGGCAACCAGACUUGCAAAUUGAGGUUCAAUCUCGUAUGCACAAUUAAAUCUCGUAUGCGUAAAUUGCAAGCAACAAAUUUUAAAGUGAAUUUGGUUACUGAAACUGGUUUGACAACGACUCAAAACAAUCUGAAAGUGCAAAAGAAAGGAAACAAAUUCAAGAAAAAACAAAAUGCUAAUAAGAAGCAUAGAGUUUGUUUCCAUUGUGGAAAUAAAGAACAUUAGAUAAAAUAGUGCGGAUUCAAGAAUUUCAACAAGAAAGGUGGUUCUUUCAAAGUAAAUAUGGUUGAACAAGAUGAAGGCAGGGAGUUAGUUGUCAUGGUUUCAAACAUUCAAAUUUGAAUGAUUACCGAAUUAAAUAUGGCAACUAAGUUAUAAAGACUUCAGAUUGGUGGCUGGAUUCUGGUGCAACAGUUCUUGUUUGCAACAACAAAGCAUGGUUCAAGACUUAUGAAGAAUUGAAAAAACCUGAAGAGGUCUUGAUGGGCAACCAUAAUUCUGCCAAAGUUUUGGGAAAAGGAACUAUUGAGUUGUACUUUACUUCUGGACAAAAAUUAUCUUUACUCAAUGUGUUUCAUGUUCCUGAAAUUACAAAAAAACCUUGUAUGCAGUUUUGGGAAAAGGAACUAUUGAGUUGUACUUUACUUCUGGACAAAAAAUGUCUUUACUCAAUGUGUUUCAUGUUCCUGAAAUUACAAAAAACCUUGUAUCUGCUAGUCUCUUGAGCAAGAAAGGGUUCAAGAUUGUUUUGGAGUUUGAUAAGGUUAUUGUAACUAAGAGUGGGAUGUUUGUGGGAAAGAGUUAUUCUUGUGAUGGCAUGUUUAAGUUCAGUAUUAAUGAAAUCAAUGUUAUUUCUGCUUAUAUGGUUGAAUCUACUUCUCUUCUUUGGCAUGCUAGAUUAGAACAUCUAAAUUAUAGAUAUUUUAAAUAUAUGUGUAAGCAUGGUUAUAUUUCAUAUCAAUAUAAUAAUAAAAACAAAUAUGAAGUAUGUAUUCAAGAAAAGAUGAAAAAGAAGUCUUUUUCUAAAGUAGAAAGGAAUUCUCAAUUACUUGAGUUGGUCCAUUCUGAUAUAUGUGAAAUAAAUGGUAUGUUAACAAGGGGUGAGAAAAGAUAUUUCAUAACUUUCAUUGAUGGUUAUUCUCGUUUUACCUAUGUUUACUUUUAAGAACUAAAGAUGAAGCCUUUGGAAAAUUCAAGAAAAUGGUAGAAAAUCAAAAGGAAAGGAAAAUUAAAGUUCUUAAAAGUGAUAGAGGUGGAGAAUACUUUUCUAAGGAUUUUUCUACAUUUUGUGAGGAAAACGGAAUAAUCCAUCAAAUGAUAGCACCCUAUACACCACAACAUAAUAUGGACUUGCUGAAAGGAAAAAUAGGAUCUUAGUGGAUAUGGUCAAUGCCAUGCUUUUGAAUGCUACAUUACCAAAUAAUUUAUGGGGUGAAGCCUUACUUACUACAUGUCACAUUCAUAAUAGAGUACUAUCUAAAAGAUUAAAUGUUUCUUCCUAUGAAGCAUGGAACAGUAGAAAACCAAAUCUGAAUUAUUUUAAAGUAAGGGGGUGUGUAGCUUUUUAUAAAAGUUCUAAUCCUUAAAGAACAAAAUUAGGACCCAGAAGUCUUAGGAGUGUUUUUGUUGGUUAUGCACAAAAUUUAAAGGCUUAUAGACUUUUGGAUUUAGAAACUAAUGUGAUUGUUGAAUCUAUACAUGUUGAAUUUAUCGAAUAUAAAUUCAUAAGUGAUUCAAAUGUGCAAGAACCAAAUCUAAAAGUAAUAACUCCUAGCUCAACGUUAAGUGAAAAAUGUAAAAACCUAGAAGUAAUAGGUUCAAGUGAACCUAAAAGAAGUCAAAUAGUUAGAAAGGAAAAACACAUAGAUACAAAUUUUAUUUCUACUGAUUCAAUUGUAUUUUUAGUGGAAGGUGAUAGAAAUACAAUAUUAAAAAAAAAACACCUAUGAUCCUAACUAUAGAAGAUGAUCCAAAGACAUUCGGUCAAGCUAUGACUUUUAAGGAUGUUGCUUUUUGAAAAGAAGCGGUAAAUGAUGAAAUGGAUUCAAUAUUGUCUAACAAUACUUGGGUCCUAAUAGAUUUACCUCCAGGUUAUAAGCUAAUAGGAUGUAAGUAGGUGUUUAGAAGAAAAUACAAUACUGAUGAUUCUAUACAAACCUUCAAGGCAAGAUUGGUUGCCAAAGGUUUUACUCAAAAUGAGGGUGUUGAUUAUUUUGGCACUUAUUCUCCAGUGGCAAGAAUUACAUCAAUUAGAGUUUUAUUUGCAUUAGCAUCAAUUUAUAAAUUGUAUGUUCAUCAAAUGGAUGUAAAGACAACUUUCCUAAAUGGAGAUUUAAAGGAAGAAGUGUAUAUGGAGCAACCUGAGGGUUUUAUACUUCCUGGAAAUGAAGAAAAAGUCUGUAAAUUGGUAAAGUCUUUAUAUGGUUUAAAACAAGCUCCGAAAUAAUGACAUGAAAAGUUUGACAAAACAAUUUUGUUGAAUGGUUUUCAUCACAAUGGUGCUGAUAAGUGUAUGUAUUCCAAAUUUACAAAAGAUUUUGGUGUGAUUAUUUGUCUCUAUGUAGAUGACAUGUUAAUAUUUAGCACCAAUAUGAUUGGAAUAGUUGAAACCAAAAGGUAUCUCACUUCUAUCUUUAAAAUGAAAGAUCUUGGUGAAGUAGAUACAAUUUUAGGUAUCAAAGUUAAGAAACAUAGUAGUGGCUAUGCACUUAAUCAAUCACAUUAUAUUGAGAAAAUGCUCGAUAAGUUUAAGCAUCUCAAUAUAAAGGAGGCUAAUACCUCAUUUGACUCUAGCAUGAAGUUAAAUGAUUAUUGUGAUAAAGCGAUAGCGCAACUAGAAUAUGCUAGUGUCAUUGGAAGUCUUAUGUAUGCUAUACAUUGUACAAGACCAGAUAUAGCUUUUGCUAUAUGCAAGUUAUCAAGAUAUUCAAGCAAGCUGAAUACAGAUCAUUUGAAGGUUAUUGCAAGAGUCUUUGGUUACCUAAAAAUAACGAUCGAUUUAGGCUUGUUUUAUUCUGAUUUUCCAAUUGUGAUGGAAGGAUAUAGUGAUGCAAGUUGGAUGACUAGUUCAAGUGAUAAUAAGUCCACAUCAGGAUGGAUUUUCUCACUUGGAGGAGGUGCAAUAUUUUGGGCAUCUAAGAAACAAACAUGCAUCUCUCAUUCUACCAUGGAAUCAGAAUUUAUUGCUAUAGCUGCUGCAGGUAAAGAAGCAGAAUGGCUAAGAAAUAUGUUGUUUGAUAUUAAGUUGUGGCCACAACCUAUGUCAGCUAUUUCUUUAUGCUGCGAUAGUGAAACAACUAUGUCUCGAGCUUAUAGUAACAUUUACAAUGGUAAGUCAAGACAUACAAGCAUUCAACAUGGAUAUAUUCGAGAGUUGAUUACAAAUGGUGUAAUCACCAUUGUCUAUGUGAAAUCUGUGAAUAAUUUAGUGGAUCCGCUCAUAAAAGGACUAUCUAGAGACAUGGUACGAAAAACAACUAAUGGAAUGGGGUUGAAACCCGUUAUUCAAGAUACCAAUAAUAGGAACCAAACUUCGGAUUAGCAAGAAGCUUAUCUCUUAGUUUAAUGGGUAAUAACAAGUUACUGUUUUGUAUAUGUUGGACACUGAUAAUUAAUUUGAGUCCCUAUUCUAAUAGUAUUCAGUGUGUUCUAUUACGAAAAGUAGGAUGAGCAUGGGCUCUUAAUAAAAUUUAAAGUUCGUGUCUAAUGUAAUAGAGACAUGUAUAAUUCCACCUAUAUGAAUAUAAAAGUGGUGCCGCUUUUGACAAGACUUAGGGUUUUCUCUUAUAGAUAUUUAUGAAAAAAAAAAAUUAUGAUUUUAGCACAUGGCCAUAAUAGUGCUAAACAGUUGUAAACCUCUUUAAGAGUUUGGAUAGUAUUAUGUGUGUAGUAUCUUUUAUUCUACAACAAAAGUUUUGGUUUAAUCUACAAACACCAAUAACUUUAGUAGGAUUUAAGUUCUAACACUAAUUGAAGGUUUAAAUUGCAAAAUACCUUCUUGUAAGUAUAAUUCUAUCGAGUGAAAAGACCUUCAUUACAAACUAGUGGGGGAUUGUUGGUGUAGUUUAUAAAUGAAUAAAGAAAAGAUGUUUAUCACACAUUGGAAAGAAACACUCCCUCCUAAUGUUUCUAAGUGUGGGUUACUAUUGUGUAGUAAAUUAAGCCAUGGUGGACAAACUCUUCUAUUUGGCUUCCUAAUGUUAUUAUAUGGAUAUUUAUAAUAUCAAAAGAUAGCAUUUGGAACUUGGAAUUAAUAUGAACAAUUAUACUGUUUCAUGAAUAGUCAUAUUGUUUGAUGAUCAACCAUUGUGUUUCAUCAAUAGUCAUAUUGUUUUAUUCAUCAACAAUCAUAUUAUUUGAUGAACAAUCAUAUUGUUUCAUCGUUAUAUUUGAAGUCUAUAAAAGCAUAUUACUAUACAGAAAAGAAAUACAAUAAAAAAAACAUACAUUCUUUAAUUGGUCUUGAUCAACACCUCUUCUAAUUUCUUCAAUCUUCCAAUCACAUUCUCAGGAAUCCUACUUAGCCUUUCACAACCUGUCACAUCCAACAACCUUAACUCCUUGAGCUCUCCUAUUUCAUCAGGUAAUUCUUCAUUGGAGAGGCACCGCUUAAGACUAAGAAUCUUAAGUCUCUGCAGCUUUCUCAACCAAAUGAGGUCCUUGCAUUCACACAUGAUCAACACCAACGAUUGAAGUUUCGUUGAGAGUUCAAGUGAUUGCAAUGACAAACAACCUCCCUUCAGAGACAAAACUUCAAUUUCUUUCAUCCCUUCAAAGAACCUCUCUGGAACAUUCAUACCAUAAUCCACUUCUAACAAUAGAACUUUGAGCUGUGGACAUUCCAAUCCUUCAGGAAGUUCGGUUAAUUUAUUGCCCAUUAACGAAAUUGUUGUACAAGCUUCAAAGCUUUUGAUACUCAUUGGCCAUUCCUUCAACCCAAUGCCAGCCUUUAUUAUGAAUCCAUAUUCUUGUGAUGACGCUAUCCGAAUAGCAACAUCACGAACCAAGUCAUGCAUUUUCACAUGUUCAUCUGUUUCAGUGUCCAACAGCAUGCAACAAUCUUUGAGUUUUUUUAUUUCCACAUAAACUCGUUUCCUUGCAUCUCCAAUGGACUCCACAUCUUGAUGUAACUCAUACCCAACUGCGUAUCUCGUCAAGUCCUCAAUUGGAAUGUGGUAAUCUUCUGGAAAUAAACAACAUAGCAAGAAACAUAACUUGGUUUCCUUGCUUUUCAAAUAAUCAUAGCUCAACUUAAGACAUGCAUAUGCAGUUCUUUGUUCAUCAAUGUGUUCCAUGUCCGGAAAAUGAGAGUUUUUUAGCUGUCCAAUUGCUACUUCCCACUCAACUGCAGAUUUAUCUCUUAGAGCCAUUCCCACUGUCACAAGUGCUAUAGGCAAGCCUUGGCAUUCUCUCGCAACCUCCCUUGCCACUGUGUUCAAGGUAGAUUCCCCAACACGUAAACCUGCAUUGAUUCUGAAUAAAUCCCAUGCUUCUUUUUCAGGUAAGGGACUUAACAGCACUUUUUUCCGGCAUUCCGUAUAAGAACAUAUGCCUUGAAGACGUGUUGUUAGAAGAAUUUUACAACCCCUGUGAUCAUCACCAAAUGGGAUCCCUAUCUCUUGGAAGUCAAUAACUUUCCAAACAUCAUCCAGGAUAAUAAGCAUCCUCUCCACUUUCUUCAGUCUCUGCCAUAAUCGAUCUGCUCUCCCAUCUUUACUACUUCCUCUAAUAUCCAGACCUAACUUAUCUGCCAUUUGGUUCUGGAGGUCUGUGACAUUUGGAUUCUGCGACACCGUAGCCAUCAAAACUUCAUCAAAAAGCUGCGACUCUCUGGCUAUCGUGCCUACUUUUCGCACAAGGGUGGUUUUACCCACCCCUCCCAUGCCGCACAGUCCGAUCAUAUUGACUUUGUCAUCUUUGAGAGCUUCCAUAAUAUGUUCGAAAGCUUCUUCUGACGAUUUUGAGGGGGUGAAUUUCUUUGAUUGAAGAAAUUCUAUGGGCUGAGGAUGAGUUCUGUGGGACACUUUUGUAGACUUUUUUUCUAAAAGUUCUCUGAAAGUCUCCGACUUCUUGGCCAGUGCCUUGCUAAACUUGAAUUGUCGCAUGCAGUUUGGACACCAAGUGAAGCAUUUGCCAUUUUUUCCUAUUUCAUUUUCCAAGGGCUUCGCACCUUCAAUUUCGUUUUCUGCAUCUCCCAGCCACUUUUUGACAUCUUCGUAAAUUUCUUCAGCAUUCCUUUCAGCAUCUUUGACAUCGUCUUGCAGACGUUCUUUUUCCGAAACCAGCUUCUCCUUUUGUUGUUUGAAUUCUUUAACAAAAUCGUUGAAACAGAACAUGUAACGGAACUGCCUUCCUACUGGUUCCACCAUGAGUUCUGCUAUCUUAGAUAUAAUGGAUCCACCCACACUUUCGAUAGCCAUUUUCCACCAGUCUGGAAUCAGAGAAAUAAGGAUACCAAACGUGAGAGUGAGUCGUAGUAGAGGCAUAGAGAGAAUGAGAAAAGGAAUUUUAUUAACUUAAUUUGGGAAAAUAUGUGCGAAAAGCUCUGGCAAUCAAUGAAAUAGCGGGAGGAAGAAAAGGAGAAGGCCUCUAGCUCUGUACGGAAUCCAGCUUCAAAAGCAACAAGGCAAGGUUCAAACUGACACUUGUGAGUUGAAGUAGUAAUUCCCAUUAAAAAUGCAUCUUGAUGACAUAAUUAAGAUAAUAUAGAGACAGUGACAGAGAAAUAAAGAAACGAAUGAAAGUUUCAGGAUAAUCACUUAGACGCCUCUCUGGAUGAUACCAGCUCGCUUCCAACAACAAAUAUUAUUAACCUAAGCUAUGAUCGGUCAGUUUUUUUUAGUUUUCUUUUCUUUUCUUUUCUUUUAAAAACAGAUCAACAAGGGAAAAGACUUGCAAAGAAGUAGAAUUACUGGAACGAACUCAACAAAGGAUCAAACUCAAAAAAAUAAAAGUAAUUGUGUAUGAGAAGCAUUUCUGUGUCACACACUCAAGUAAUAUGAUUGACCUAUUACAUUAUACAAAUUAAUAAUAAUAAUAAUAAUAAAAGAACUAGGUUUUUGAUGGCAUCCAGAGUGCUGUUGCUUUGAAAUAAAGAGGCUUGUGCAUGUGGUGUUAUGCUGUUCAUGUAGGCUAAGUUCUCUCUUCUUGUCUUGCUAUUCUGAUUUUAUCUUUUUCUUUGCAUGAUAUAAGAGCAGGUUCUUACCUCUUGAAGUCUGCUGAAUAAACCUAUCAGCAGAAGAUCCUGAACCGAUCCCAAAUCACAGCUUCAAUCCCCACCACAGCCAAUCUCCUCUUUCCCGUAGUCUUGCGUCCUCAAUUGGGAAAUGAUCCAAAAUCAACAACCGGUCCGGAGAUAGUUUGUGUGAAAAGAAACGGCUGAAAGAUGAAAUGUGAAGGUUAUGGUGAGAAAUUAGAUGAGAAAUUGGAUUGCAAACGGGAUGGUGCAAACUGGUGGAGCAUUAGACUUUUUAAAAGACAACAAAAAGAAGCAAUGUCUCAUCUUUUGAUCAGUUUGUUGAUGAAGAUAUCGAAAGAUUGGAGUCUCCGUUUUAGCUUAGGUUGGAAGCAAGUCUGAAAAUUAAGAUUAUUUUAAAAGAAUUUUUAUUGAUGGUUUGUGAGAUUAGUAAUGAAGUAAUUUAUGACAAUUUAAUCUUUAAAAAAUUAUUUAAAAUUAAAAAAGAUUAGAUUUUUAGGUAAUAAUUCUAGUCGGUUAGGCAAUAUAAACAGUUUUUGCAAAGAUUCUACUACUGAUGUGUCCAUAUUACAUAGGAACAGAAUGCUAGAGAAUAACUUUCUUUUUAAAAAAAAAAAGGUCGAGAAUUUUCCUUAAAGCAGACACCCAUGAAGAAGAUCUAGUUACCUUAGCCAAGCUGCUCACUUUACAAAAUUGUAUCGUAAUAGUUUGCGUCCACUAGGAAGUCGAGAAUAGGAAAAGAAAAGGGACGCUUAGCGGACCCACAAAAUCUUGAAUUAUCCCUUACUUUUUCAAUGGUAAGGAUAUCCUCGUGUCACCUUCUACAUUAAGUUUUAUAAAAUCUUGAUUUUUUUUAAAUUAAUUUUUUAAGUUUUAAUUAUGAAUUGUUUAUGCAAAGAAACACAAGAAAAGGAAAAAUUUCUCAGUGUGUUUUCUGUUACUUGUUUAGCAAUAGCUAGCAAGGUUCUGCUUAAAAAUACCAUUGAACAAGGGAUGAACCAUUCAGCAAGGGAUUCUGCGAGGAAAACAUGAAAUUGUUAAGCAUAAUAAUAUGUUAAGCAUGACAAAUUUCAUUUAAAUUAAAAAGCCAAAAAUGAACGCAUCUCCUCUUGCAAGAAUGGACUCAAAAGUUCAGCUAAUCCGCAUAAUUAAAUAGUACUGUUACUGUAAACUACUAGGAAAUUCAAGGAAAGUUAACAAUAGCAUUGAUUCGAUCAAGUAAUAAUCAUAGAAACUAAGUACCAAUAAAAUUUGAGAUUCCUGCAAGUUUUUAGGUGCAUGGUCUAGUCUAAUGGCUUCAUGUACAAAAUCAAUUCAAGGGUGUGUAUCCUUGACUAUCAGGCUAACCUUUACAGGCUGAGCUAGCAAUCGAUAAUUAAUUUUUAAUGAAUUCAAUUUUUAUUUAAAAUAAGGAAAAGGACAUUGGUGAAUAAAUUGUUUCCUUCCUAUUAUAAUUGUUAGACCUUACCAAAGGGCUAAUUUAGAAAAAAGAUUUUAACUUAUAGGUCACCAGGGCCGAGGUCAACUUGUAAUUAAGUAGAUCAAUUUAAAUUAAUUAUUUUUAUUAAAAUGAUAAUGUUUUGUGUUUUUUCUUGAUAUUAAUUUGGCUAAUUUUUAUCAAAUCAAAUCACUAAAAACUUAACCAAAACAAAUUUCGUCAAAUCAAUAAUAUUUUAUGUAGUUGAAUUAAAAAUUCAAUUCAAUUCUAGCUCUGAACCCUGAUUAAGCAUACAGGUUUAGAAAAUAUGCAUCUCACUUGCAGCUGUGGUUUGCUGCGGGCAUUUGGUAAUUGGGAGAGGCUUUAGUUUCGUACUUGUUGAUCUGCUUCAUGUACACUUGGACCUCUUAUUUUAUUUUAUAUUGGUUGGAUCCAAACUUAAUCCAAUACAAAAUUAACAUAUUUAUUAUUUAUUUUAUUAUUUAUUUAAGAUAAAUGAUAUCGCUUUAACAUAUUAGCGUACACUUAAUAUGAUUUAAUUUAAUUUAAUUAAUUAACAUCUCACCGCAAUAAAUUUGACCAUUUGCAACCAUAAACAGUUGACACCUUACUAAUAUAAUCAAUAUAGCUGAAAAAUUAUAGUGAUUUAAAACAAUUCAUUAAAAUGUUUGUAAAUGUUUUUAUUUUGUGACGAUGAUUCUCGUGUUAUCUUUUAUGUAUUGUCGCUAUCGUACGUGAACGCCCGACAUGAGGGUCAUUUGAAGUCGUCAUCUAGUUGUUUAGUUCAAGGUCACUAAAAAACCUAGAAAUACUAGUCCUGUUAGAGAUUUGAGAGUAAAGAACUAGUUGUAGUUAAAGAUUGUAUUAACACUCCUAGCGCACCCUACCCAAGUAAAUUACUUUUGUGUUUAAACGUGGUUUAGAGAUUUUGAUGGUUUUCUAAUAUAUCUAUAGUUUAGGAUUGAGACUUGCUUGUAUGAAUAAAUUUGGUGUUUAAUAAUUUAUCAUGGAUUCUUGUACCCAGAUAAAUUCUUAGAAAAAAAAGUUCUUCAUAAUUUGUGUAUUACGGUAAAAAUUACUCUCAAUAAAAAUUCAUGAAUAUUUAGAAUAACUUUGAGGAUUUUUUGGUCAACUCCAAUAUUUCAAAUAUCAGCCUCACUUAUAGGUAUAGUGUUUUAUAUCAAGAUUUUUAACCAUUAAUUAAAAAAUAGUGGUCUAUUAAAAUAUUGACCAAAUUCACAUGAAUUUAAUUAACUAGUUAUUAAAUUCUAAAAUACAUAUUCAUAUAUAAUAUUUUAAUUUGUUUUUAAAUAAAGAAUAUUUUUAAAAAGUAUGUGUCACGAUACCAAAUUAUAGUAUAAAUUAAAAGAAAAAGGAGUUUUUUCUUUAUCACUAUUCACUUAUAUUCAUUUUACUAUGGAUAUUAAUAGUGAAUUUUUUGAAAAUUUCCAAUUUGGUACUCAAUUAUUUUUUUUCACAAUUGAGCUCUUUUAAAUCCAAAUUAGAGCCCAAUUUUAAACAAAUCAAGAAGAGAAAAGACUUGUAAAAAAAGUAGAAUUACUGAAAGAAACUCAACAAAGAAUCAAACUCAUACAAUUAAAAAUAAUUGUCUAUGAUGACCAUCUCUGUAUCACACAUUCAGGUAAUAUGAUUGACCUAUAACAUAAAUAAAGCCCUGCAAACAAUUAAAUCAUGCUUCAAAAGCAACAAGACAAGGUAUAAAGUACACCAACAAAAAUAGUUUACUAACUGACACUUGUGAGUUAAAGCAGUAAUUCCCAUUCAAAAUAUUGCAUUUUGAUGACAUAAUUAAGAUCAUUUAGAGACAGUGACAAUCAAAUAAAAAAAAAAAAAUGUGUAAAAGUACUCACGCAAAGAAAGAAACGAAUGAAAGGUUCAGGGUAAUCACUUAAGACUCCUCCAUGGAUGAUAGCAGCUCGCUUCCAACAACAAAUAUAAUUAACCUAAGCUGUGAUGGGUCAAAGUUCUUUUUAGUUUUCUUAUUAAAAAAAAAAAAAAAAACAGAUCAACAAGAGAAAAGACUUGUAAAAAAAUAGAAUUACUGAAAGAAACUCAACAAAGAAUCAAACUCAAGCAAUUAAAAAUAAUAGUCUAUGAUGACCAUCUCCUAUCACACAUUCAGGUAAUAUGAUUGACCUACAACAAUAUUAAAAAAACAAAAAAAAAGCUAAUAGAUGGUCGCCAAGUGUUCAACUUUAUCUAGCCUUAGGAAAGGAUAUAAAGUGGGAGAGAUAGACGUCAAAAGGCUUAAAAAAAAGAAAAAAGGAAAGGCAGAAACGGAAGAAGACAUUGAAAGAAAUAAAAAAACGAUAGUGGCAUUAAAAAACGAUAAGUUAUUUAACGUCUUUUUAGGGGGGGAAGAGACAUCUGUUUAUUUAAAGAAAGAAAAUAUAUAUAUAUAUAUAAAUACUCUCUCUUCCAAUUUCCUCUCCCAGCUGAAUUUUGGCGACCGCCCACACAACGAUAGCCUACACAACCACCUUUCAAGACCCCAUCUCUCAAUCUCAAAACCAAAAACAACCCUUUCUCCAUUUAUCCGAACCUCAUAACUCCAGGAAAGUGAAGGACUAAACCAUAGUGGCAAAAAUCUUAAAGGGUUCUAAAUUAUCUCUGUUACUUUCCCUUAAUUUUCUAGACAAGUAAAAGGAGCUAAACUUAUUCCCGACCAAAACGUCAAGAAUUUCAGUAGAACAAAAGAAGAGAUCAUUACUUGACCAAAAACAACUAGUCAGCACCCAAAGAAACCGAGUGAAUGAGAGAAAAUUAAAGACUAAUAGCUAGAAAACAAUCAACAGAUCCAAGAAUUUUCUGUAUGGUUUCCAAGAAAAUGAAACGAAAUGAGCAGCACAACCCUCUUUAUCCUCCAAGAAAAGAAAGAAAAAGAAAGGAAAGAAACAAAGAAAGUCAAACUUGGCUCCUCUUUUAGUGUUAAAAAAAAAAAAACAAAGAAGUUCGAGGAAGUGGGCUGCCUUUUUUCUGCUGUUCAUGUGGUGUUCAGCUGUUCACGCAGACUAAGAACUCCUACCAUCGUAAAAUCAUAUAAUUAAAACACAACAAUAAAAAAGUAAUAAGCAGCUAAUUAUGUGCCAAAAUCAGAGAAAUAAGGAUACAAACGUGAGAGUAAGUCAUUGCAAGUAAAAGAGGCGCAGAGAGGAUGGGAAUAGGAAUUUCAUUACCUCAACUUGAGAAAAUAUGUGCGACAAGCACGGGUACUGAUUCCUCAAUGAAAUCGAGAAGGCCUUUAGCUCUGUAUGGAAUCCAGCUUCAAAAGCAACAAGGCAAGGUAUAAGCAUUUUGAUGACAUAAUUAAGAUACUAUGCGUCGUAAUAUAGAGACGGUGACAAAGAAUUAAAGAAAAAUAAUGUGUACAAGUACUCACCAAGCAAAGAAAGAAACGAAUGAAAGGUUCGGGAUAAUCACUUAGACGCCUCCAUGGAUGAUACCAGCUCGCUUCCAACAACAAAUAUAAUUAACCUAAGCUAUGAUCGGUCAAAGUGUUUUUUAGUUUUCUUCUUUAAAAAAAAAAAAAAAAAACAGAUCAUCAAGGGAAAAGACUUGCAAAGAAGUAGAAUUAAUGGAACGAACACAACAAAGGAUCAAACUCAGGCAAUUAAAAGUAAUUCUCUAUGAGUACCAUCUGUGUCACACACUGACUCAAGUGAGGAGAGAAAAGAAAGAGAAAGAAAGGAAAGGGACAAGGAAGGCAGAAAGUAAGGUCACGUAGGGCCAGUCUUGUAUAAAGUUUGAAAAGUAGCAUGAAAGAAGAGGAUAAUAGAGUAGUUGUCAGAAUCAAAACACGUAUAAACAGAGGACAAAAACAGGGAGGGAGGCUGUUUGUUUUUUUAAUUGUGUCUGAGUGCUUUUUAUAAUUAUAUUUAAUUUAAAAAAUAUUAAAUUAAUGUGGUUAAAAAUAUUUAAUUAUAACUCAAUUGCAUUUUUUUUUUAAGGAAAUAGGUUGAAUUGAGAAACAGAGAAACUCGGCAAAAAUAUGUGGUUAAAAUCAAUCCAUUUUUUUUAAAAAAAAAACUCCUUAGUUGUUAAGGAAAGAUUGGUAGUGGGAACAAAUCACCAAAGUCAGCAGCAAGGAAGUUCCAGGAAGUGGGCAGCCUUUCUUCUGCUGUUCAUGUGGUGUUCUGCUGUUCAUGCAGACUAAGAACUCCUACCAUUUUUAAAAUAAUAUAUUUAAAAUACAAUAAUAAAAAUGUAAUACGCAGCUAAUUAAUGUAUUAAGCAGCUAAUUAAUGCUGUUGUUCUUUCUUCUUGUUAUUCUAUUUUGAUUUUACUGUAUUUUAAAAAAAUUUAUGAUUGUGAAAACUAGCCAAACCAUUAGAUCCAAGCAAUCUGAGAGGGUAUUCAAGAGUGUAGUUGUCGUUGUUUUUCAAAGUAUUUUUCACUUGGAAAUGCAUCAAAAUAAUAUUUUUUUUAUUUUUAAAAUUUUUUUUUUGACAUCCUUGUAUCAAAAUAAUAUAAAAAAACCAAAAAAAUAUUAAUUUGAAGUAAACACAAAAAUAAAAAAAAUUAGAAACUAGUGUAGCUGCGCCCAAUGUUGUCCCGAGAUACUUUUUAUAAUCUAACUUUUUUAAUAUAUUUUUUAUUUAAUUAUGCAAUAUAUUCAUAGAAAACACUAAAAUUAAAAUUAUAGACAAAAAAAUAUAUAUUUCAUCAAAAUUUUCUAGUCUGAUUAAUGUAUUUUUCUUAAAAAAAAAAGUUUUGACAAUAUAAAAAGUAAUAACUAGGAAAAAGUAUCCUAAGAAACUGUAAUGAUUAGAACUAAAAAAAUAUUUUUUUUUUGUUGGAAACACAAUUUUUUAAUUCAUGCAUUUUUUUUAUUUUUUAAAAAUUUACUUUUUAUGAGUAACAUUAUUUUACUAAAAUGUCCCUAAUACAUAAUUAUUCAUAAAUUAAUGAAAAUAUCAUAAUAAAAAUGCCUAAUCUUCUUGAAAACAAUUAAAUAAUUGAACAAUCAUUUAAAUAUUAUUUUAAUAAAUUGAUUGAAAGAUUUAUUUUAUUAAAAAUAAAGAAUAAAAAUGAAUUGAUAUCUAAGAUAAAGGUCAUACAAGCCUUCAAAGAUAAUAUAUGUACGUGUAUAAUACAAAUUAAUAAAUUCUAAGUAGUAAUAUUUAAUGCAAGUUUAAGAAUAAGAGUUUGCUUUGUGUUUUGUUGUGAGAUUAACCAUAUCAAAUUAUAUAUUUAAUAAUAAAUAAUUGUGCUGUGUUAUGAGUAAAAUCAAUAAAUUAUUUGGUAUUCUGCUGUCUUGUUGUUUGAAUUAAAAGUAUUAAUAAGAAUAUAAAUUAAAUUAAAUAUCGAAAAAACUAAAUGAAUUCCUUAAUAAAUAAAUAAAUUCUUUCUUUAGAAAGCAUGGAAAUACCAUGACAUUGGCUUUUUGGAGAAUACUACGAUUUUUACAGCCAAAAAAGUUAUCGAUAGCUGUGUAAAUCAUUGAAAUUGCCACAAAAGCAACCCAAAUUAGUUAUGAAUUGGAUUCGAUGGAAGGAAGAGGGGAAGAGGGGAAAUGGGUAACGGCUAAUUAUAAGUUCAUUAAAAAAAAUCUGGAACGCAACAGAUGGAAAAAACUCGAAACAACUCGUCUAGAAUUUAGGCAAGAAGAAUGAGCCAAGAUUUUAAGUGCAAUGAAAUUUGUCUCACUUUGUUCUUUUUUUUUUUAAUGAUACAAGAUAUACUGACUGUUUUAAGUGAAACAGAAUGGAAUCGACAACUUUAAAGGGAGCAGAGACCACAUAUGUAUAGCUCGAAUUCGAUAGCCUUUCUCCUGUACUGACAUGUGAUUUACAUGCACCAACAUUUCUUUCUUCUUUAUUUUGUAAUAUUCUACAUUGGCGAGUAAGGAUUUGGUAGCUGACCUUAUUAAAAGUGUUGGUUGAUGACUUGUCAGACACGUUUUGAGACCAUGCGUGAUAACAAAAAACAAAACCAUGAGGGUGGUAAGGCCCAAAACGAACAAUAUCUGACAGAUUGGACCGGACUGUGACAUUUGGUAUUAGAGCUGACCUCACUAGCUAUUCAGUUGUGCUGACAGGGUCAUUGAGCUCCUUAACAGGGGUGAAUUGUAAUAUCUCACAUUGGUGGGUGAGGAUUUGGUAACUAGCCUUACUAGUAAUGCUGGUUGCUGACUUGUUAGAUGCGUUUUGGGGUUAUGCGUUGUCGAUACACGACGUCGGGCGACGGCUCCCGCUUUUUUUGUUUAUUUAACAAAAAGGGUUUUUUUUUCUCGAUUGGGGGAAACAAAGAUUUUAUUGGAGUCGCCAUCUAGUAAUUUGAGGGAACUAGAAAUCCCAAAUUAGACACUGGUCCCAGAGAUUCGGGUACGGGGUUAGUUAUGAUUAAGGGAAGGUAGACACCACCCUUAAAACAUCCUUUCAAAAGAAAGGUUACCCUUACUUGUGUGUUUUUAUUUGAUUCAAAUGCGAUUAUAUUUUGGGCUUAUUUGUAAAUUUUUGUAAAUGAUUAACGUCGGUCCCUAAAAAUAGGAGACACGUUAAAAAUGACAUCAGUCCCUAAAAAUUGGAGACUCGUCUGAGUUACCAAAAGAAAUAAUGGAUAUAAUCCAUUAUAUUUUGGGUUUAUUGGUAAUUUGUUUUUUUAAAUGGUUAACGUCGGUCCCUAAAAAUAGGAGACACGUUAAAAUGACAUCAGUCCCUAAAAAUUAGGAGACUUGUCUAAAAUAUGACGUUUCAACCCUAAAAAGGAGAAUUACGUCUGGGUUACCAAAAACAAUAAUGGACAUAAGCCAUAUUUGGUAUUUACAUUUUUUUGACAUCGGUCCUUUUAAAAAAAAGAGACGUGUCGGCUUUGGUUUUUGUAUUGUUUACAACAUGCAAGAAAAUUUACAAGCAUUUAUAUAUAAAAAAUAUCAAAAAUACCAGUAGAAACUCCGAAAAAUUACCUGAGUGCCACUGUAUAGGUAAAAGACUGAAAUACCCUCAGGUUUCUCCAAAAUUUACAAAAAUGCCACUGGCGGCGCGUGUAGCACACGCGCGGCUACUGUUGGCGGCGGGGAGAUUUUCCGGCGCGAUUUCUGGCCAACCGAUGGUCGAUCCUGGUAGAUCUGAUGUCGAGGAUUCUUAUGGUGGUGGUCUUGACGGCCGUUGAUGGCUGAUGAGCGAGAAUCGACGACUUGAAGCUUCGGUGGCAGCCGACGAUCGCGGCCCGUUUCCGGCCAAAUAGAGCGGCGAAAACGCUGAAAUCGGCCGGGGUUUUGCUUUAUAUGAGGAAGGCGACCUUUCUGUGGUGGUUUUCAAGCUUGCAGUGGCCGGAUAUGGGAGAUCGGAGGAGAGAGAGGGAGUCGCCGGCGAGAGGAGAGAGGUGCUCUGGGUUAUGCUAUGGUGAGAACGCAAACACGGUACACCAGUGCUGUUGAUGCUUGUGAUCCGUAGGAUCUCUGAUGGAAAUAUCGUGCGGCUGUGAUUGGCCCGAUCUGCAGGUUGAUCGGACGGUCCGGAUGAGCGGAGCUUUGAUCUGGUGUGGCGCGGUGCACCAAAUCUCGGUACACCGGAUGACGUGGCGCAACGGGAUCAAAUCUUGGAAUAUUUCAAAGGCUGAGAUGUGUUUGGGUUUUAAUCUAGUGUGGUAAGCCCUAUUGUAUCCUAUUAAAUCAACGGUUCAGAUCUAAACACUAUUAGAUCUAACGGUUAGGAUAUAUUUGGUAUUUUUCAUAUUGUUUUUAAUAAAAAUCAAUAUCCUACCCUCGUGAAGAAAUAGUAAAAAAAACCUGAAUAGUAAACUCUUCUUUUUUUUCUUCUCCUUUUUUUUCUCUUUUUUUUUCCUCUGGCGCACUGUUGGCUAUUUAUAGCAGGGGACAGCAAGCAUCGGCUUUAAAUUAAAAAAUGUAUCCAUCCAACUGCUCGUCUACAAUGUAACUGCCCCGCCUAAUAUGACAAUUCUGUAUUAUUAAUUUUGUUUUAUUAUAUAUAAUAAUAUAUAUUUAUAUAGGUAAAAUUAAAACUUAAAUCAGUAUUAGAAAAAGCCUGAUUCAACUGCUAAAAAUCAAUUUUAAUUACCGAAAAUUAUGUUGAAACAUAAAAAAAAACUUUCAACGGAUAUAAACCCGGUGGACCGGGUUUUGACCAAAAAAUAACAGGUUUGACCCAAAACGGCAUGAAACUCAUUUUUUAUCCUGGUCGACAUGGUUUGACCCGUAUUGACCCGGUGAACUCGGUUUUGGUCAAAAAUGACGGUUUUGACCCGAAACGGCCCGAAACUCAUUUUUUACCCUGGUCGACAUGGUUUGACCCGUAUUGACCUGGUGAACUCGGUUUUGGUCAAAAAUAACGGUUUUGACCCGAAACGGCCCGAAACUCAUUUUUUACCCUGGUCGACAUGGUUUGACCCGUAUUGACUUGGUGGACUCGGUUUUGACGGAAAGAUGCGGUUGACUCGAGAAAAAUAUUUUUUUGAAUUUUCCUUUUUCUUAAUUUUUUUGGAUUUUUAUAAAUAAUAAUAGAAAUAAAAUAACAUUUGAGAAAAUCUUGGUGGAUCCAAAAUUGGGUUACAACAGUUGCCCCCUCUUUACAAUGCUUACGGUGCAAAGGCAUUGGAAAAUUCAUUUUCUUUUGACUUUGCAUAGUAAGUUUUGUAAAGAAAAACGAUGAAAGUGUUGAAAAAUGCACAGAUUUUUUCAGUUGGUCUAAUUCUUAUGGGCGACCUGCCCAAAUGAAAAACAUGAAAGUGUUUUCAAUAUUGAUCUGGUGAAAUACAUGAAAGUGAUUUCAGAUUAAUGUUGUGAAAUACAUGAAAGUGAUUUCAACAUUGUUUUUUUUUUUUUUUGUGAAAUACAUGAAAGUGAUUUCAACAUUUGCAUUGUGAAAUACAUGAAAGUGAUUUCAACAAUGGUUUUGUGAAAUACAUGAAAGUGAUUUCAACAUUUGUUUUCUGAAACACAUGAAAGUGAUUUCAGAUUAGCAUUGUGAAAUACAUGAAAGUGAUUUCAACAAUGGUUUUGUGAAAUACAUGAAAGUGAUUUCAACAUUUGUUUUCUGAAACACAUGAAAGUGAUUUCAGAUUAGCAUUGUGAAAUACAUGAAAGUGAUUUCAACAAUGUUUUUGUGAAAUACAUGAAAGUGAUUUCAACAAUGUUUUUGUGAAAUACAUGAAAGUGAUUUCAACAAUGAGCUUCAGGGUUGAUGAAACAUUCUAAAGGAAGUCAUACCUGUAUGGUUGAGAUCUGAUUUGUAAAUCGAUCUCAGAGAUGAUGAAAUCUUCUCAAGAAAGUCUUGUAUGUACGGUUGGGAUUUGAUUUGUAAUUGGAUCCCAAAGAUGAGGAAAGCUUUUCAAGAAAGUCUUGUAUGUACGGUUGGGAUUCGAUUUGUGGAUCCCAAAAAAUGAGGAAAGCUUCUCAAGGAAGUCUUGUAUGUACGGUUGGGAUUUGAUUUGUGGAUCCCAAAAAAAUGAGGAAAACUUCUCAAGGAAGUCUUGUAUGUACGGUUGGGAUUUGAUUUGUGGAUCCCAAAAAAAUGAGGAAAACUUCUCAAGGAAGUCUUGUAUGUACGGCUGAGAUUUCUGCCGUUCAAAGUGAUGGUAGAAGUAAAUUUCUUAUAAAUCACGCAGUAUUUGGCAAAAGACAUCAUCAACUUCUUGCAUUUUCAAUACUCUCAAAGUUCUCAACUUUUGAAGCUUUAACCAUGUCUUCCUCUUCUUCCAAUGCUAACCCAAACCCUGUUCCUGCAGUAGAGCCUGCAGUUUGGCGUACUACCUUUGAAGUGAAUGGUCGUCCAGUUACAAUAGAGGAUACUGUAAUGGACAAUGAAGAUAUUGCUGUAGCUGUGGCUAGAGACAUGAUCCUUCCUCGUGAUGAAAUAAUGUUGGCAGCCAGGACCGAUAUUGAAGCAGUGAAUCAGUCACUUGCUCUCAGUAUCAGAGCUACCUCGUCUUUGGUGAACGUUGCAGAGCGUCUUCAUGCCAGAAGACUUGAGUUGAAUACUCAGGUUCUUGAUCUCCAUCAUCAGAUUGAGAAUUUAAGGAAUAGACUUCGUGAUGAGAGACGUCACAGAAACAACUUGGAGAGGAGAAACCAAGAGUUAAAUACACGUGUUGACUUUUGGAGGGACUAUGUUAACACACGACACCUCGAGUUCGAGGAAGAGAUGGAGCGCAUGCAUAAGCAAUUCGAGGAAUUCUGAGGCAUGAUUAACCAUCAAGAUGAAAAUAUCCCUGAUCGUCCUCGCACUGUUUAACAUUUGUACUUGUAAACCCCUUUUCUAUGAAUAAAAAUCCAUCUUUCUUGUCUUCAUUUAUGAAUUUUGCUUUUGUGGAAUUGCCAUAUUUGAUGUGAUUUACAAGAACUUCAAGUCAUGUGAGUCUCGUUGGAUCCCAGUGGGAACUUUGUUUCGUGAAAUAUCUGCAAAACAAAUAUGCAAUGAAAUAUAGGUUCCCCCCUCUUUGAUGCUUCAUCGUCAUGGGGUGGCUUUGUUUGCAUUCCAAAGCCUUCUUUGUUCUUUCGAUGCAUUGUUUGCAUUCCAAAGCCUUCUUUGUUCUUUCGAUGCAUUGGCUCAUUCAUGUGCUAGCCAUCCACUCAGCUGUAAAUGCAGUGCCCAUCUUGGGCUGUCCGUGAUGAUUACUACUCUCGCUGUUUAUCAAGCUUGACAAUGCCCCCAAGUGUAGUGUUGCUUGAUUUAUCAUGAAGAAGCUUAACAAAUCGUUCAUCUCCUGGAUUCUUUCAAGAAUUGUUCUCUGAUUGAUUGUGCGCAUCGUGCCAACACCCAUCAAGAUUGUCAAUCAGUUAUGAACUCGACUUCAGUUGAAACAUGCCCUUCAAGUAUAUGCGGUCAUCCACUUUCAUGGAACUAUCAUGUCAUUCAGACAUGCAUUUCAUACUUUGCAGUAAAAAACUCAUCUUUGUAUGCUCAGCUUCUUUCUCAAUAAGUUCUUCUCAGCUCAUCUAACCAGAUUGUGAAAAGAAAUGCCUCAACCUCAUCAAUGAUGUCGCUUUUAUCACCCAUACUCAUGUGGUGCAGUGCACAUUGACUUCAAAUCAGAUGGUCUCACGGUCAGUCUAGGUGGGUGCGGUGCAUUCUUCCAACAUUCAUGCAAAAGCGAUCAUGUGAUAACAUCUUUCAAUAGUCAUAGCCAUAUUGGAGAUGAUAAACCAAGAUGAAGAUAUGAAGAUGUCCUUCAGGUACAUCUUUGCUCUCAAUUGUUGUCGGGGUUUACUGGAUCAUAAACUGUUCUUGAACAUCAUUGCCCUUAAUUGAUCUGAAUGUGCUCAUUCACUGAUUAUCUUUCUUUGAACCAUAUUGUCCUCGGUUUAUUGAUUCAUCAUUUGAUCGUCUCUAUCCCCCAGCUGAUUUAAACACUGUUUGUUUUCCUUCUCGGAGGUCCAUUGUAUUGCCCCCAGGAGUGUCGAGGAGAAUUGAUGUCAUUUCUGUCAGGAAUUUGCAAACUUGGUUGAUGUUUUUCUUUUGAAAAUCUUUCUUAUUUUGGAAUCAAAUCUCACAUUUCAAAGGUCAUGUCUAUUCAAGUCUAAUUGUUGAAAUGAAAUCAGAGAGAUGUCAAUUUUUGAAAGUAUUUUUGGAAAUCAAGCUUUAUUGGUCAAAGAUCCAACACACGCUAUUCAAUGUAGUCCUUUGAUUGUCUUGUAUUUUGAGAGAAAAGAAAUUGACUCAUUGUAAGAUUAAAAUGGCUUUUCCAUGGUUCUUUGUAUCCAUUUUAAACUCUAAUUUUGGGUAUAUCUUUUGAUUGUCUGUAAUGAGGUGACCUGUCUGAAUUUCAAGAAAAACAAGGUACCCGAGUCAAAACUUGAGGCUUUAUCAGGAAAGAUUGUUUCUUUUUCUUAGCAACAAUUUUAUCAGCAUGCAUAAUAAUCAGUAGCUUGAUUCAUGAAGUCACGACCUGUAUGAACAACUCUUCAAGUUUUGAGAUCGUCAUUUAUCGGUUCAGAUUGCUUACUUGAUUAAAAAGGACUUUCUAAAGCACGUAAUGUAGGCUAUGGUUCAUGGCUAUGAAAGAAAGGAAUUUCACAAGCUCAAAAGGUGUUUGAGGGUUUCAAGAACCUAGGAUCACCAUCAAUUACUCAUCAAUCUCUUUUCCUCACGUUGUCUUUGUAGAGACAGUGACAUAUAACCUUGUUAAUCUCAAAAAUCAAAAUUUGUUUAACAUAGGUCAUAACGCAAAUCCAACUUUUCUUUGAUGAAUAGCCAAUCUAAUCUUUUGAAGAUCGUAAAGGCUUUAUCAUAGACACACCAAAAGACAUCACACUUGAUUUUUUUUCGGGUUAACUUUUGGCAUUUGUUGUGUCUUUAUCAAUCUUUGGCUUUCUUCUUCUAGCCAUUUCUCAAUCAUUGAACUUUUGUUCUAAGCCUUCCCUUUAUCCAUCGACUCUAACAUUGUCUUCGUCUUUUCUAGGAAAAGAUUCUCAUUGCCCCCAGUGUGGGUGUGAUCCUAGUCAGGGUUUUUUAUGAAAGAAAUAUUCUAUCAGCUCAAAAUGGGACUGCAAGGGAUAUAUAUUUCAAGAAUUGUGAAAGGAUGAAACAAAAAUGGCCUUUUCUCAUUUCAAGCAAGGUCGGUUAGAACCAAUAAAUUUUAACCUCAUCCAAUGUAAUGAUUUAGACUUGUACGAAUCAUAAUUCAUGAGUCCAUAACUACUGAAUCCACUACGUAUCAUUAUGCAUACUGCUAAAACUUAGCUACAUGGUGUAUGGUUCAAUUUCAUGUAUGAGCUCAAAAGUUUCUUGGUCACCUCAUGUCAUUUCAGUAAGCAUUGAGUCAUUGAAGCAACAUAAUUUGAAUCUUCAGGAUUGACUAAUCUUAAACGCAUGUUGGAGCUUGAUCAAAAUAUUUUGUAAAUAACCUUUGAAAGAAACAUCUCAUGCGUUCAGAACAACAAAGGGACAAAGAAAAGACAUGUUUUGUUAAAAGAUGAGAUGUGAUCCCAAAAUAAAAUGCAGAAUGACAAAACUCAUAACAAAAAGGAUCGACAGUUUAACACUCUUCUUGGAUCAGCUUUUCUGGCGAUAUCUGUGUUUUGCCAAGCAUUUCGAUCACUUGUCAAUUUGAGGAUGUUGAGGUGACAAUAUGGCCGAUGACGUCAUUUUGCACAAACUCAACUUGAUUCUUGAAAUUCUUGCAACUGUUCAACUGAAUGGCACAAAAUCCCCCAAUGAUAUUCAUGUAUCUUUUACUAAGGGAUGAGGGCUCAAAGGCGCACUCAAAGGGAGUUGAGGGCUCAAAGGCGAACUCAAAAUGGAGGUGAGGGCUCAAAGGCGCACUCAAAAGGAGAUGAGGGCUCAAAGGCGUACUCAAAAGGAGUUGAGGGCUCAAAGGCGCACUCAAAAUGGAGGUAGGGUUAGAAAACGCACUACCUAAGGGAUGAGGGCUCAAAGGCGUACUCAAAAGGAGUUGAGGGCUCAAAGGCGCACUCAAAAGGAGGUAGGGUUAGAAAACACACUACCAAAAGGAUGAGGGCUCAAAGGCACACUCAAAAUGGAGGUGAGGGCUUAAAGGCGCACUCAAAAGGAGUUGAGGGCUCAAAGGCGCACUCAAAAGGAGUUGAAUUGGCAGAGUCAGGGCAAUAAGUCCGGAGUCUAAUAGAUGAUGGUGGACAAACUCGAGUGGUCGAGGUAUGUCAAUCUUAGCAAAGACAUUUGAGCAAUUGAUGUUACAGUGAGACCUGGUUGGACCACAUAAUUAAGGCUUCCCAUCGUUAGAGGCAUCCUUUGAUUCAUCUCUCAUUAUUGUUCUAGAAUUCUUGGUAGAAUCUUCAAUCAUUCCCCUCUUCAUAGCUUGUUCAAAUCUUUCAACAAUCCUCACAACAUCAUAUCAAUCUUUCCAAUGUUGUUGUGGUUGUUUGUGGAUUGGUAGAAACUUUCCAACAGCCAGGCAAUCUUGGUAGCGCAUAGAAACAUGCAGCACCACCACUGCCGACGUGUGGAAUCAUGCGUUGUCUCAACUGGAAGAGAAACUGAUGAAUCUGAAAACCCUUUUGUCUCCUCUUUGAUUCCUCACUGGCAGUGCAACAAACAAACACCUAUAGUGGGAAUUCUGCUCUGUUAAAGUUUCAAUGUCUGCUCUUGUUUUUCUCAGAGCAGCAUCCGAUACUGCUGGAUCGGAAUGGUGUUCACAAGAGAUGUCUGGAAAGAAAGCCAAUGCACCAGGAACAGAAAGCUAGCAACUGUUAUGUGCCCUUGGAAUAUGUGAAGGCUUUGAAUGACUAUCAGUGCAGUUGAACGAGAACAAGGGUUGUCGUCAUUAAUUGUGACUGAAGGCAUUACUGUCAUUGUUCAUUGUUCAUGAUGAAAAAGGAGAGGUGCAACUUCAAUGGAACUUAUUCAAACAGAUUUAUGAGUCUGUACAGACGUUCCCUUUCCACUCUUGAAGCUCAACACUUAUUCAAACAGAUUUAUGAGUCGAGUAGACCUCAGCAGGUGGGGGAACUUAUGUUUCAACCGUGUGCAUGCUUGAUAAAUGAAUGAAAUGCACAAAUGGAUGCAAAAUGCCAUAUGUUUUAUGCAUGCUUGUUAUUUGUUUCAAGGUUUCCUUAUGACGAGGAAUAGACCAGAUCAGAUUCUCUUAAGAAAGUUCUCACUGAGGACUCCAAACCUACAGGAACUUGAACCGAUUUAGGGGAGAAAUUUGAUGCCAUAAAUCAGAAUAAACAUUUCUCAUAACAAAAAGAUGAUGAAAUUGUCUUUUAUUAAUUCAUAAUAUUAAAAGUGCAACAAGUCAAUCUUUCCAAAGCCUUGGACCGUCGUAUGCUGAGAUCUCAUUAAUUCCAUCUCUGAUCAACCCAAAAAACUGAUGGAAUUCAUUUCUGGUCAUUGGCUCACCAUCUGCUAUUUGUUGGGCUAGGCCUCGUAAUCCUAAAGCAUAAUUCUUGGCAUCAUCUGCUUGUACAUGAUAGCGCAUAGCUUCAGAAGCCCAACAUUCUGCUUCUUUUUCUGCCUUUUCUUUUUCUGAUGAUAAAGUUUGCUCAAUAAAAAGCAAAUGGUCUAAAUGCUCAUCUAAAUUGGCAAUUAUUACAUCUUGCUUUUGAUGUUGCUCCUGAAGUGAUUUAUUUGUCUCUUCCAACUUUAAUACCAUUUCCUCAGCUUUCGAUGCUCUUCUAACCCAUCUCUUCAUGUUGACAUCUUGCUUCGUCUUAUCUUCUGACAAAAGUACAUAUUUUUCUUGUAAUUGCUGGAAAUCAAGUUGUUGAUGUUGUAGCUGAGCUGACAAGUCAUCAUUUUCCUGUUUUAUGAUAACCAAAGCUUUUUCUCGAGUGGCUAGAUUAGAUUCUAACUUUCUUUUUUUAGCCCCUAACUCUUCCACUUCAGCAUUCAAACUUAGGUUAUAAGAUUCUUGUUGGGCGCGAACUUCUUCGUGUAUGUCUUCAGCAGACUGAAUCAAAGACCUGGGUGGUCCUUCAAAAGGAGGAACUUUGUACCCUUUCCCUCUCUUCUUUUGCCAUAUUGGAUAUCCUUCAGUUGUUUUUCCUUCUACUCUCUUAGCAGAAGUAACCCUACCAGGAUGUUUCCAUGCCUUCUUCACUGACUCCAAGAAUUUCUUUGAGGUCUUGAAAUCUUCAUAAAAUGUUGCCAGUUUAGUAGUCCUUGGAAUAAACUGCUCAAAUCCAAACUGUCGUAAAACCAGGUUAGGACAGUAACUAAUACAGCAGCGGGCUCCAAUCAACGGGACCCAUGGGUACUCACCACAAUACGCCAGAUAAGAUUUGAAAUAAGCAUAUCGACUUCUCCAAUGAAAUUGAGAUUUACUUAGACUUAGGAACAUUGAUUCCCAUGUGGUUUUUCCUACUUCAUGCAAGUGUUUUUCAGCAAAAUUCUCCAGCUGAGAAUAAAGAUGCCACGGGGUACCAACCAAACCUGAAAUCUUCCCCUCAAUCAUAUGACUCACAGUCCAGACAAACAAUAACUGCAAGCAACAUCUUAAACGACCCCUUCCAGCUUUUCUGCAAUAAUUCAAGGAUGAGAAAGUUUCUGCCAAUAUUGCUGUAGCAGGGUUAAUUUUAAGGGUCACCACAUUUGUGAAUACAUUAACAGCUUCAAAAUCAAUCAUUCCUUCGGCAGAUGGGAAAAGAACCAAACCAUAUAUGCCUAAGGCCAAAAUUCUCAAUCGAAUUUCAUUGCUUUCAUCAUGUAAUCUCUUCUUGAAUAUGGCUUCUAGCUCAUUCCAAAACCAACCCUGGCUAUUUCCUCGUUUAGUUGCAUGUGAUUUUGCUAGUUGACAGUCUGUCUGGGUAAUCCAAGCAAAGUUAGAAAGUGCAUGCUCUAUAGGUGUGUAAAAGUACACCUUUUCUGACUUGGGACAAUUUAGCAGGGAUUCAUACUCCUCGAUAGUAGGAGUCAUAUCCACAGUAUCAAAUGUGAAGCACCGAUAUUCUGGAUCCCAAAACCCUAUCAUGGCCUGAAAACAAGCAUGUUGGACCCUAAUUUUCAGUAAAUGUGAUAGAUCCCCAUAUUGUUUCUGAAAAGUGAUUUGAUCAUGAGAGGAUAACUUUUCCCAGCAGUCUAGCAGUUGUCCUGUACCAAGUGGUCUGUCAUCUAAUUUAACAUGCUCUGGCAACUGAGACUUAAAUUCUGAUGGCAAACAAUCCCCUUCAUCAUGCUGGCUCAAUUCUGAUCUGGUCAAAAAUUCCUCAAUGGUAAUGGAUUUUUCCAUCUCACACUUCCUGUAAGGAUCGGUGGAGACUUAAUGAGCAUAUGAAAUGUAUAUGAACAUGUAUGUUCAUGCAUUGACAUUUGUUCGUGUCCUAAUGGGUAUAUCCUACUUGAUAGGAUCUAGCUCAUAAGGUUUGGCUCAGUUUAGUCUAUCCUUAAAGAUAUUCUCCGGUUCUUAGAUUGCCCGAAUUACUCGUGAAGUAAUCGGCCUCUUAACCUUAUACAACAUGAGUAGGGGAGAAAGACUCCACAGUACUAGUUGCAUAGGGUGAGUUACAAUCCAAGCAAAAGUCCAAAUGAGCAUCAGUGGACAUAAGUCACACUUGCCACUUGAAUCUCUCUUUUCUAAUCUUAAAAAGGACGAGCUCGGGUCCAGAGCUUUUAUGGGUUCACAGUGAAGUGUGUGAAUACACAAAUAAUAAUAUAUAUGUAUGUGAUGAAAUGAAAAAUUGAAAAGAAUCAUAGUAGAUAUUGCAUAAAAUAAAUAAUGCAAAUAAAAUAAGUGCCCAAAAAUAAAUAGCGAUAAGAAAGAGCAAAUGAAAAGCAAACACAAGCAGUUGGCUCAACCCUAAGUCCCCAGUGGAGUCGCCAUUCUGUCGAUACACGACGUCGGGCGACGGCUCCCGCUUUUUUGUUUAUUUAACAAAAAGGGUUUUUUCUCGAUUGGGGGAAACAAAGAUUUUAUUGGAGUCGCCAUCUAGUAAUUUGGGGGAAACAAAGAUUUUAUUGGAGUCGCCAUCUAGUAAUUUGAGGGAACUAGAAAUCCCAAAUUAGACACUGGUCCCAGAGAUUCGGGUACGGGGUUAGUUAUGAUUAAGGGAAGGUAGACACCACCCUUAAAACAUCCUUUCAAAAGAAAGGUUACCCUUACUUGUGUGUUUUUAUUUGAUUCAAAUGCGAUUAUAUUUUGGGCUUAUUUGUAAAUUUUUGUAAAUGAUUAACGUCGGUCCCUAAAAAUAGGAGACACGUUAAAAAUGACAUCAGUCCCUAAAAAUUGGAGACUCGUCUGAGUUACCAAAAGAAAUAAUGGAUAUAAUCCAUUAUAUUUUGGGUUUAUUGGUAAUUUGUUUUUUUAAAUGGUUAACGUCGGUCCCUAAAAAUAGGAGACACGUUAAAAUGACAUCAGUCCCUAAAAAUUAGGAGACUUGUCUAAAAUAUGACGUUUCAACCCUAAAAAGGAGAAUUACGUCUGGGUUACCAAAAACAAUAAUGGACAUAAGCCAUAUUUGGUAUUUACAUUUUUUUGACAUCGGUCCUUUUAAAAAAAAGAGACGUGUCGGCUUUGGUUUUUGUAUUGUUUACAAUAUGCAAGAAAAUUUACAAGCAUUUAUAUAUAAAAAAUAUCAAAAAUACCAGUAGAAACUCCGAAAAAUUACCUGAGUGCCACUGUAUAGGUAAAAGACUGAAAUACCCUCAGGUUUCUCCAAAAUUUACAAAAAUGCCACUGGCGGCGCGUGUAGCACACGCGCGGCUACUGUUGGCGGCGGGGAGAUUUUCCGGCGCGAUUUCUGGCCAACCGAUGGUCGAUCCUGGUAGAUCUGAUGUCGAGGAUUCUUAUGGUGGUGGUCUUGACGGCCGUUGAUGGCUGAUGAGCGAGAAUCGACGACUUGAAGCUUCGGUGGCAGCCGACGAUCGCGGCCCGUUUCCGGCCAAAUAGAGCGGCGAAAACGCUGAAAUCGGCCGGGGUUUUGCUUUAUAUGAGGAAGGCGACCUUUCUGUGGUGGUUUUCAAGCUUGCAGUGGCCGGAUAUGGGAGAUCGGAGGAGAGAGAGGGAGUCGCCGGCGAGAGGAGAGAGGUGCUCUGGGUUAUGCUAUGGUGAGAACGCAAACACGGUACACCAGUGCUGUUGAUGCUUGUGAUCCGUAGGAUCUCUGAUGGAAAUAUCGUGCGGCUGUGAUUGGCCCGAUCUGCAGGUUGAUCGGACGGUCCGGAUGAGCGGAGCUUUGAUCUGGUGUGGCGCGGUGCACCAAAUCUCGGUACACCGGAUGACGUGGCGCAACGGGAUCAAAUCUUGGAAUAUUUCAAAGGCUGAGAUGUGUUUGGGUUUUAAUCUAGUGUGGUAAGCCCUAUUGUAUCCUAUUAAAUCAACGGUUCAGAUCUAAACACUAUUAGAUCUAACGGUUAGGAUAUAUUUGGUAUUUUUCAUAUUGUUUUUAAUAAAAAUCAAUAUCCUACCCUCGUGAAGAAAUAGUAAAAAAAACCUGAAUAGUAAACUCUUCUUUUUUUUCUUCUCCUUUUUUUUCUCUUUUUUUUUCCUCUGGCGCACUGUUGGCUAUUUAUAGCAGGGGACAGCAAGCAUCGGCUUUAAAUUAAAAAAUGUAUCCAUCCAACUGCUCGCCUACAAUGUAACUGCCCCGCCUAAUAUGACAAUUCUGUAUUAUUAAUUUUGUUUUAUUAUAUAUAAUAAUAUAUAUUUAUAUAGGUAAAAUUAAAACUUAAAUCAGUAUUAGAAAAAGCCUGAUUCAACUGCUAAAAAUCAAUUUUAAUUACCGAAAAUUAUGUUGAAACAUAAAAAAAAAACUUUCAAUGGAUAUAAACCCGGUGGACCGGGUUUUGACCAAAAAAUAACAGGUUUGACCCAAAACGGCAUGAAACUCAUUUUUUAUCCUGGUCGACAUGGUUUGACCCGUAUUGACCCGGUGAACUCGGUUUUGGUCAAAAAUGACGGUUUUGACCCGAAACGGCCCGAAACUCAUUUUUUACCCUGGUCGACAUGGUUUGACCCGUAUUGACCUGGUGAACUCGGUUUUGGUCAAAAAUAACGGUUUUGACCCGAAACGGCCCGAAACUCAUUUUUUACCCUGGUCGACAUGGUUUGACCCGUAUUGACCUGGUGGACUCGGUUUUGACGGAAAGAUGCGGUUGACUCAAGAAAAAUAUUUUUUUGAAUUUUCCUUUUUCUUAAUUUUUUUGGAUUUUUAUAAAUAAUAAUAGAAAUAAAAUAACAUUUGAGAAAAUCUUGGUGGAUCCAAAAUUGGGUUACAACAUGCGUGGUCACCAAGAAUAAAUCUAUGAGGGCGAUAAGGCUCAAAACAGACAAUAUGUUGCAGGUUGGGUCAAGUUAUGACAUAUUCAAUAAUUACUCUUCAAUUAAAUCCUAAAUCUCAUUUCAUCUUUUCAAUUUAAUCCCUAAUUUGACACCAACUCUUCAAUUAGACCCCAAACCUCAUCCCACCUGAGGAAAGCCCUCUUCAUUCAAUUUAGCCCCUUAUUAUCUUCAAUUUAAUAUUGAAUUUUAUUCGAUCCAAGCCCAAAAAAGGCUAAGCGAAGAUAGAAUAAAGGAAGGGAAAGAAAAUGAAUAAUUGCCCAAUCGAGCUAACGUGUUCUGGUCUUUUUUCCAUGAUUCGGGGUGAACAUUUGACAUUUAUCCUUUUUUUCUAUAGUCUUUUCUCCAUGUUUGUUGUGACGCCGCACACGUGCGACAACCAGUAAAUCUAUAGUUAAUUUCAUUUUUUGAUAAAAGAUAAUACCAUCGGUAUAGAAUGGUUACCAACUGUUACUUUAAUAUGCCUUGUAGCCAAUCAGUUAGUUACACGAGGCAUUAUUAUAUUCAUGUAAAUACAUAUUUAUUAUUAAUAAAGGCUUAAUUUAACUUUAAUAUUCAUAUAAUAUUAUAUUAAUGAAUCUAGAGUAUAGAUAAAGUUUAUUAGAUAAAAAUGCUUUGCAAAUAAAAUUAUAAAGUUGUUAUAAUUAUGAGAUUUUUAAUGCAUCAAAGUAUUGCUCAUAAAAUGUUUUUGGUCGAUGUUGUCUUAAAUACUAGAUAUUUAUUAGAGCCAUAAAGACUAAUACAUAUUAUGUUUUUUCCUUUAUGAAAUGAAGCAGUUGUUCUCAUAAGUUGAGUUAUAAGGGAUACCUAAAACUAAUAUGUAUGUGCUUGCCAUAAAACAUAUACACUAAAUUGACCCGCAUGAAAAUUCCAUAUGGAGAGAUCAUAUAUGUCUAUAGAAAGACUCGCAUGACAGUUGUAUAUGUAAUCCUUAGACUUGAGAUCACUAAGUUAUCUUAUAUAGAGAUUGUUAUGCUUUCAUCUUGUUACAUGUUAUCUUAAUUGAGAUAACAAAAUGAUAAGCAUUGAGUAUAUCAUGAACUAUAUGAAGGUUUUCUUGAGUGAUUAAGAGAGGAUUUCAUCACCCUAUGUGAAUUAGAAAAAAUGUUCCAUCUGUUCUCAAAUAGUAUUGACUGAGAAAUCCUUAGCCAAGGUGGAAUGAGAUUUAAAAGGGGUUUCAAAUCUUAUUCAAAUGAUCAAUUACUAUUAUGUAGAGAAUGAACAUGAUUUAACAUGACAAACAUGCUUCAUACUUUAAUGUUAAAUGUUGCUACCCAAUUUUUGACCCAUGUUUUGAUAAAUUUUCAGAAAAAUUCAAAAAUAGCAAAAAACAUUGAAAAUCCAAAAAAAUACAUUUUUAAUACAUUUGCAUCGUUUUUAGCAUUUUUAGCAUCGUCUCAAAAGAAUUUAAAUUUUCAAAGAUGUUUGGAACGUGUUCAACUUUUAACGCAUUAUUUUUAAAAGCAUUGAUUUUCCUCAUUGAGUCGAUGUUGAUAUUGCUCGUUUUCAAAAAAUACAAAAAAAAUAAGAAAAAUCAAAAUUUACAAGAAAAAGAAGUUGAGGGACCAAAUUUUGAGGCCCAAGCUACAUUUUACCUAUAAAUAGUAGCCUUCAACACACACAAAAAAGGGGGGCAAUUUUGAAAAAAAAAAAGAGGAGAAAACCUAACCCUAAACCUAUCUACCCAAAGAGCCGCCCCCCACCCGGCUGGAUUUUUUUUGCUCUCCGAAACCAGCCGUUCAAGUCCUUUCCCUCCUCCACAUCGUCUCCAACUCCUUCUCCCUCAGCCACACACACGACAGAAACCAGAGCUCCCCUUCUCCUCUCCCAGCCGCCACUUGUACUUUCCCCUCUCUCAGCCGAUCCCUCAUCUCCUUUUCCCUACAAACCAGAACGCCGACCCCCCCCAGCCGUUCUCUCACCCUAGACAACCCCCAACAACAGCCGCCACCCUCACAGACCCGGCGACUCCUAGCUUCUCUUCAAUCGGCCACAAACCCAUGAUCGCCCUAUCAGCCACCGUGAACAGCCGCCUCCAGCAUUUCCUUUCCUCAGCACCAGCACCAGCACCGAUCUGUCCAUUCCUCCGCCUCAACACCGCCAGCAAGCUUAUCUCCACCGCGACUUCAGCGACCACGGACGACAGCCACCAGAUCAGAGGAAGGAGAAGACCGAGAACCAGCUGACUACCGCUGCCACCAACAUGAGUGAAGACCGUCAACGCAGCGACCACCACCGAAAGCUCCCCCCACAACCGCCGGCCAUCUAAAACAGAAGAAGAGGAAACAAAAACAACAUGCAGAGAGGAGCAGAUCUGAAAAUGAGAAGGGAGAGAAGCAGAUCUAGACUAAAAUGGAUUGAAAUCGACUGUUUGUUGGGUUUUUUGUUCUUUUGCAGGUGACGGUGGGUGUCACCACCGGCAGAGAAGGGAAAAGGAAAGGAAGCUGAGCCAGACCCCCCCUGUUUUCUGGCCUUUCUCGCGGCGGCGCGUGAACCCACGCUCCGCCAGUGGCGGUGGCGCCUGGGAAGACGCGUCGCCACUGUUCAUGCUGUUCCAGAAGGGCUUCCCAGCACUGUUAUGGAGUUUUGAGGGGUUAUUUUGUAAUUUUCAAAUUUUUAAUGUAAUUUUUUUGUUUAGUUUUGAAUUUUUAUUAUUUGUAGUGUUGAUGUAAAAAAAAAAAAACAAAGAAAAGAAAAGAAAAAAAAUAUAGUGAAAGUGUAUGUGUGUGUUUGUAUUUGCUUUAUGAGUGUUUUAUUUUAUUUUAUUAUGUAUGAUAAAAUUGCAAAGAUUAAAGAAGAAUUUAAUAUUUUGAUUUGCUCACGGUCCAGAAUUAUUAACUUAUACGUAAGUUGUAUUUCUAAUAUCCGAUGAAAAGACAAAAUUUUUAAAACUUCUUUAACACAUCAAAGUCACGAAGCAGCUUACCUCAGGUAGGGUGCGUUAGGGGUGCUAAUACCUUCCCUAACCACAACCAGUCCCUUACCCGCGAAUCUCUGACAAGACCAGUACAUCCGGUUUCCUAGUAGCCUUCAAUAAAUUACUAGGUGGCGACUCCAACGAACCAAUUCAAGCAAACGACAACGAAAAGAUCGCCAGCCGAUGCCGCACGGAUUUUCUGAUGUGCGACAUUAAAUAAGAACAUUAGUGAUAGAAUGAUAUUAAUUACAAUGAGAAACCAGUAAUAGAAGCCAGUAAUUGAAACCACUAAUGACUUUUCUAAUAUUUAGGGGAUCAUGACACGUUACUAAACAAUGCACAUGAUCUUCAAAUUUUCAAUUUUAAUUUAUUUAAUUAUAAUUAUAAUUAUAAUUUAUAUUUGGGUCAAUAUAUUAGGAACCUAAUAGGUCAUACACAUUAAGAAUUUAAACUGUGAUGAUUUAAUUAAGUAUAACUUGAUUAAAAUAUAUUUUAGAAAUUAAGGACUAUAAUAUAAUUAAUACAAGGAUUAUGUUUCCAGAUCUAGAAAAAUCAGGUAAGGACUUGAUUGAGUUAAUUUAUAAAAUUAUCUUAAAUUAAUAUAUGAAUAUUAUUCAAGGGGGAAAAUUAAUAUUUUGUCAAUUUAUAGGGUUUUUCAUAUUUUCUUAUAAAUAGUAAGUUAUGCCUCUUAUUUUUUAGGAGUUAUCUGUUAGAAAGAAAAACUACGUAUGUUACAGAAUAAAGAGAUAACACUUUAUACAUAACAAUCCCUCUCUUCUAAAUAGAGACUUGAGAGAUUUUUUACUAGUAGUUCAUGUGGAUUACUGUUAAAGAACGAACAAUUGAACGACUUCUAAUUUGCAAUAACUCAGUCUUUAAAAAAUUAUUCAAAACCGAAGAUAAUCAAAUCUUCAGGUGAUAAAUCCCUAAAUAACUCUAAAUUAUUUUAUUGUUUCAGCUGCGUAUAUGCUAUUCGGCAAACCCAACACCAACUUCACCACGGGUUUAACAUUUCUUUUACAUGUUGGGAAUUUGGUACUAAUGGGUGUAUUUUCUUAAGUUGAAAUAAUGUCACACAAUGCAGGUUCAAGUGGGUUCAUGAAUCAAAUAGUGGUUGUUAUUUGACACCGCAAUUGGAUGGCUUGGAGUUCGCCGGAACUUGGGCAUACCAUUUUUGAAUAAAUAACAAGGUAAAAACAUCUUUUAAUGAUAUGAAAUCAUUUAUUCAUUUAAAGGUAUCAACAUUGUCAUUUAUAGUGAAACAUUUAAUUUUACUACAUUGAGAAUACGUUGACCAAUAGAAUCCCCGCCUUCAGCCAACCCCAAAUUUGUCUAUCAUCGUGUAAUAUUGAUCAUUACAUUAUGCGCUUUCCAGCUAAUGAUAGGAUUUUAAGGACAACAUUAUUAAAUUGACAUCCAACCGACCAUUAUGGCUGUCAUAGAAUAGCAAUGGCCAUCCUUUGGCCAUCAUGCCAUAAAAGCCUCAUUUGGAGCCAAUUCCUCUCUCUCUCUUGCCACUAUUAGCUUCCAACCAUUCUUCGCGUUUCACUUUUCUUCAAAUGUUUUCACCAAAAUUGUUGCUCAUAAAGUCGAGAUCCAAGGGAUUAUUUAAGAUUUUAUGGAAAGUACGUAUUUCAAAUAUUUUAUGUUUAUUUUUCUGAAAUAUUGUUUGAAGAAAAAAAAAAUUUAAUUUUUUCAAAAUCAUUUUUAAAACACAAAAAUAAAUAGAGUUUGUUUUUUAUUUUUUAAAGUAUUGUUUUUUAAAAAUAAUUUUUGUAUUCUAAAUUAAUUUUUUUAUUUUUAUAUUAAUAUUAAAAAUAAUUUUUAAAAAAUAAAAAAAUAUUAUUUUAAUAUAUUUUUAAAUAAAAAAAUAUUUUAAAAAACAUCUACUUAAAAAAUAUUAUUUUUCAAAAAUAAUACUUUUCUCUAUAUUUUGAGUUUUAGUUUUUAAUAGCUAUGGCUUGUUUGAUUUUUUAUUUUUAUUUUUUUCAUGCUCUUGCAAAUAAGGCACGAAAAAAGUACUCGAAAUCACGGUGUAAAUAAGAAGAGAAAUAACAUGUUUGUUUUUUAUUUUUUAAAUUAAAUUUUUGUAUUUUUAUAUUAAUAUUAUAAAUAAUUUUUUAAAAAUAAAAAAAUUAUUUUAUAAUAACAUGGAGAUAAAGAUAAUCUCAAAAGCUAAUAGAUGGUCACCACGUGUUCAACUAGGAAAGGAUAGAAAGAGGGAGAGAGAAAGGUCAAAAAGGCUUUAAAAAAAAAAGAAAAGGAAAGACACGGUUGAGAUAAGAGGGACGUGGAUAUAGAAGCAGAAACGGAAGGAGACAUAAGCCCUGUUUGUUUGCUGGAAAGUAGUUUUUUUUUGGAAAGUGAAUUCCGGGAAAGUAUUUUCCGAUGUUUGGUAGUGUAAUGGAAAAUAAGUUGGAAAACACUUUCCAGUGUUUGGUUAUGUCAUGGAAAAUGAGCUGGAAAAUAACUUAUUAAUGUUUUAUUUUUCUCAAGUUUAUUAAAAUAAUGAGGAACAAAUCUUACAAAUUAAAAAGUUGAAUGAGAAUGAAAUUGAAAAAAAAUAUAAUUUCAUAAAUUAUCUCAAAUAAAAUAAAUAAUAAUCAAAAUAAUAGAGAUCAAAUCUAAAAAAUUAAAAAAAAAAUUAAAGGUGAAGAAAUUAAAAUAAUAAUAAUUAACAUUUCAUAAAUUAUUUCAAAUAAAAUAAGUAACAAUCAAAAGAAUGAGGACCAAAUUUGAUAGAUAAAAAAUUUCAAUAAAAAAUGAUAAGGAAAAAGCAAAUAACAAUUAUAAAAAUAAGGACCAAAAUUAAUAUAAAAAUUAAAUUUUAAGAGAUGGAAUUGAAAAAUAAAUAUUCAAAACAAAUUAUAUAUAGCAAUCAAAAGUUUGAGGAUCAAAUUUGAUAUAAUCAGCAAAUAAUGACAUUUCUAAAUUUUUCACAACUUCUGGAAAGUGUUUUCCGCCCAAAUUUUCCAGGAAAACACUUUCCUGAAAACCAAGCCAAAUUUUCCUUUGACUGGAAAGUGUUUUCCGUUGACCAACUUUUCUAAUGGCAAACAAACACAGGAAAGUUUGGAAAGUGGUUUCCCGGAAAUCACUUUCCGGGAAACAAACACAGCCAAAAGGGAAAACACUUUCCUGAAAACCAAACCAAAUUCGAAAAGUGUUUCCAUUGACUAGAAAGUGUUUUUCGUUGACCGAAAAGUGUUUCCGUUGACUGGAAAGUGGUUUCCGUUUACCAACUUUCCUAAUGGCAAACAAACACAGGAAAGUUUGGAAAGUAGUUUCCCGGAAAGUGAAUUCCGGAAAACAAACAUGGCCAUAGAAAGAUCAGAGGAGAGUAAGAAAAAAAAAUGAAUAUGUGAUGUCCUAUUUCUGAUAAAAAAUACUUUGUUUUGUUUUUUUUCUCUUUUAUUUGGAAUUUCUUUAGACACUUUAAUAAUAUAAUAACAAAAUUUUUUUUUUCUUUAUUUAUAUUUUGAGUUUUAGUUUUUAAUAGCCAUGCUCCUUUGAUUUUUUAAAAUCAUUUUUUUCAUACUCUUGCAAACACGGCAGAAGAGGAGGACCUGAAAUCACGACAGUGAAUAAGGAGAGAAAUAAGCAUGUUGGUUUUUUUAUUUUUUAAAGUACUUAAAAAAUAUUUUUUUUAUUUUUAUAUUGAUAUUAAAAAUAAUUUUAAAAAAAUAAAAAAAUAUUAUUUUAAUAUAUUUUUAAAUAAAAAAUAUAAAAAAAAACUACUUUAAAAACCUUAAAACCACGGCAUGAUAAAAGGAGAAAGAAAGGAAUAGGACAAAGGAAGAAAGUGAAUUGGACACAGGAAGAAAGUAAGGUCACGUAGGGGGGCCAGUAUCGUAGAUAAUAGGAGAUGAAAAUUAGUAUGAAAAAGAGGAUGAUAGAGUGGUUGUCCGAAUCAUUGUGGUUUUUAUAAUUAUAUUUAAUUUAUAGAAAUAUUAAAUUAAUAUAUUCUUAGUAUUUUAUAUGAUUUAAAAAAUAUGUGUAUAAAAAAAUAUUUUAAUAUAUUUUUAAAUAAAAAAUAUUUUUAAAAGUAUAUGUCACAGUACCAAAUUAUAUUAUAAAUUAAAAAAAUGGGGUUUUAUGUUCAUUAGUACUUACUUAGAGUCAUUUAAUUGUGGACAAAAUGGUGUAUUCUUUUGAAAAUUUUCAAUUUUAUACUUGAAUUUGUUUUCCACAAUUGAUCCUUUUUAAUUAAAAUUAGAGUUCAAUUGCAUAUUUUUUUAAAGAUAAAAGUUGAAUUAAAAAUAGAUAAAAGUUGAAUUAAAAGAAAGGGGACUAGUUAAGUGAAAAACUCAGCCAAAAUAGGUAGCGGCUCUAUAAUUUGUUGGCAAAGUUUAUUUUAGUUUUUCAUCUUUUUAAGUUAUUAAAUAAAAAGUCCCUAUAAUUUUCCAACAUUGCAUUUUGAAUUUUUUUAUUGAUACUUUUUUAUAUAUAUUUUUAAAAAUAAUUUUAAAAAUGAUGUUUUCAUUAAUACCCAUUUUCUAUGAUUUUUUUUGGCUUUAUGUAGUCUUUCUUCAAUUAUUUUUAAUUUUGCUAGAUGUGUUUAAUUUUUUAAGAGGUUAGUAUAAUUUAUCUGUAAAUAUUUUUUGUACAUUUCAAAUAGAUUAAGUAUUUAAUUUUUAUAAUAUUUUGAAUAUGUGUAGCCUUAUAUAGUUUUUUUUUAUGAUAUUAAAAAAAUAUGUGUAUUGAUUUCUAUUAUAAAUUAAUUUUAAUAAAUAAAUUUAUUAAAUAUAACCAGAUAAAUCAUUCAUGUAAUAUUAAAUACUUAAUCUAUAUUUAUCCCUCAAUUUUCUAGGCAAGCAAAAGGAGCUAAACUUAUUCCCGACUAAAACGUCAAGAAUUUCAGGAGAACAAAAGAAGAGAUUAUUACUUGACCAAAAACAAUUAGUCCGCGUCCAAAGAAACCGAGUGAAUGAGAGAAAAAAGACUAUAUAUUAGCUAGAAAACAAUCAACAGAACCAAGAACUUUCGGUAUGGUUUCCAAGAAAAAUGAAAUGAAACGAGCAGCACAACCCUCUUUCCCCUCUAAGAAAAAGAAAAAGAAGGGAAAGAAACAAAGAAGUUCGAGGAAGUGGGCAGCCUUUGUUCUGCUGUUCACACAGACUAAGAACUCCUCAAAUUGUAAAAUCAUAUAAUUAAAACACAACAAUAAAAAUGUAAUAAGCAGCUGAUUAAUGCUAUUGUUCUUUCUUCUUGUUUUGCUAUUUUGAUUUUAUCAUAUUUUCUUAAGAAAUUAUGAUUGUGAAAGCUAGCCAAACUAUUAGAUCCAAGCAAUCUAAGAUAAAAACUAGCGUACUUGCGUCCUGUUGUCGCAAGUACUUUUUAUAAUUAACUUUUUGUAAUAUUUUUUUAUUUAAUUAUACAAUAAAUUCAUAGAAAAAACUACAAGAGGAAAAUAUAUAUUUCAUCAAAAUUGUGUAAUCUGAUUCAUGUAUUUUUCUUAACAAAAAAAAAAGAUUUUGAUGAUAUAAAAAGUAAAAAAAAUAAAUAGAAAAUGAAGACAUGGAGAGUGGCGGGCGGGCAUUAUUGUGUUAUUUUUGAAUCCGACUCCCAUAUAUAAUGAAAGUAAGAACGUUCAUUCCUUUAUAAACAUUGACUUUGAUUUUUCCUUUAUAAAACCAUAAACCUGCAAGUCCUACAAAUCAACAUGAAGACUUAUCAGAUCCUAAUGAAAAGCUGUCAAAAUCCUAUCAGAAAUUAAGGAAGAUGACGUUAACUUCAAAUCUGAGGAUUAAUUGUAGCAGAUCUUAUAGCGUUCAGCUGAUUGCUUUACUUGUUUAAAUAAUUCUCUUGUAAGCCUAAUGGUUCACGUCUUCCAUCAUUGCAACCUUUUUUUCUGUGAUUGAAAAAUCUAUAAUAGGAACCUGCACUGCAUCCCUUCUAUGCUGUUGUUCUUUCUUCUUGUUUUGCUAUUUUGAUUUUAUCAUAUUUUCUAUGAUGAAAGUUGAAGAAAUUCUACUUCGAAACUAAAGACAAAGUCUCUCGGACUGCAUAUUAGUGGGUUGCUCAUUGGGAUUUCUAUAAACAACUGAUUCUAUUGCAAAGCAACACCACGAAAAACUGAAUAUUUCACACAUAGUCUAAUAAAAGUAGAUUCCAUUGUCAAUUCCUUAACAUUUUCCAAACAAAUCCAUGCUCCUCAUUUUAUACUUUCUUGAGGGUUUCUAUUCUCUUAUUACCAAUUUCAGUGAGUUUCAUAAUAAGCUGCUUAGAAAGAAGCUAUCUAACAGGAGGGUGGGGCUACUCUUAGCCAAUGAAAACAGCUUCACAUGCUAUACAGCAACGUGAAAAAAAGAUUCUCAGCCUGUUCUCUCUUUAAUGAACACCCUCUUGGAUUCUCUAGCAUUAGCCAACAAGGUAUCUGCUUGGAAUUACUAAUUCCACCGACCUGAAAAAGAACGUCCAACCUAUUUAAUAUACUUAAUAAAGUUCUAUUUUAUAAUCCUAUAUAUUUUUUAACUGAACUACUUAUUUUUCUCAAAAACCCAAAAAGUAAACGAUUUUCCAGAAAUCUAAUUCAUAAUAAAACAAAUAAUGAGACUUGAUAUUAAUGCAUUAAAUAACCAUCAAUUAUUCAUCAAACCAAUCUGAAAAAUCUAAUAUUAAAGCUAGGGACCAAUCUAGACUUUUAUUAUAUUUUUAGGGGUCAAAUUAUAAUUUUAUCAAAUUGGAGGACCAAACUAAAAAUAUCAUAAAUUCAUGACUAUACUGGAAUUCUGCCCAUAAUUCAUCCUAAAUUUUGCCCAGAAUCUCAAAUUAUGCUCCAAGGACCACUACAUAAUUUUAUCAAAUAUCUAGGGUCAAAUUGUAAUUUUAUCAAAUUGGAGGACCAAAGUGAAAAUAUCAUAAAUUCAUAACUAUACUGGAAUUCUGUCCAUAAUUUAACUUUAAUUCUAUCCAGAAUCUCGAAUUAUGCUCCAGGGACCAAUCUCUAAUUUUUCUAAAGUUCAGAAAUUAAACUGUAAUUUUCAUAAAUUGAGGGACCAAGCUGAAAUUUUAUAAUCUUCAACCUCAAACCCAGAAUUCACACAGAUAACCUAUUAAUAUAUCAAGAUUUCUAACUUAAAUUCACCAUUUAAAUAAACCAUAACUUAAAAUCAUUAUUUUUACCUAAAAUGUUUCAAAAUCAAUUAAAUAACUCAUUACCCAUAACAAUCGAUCCAUAAUUUUUCUGUAAUGUAAUUGUAAUUCCUAGCAUAAUGCAUAUUCGAGGGCAAGCACAACAAUUCAAGAGCAAAGAAACUCGAUGAAAUAGCAAAAUAAAAAGACAUGAAGGACUGAAAUAAAAUAAAACCAAAAAAGAGGGAUGAAAAAAGUAACCGCACUCUGGUUGCCAUCAAAAACAUAUAUAGUUCUUUUAGUAUUUUUUUUUUUAAAAUAAUAUUGUAAUAGGUCAAUCAUAUUACCCUGAGUGUGUGACACAGAGAUAAUCAUCAUAGAAAAUUACUUUUAAUUGCUUGUGUUUUAUCCUGAGAUGACAAACUUACCUUGUCCUACUAAUGCUUUUGCUUUCAUUGUUUCGAAAGUAAAAGAGACUUAAACAUAAUCAUUUCCUUCCUUUUACUUUCCACUUCUUUGUAAUAUUGGAUUGCAAACGGGAUGGUGCUUAGAGGGGCCACUUUUUCUUUUCCUUUCUUUUUAAAAUCUUAUGCCUUUGGGUGAGGAAAUUAGUGGAGCAUUAGACUUUUUAAAAGACAACAAAAAAAAGCGAUGUCUCAUCUUUUGAUAUGGUGGUACAAGAUACACCAUGGUAUGGUGGUCCUGCAAGAAAUGUCUUAGCUUUUGAUAUGGUGGUCUUCCAUGAUCAGUUUUCGAAAGAUUCGAGUCUCCGUUCUAGUUCGGGUUGGAAGCUAGGCCGAAAGCUAAGCUUCUUUUAAUUAUGAAUUGUUUAUGCAAAGGAAACCCAGAAGCUUGAACAAACAGAAAUGCCUUGUUGAUUUCUCUGCUACUACUCAUUAUUUCCAAUAUUAUUCCAUUAUCUUACCCGAAAGCAAUUAUACAAGAAAUUUCAUUAUCCUGCCCCAGAAGGCAAUUUAUUACAAGGACUUCCUUUAACCUCCUUGAAGGCAAUUUAUUUGAUGAAAAUUCCUUUAAUCCACCUCAAAGACAAUUUAUCUUAGGGAAUUCCAACAACCCAGGCAAUUUAUUUCUUAAUUUUAUAUUACUGUUUUCAUUAAUUUUAUUAAAGCUUAAUUUUAUAUUUUUUCUGCCCUUUUCUUUUAAAAAUGUUAUCUCCUUGGUAAGGAAUCCUUGGUUCCCAACAGCAACUGUAGCAUAGUUAAAGGUUGCGUUAAAAAAAUAUCAAAACUCCACCGAAAGUAGUGGAGCCUUAGAAUUUUUAAAAGACAAAACGGGGACAAGUGAGAGACGAAGAAAAAGACAAAAGCAAUUCCAUCUAUUGAUGUGGUGAUCCAAGAUACACCAUAACAUGGUGUUCUUCCAUGAAGUCUAAGAUGCACCGCCGUGUUGUUUCAUAUAUAUUUAUAUAUAUGAAAAUAAUAAAACUACCGUUUAAAACAACUCUGAAAACAAAAGUUUUAAUAAUUCAUAAUUUAUAAGCAAACAUCACUUAUAAGCAAAUAAUUAAUGAUGGUUAAACUAAUUCAUUGUUAGGCGGAUAUAUAUUAAGGUUGAGACCCAUCUAUCUAACACUAAUAACUAAUCACUGAUAAUAUUUAUGCAAAACUUGUAGCUUAGGAUGAACUCUCAGAGAUGUGGGCGAGGCAACUCAAAGUAGAAGGGAAGGGGUAACCUCUGAUAACAGAGAAAAUUGUAGAGUAAAUUGUAGAUGUGGACCGAAUUUUCUUAAAUUAACAACAGAAAUCUACAAUGAACAGUUCUCGAGAAGAAACUCAAGAAACGUAAUAAAGCUACAUGAUGACAUAAUAGGAACCUGCAUUGCCUUCAUUCUAUGAUGAAAGUUCAAGAAAUUUUACAUCGAAUCUCAAGACAAAGUCUCUCAGACUACAUAUUGCAAAGCAACUGAUUCUAUUGCAAAGCAACAUUACGAAAAAUUGAAUAUUUCACACUCAGUCUAAUAAAAGUAGAUUCCAUUGUCAAUUCCUCAACAUUUUCCAAACAAAUCCAUGCUCCUCAUUUUAUACUUUCUCUCUUAUUACCAACUUCAUUGAGUUUCAUAUAAGCAUAGUCAAUCACACAACUAAUAUGUGAAUUCACAAUUUCUUACCGAAAACAUUUUAUCAGUGCAAAUUAAUACAUAAUUUUACCUCUCCUCUUGGUGAAAACACAAAGACACAACCACCGAGCAGAUCUCUGGUAAUGGUCUCUACAAAUUCCCUACAGUUCCUAUUGCCAACAAACUCCUCUUGCCAUUCCCUAACUGCAUUGAGCCAGCUAAUCUGGAUGAAAGAAAAGACUUCAGCCAUUCCCUAACCUUAAAGCAGACCCAACUUUGUAGCUCAUUACCAGUUAAGUAAAAGUUAUCAAUAGCUGUGUAAAUCAUUGAAACUGCCACAAAAGCAACCCAAAUUAGUUAUGAAUUGGAUUCGAUAAGGGAAAGAGGGGAAGAGGGGAAAUGGGUAACGGAAAAUUAAAGAGAGAUGAAGAUCUGCGCAGGGCUACCUGUUUUGAGAAUUAUGGAUUUUUAUCCCUAACUCCAAAUUGCACCAAUUAUAAGUUCAUUAAAACAAAUCUGGAACAGAACAGAUGGAAAAAACUCGAAACAACUUGGCUAGAAUUUGGGCAAGAAAUUCAGAACGGCCAAGAUUUUAAGUGAGAUAAAAGUUAUCCCAUUUUGUUCUGUUUUUUUUUUUAAAUUAAUAUGAGAUAUACUAUCCAUUUCAAGCGGAACAUAAUGGAAUGAACAACCUUGCAUCGAAGACCUAAUUUUAGUGAAACUCAAGUUUAUUGUGUCAAAGAAAAUGUUCUAAAAAAAUGUUUUAAGCAUUAACAAAAUCUAGUUGGCCUAGGCAAUCCACUAUUGUUGCUGUUACCGUUGGUGCAUACUCAAUUACACCAUUGACAUAGUGCAACUGUUUUUCUUUCUUUCUUUCUUUCUUUUAAAAAAUCCAUGUUAUGUUUUUUAUUUGAAGCUUUUUUGUUAACAUCUUUCGCAAUUGGCCUUGGUAUUUUGUUUCCAUUUUCUCUAUGUUUCCUUCUUCUGUAGUUAGAAAACAUCAUGUCUUUGGGUUUGCGCUUGAUACCGCAAAAUUAAGGACACAAUAGUCAAAGAACACAAAAAAAUUUAUAAGUGAAGGGGGUUGCAGUUGUGAACCCUAAAAUUUACAAGUUUAUUUUCUUAAUAAUAAUAAUAAUAAUAAUAAAGAAGUUUGCCUUCUUAGAAAGUUUACAAAGCCUUAAAUUGGUUAGGAACCUUACCUCAACAAGGAAACAAAAAAAAAAUCCAAAAUUAUAAAGGAAAGAAGCAUAAAAUCUAAAAUAAGCAAGAAAUUUGAAAAUAACAAAGAAAAUCACAAAAAACUAACAAAACCCGGGGCAUCAGUGAGAGUUUUGAUAUUUAAAGAUCCGAUGGUCUGUAUAAAAAUUUGAGCACAAUCCAAUAAUCGAAUAAAAAAUUCUGGCUCUUUUGAGCUGUUAUUCUUGUCUAGUACAACCAAACAUUCUCUUGGGCUUAAACCUGUUCUAUUGGUUCAUAAAUGCAUUUACUAGGCCAUCAACAUUAUUUGUCUGAGGCAAAUCCUCAUCUAGUUAUGGGAGACCCACAUCUGACUGCUUAGAAUCACUAGUUAUCGUAGGAUCGACUAUAUCAAAAUUGGUUGGUUUUUUGUUUUCAAAAAGAAUUAAAAUUUGAUGGAGAUGAAAGCUAAAAACACAAUAAUUAAAGAGCACAAAAAAUUUUAUGAGCAAAAGAGGCUGCAGAUGUGAACCUUCAAAUUCACAAGUUUAUUUUCUCUAAAAUAAUAAUAAUGAAGUUUGUUUUCUUAGGAGGUUUCCAAAGCUAUAAAAAUAUCAAGAAUCCUAUCUUAACUUGGAAAUAAAAAUACAAACUCAAAAUUACAAAGGAAAGAAGCAUAAAAUCUAAAAUAAGCAAGAAAUUAAAAAAUAACAAAGAAAAUCACAAAAAACUACCAAAACUAGAGGGCUUAACAAGAUUUUUGUUAUCUAAAGAUUCGAUGGUCCGCGUAAGAAUUUUAGCAUGAUCUAACGGUCGGAUAAGAAAUUAUGACCCUUUUGAGCUAUUAUUUUCGUUUAACGCGACCAAAUCUUUUUUUGGUCCUAUACUUAUCCUAUUAUUCCAUAAAUACAUCUCUAUGACCUAUCUUUUUUUUUCCUACUAUAGAUGGAGUUUGACCAUCAUCAUCAUAUGAUUUGACUUAGUUGUAUCGGUUUUCAAUCAGAUCAACUUUAUAUAUUAUGGGUUUACAUUUACUAUUUUUAAAAAAUGCUCAUUAUCGGUUUUCGAUCACCAUAAGUCCAUUGUUCACACCUCAAGUCCGUACCUGCAGCGGAUCGCAGGCAACGAAACUAUAGACUCGAGAGUAAACAUGCUACUAUAGUUAGCUAGUAAGGGUCCAGGUCAUUUGUUGUCUGGUUUCAAAUAGUGUUUCAACUCAUUUAAUAAAUGUAUACAUGGCUCAUAGUUGGAUUACUUGUGUUUUUGUUAUUUGUUCUUCCCAGUACUUGUACCAGAAGCUGCUCUCAUAUUUGAAGGAAUGCAAACAAUUGUUAAUAUGAAACUUAUGAUGCAUAGGAAAUUGCCAUUUUUCUCAUUUUUAAUUGGAAGAAAAAUCACACGUAUGUUUUUGUUAGAAAUAACUUCUUAUUUCAAUCAGAAGUGUGUCACUAAAUUGAUUUAUAAGUAAGUUUUUAAAUCGUGGAUUAUAUCUUACAUUAUAUUUUUUUAUUUACAAAAGUUUAUUUGAGUUAUUUUUAUUAAAAAUACUUAUAAUUUAAAAUUAUUUUAAUUCUUUUUUAUCAUAAAUUAUUUAUUAAAAACAACUUAGAUUAUCGCUUGAAAUAAAAAAAGAAAAAGAAAAAUUUUUCAGCCUGUUUUCUCUUUACUGAACAACCUCUUUGAUUCUCUAGCAUCUGCUUGGAAAAACCAUUCAACAAGGGAUUCUGCUAGGAAAACAUGCAAUUGUUCUUCUAUCUGAUAUCAGUUUCAAAAUUCUAAACAAAUAAUGCAACAAGUCACAUUUAUUACAAAAAAAGUCACGUUUAUUCCAGACCUCAAGCUGCAUUGCCUAUUUCAAAACCACAAAGAGAACAUCAUACAGAACAACAAAUACCCAAGUCGUAGAGCCAUUAAUUUGAGCAUAAAGGAGAAUGAAAGUCCACGCAUUAAACAGUAGGCACACACAUGAGUAGACAUUAUGCCCUUGUUUUUGAAGAUUCAGACACUUCAAAAGAAAACUCACGCUCUUAUUUUUGGGAAGUUCUUCUAUGGUAAAUAAGACUGUUACAAUGUGAAGCCAAUUUGUAUCCCAUUGCCAGUGAAACAGUAGGAAUUACUUCCACCAAUCUAAAACAUAUUCGCAGCACCACAGCUCAAGGACAUGAAUCUCUGUGAAAUCGCCUAAGGUCGAGUUGCUCAUGUAAUAGGCAACCAACCUGCCUAAUGCAAACAGAAGUACAAAGACCAUUCAUGCAUAUCCAUUACCUGAUUAGGAUGUUUUUCAAAUUCCAAUGCCAAACUAAUCAUCCUACCCAUCAUCAUCAUCACCACCAUCUCCCUUCACCACCUUCCUUCAUCUCCUUCACCACAUACCCACCCAUUAUUUCGGGUCCACGUUCUACAACUGCUGAUUGGCGCAGAGCAACCAGUGCUUGAAUCCUCAGCUACUUCAGAUACCUGUAAUCCAAUCCAAGCAUGGCAUACACAUUUUAACUUCUAAAUCUUAUUAUUGAGCGAAACAAGAAACAAACACACAAAAAGAGAAGCAAGAAAUCAAGACAAUUCAGCAGCACCUCUGAUUGAGCUCUUAUUGAACCAUUUGGGAGCAUGAACGAAAACAGAGAGGGGACCUAAAAAGAGAGAAAUAGGGAGAGAGCAAAAGGACAGCAGGCCUGCUUUGCCUUUGUUCUCAAAACGCAAGUGAAGUGCAGGGAAACUGCAAGCGUUGGUCAGCCUAAUUAUUCGUCUCCAGCUACACACUCCAAACCAUCGAAAGAAAGAACUGAGAAAAACAGGAGAAAAGGAGGAACACGAAAAAAAACCAAGGGAACGGGCAGAUACAGAAAAAAAAAACUGGAGGGAAAAACCCAGGGGAAAGAAAAACAGAGGACUGCAGGUGGAAAAACUGGGGAAGAAAAGGGCAGAACCGCGGGAACAGAGAGAAGAGACUCAGGAAAAAAAGUAGAAGGAAAGGCAGAGGAGAGUCACAGAUCAGCUCUGCCAUUGUCUUCAUCCCUGCAAAAAAAUAAAAGAAUGACACUGAACCAAAGACUAUUGACAACCGGCAUCACCAUUGUUUACUUUCCUUCAUCUCAAAACUAGAGGAGACAGAACGCAAUCAAAGAAAGAAGCAGAGGAAAGUCACCGAGACCGUUGCUACUGCCUUCGGCGUUUCCAGAACUAGGAGAGAAAGCAAAAGAAAGCAGGAGGAAAGGUGUUAAGCAGACAACAGGCACCAUCACACUGCAGCCAUCUUCGCCGUUUCCAGAAGCAGGUACGCCCCUCAUCCCAUUUUGCAUCUUCAUUUCAAAUUGAAUUGUUACAAGAGCUGUGCGAAGGUAAUUUAAUUACCUUCGCACUGCUCAUGCACGCGUGAAGCCACUUCACGCGUGCUUUUCGUUUUGCCCAGCCGGUCACUGGCUUGGGCCAGUGACCGGGCCGGGCUGGCUGGGUCCAGUCCAUGCCAUGUGGGCUGAGCUGGGCCCAGCCCCAAAAAAAUAAAAGAAAAAAACAGAAAAAUAAAAAAAUAGAAAAAAUAGAAAAAAAUAAAAAUAAAAAAUAUGCAUGCAUGAAUAAAAAUAAUGUAAAUUUAUUGGUUUAUUUACUGACGCCAGAGUCAGUAAUAAAAAUAUCGGUUUAAAUUUAUAUUAUUUUUAUUCGUUGUAUUUUAUUUUAUUUAGCUAGAAAAAAAAUAUGUGCAUGCUGAAAAAUAAAUUUAUUUUUUCAUUGGCGCUAGAGUAGGGAAUAAAAAAUAUUGAUAUAAUUUUUUUUAUAGCUACGUAAUAUUUAUCAACACCAGAGUUGGAGAUAUUCAUAGUUGAAUAUUCACUGACGCCAGAGUUAGAAAUAUUAUAAGCAAAUUAUCAUAGUGUAAACUAAUAAAUAUUUAGCAAUUUAAAACAAAACCGGCAAUGCAGUCUGCCUCAGGCAGAACGUUUAAGGGGUGAUAAUAUCUUCCUUUUUACGUAACCAGUCCCAUACUAUAGAAUUUCUGUUGAUCAGUUAGGGUUUCUAGUGACCAUAAUACUAGGUGGCGACUCCAUAAACAAGAUAUUUUUUUCUAAAAGAACAAGAUAUCAGAAAUCUGUUUUUUUUCCACAGUCAAGUUUAUUUUGUGGAUCGUCACGAUAUCGGGUACGAUAAAAGUAGUCAAAUUGUGCAGCACGAGACCCUUCCACAAACAUCUCAUGCUUGUGUCAGGCAGGGACUUCAAUUUUAAUGUUUUCAAACUUGUUAACUCCUACAUCAGAAGACAACAAAGGCACUAAUUUGUUAGAUAUAAUUCCUAGUAUGUUUUGGUAAAUAGAUGAAUCAAUUAUCCCCAAUACUUACUUAUCAACAAAAGGAUAUAUGUAGACAUGGCAAUAGACAACUCAAUAUUAGCAAAUGGAGGUUUAUCGUCCUGUCCAAAUACUUCCAUUAUUUGGGGAAGAGCCUCAUUUUCACUCAAACUGGGAAAGCAUAAAUCUAGGUAUCAUUUCAUUACAAUAAUUAAUUUCUUACUUCUUAAGCCCUGCGUCAAGAGACAGGGAAUGAUACAGUUAGACAACUCCUUUUAAAUUUAGUGGAUGGCUAAAGGAUUUAUCUCCACUUAUCAAUUACUUCAGUUUCAGAAAUUUAAAGGAAGAAAUCAACAUGUAUUGAAGUUGACAAUUUAAAUUAAAAAGGAAAACAAAUAUUGGAGAAAUAUAAAGGACAAAUUAUCAAUUACAUGUACUUGGAGCUGUGCAGACAAAUUACCCAAUCCUUCGUGGCCAUAAAUGGUUAGACUUUUCAAAGAAGGCAAUUGGGCAGCAAAAUUCUUUGGACCAAAAAAGCUGCAAUUUGAAAGAGACAAUUUUCUUAGUCGAGGAAACUUGAUGAUGCCAUCUGUGGUGAGUGCAUCUCCUUCUCCACUGUAAAAUAUUUGCUUUAAAUUAUAAGCUUUAAAAAUCCGCAUCUCUUCCAGGUUUAGAAGGCUUGGAGACACAGAUACAGGGAAGACAUAUUCCAGUUUACCACAGUGAGAUAUGUAGAGAGUUUCCAAUUUUGGGAAGCGAGGAGACUCUAGAAAUAUUUCCCUUUCACCAUCCUCUUCUCUGAUAAUAUGCUUCAACUCACCGCAUGUUCUUAUCUCAAGUGUUUCUAGCUUUGGCAGAUUUUGAGCGAGGGACGGUGUGAAGAUAAAUGUCAGUUUGUCCAGAUACCCCAACUCCAGACGAGCAAGACUUUGGAGGCUGACAUGCCCGGUGGGCCCCUUCCAUAUGCAUUUGAGCUCGGGUAACUCUCGCAGCUCUAACAGUGUUAAAGAUGACAGCAACGGCAGCUCCUUCUCCUCACUGCUUCCUUCAUCAGCCUCACCCAAUUCAAAUACCUCUUCCAAUGAUUUGCAGUCCUCAAUUUCCACACUCCUUAGAUUUUUCAGACCUUGUAGCAAUUUUGCUGGAAACGGAGCGCGAACAUCCCCACAAUCGUACAAAUGUACAGAUUCUAAUCUUUGUAAGAAGCCGUUUUGCUGUCCAUGGGCGGCCAUGUUAUCAGAAAACAAUAUUAUAUUUUUUCACUCUCAUGAAAACAAUUUAUAUGAUGUAUAAAUAGGAGAAAAAAAUAGAAAAAACAGGAUUAUAUACUUUUUAGAGAUUACAUAUUAUUGUUUUAGUUUUUUUCUUAAUCAGAGAAAACUUGAAUAAUAAUUAGAUUUUUGUGAAAAAAAGGUUAAUACAACUACUAAUAAUUAGUUUCAUGUAAAAAAUAAAAAUAAAAAUAAAAAUAAAAAUAGUAACUAAUAUUUUUAUUUUAGUUAUAAAGUUAAUAAAUUUUUAAAGAUAUUUUAAUUGAAUUAAAUAUUUGAACACAAAAUUUAUGUUCUUAUAUAUAUAUUAAAUCAACAUGUAUUGAAAAAUACUUCCAUUAAUUGGGGGAAGAGCCUCAAUUUCACUCAAACUGGAAAGCAUAAAGAUUGAAAAAUCUGGAUAUCAUUUCAUUACAAUAAUUAAUUUCUUACUUCUUAAGCCCUCUAUCAAGAGACAGGGAAUGAUACAGUUAGACAACUCCUUUUAAAUUUAGUGGAUGGCUAAAGGAUUUAUCUCCACUUAUCAAUUACUUCAGUUUCAGAAAUUUAAAGGAAGAAAUCAACAUGUAUUGAAAUUGACAACCAGAAGCCCAAAAGAAAACAAUUUUGACGAAUACCCACCAAACAGUUGAAGUGCUGCUGUAACUGAGAUUUUUUAUUAUAUGUAUUUUUUGUGGUCCAAUGGAUAAAUAAUUUUUUUUUCUUUUAUUUUAUCAGCUUAAUUUUGCAUGUGGAAUAUUGAGUUUUCUGUUAUUUUUUCAGACACAGAAUUGAAUCCUUUAUACAUUCUUAAAACCAAAUUUGAAUUCUAAGUUCCUAAAUGAAGGAAUAAUAAAGAUUGUUGCAUGUACAAAUUCUCCUUAAAAAAAUUAACAAAUAAUAAAGUCCCCUAUGUUAAUAAGAUUUAACUAUAACUUAGCCCUGUAAUUUCUUAAAAUUAAUUAUUUAGCCCUGUAAUAAUAAAGUCCUCCAUUUACUAUAUUUUUCUCUAAAAAAUGCCUUCCUUCCUAAUGAAAUUUCCUCAAAUGCAUACUUUUGUUGUCCUUAUUCUAUUUUUCAAGAAUGAAGAAAAACCUCUAAAUAGCAUUAGGUUCCAUGAAAUUGAAUGUUUACAUUAUAAUUCUUCUAUAGAAGUCUUCAAUAUUCUAUCACUUAAAAUAUAAAGCUUCAAACCUCCAAAUUUUCAAGACCCCAUCUUUCAAUCUCAAAACCAGAAACAACCCCUUCUCCAUUUAACCGAAUCUCAUAACUCUAGGAAAGGAGAGGGAUACGACUUUUGUAAAUUGAUUUAAUAUAUUUUUGACUUUUGAUUUUAAUUUUCUUUUUAAGUAUGUUAGUUAAAAUUGCUUUUGAUUUAAUUUUUUUUUGUUAUAAAUUGGAUUCAAAACUUUGAUUUAAUAAUAAAAAAAUCUUAACUUUAGUUUGUGGAUUGUAUACUAAAUUCCUUAAUAAAAAUAGUAAUUUUGAAUCUUUUUUACAAAUAAUGCUUAUAACUUAUGGUUAUUUUAAUUUAUUUUUUUCAUAAAAAAACUUUUAAAUUAUAGUUCAAAGCUACCAGAUUAGGCAUGUAGCUUAUGAAGGGUUUGUAAGCAGCAAACAAUUAAAAUUAGAAAUCAGAGGAACAUUUAGAAUCUCUAGCAAUAGCCAGCAAUGUAUCUGCUCGAAAAAACCAUUCAACAUGAGAUUGUUCUGCUAGAAAAACAUGAGAUUGCUCUGCUAUUUGAUAUCAGUUUCAAACUUCUGAACAAAUAAUACAGCAUCAAGUCUCAGUCAUCACAUGCCCAUACAAAAACAUUUAUUCCAGAUCUCAAGCUGCAUUGCCAGGCCCGUUUCCAAAACCACAUAAGCAUAUGCAAUAGAAACAGAGCAUCAAACUGACAGAGAAAGCAUGAGAAUGAAAAUCCACACAUUAAACAAGAGUAAACAUUAUGCCUUUAUUUUUGAAAGGUUCACACACUUCAAAACAAACACGAAUGGGCAAGCAACAUUCGCCCUUACUUCUGGAGGCUUGUACGAUAAUGGGCAAGCAACAUUAUUUUUUUGAGGUUCGCACAGUAAUGACUAAACACACAACAUUACAUUACAUGGGUAAACAAGCAGAUAACCUUAUUCACACAUAUAUAGAUAAGUCGAUAUCUUCUUUUGAAAUCACACAUAGCAGAUAACCAAACGAGGGAAUAAGAAAUCACAGCAUCCGAAACUGAAGCAGACAAUACUUGAUAAUUGUUUUAGCGACAGCUUCUUUAGAUUAGGAAGCACCAUCUCCUUCUCAACGUUGACAGGUGAAACAUGAUCAUCCUGCCCAAACACUCCCAAUAAUUGAGACGCUUUUUUUACUCUAAGUAUUUGGAGCUAUGGGAGACCUGAAGCCAUGGUAACUGGGAAGAGGCUCUUCAACAUGUUACAUUCUCUAAUCUCAAUUUCACACAAAUUGGGAAAGCAUAAAGAUUGGAGAUGAUCUCCUAACAAUAUCUGGUCGUUUUCAUCAUCAUCCUUAGCAAUGAUUUGCUUGAAUUCCUCAUAGGACAAUAUCUUUAGAACUUUCAGUUGGACUAGACUGACAAUCAUGCUGCAUGUGAAUACCAGUGUCAGUCUCUUACACUCAACCACCUUCAAAGUAGUCAAUUUGCUCAGCACGAGACCCUUCCAUAUACACCUCAUGUCAGGCAGGGAUUCCAAGCAUAAUUUUUCCAAAUUUGUCAACCCUUGCAUCAAAAGAAAACAAGGAUACCAAAUUUAUAAAACAUUCUUACUUACAAAAACUUGUAGGUCUAGUGUUACCAAUCCUUGUCUUGGGCUUAUACAUGUUCCAUUGGUCCAUAAAUAUAUUUGCUAAGCUAUCAACAUAAUUUGUUUGGGACAAAUCCUCAUCUAGUUAUAAUAGACUCACACCUGACUGCUUAAAAUCACUAGUUAUUGUAGGAUUGACUACAUCAAAAUUGAUUGGUUUUUUGUUUUCAAAGAGAUUUAAACUUUUGAUGCAGACGAAAGCUAAAAACACAAUAAUCAAAGAAAACAAAAAAAAAAUAUAAGCAAAAGGGACUAUAGAUGUAAACCCUCAAAUUCACAAGUUUAUUUUCUCUAAAAUAAUAACAAUGAAGUUUGUUUUCUUAGAAUGUUUACAAAUCCUUAAAUAUGUCAGGAACCUUACCUCCACUAGGAAACAAAAACAAAAAUACAAAAUUACAAAGAAAAGAUGCAUAAAAUCCAAAACAAGCAAGAAAUAAAAAAAAUAACAAGGAAAAUCACAGAAACUAUUAAAACUAUAGGCCUAAACAAAAUUUUUGAUAUCUAAAGAUUUGAUGGUCCACGUAAAAAUUUAAGUAUGAUCCAAUAGUCGAAUAAGAAAUUGUAACUCUUUUGAGUUGUUAUUCUAGUCUGACGUAUUUUUUCUCUUUUUUUCACUAUAAAUGAAGUUUGACCAUCAUUGUCAUAUAGUUUGACUUAGUUGUAUCGGUUUUUAAUCAGAUCAACUUUAUAUAAAUCAGAUCAACUUUAUAUAUUAUGAGUUUACAUUUACUAAUUUUAAAAAAAUGCUCACAAGUCCAUUGUUCACACCUCAAAUUCGUAACUGCAGCGAUUCAUAGGCAACGAAACCAGUUAGAGACUAGAGAGUAAACAUGCUAUUAAAGUUUGCAAGUAAGGGUUUAGAUUAGAUUAUUUGUUGUCUUGUUUCAAAUAUUAGAUCAGUCUCAACUCAUUAAAUAAACUAGUGGUGCAUUGAUCCUUGCAUUAAUUGUUCAUUAACAAACAAUUGUUAAUAUGAAACUUAUGAUGUAUUAAUAACGCAUACAACAAUGAGGCAGUUAAGUUUCUUCGAUAAAAUAAAAUCAUUUAAAAAAUAAAAAUAAGCUAGUAUGUUUGUUACAUAACUAAAAAAAAAAUUGAUUUUUUUAAAUUGAUUUUUUUAAAAAUCAUUUUAAUAGACUAAUAUUAAAAAUAAAUUUUAAAAAAUAAAAAAUAUAUUAUUUUGAUAUAUUUUCAAGGAAAAAACAUUAUGAAAAGAAAUUGUUAAUGUUUGUUAAAACAUUAUUGUUAAUAUUUCUUACUAAAUAUAUAAUGACAUGUGAUUGGAAUAAUGUAUGUGAACUUGUACACAACUUAAUAAAUGAGAAAACUAAGGUAGCCGGUCACAUGUGAUUGGAAUAAUGUAUGUGAACUUGUACACAACAUUAUUGUGGGCUUAAUGGACCACAUACAAGUUUGCCCUGUAUUUUAAGUGAAGUUUUGCAGAUUUUUGAAAGUUUUUUUUUUUCAAAUUGAAUUUUUUUUUUUUUUUUUUUGUGGUUACCAUAUCAGACAAAGUAGAGGUUGAUUUCAACAAGCAUGAAAAACCAAAUUCAUUAUGAGAUAUAUAGCCUCAAGAUUAUCACAUCAUAAAGAAGAGUAGAGGUUCAAAUCCCUAAAUCUAUAAAUAAAUAAAAAAUGAACUAACCAAUUUUAUCUCGAAACAACAUUGAUCGUGGUCAACCGUGUGACUUGUUCCGCCCCCGUCCCGGGUUCGACCCUCUAUGUGCACGCCUGUCACCCCCGCGGUGCCUUACCUGCCCCUGGGCUUGCAGGAUGUCCAGUGGGCCGUGGGGAAUAGUCGUGGUGCGCGCAAGCUGGCCCGGACACCCCACGUGAAUCAAAAAAAAAAAAAAAAAAACAUUGACACUAACUUAAUGCUGAGCCUUGGUACAAAUUAAGUCAGCACUUCCAUGCCUUGUGAUCUUGACAAAAAUAUUUUUGGUCCUUUUAGUUUAGAAAUGAAACUUUUCAGUACAAAGCUUUAUUUUACCUCUAUAUAUAGUUUCUGAGUUUGAGAAAAGAAAGAAAGAUUUGUUGAAAAACUACAAAGGAGAGAUAAAAUUAGUCAAUUUAGAUUUGGGUUGAUUUUCUAAUUUUAAAUCAAUUAAAUGUUUAUUUAAAAUAUUUAUAUAUCUAACUUUUCAAUAAAGGAGCAAUUUUUCAUUACAUUCAGCACAAUAUUUAUUUCACUAACCUGUACGAAGAUGACACGAGUUAAAAUAAUUGUUUAAACACACACUAUAUAUAUUGUGCAUAUAACUGUCUUGUAUUCACAUUAUUAGAUCAGUGUAUGCACACAACAUUUGAUAUUUUUAACUGUUAUGAAUAAUCUGUAUAUUAUGUGUCGCACGUGAGCGACGUCGCGGCGAUCGUCCACCCAAAACAAAUGUAAUAAUAUGGGGGAUAUAUAUCUGGUCAAUGUAGGGAGACAAGGAAUUCGUUGUCUCUUAGCAGUGAAAAAUGGUGUGGGAGUCGCCACCUAGUAUUUUGGUCACUAGGAACCCUAACUGGUCUCAGAGAUCGGGUACGGGGACUGGUUGCGUAAAGGGAAGGUAUUAGCACCCCAAAUACGCCCUACCUAAGGUAAGCUGCAUCGUUUAAUUGUCUGAUAAAAUUUAAGGUGUUUUCAUUGUGUUUCCUAGUUGUUGGUCCGUCUAUGGUUCAAGAAAAGUCCUCCUUAAUAAGGAGGUCCUUAUCUUAUCGGGUAAAACCUAACCGUUCUAGCGUCUAUGUAAAAAAACAUAUUUUUAAUUUCAGGAAUACGUUUUACGUAUAAAUUCGUAAUCCCAUAUACUAACAGAGGACAAAAAGAUUUUUUAGAAUUUUUGGAAUAUUGGCCUAGUUCUCAUGGCUUGAAUAAACUGGUUAUUAAAGCCAAAAUGCAUGCUAAUACAUAUAUUGUUUUGAAAUUUCUUUUGUUGUGUGAAAAUAUGAUGUUAUAAUAUUUAUAUAUAUAUAUUGGAGAGACUAGGCCGUAUUUUAAAACAAAAACAUUUUUUAAAUAUGUAUUUUGUACGUUUUGACGCAAAUCGGGUAUUUUAAUACUGGGUUUGUAUCCUUGCAGUAUAAAAAUACAACCAAAUAUUAAUCUACUUUGAUAAAGCAAAUGCAGAAAAAUCAACAAUAUUUUCAAAGAUAUUUUAGAAAAUUUUUGAAAGCAAAAGACAUUUUUUAUUUUGAAAAUCUUUGAUGUUUUGAUGAAAACCGGGUAUGUUAAUACCGGAUUUGUAUCUUUACAGUAUAAAAUACCAACCAAUAUUAAUCAAAAUACAGUAAUAAAAUUACAGAAAAUCACAUAUUUUUGAAAUAAUUUUUGAAGAAUUUUUGUAAUUUUUUCAUAUAUAUAUAUAUCUAUAUAAAUAAUACAAAAUAUAAUAUAUAUAAUAUAAUAUAUAAUAUUAAAUGGGCUGGGCUGGUCCGGCCCAACCGACUGGGCCGGACUCAGCCCAAAAUUGUUGGGCCGAUCUCGGCCCAAAAUGGGUUGGGCCGAUCUCGGCCCAAAACAAAAAACACAUUAUCUUCUGGGCCAGACCCGGCCUAGAAGACAGGGCUGGGCCAGGAUCCGCCUGGCCCAAGCCAAAACGGGGCGGGGGGGGGAAUUAUUUUCCCCCCACCCCUGCAUGCAGAACGCUACUCGUUCUGCAUGCAGGGAACGAAACGAGAAAAUAAACGCUCUCCUAGAAACCGCAGAAAAGUUACCUGGCGCGGAGGCGAAAGCGGUGGCUGGCUGCGUUUCUGGCGGUUCUGUGGUGGAGGCUGGUAGCGGUGUCGCUGCUCCCUGGCGGCGACUCCAAGCAGCGGCGCUGCUGUCUCAAGCGGCGGAAAGAGGGAUUCUUCCUCUUUCCUUCUCCUCUGUUUCCUUCCCUUUUCUUCUCCUUCUUUGGUUUUCUUUCCCCCUGUUUUCCCUUCUUUCGGUUCUCUUCUCCCUCUCCCCUUUCUCUCUCUUUCGGUUUUUUCCGUUCCUCUCUCUCUCCUCUGUUUUUCGUUUUCUCCUUCUUCCCCCGUCUGUUCUCCUCCCUCUUUUUCUUCUACUGUCGUGUUGGUUGUUAUUUAUAGAGCCAAGUGAGUGGCUUUUCGCUGUGGAGCAUGGGGAGCAGCCGGCCGGUCGGCCAUUGGGCGCGACUGCCAACGCUCGGCCCCCCUCCCCGGCUUUCUGGCAGGUGCGCGGUGGGUGGUCGGCCAUUGUGUUCGGUCGGUGGGCUCCAGGCGAGAGAGAGGGGCCGGCAAAAAUUUCAAAAAAAAGCACCAUUUUUCCCUUCUUCCCCGCUGCAUGUUCGGGGGGGAAGAAGAAAGAUGAACAGUGUCGUUCAAAACGACACCGUUCUGCCCUUUUCCCUUUUUUUUUUUUUUUUGAAUGGAUGAAACGACGUCGUUUUGGAUAAAACGCGCCGUUUCAUUUAAAUCCUACAAGACGCCAAAACGCGUCAAUUUGCAAAGCAGCCCUCAAUUAUCUUUUGUCCCUUCAAUUGCAUCCCUGCCGAAUUUGAACCCCGUCCCUAUAUUUGGCCGCGUUUUUCACUUUGGUCCUUGGCCUUUGAAUUAUGCAAUUGAGCCCUUAAUUGAUCAAUAAACUUCCAAUUUCUUCAAUUAGGCCCCUGAAUCAAUUAAUUCCAGCCCCUAUACUUACGCACCUUCUUCAAUUUGGUCCUUGGUUUCGGAUUCCUUCAAUUAAGUCCCCAAUUGGCCCUUAAACUUCAAUAUUUAUGCAAUUAAGCCCCUGAUUUGACCUAAUAAAUUCCUAAAAAAUAUAUUUUGGCCCCAGAACUUAAAUUUCUUCUAAUUAAAGCCCAAAUUGACUUAAAAAUCAAUUUUUCUUGCAAUCAAAUCCCCUAUAAAUUCAUUUAAAAAUCAAAUUAAGUCCAUAAACAUCUAAAUUUGGGCUUUUCUCCUCAAAUUUGAAAUUUUCCUUGUCAACAGGGCUCUCCUCCUUCAAGAAUAUAUUAUCAAAAAUUCCAUCUUUGUUUUUUUAACCUUAUUGACCAAUUUUCCAACCAUUUUCUGAGCGCUUCUGCCUCCUGUUAUUUUUCUAACCUCCUUUGGCUAUAUAUUUUUAUAUAUAUUUUGUGGGGACCCAAAAAUGGGUUACAACAUUAUGAAUGCUUAGUCUUAACCUAAAUACAAAUAAAGUAUAUAUAGGUCAAACUGAAAGUACUAUUCUACCCUUGAUAAAUAAGACUACAUAAAUAUUAUUUAACAUCUCCCCUCAAACUCACGAUGCGGCAGCUACAAGCAUCGAGAGUUUGCCAGCCAAAAAACGAAAACGAGAGAUGGAAUGCGCCUUGGUAAAGAAAUCUGCAAUCUGCAAGGAAGAAGGAACAAAAGGCAAAGCAAUGGUGCCAUGUUUGAGAUGAUGACGAGUAAGAUGACAAUCGAUCUCAAUGUGCUUAGUGCGUUCAUGAAAAACCGAGUUAUGAGCAAUCUGAAUAGAACUCUGGUUGUCACAAUACAUAGGAGUAGGAUGAGAAAAGGAAAUUCCCAUAUCAGCAAGUAACCAACGUAACCAAACAAUCUCUUUGGUAGUAGAUGCCAUGACACGAUAUUCUGCUUCGGUGGAUGAUUGAGAAACAAUAGAUUGUUUCUUGUUCUGCCAAGAAAUAAGAGAAUCACCUAAAAAGAUAUAGAACCCGGUAACAGACUUGCGAUCUGUGGGAUCACUACCAUGAUCAGCAUUAGAGUAUACACGCAACUCCAAGGAAGAGGUGGAUGAAAGUAAAAGACUCUGAAAAACUGUACCCCGAAGAUAUCGCAAAAUACGAAGAACAGCUGCCCAGUGAACAGUAGUAGGAGAAGCAACAAACUGACUAACAACAUGAACAACAUAUGCAAUAUCUGGACGAGUAAUGGUGAGAUAUACCAAACUCCCAACAAUAGUGCGGUAUAAAGUAGGAUCUAUCAAAGGUAAAUCAUCAGAAGAAGAGUACCUUGUGUUAACCUCAAUAGGAGUAUCUACAGUCUUGUUAUCAGUAAGUCUAACCCGCUCAAGAAUAUCUGCAACAUAUUUCGACUGAGAAAGAAGGUAACCUCUAGGUGAGUAUGCUACCUCAAUACCCAGGAAAUAUUAAAGAUAACCCAAAUCCUUCAUUUCAAAUCGUCUAGCCAACUCUGUCUUCAAAACUGAAAUACCAUCAAUAUCAUCACCAGUAAUAAUCAUGUCAUCAACAUAUAAAGACAGAAUGAUACGACCUGCAUCAGUGCACUUAAUAAAAAUAGCAGAAUCAUGACUACUAGAAACAAAGCCACGAGACGAGAUCACAAUAGAAAAUUUCUCAAACCAAGCACGAGGUGCUUGUUUGAGACCAUAUAAUGCUUUCUUAAGCUUACAAACAUAUCCAGAGUCAUGUGAAAUACCAGGAGGGGGUGCCAUAUAAACUUCUUCUUGAAGAUCUCCAUUCAAGAAUGCAUUUUUAACAUCAAGCUGAGAAAUAUGCCACUGACGAAUCGAAGCUACGACAAUAAGAGUAUGAAUAGUAGUCAUUUUUGCAACCGGGGCAAAUGUCUCCUCAUAGUCCAUACCAUACUGUUGAGAGUAUCCUUUUACAACCAGCCUAGCUUUGUAUCGCUCAAUAGACCCAUCAGAAUUAGUCUUGAUCUUAUACACCCAACGACAACCAACAACACUCUUACCAGGAGGUAGAGGAACCAGAUCCCAAGUAUUUGUCUUAUGCAAAGCAGAAAGUUCCUCAUCCAUAGCUUGCUGCCAAAGCGGAUCAAGAAUUGCCUCUUUAUAGGAAGAGGGCUCAAAGAGACAAUGAAUAGAAGCUAAAAAGGAAGUAAAUGAUGAAGAAUAACAAGAAUAAGCAAAAUCUGGUAGUUUUGUGGACUUACGAAUGCGGAUGGACUGACUUGGAGGUGGAUCCACAAUCUCAGAUGAAGCUUGAGGGGAUGUAGAUGAGAAUGGAGCUUCAGGUGUGCCAGAGAGUAAAGUACCAGUACCUGCAGAGUUAUGAGUACAAAUUGAUCGAACAUAGGGAGAGGUAUCAUUACCAGAAUCCUUAGAAAAAGGAUCUAUAUAAAUAAGAUCAGAUUUUGUCAGGCUAUGAGUAGUGGAUGAAAUAGAAAAGAAAGGUAUAUGCUUAAGGAAGACAACAUGACGAGACACAUAAAGUUUCUGAGUUAUUGGAUCAAAUCAACGAUACCCCUUUUUACCUUCACCAUAACCCAGAAAGACACAAAUAACGGAUUGAGAGGAUAGCUUACUGCGUUCUACAUGAGGAAGAAGAACGAAACAAGUACAACCAAAGACUCUAAAUGAGGAAUAAUCAGGGACAUACCCAUAUAACUUUUCAAAAGGAGAUAGACCCGAACUUGACCUAUAUAUACUUUAUUUGUAUUUAGGUUAAGACUAAACAUUCAUAAUAUACAGAUUAUUCAGAAUUCUAGCCUCCUUUCUCUAUUUGAUCUCAAUUAAUUUAACAUUAACCAUUCACAUACAUUAAAUAAAACCCAUGGAAACAGGACACAAACGUCGACUGCAACUGCAACAUUAUACUAAUGAGUGUAUUUUCUGAAGUCGAAAGAGUGCUACCCAAUCUAGGUUCAAGUGGGAUGAUGAAUUGAAGAGCAGUUGUUAUUUGACACUGCAAUUAGAUGGCUCAUAUUUGAUUUAUGGAGCUAUGAUAAGGGAUUCGUGCUUGUAUCACAUAUAACAAUAUUUACAUAGUAACAAGCACUAUUAAAGAUGCUACACUAGUAAUUGCUUUAUCAAAUAUUUUAUGUUUUUUUUUUUGAAAUAUUGUUAUAGACAUAGAAUCAUCUAGAUUAUGUGACAUUCUAUAUUGAUUUUGUGAUAUUUUAAUCACUAAAAGUAUGGGUUUCAGAGAAAAAAAACCAAACAAAAAAUUGAAAAAAUUAAAAAUUUUCAAACCAACCCAAUCCAACAUAUUGAUCAGUUUUGGUCUGGUCUGGUUCAAAUAUUUUUUAGCUGAAACAAUUAAUAACCAUUUUCAAAAGGUAACUAUUGACAAGCCUUUCACCGAAACCAUGUUCAUUUAUCCUGAAUCAAUCCAAAUCAGGUUCAGGUUUGAAAGGUUCGGAUAAUCACUUAGACGUCUUCGGUUCUAAUUUUAGGCCUUGUCACUUAGUCAUCCCUUAUCCUAACUUUUUAUUUCCUAAUAAAAUCUCACGGUUUUUCAUCUAUGUUCAAAGGAAAAGUUGACCUUGCAAAUGGUGCUCUAAGGAACCAAGUCAUCCUAGAACUAAUCAUCCACCUAAUCUCAUCAACUCCUUGUUGCACAAACAGCUUGUCUCACUUAAAGGGGAUUUUAAUGAUGAACAAACACCAACUCCUUGUUGCUCAAAUACAUAUGCUCAUUUAAACACAAUUUUGCAUUACCUAGAACUGACAAGGCCUAAAAUUCCUGACAUAUAAUUUUGUUUUAAAGGAACUUCAGGAUUUCUAUAUAGGAUGCUUGACCUCAUUAAAGAAAAACUGAGGACAUCCAUAACAUAAAUUAUCUUCCUUGCCCCAAAGUCAGCACAGAAAAACCCUGUUCAAUAUAAAGGUUCUGAAUGUUUUUCCUAAAUUUCAUGAGCUGGCAUUCAACACAUCAAACUCCCAAUUUAGCAUUCUUAUGCAAACUACAACUGCAAAAGGCUUGUACAUGUAGGGGAGGUAGGAAGAGCUGCAAAGAAUUGUGGCAUCUAUUGUUAUGCUGUUCAGAGUUUCUAUCUCAUCAUCCAAUCUGCCAAAAAUAUAAGAGAUCAUGUGCAUCAUCAAAAGCCCCAGCCGCUAUAUGAACAAAGCACCUAAAAAAUUAAUCACCUAGCUAAUCUAAUUCAGGAAAAUUCGGUCAAAAUCUCCUACAAUGAAACGAGUUAUUGGAAUGCAUAGAUAGGAAAUUCAGGUAAACACACACACAUACACACACACACCUGAUCAUAAAUUUCCUAAAGAAAUUCUGAAUCGUAACAUUGGUAAACAAAGAGUGACAAUAUCAUCACAUUAAAAAUGCAUUUCACUCAAAACAAAUAACAGCUCAAGAAAAAAAAUUGCAAGAAGCCAAUAGAGAAUAAAGUAAGCAGUCCAUAAACAAGAGACAGAGAGACAUUGUUCCAAUAGAGAAAAGUAAUUAAAACCCAACAACUAAAACUGAGAAAGAAUCAAACCAGGGAGUAACUAAUCCUUUUAAAGCAUUCCAAGAAUGGCAACCAAAUGUAACAUAAUCAACCUGCAAAAACAAACACAAAAAGAAUUAGAAGAAGAAAUCCCAUUAGUUAAUAAGUUAAAACAGCAGCAGCAGCAAAAAGACUAAAAUUUUAGUUAUUUGGACUUGAGAAAAAGCACUGAACCUGUGUGAAAAUGCCAUGAAAGGGGUGCUAAGAAACCAGGAACAUAAAAACUUGUAAAAGGGUCUUUUUACAAAGCAAGAAAGAAGCUAGGAAGCAAGGAAGCAUGCCAGCCUACCCUCACGAACUCUGUUUGUUAGGCCAUGUUUGUUUCCCGGAAUUCACUUUCCGGGAAACCAUUUUCCAAACUUUCCUGUGUUUGUUUGCCAUUAGAAAAAUUGAUCAACGGAAAACACUUUCCGGUCAACGGAAAACACUUUUCAAUCAACGAAAACACUUUCCCAUCAAAGAAAAAAUUGGUUUGGUUUUUCAGGAAAGUGUUUUCCCUUUUGGCUGUGUUUGUUUUCCGGAAAGUGGUUUCCGGGAAACCACUUUCCAAACUUUCUUGUGUUUGUUUGUCAUUAGAAAAGUUGGUCAACGGAAAACACUUUUCGGAAGUUGUGAAAAAUUUAGAAAUGUCAUUAUUUGUUGAUUAUAUCAAAUUUAAUCCUCAAACUUUUGAUUGCUAUAUAUAAUUUGUUUUGAAUAUUUAUUUUUCAAUUCCAUUUCUUAAAAUUUAAUUUUUAUAUUAAUUUUGCUCCUUAUUUUUAUAAUUGUUAUUUGCUUUUUCCUUAUCAUUUUUUUAUUGAAAUUUUUUAUCUGUCAAAUUUGGUCCUCAUUCUUUUGAUUGUUACUUAGUUUAUUUGAAAUAAUUUAUGAAAUGUUAAUUAUUAUUAUUUUAAUUUCUUCACCUUUCAUUUUUUUAAAAUUUUUAGAUUUGAUUUCUAUUAUUUUGAUUAUUAUUUAUUUUAUUUGAGAUAAUUUAUGAAAUUGUAUUUUUUUUCAAUUUCAUUCUCAUUCAACUUUUUAAUUUGUAAGAUUUGUUCCUCAUUAUUUUAAUAAACUUGAGAAAAUAAAACAUUAAUAAGUUAUUUUCCAGCUCAUUUUCCAUGACAUAACCAAACACUGGAAAAUGUUUUCCAACUUAUUUUUCAUUACACUACCAAACAUCAGAAAAUACUUUCCCGGAAUUCAUUUUCCCGGAAUUCACUUUCCAAAAUGAAACUACUUUCCAGCAAACAAACGGGGCCUUAAUUGUUUUUUCUCCUUUCAAGUAAAAAAAAAAAAAAAAAACAAAGAGCACCAAGAAAAUCUAAUCAGAAAUAUUUUUUUUUUAGUCUGAAAUAUUUUAUGUUGUUGUCUUGGAGAGAUGCAGAUACCGAGGAACAGUUGUGGGGCCACCAUUGGUGAGCAGUGAUACAGUGGCAAGUACGUGAAGUAACGCAUAUUACAGUGCGCAAUGAUAGAGUGAGUCUGGGUGGACAAACUUUUGGUGGUACACGUGGUGCGUAAUGAUUUGACGGCUAUGGAGAGAAGUUACAUGAGGGAAAUAAGAUGAAAAAAGUGGCCUCUCUAGAUUUUGGAAAUGUUCUCUGAAGAAAGAAAGAAAAUAAUCUCAAGGGUGGACAAAAAUGGGGUAAUAUCAGAUUUGGAACAUAAUCUUGGUUGGUGAAGAAUAACAUAAUCUGAAGAGAAAUCUAGGGCAAGCCAGUGAGAUUUGAGCUUAGAUUUUGGACCAAUUUAUAGGUGGAUGAUACCAUCAUGGAUGAUGUCUAGCUGAUAAAUGUUUAGUUACUAGCAAUUCUAUCAUAAGUUAUCAGAUUCUGUGUGUGUGAGGCUGCCAUAAAUUUCUUUCUUCUAUGAUGGAUAAAAAACGCUAAGCAAUGAACCAUUUUGUCAACCUAGUAAAAAAGGUAUUAUGGUAUUAUAGACUUAAAUUCAUAGAUAAUUAAGUAAAUUUCUUGAGGAAAAGCAAAAUUUAACUAUAGAUAAUCAAAGUGAAAAAAAAACACCUCAAAAAAAGAUGGUAGUUUCAAGAUUAAAGCCAAAAAUUCACUUUGAUUCUCAUACUUUUCAGAUAAUGACUUUUUGGUCCCUUAAGUUUUCUCACAUUUUAUUUUUGAUCCACAACUUCAUUUUUCUAUAUUCUCAUUCCCUAAUUUGAUAGAGGAGACAAAAUGUUAUUGGAUUACAAUGUUAGAGAGAGUCUCUGUAACAGCCUCAACAUUUGUAUUCAAAACAAAGAGUAAGGACAUGAUGAUUCAAAUAAGAUUAUGGAAUUUUUUUUUGUAAUCAAUAAAAAAUUCAGCAGAGUUUUUUUUAUAUUUUUAGAUACUAAAUUAUCGACUUUUCAUCUACAAUCCUCAAUUAUCAAAUUUCUUACUCAUCCUAUCAUCCAGAACUUCCUCCUCUCAUUACAUCACAACUUCUCAAUAAUCAAAUGCACAUAUGUCUAAAUAAUUCAAUAUCCCACAUUUACAUGGAUGCAAUCCAAAGAAUUAUUCUACAAAUUAUAAUUGAAGUACAUUACAUAAUUCAAAGAUUUACAAAUAAGGACCAUUAACGAAAUUAUAAUCGAAAUAAGUAUAUAAUUAAAGAAGAAAUUCAUAAUUAAGAUUAUACUACACAAAAGAGCUUUCGAUAAACUGUUGACACAUUAUAUUACAUAACAAAAUGAUAAAUUCAUUCAUUACAAAAAGAUACCCAACAAAAUAUAAGAAAAUUAAUCUAUUGUUCAGCCCGAUAAGGGGAUGUACCUGAAAAUUGAUUUAAUACAAAAAUUUAAUUAGACAGAUGAAAAAAAGAUAUCCUGCUUUCUUUCUUUCUUCCUUUUUUUUUUAAAAAAAAAUUAGUCAAAAGAUCAUUAAAUUAACUUGCUCAUGUAGUAUUAUAUAUAUAUAUAUAUAUAUAUAUAUAUAUAUAUAUAUAUAUAUAUAUAUAUCAAUUAAAUUUCAGAAUAAUCUAUGAGUUUGAGUUUGUUUUCUUUUUCUUUUUUAAUAUCAACCAAAAAUAUAAUUAUUCAUAUCACUCAAUUAACCCGACAUUACUUUCACUAAUAGAUGAUUAAUUUUCCACCAGUCUAUUCAACAAACACUAUUGUCAUCAAUCCAAAAAUUAGUUUAACGUUUCAUCCAUUCAUCAGGUACAAAUCCCAUUAACUAGGAAAAUUAAUUCUUCAUCUUGCCUAUUUGCCAGGGCACUAAUUCCAUUAAAUCAGGAAUUAGUUCAACGAUUUACCCAUUCACUAGGGUACUAAUCCCAUUAACCAAAGACUUAAUUCCUCAUCAUGCCCAUUCACCGGGACAUUAAUCCCAUUAAUUCAGGAAUUAGUUCAACGAUUUGUCUAUUCACCAGGGUUCUAAUCCCAUUAACUAGAGAAUUAAUUCCUUAUCACGCCCAUUCACCAAGGCAUUAAUCCCAUUAGUUCAAGAAUUAAUUCAUCACAUCGCAUAUCUUAUUUUCUAAAGUAAACAAUAUAAUAAUUUCAUAUUUAUCAACCAUAAUUAAUCAAAUAAAAAUACAUAUUGACCAAUAAUAAAUUCAGGUACCGUGUAAUUACCUGAUGACUAAGCUCGAGCUGAAAUUUCCUGCUGUGGUGUCGGCCUGGCAGCCUCUCUUGAAUUGACAAGUAUAUCAUAUCAUUAUUCUACUUUCCAUAUUGAAACACUCAAUAAAUAAAAUCAUUCCAAUUAUCCUUUUAUUUGCCAAAAUAAAAUCAUUUUGUAAAUUUCCUUCCUAUUCUUUCAAUUUCCACAUUGUAACACAAUUCAUUUCAUCAUUCAAAUCAAUAUAUAUAUUCUUUAAAUUUAUUUAUUUAAUUUUUACCGUAAUUUAAAUCAAAGAAAAACAUAAAAAAAUUUCAUGAUCUAUUCACUCUUUAACAUUAAUAUCAUCUCUUUCUUACACAAUCUCAUCAUCUUAUCAAAACUCUUAAAUUUUUAUUUUUCUUAUUAUUAUUUUUCCAAAAAUCCCUUCUUCAAGAACACCUAAAAUUUUGCUUUAAUUACCAUAAUUUCUUACCUUCCCUACUCACUUCAAUAAUCUUAACACAAUUUCACAAUCAAUUGUAAUUUUCUCUAAAAUAUAUCAUGAACCCUAAUUCCUCAUUUCACAAAGUUCAAUCAAUUUAAAGCAUAAAUUCUUCGAGAAUCUUAUUUAAAAGUGUGAGGACAUCUUACCAAGCAAUAACCAAAGCUUUAACACUUUUAAAUUGAGAAAUUUUCCUUGCUUGAAUUUGUUUUUCCUCUCCUGGCCGAAUGCUUAAAAAGCAAGUUUUUUUUUUUGUUUCCUUAUAGCACACUCACUUGCACUCAUAUAUAUAUAUAUAUAACUCUUUUUUUAAAUACCUUCCACAUCCCUCAAUUUUUUCUUUCCCCCUACACAUAUAUAAUUACUUAACUUUUUAAAAAUACCUUUUAUAUUCCUUAAUAGUAAAUUUUAUGAUUUUUGGGUAAAAUUUCUUGAAUCCUAAUGCCUGUUUAUACCAAAUUUUAUCCAGGUUAUUUCAAAUUUCACUCAGUUACUCGUUAGUAUUUUCAGUUUCAUGAAAUUCAUUUCCAUAAAAAUUUUAUUCAUAUUUUCAUGUUUAUUUAUUUAUAUUUAUUUUUUAUAUAUAUUUUAACACCCGAACAAAACAUUUCAAUUCAGAUUCUCGAAUAUAUCAUCAUUCUUAUAAUUUAAUUUAUCACUUUUCCUCAUUUUUCGUAAUCUUGACUUUUAUUAAUAUCAAUAAUAUUACCCGGGGUUUUACAAUCUCAGUUGGCACUGAUUUUUGCCAUAAAAAAUGGUUGAUUUUAAUGAUUUUUUUUAAUAUCUAUAUGUUUUUUUUAUAUUUUAUAUGAAUAAACUUUAUUUUCAUGAUGUGUUUAUAAAAAUAAGAAUUAUUUGUUCUUGGUAAGAAAAAGUGACCUUUAAGAUUAAAAAGAAGGAGAAAAGUGACCUUUAAGAUUAAAAGUAUCUGCUCGAAAAAACCAUUCAACAUAAGAUUGCUCUGCUAGGAAAACAUGAUAUCAGUAUCAAACUUUUGAACAAAGAGUUCAGCAUCAAGUCUCAGUCAUCUUGAGAUUUGAAUGCCCAAACAUAUUCAGAUGCUCAUAAAAUAACAUUUUUAAUAAUGCAUUAUGCAAUAGAAACAGAACAUCAAACAAAGAGUUCAGCAUCUUACGCAUGAAAGUCCACACAUUAAACCAAAAGAAACACAAAUGGCCAAGCAAACAUACGCCCUUACUUCUGGAGGCUUGUACGAUAAUGGGCAAGCAACAUUAUUUUUUUGACUAUUAAGCAUCACCAUCACCAUCACCAUCACCAUCACCAUCUUCCUCUUCCUCUACUUCUUCUUCUGUCCACCCAUUAUCUCGGGUCCACUCUCUAUUAAUGCUUGAAUCUUCAGCUACUUCAGAUACCUGUAAACCAAUCAAGAAAAGAGAAAUUCAUAAAAAAAUUACAAAGAAAAGAGAAAAUUAGCGAAAGCCAUUCAACAUAAGAUUGCUCUGCUAGGGAAACAUGAUAUCAGUAUCAAACUUUUGAACAAAGAGUUCAGCAUCAAGUCUCAGUCAUCUGGAGAUUUGAAUGCCCAAAUAUAUUCACAUGCUCAUACAAUAACAUUUUUAAAAAUGCAUUAUGCAUUAGAAACAGAACAUCAAACUGCAGAGAAAACAUGCUGAUGCAGAAAAUACUCAAGUCGUAGAAAGGAGAAUGCAUGAAAGUCCACACAUUAAACAUUAUGCCUUUCUUUUUGAAGGUUCACACACUUCAAAAGAAACACAAAUGGGCAAGCAAUAUACGCCCUUACUUCUGGAGGCUUGUAAGAUAAUAAUGGGCAAGCAACAUUAUUUUUUUGAGGUUCGCACAGUAAUGACUAAAUACACAACAUUACAUUACUCCUGUGCUGUCAACAAUUCUUCUAACUUCUUCAGCAAACACAUAGAUAGAUAAGUCGAAAUCUUCUAUGGUAAAUAAGACUGUCACAAUGUGAAGCCAAUUUGUAUCCCGUUGCCAAUGGAACAGGAGGAAUUAUUUCCCACCAAUCUAAAACAUAUUCGCAGCACCAACCUUGAAAUCAUGUAAGAGCUAACCACCAUUCAACAUGAGAUUGUUCUGCUAGGAAAACAUGAUAUCAAACUUUUGAACAAAUAGUACACCAUCAAGUCCAAAUAUAUUCACAGCUCAAAGACAUGAGUCUCCAUCUUCUUUCCACCCCAUAUUUCUGGUCCACUCUCUAUUAAUGCUUGAAUCUUCAGCUACUUCAGGUACCUGUAAACCAAUUCAAGCAUGGCAUGCUCAUUUAACUUGUAAAUCUUAUUAUUGAGAGAAACAAGAAACAAACACACUAAAAGAGAGGCAAGAAAUCAAGUCAAAUCAGCAGCACCUCUGAUUGAGCAUUCAUUGAACCAUCUGGUGUAGUAGCAAAUUUUGUGGUCAGCUUUGGACAUUGAUGGACCUUCAACUUCUCCAAACGAGGGAAUAAGAAAUAAUCACACCAUCUGAAACUAAAACAGACAAUACUUGAUAAUUGUUCUAGCGACAACUCCUUUAGAUUAGGAAGCACUAUCUCCUUCUCAACGUUGAUAGGUGAAGCUUGACCAUCCUGCCCAGGAGACUCUGGAAUUAUUUCCCUUUCACCAUCCUCUUCUCUGAUAAUAUGCUUCAAUUGACCGCAUUUACUUAUGUAAAGUCUUUGUAGCUUUGGCAGACUUCGAGCGAGGGACGGUGUGAAGAUAAAUGUCAGUUUGUUGAGAGACUCCAAAUUCAGACGAUUAAGACUUUGGAGGCUGACAUGUCUAGAUGGCCCCUUCCAUAUACANNNNNNNNNNNNNNNNNNNNNNNNNNNNNNNNNNNNNNNNNNNNNNNNNNNNNNNNNNNNNNNNNNNNNNNNNNNNNNNNNNNNNNNNNNNNNNNNNNNNAAUACCUCUUCCAAUGAUUUACAGCUGUCAACAAUCACCUCCUUUAGAUUGUUCAAAGCUCGGAGCAAUUUUGCUGGAAACGGAGUGCGAACAUCCCCACAAUCGUCUACUCGUACAAAUUUUAAUCUUUGUAAGAAGCCGUUUUGCUGCCCAUGGACGGCCAUCUUAUCAGAGAACAAUAUUAUAUUUUUUCACUCUCAUAAAAACAAUUUAUAUGAUGUAUAAAUAGGAGAAAAAAAUAGAAAAAACAGGAUUAAAUACUUUUUUUUUGUCUUAAUUAGAGAUAAGUUGAAUAAUAAUUAGAUUUUUGCGAAAAAAGGUUAAUACAACUCCUAAUAAUUAGUUUCAUGUAAAAAAUAAAAAUAAAAAUAGUAGCUAAAAUUUUUAUUUUAGUUAUAAAGUUAAUAAAUUUUUAAAGAUAUUUUAAUUGAAUUAAAUAUUUGAACACAAAAGUUAUAUAUUAAAUCUAACAGAUAUUAUGAUUUCUAUGAUUAAUUUUUGGUAUUAAUAACGCAAACAACAAUGAGGCAGUUAAUUUUCUUAUAUUUAUAUAUGUUUAGAUAAAAAAACAAAUCAUAAAAAAAAAAAAUAAGCUACUAUGUUUGUUAUAUAAUUAAAAAAAAAAUUCAAACUUGGAUUUCCUAGCAUUUAUCAAUUACUUUACUUUUAGAAAUUGGGAGGAAGAAAGAAUAAAUUAUCGCAAUUGACAAUUUAAAUUAGUGGAGAAAUAUAAAUUACGUACUUGUAGCUGUGCCAACCAAUUACCCACUUCUUCGUGGCCUUCAAUGGUUAAGUCUAUGAUGCCAUCUCUGUUAUGAGACAAAGAGACUGGGAAGACAUAUUCCAGUUUACCACAGUGAGAUAUGCGGAGAGUUUUUAAUUUUGGGAAGCGAGGAGACUCUGGAAUUAUUUCCCUUUCACCAUCCUCUUCUCUGAUAAUAUGCUUCAAUUCACCACAAUCACUUACCUGAAGUCUUUUUAGCUGUGGUAGACUUUGAAGAGUUAGAGACACGGAGACAGGGAAGACAUAUUCCAGUUUACCACAGCCUUCUAUGAUGAUAGUUUUUAAUUUUGGGAAGCAAGGAGACUCUGGAAUUAUUUCCCUUUCACCAUCCUCUUCUCUGAUAAUAUGCUUCAAUUCACCGGAUUCACUUAUGCAAAGGGUUUCUAGCUUUGGCAGACUUUGAGCAAGGGACGGUGUGAAGAUAAAUGUCAUUUUGUCGAGAGAAUCCAAAUGCAGAUGAGCAAGACUGUGGAGGCUGACAUGUCUGGUGGGCCCCUUCCAUAUGCAUUUGAGCUCAGGUAACCGGUACAGCUUUAACUCUGUUAAAGAUGACAGCAACGGCAGCUCCUUCUCCUCACCCAAUUCAAAUACCUCUUCCACUGAUUUGCAGUCCUCAAUUUCCACCCUCCUUAGAUUUUUUAAACCUUGCUGCAAUCUUGCUGGAAACAGAGUGAAAACAUCCCCACAAUCCCUCACUUCUACAAAUUCUAAUUUAUGUAAAAACAAUUGCUCAAAUGUCUUCGCAUUUAAGGAUGUACCACCCAAAAUUAAUCUUGUGGAGGUUGGGUAUCCAUUAGAAUAAUAUUUAGUAGUAUUCCCUAACAUUAAAUCAUAUUUGAGCAAGCUGGGAAAAACAAAAUCUCUGGGAAUGCAUUCAACCUUCGGUAUCCUCAAUGAUAAUACGGCUAACUGAGACAACGAAUUUAGUUCUGUUAGGCUUGCAUUCAUUCCUCCUGUGCUGUCACAUCCAACAUCAUCCCAUCCCUUAAAGCUGUCUUUCCCGAUCAACAAUUCUUCUAACUUCUUCAACCUUCAAAUCAAAUUCACAGGGAUCCUUCUUAGACUUCGACAACCUGUCACAUCCAACAACCUUAACUCCUUGAGCUCUCCUAUUUCAUCAGGUAAUUCUUCAAUGGAUAAGCACAUUAUAAAAACAAGAAUCUUAAGUCUCUGCAGCUUUCUCAACCAAAUGAGGUCCUUGCAUCCACACCUGAUCAACACCAACGAUUGAAGUUUCGUUAAGAGUUCAAGUGAUUGCAAUGACAAACACUCUCCCUCCAGAGACAAAACUUCAAUUUCUUUCAUCCCUUCAAAAAACCUCUGAGGAACAUUCAUACCAUCAUCCAGUUCUAAUAAUAGAACUUUGAGCCGUGGACAUACCAAUCCUUCAGGAAGUUCGGUUAGUUUAUUGCCCAUUAACGAAAUUGUUGUACAAGCUUCAAAGCUUUUGAUACUCAUUGGCCAUUCCUUCAACCCAAUGCCAGCCUUUACCAUGAAUCCAUAUUCUUCUGAUGAUGCUAUCUGAAUAGCAAAGUCACGAACCAAGUCAUGCAUUCUCACAUGUUCUUCAGUUUCAGUGCCCAACAGCAUGCAACAAUCUUUGAGGUUUUCGAUUGCCACGGAAACUCGUUUCCUUGCAUCUUCAAUGGGCUCCGUAUCUUGAUGUAACCCACAGCCAACUGCAUAUCUCGUCAAGUCCUCGAUUGGAAUGUCAUAAUCUUCUGGAAAUAAACAGCAUAGCACGAAACAUGACUUGGUUUCCUCGUACUUCAAAUAAUCAUAGCUCAACUUAAGACAUGUGUAAGCAUUAUUUUGUUCGUCAAUUUGUUCCAUGCGCACAAAUUGAGAUUCUUUGAGCUGUUUAGACGCUACUUCCCACUGAACUCGUGAUUUACCUCUUAGAGCCCUUCCCACUGUCACAAGUGCUAUAGGCAAGCCUUGGCAUUCUCUCGCAACCUCCCUUGCCACUGUGUUCAAGGUAGAGUCCCCAUCACGUAAACCUGCAUUGAUUCUGAAUAAAUCCCAUGCUUCAUCUUCAGGUAAGACUCUUAAAAGCACUUUUUGCUGGCACUCCAUAGAAAAACAUAUGCCUUGAACACGAGUUGUUAGAAGAAUUUUACAACCCCUGUGAUCAUCACCAAAUGGGAUCCCUAUCUCUUUCAAGUCAAUAUGUUUCCAAACAUCAUCUAGGAUUAUAAGCAUCUUCUUUCCCUGCAGUCUCUGCCAUAAUUCACUUGCUCUACCUUCUUUACUCGUUUUUUCAAAUUUCAGAUGUAAACUAUCUGCCAUUCGAUCCUGGAUGCCUAUGACAUUUGGAUUCUGGGACACCGUAGCCAUCAAAACUUCAGGAAAAAGCUGCGACUCUUUGGCUCUCCUGCCUACUUCUUUCACCAGGGUUGUUUUACCCACCCCUCCCAUGCCGUACAGUCCGAUCAUAUUGACGUUGUCAUCUUUGAGAGCUUUCAUGAUCUGUUCCAAAGCUUCUUUUGACGAUUCUGAGGGUGUGAAUUCCUUUGAUGUUAGAAAUUCUAUGGGCUGAGGAGGAGCUUUUUGGGCCACUGUUUUAAACUUUUCGCUACUUUCUCCAAGUUUUCUGAAAGUCUUCGACUUCUUGGCCAGUGCCUUGCUUAACUUGAAUUGUCGCAUNNNNNNNNNNNNNNNNNNNNNNNNNNNNNNNNNNNNNNNNNNNNNNNNNNNNNNNNNNNNNNNNNNNNNNNNNNNNNNNNNNNNNNNNNNNNNNNNNNNNNNNNNNNNNNNNNNNNNNNNNNNNNNNNNNNNNNNNNNNNNNNNNNNNNNNNNNNNNNNNNNNNNNUUUGCCGAAACCAGGUUCUCCUUUCGUUCUUUGAAUUCUUCAACAAAAUUGUAGAAACAGAACAUGCAACGGAACAGCCUUCCUACUGGUUCCACCAUGAGUUCUGCUAGCAUAGCUAUAAUGGAUCCACCAGCACUUUCGAGAGCCAUUUUCCACAGGU